rnacentral:lncRNA from 1 species
CGCAGCGACCUUGCCGUGGUCAAUGCCGUGCCACCGGCCAUUGUUGUGAGCCCGCACGCCCGAGCUCAGGGAGGUGGCGUCGGGGGAUCAUCGGGGCGGCCGCAGCUUGUCUGCCUCUCCAUGGAGUGCCGGCGAGGGAGGGGGAGAUAGGUGGCCGCCGCUGCUAGGGCCAGGAGAGAGAGAGAGAGAGAGAGAGAGAGAGAGAGAGAGAGAGAGAGAGAGAGAGGCGGGAGGAGGAUGGCAGCAUGCUCGCCGGAGCAAAGACAGAUGUGGCGUGGAAGAGAAAGCCAGAGAUGUGGAAUAAAAAAGAAAAGGGGGAAAUAUGUGACGCUGACAGGUGGGUCCCUCGUCCAUGUCAGAUUUUUUGUCCACAUAGGCAUGCCAACUCAGCCUGACAGGUGGGCCCAACCUAUCAGUUUUGCUGUUUUCUCGAGGAAAUCAAACAAUCAGUGCUCUUCCAGAUUAGGCAUAAUUUCGGUGGUUUUUUGUGACUUGGCUCAAAUCUGAUACUGACCUGUUACCCUAGCCCGAAGUGUGAUGGUUUGGGUAAAUAACUCGCGGAUUCGCAUGGGCCGGGGUUCCCCCUCCCCUUCGUAUACGAGGCGUUCUAGGUGGUGCUUCGUCUGAUCCAGUCGGUGCCGGAGGUGGAGCUGCUGGCGACAAGGGAACGAAGAUGGAUGGAGAGGGCGUAGAGGAUCAACAACGAUUCCUUCUCAUGGUUGGAAUGCGAGAGGGAAUGGAGGGAAGAGAAGGCGGUAGCAGAGGCGGAAUCAUAUCCGAUACUCAGAUCCAGAAGAGAGAGGUAUGUUCAAACUUGCCGGAUCCAGGCAGAUCGAGAGAUGAAGAAUUUUGCAAGAAGGAUUCACUUCGAGGGCACCCCUAAGGAGAGAGCGCAGAUGCCGCCCUUCCAACACUCGCCGCCGGUGGACUUCAUUCAUUGGGCGAGGGGAGAGGGGAGAUCAAGCGAUCCGAGGAGGAAAGAGAGGUGGAUUUGUCUCGUGGGACUACGCUCAGCAAGCGUUCCAUCGCUGCCGGAACCAGUGGAUCCUCUGCCGUACUUGUCGCCAACAAUUUGAAUUCCUCUGUAGUUUCACAGUCUGUGACAGAAGAGAGGAGGACGAGCUUGAUGAACAGACGGUUCAAAUUUGACCCCGGUGGAUGUAGGCAAAAGGAUGAAGCUGGAUAUGCUGAUUGCGUAAUUGGAUCUCGACCUGGAGGCAGAUUCUGGGCGUUGGAGCAAAUUGAAGAAGAUGAUGAAAAAUGUUCAGAGGAGAGUGAAGCUGGACAGAGUCCAUAUAUAGCGACUUUAGCUGAUGCUUUUGCUUGUGCUAAGAGGGAAUCAAAGGCAAGCAGAAGGGGGACAGAUUAUGCAAAUUGGGUGCCGUUGACCGCAUUUCAGAGAAGAUUGUGGCUCCUGUAUUUAGUUAUGUAAGUGUUCCUCCUUGUCAUAAAUCCAAUCAUGUGUUUCCUGUUGAGUGUGAUUCAGUUAGUAAGGAUUGUUGGUACCAAAUUAUUGGUGGUAAGCCAGUUGAUGUGGGUGUGGGUUCUAAGCCGAAUUGUCUGUAGAUGGGACAUGGCGGGAGAGGUCGUUAUCUACCAGCAUGCAUCUUAGUUGAUGCGCCGCUCUCCACACGAUUGCCAGCAUGCCAGGAGGAUGAAUCUAGAGAUGAUUUAGAGUUCAGGGAGGAUUUUUUUUGUUUUGAUUCGAACUAUGGAUCGGAAUGGGCCGGUUGGUGGUGGGCUGGGCCAGAAAUAUGGGUGCAUAUUGGAUCCCAAAAAGGGGAGUGGGGUGGGGUGCUACAACCUGGUCAGAGAUAGGUCGUUAACCCUAAUCACGUUUUGCACUCUAGGAUUUCCCAUUUGUGGUGUCCGCCCUCAGCCGCCGCCGCUCGUGAUAGCCAAAUCAUGGGAGGAAAGAUGGGUGAGUUUUUGGUUCUGGACGUGGAAAUGGAGGGAGGGAUGGUGGAGGUGGUGGAAACUGGAGACCAAAUCAAGGUUAUGGGAGAGAAUUCCAAUUCGACAAAUACGAUCAGGGAAUGUCUGGUAAGGCCGGUUGCCUUGCAGUUUCACCUUAUCCCCGGGAGAUGAUUUUACUCGAUAGGAUCGUGGCACUUCAAGGUCCCCAGGCCCGACCCCGACCGCCAUUUCAAAAUUUCCAAGGUAACCAGCACCAGAACUUCCCGUGUAGAGAGCCAGGAUAUGGGGAUUGGGGACAAGAUGGUGGCGAUCGAGGUAUAUAUCAAUACCCUCAUCGGCCACCGCUGCAAAACACUAAUCCGCCCCUGCUACUAGCAAAUAUCAACAGAAGACGUGUACAACCACUAUCAAUGGUGGAGGAGGGGGUAGCGAAGUUUAGACUUCCAAGCCUAAUUCCGCUGGGGCAGUGGUGACAGGGAAUCAAAGCUCGGGGGUGAUUUCUGAUAGCAAAAUUUCUUCCGUGGACAAGGCUAUCUGUCAUAAGUGUGGUGAGAAAGGUCAUAACUCUAAAAGAUGUGAGGCAAAAGUAAAGUGUGUGAUCUGUACUAAGGGUUCUCAUGUACCUGAAUUCUGUGCUUGGCUUCAUCAGAAAAAACCUGUUGCUACUCUGGUUGGUUUUGGUGGGGAGGGGCUUGGAUUGUUUGUGGCAGAGCAUGCAAAGGAGAUUUCCAGUGCUAGUAAAAAUGAAGCUGUGGCUUUGGUGAGACCGAUGGAGGGAUGUGAUUUAGAAGUGGAUGCUGACAUGUUAAUCAAAAGCUUGGCCAAAACUUACCGAUGAAGGUGGGACCGGAAAGCUAGCAAGGUUUUUGAAGGAGUUUUUUUGUCAACUUUCCAUCAGCGGCUAGAAUUAACGAAGCUGCUAUAUAUGACUGGGUCCCUUUAAAGGGAGGAAAUAUCAUGGUGAAUGUGAAAAUCUGGAAUGAUGAUGCAAAUGGCUGUGGUUUGGGUCAAAUUCCGCUGGAGCAAAAGGGGUACCAAAGACUAUGAAGAAUUUCCAUGGGCUAUGUGAAAUUGGCUUAAUGAUUGGUUACACUCAGGCUGUAGAUAUGGAAUUAGUAAGUAAAAUAGGCUUGGUUAUAUUGAAAGUUGUUGUGGUGGAUUACAGAAAAAUUCCUAGAUGGACCAAGUUAACCACUCCCAAUCUCAUGGUUUACAGAAUCUUCUUUGAAAUGGAAGAAGUAGUAGAUGAAGGCUGGGCUAAGGAAGAUGAUGGAUUAUCUCAAGGCUAUGAAGAGUGGAUGGACUUUCAGCAAGAGGAGGAGGAUAGCAGAGAUCCCAAAAAAGCAAAAUACAAUGAAGAUGAGGCAGACAAUGGACCAUAGAUUUUCAGCAAGAUGCUCGGUUUCAGCAUAGGAGAUGAGUUGUUUGAUUUGAUUGAUAAGUAUCAUGUGGAUCAACCAUAUAUCUUCAUGCUGAAACAGUUUGUGAAGAAUAGAUAUCAUUACCCCGCAAAAAAAAAAGAAUAGAUACCAUCCACAAUUACUUACUGGUGCUAUAAAUAGUGUAUACCUGCCGUUCUUGUAUACAGGCCAUCAGUGAAGAAUUAGGAUGUGUAAGAAGGUAGUCACGCAAGGGAUAAUAUUUUGAGCGUAAAGCCUACAGAAUUUUCCUGGGCAGCAUCAGAUACUAAUCACAUGCGCAUUAUAGCCCUUUUUGUCUUUCAUGAAAUGCGCACUUUUAAAAGGGGGCGAAAUUAAUCAUUAAGAAAAAGCAGAAACAACGAAAGCAUCAUUUGGUUUUACAGCUAAAAAUAUUUGUUCUGUGCAUGGAGAUGGAGUGAUGGCAUACAAAUGAACGUAUAAUGUAAGCUUACAUGUGAAUUCUCUUCAAUGUGGGUAAAUGGAAUUAUUUACACUAGCUGCAGCCUGCAGGGCUGGAUGCAAAUGCCUAGCUUGUAAGGCGGACUAAGAUUAAGGCUGCAUGCAACAUAUAUUCUGCUUGGAAAUGCAUGGACUUGAUUUAUUUAUUUUUGAGGAUUGAAAUACAUGAACUUCACAUGAAGAUGAGGCAGCCAAGUUUCUACAAACUGGGUGCAAUCAGCACAAAAUCCUCACCUCACCUUUGUAAUCUUGCUCAGUAAAUUACAGGUGCUUGAUUAGUCUUAGUCAUGGCUCCGUGUUGAGCUCGUGACACGCGUUUGAUUGAUUUUUUUUGCCUUUGAUUGAUUUCAGUUUCUAAUGCCAGCUGAUCUGACAAGCCGAGGUUAACUUGGAUUAUUUGACAGUUAUUUUGUUUGCCUAUGGGCAUGCUAAUCUGCAUCUCAUCCCGCAUAAAGAUCAUCGGAAUCGGAUCUAAUACCUUUCUUUGGUCAGUCACGCACUCUAGCUAGGGUUCUUCGACGCAGGUUGCAUGCAUAGUUUUCCCUUUUUUUUUUUGAGAAAUAACAUGGACGUACACGCACACACACGCGCACACAGUCACCCCACCACACACACACACACACACACACACACACACAAAUGCGUACUGAAGGCACGAUCAAAGUUGUCGAGUUCAAAAUUGACGCAAUCGCCACAUGUUCCUCGCUAUUUGAUAUUUAUUUAUGAGUUAUUACUAAAUCAUAUGAAAAACAAAUCUUAAGGAUUUUUCAAACCACACUUGACAGGAGAUGCUCCAUUCGGUUCAAACAUUUUAAAAUAUCAAUUUUUUUGUCUAUCUUUUUGGUGCAAUCGACUUGUGUCAAGUUAAUCAAAUCGAAUGAUUACUACCUUCGUCCUGAUUUAUUAGUCCCUUUUGUAUUUUGUGCCAAAUUUUCACCUUAAAUUUAACUAACAAAAUGUUAAUACAUGUCAUAGAAAAUAAUACUAUAAUUGAAAAUUAUGUUCAAAUACGAAUCCAUCAAUAUAAUUUUGUGACAUGCAUUAGUACUUUAUUAGUUAAUUUUUUAGUCAAAAUUUGGCACAAAAUGAGACUUAUAAACCAGGAGUGAGGUAUAUUCCGGUGAACCCGCGUGUCAUCACCGCCGAGUCCGCUCUCCCUUUCUCCCCAGUCCACCUCCGCUAUAAAUACCACUCACUUAAAAUAAAAUAAUGAGCUCGACCGACGGCAGCAGCAGCUCGCGUUCUGCUCUCAGUCUAAUCCUCGUCGUCGUCGAGCGGCGCCGCGGCAGCAGCAGCAGCCAGCGUCCGAGUGGAGGCCGACAUUUCCUCUUGGCGGGGCCCGAAUCCAAUCCGUAAGUCGAAAUCUCUCUCUGUACAUGCUCUCGGAUCCCCACACAUCUUCUAGUACAGUCCUACACUAGAAUCCCCACCCCACCCAUCUCCUACAGUCCUACAGUACUUCCCUGCUGCGGUGCUGCCAGUGGCAUUCAGGCCGCCAUUCCCGCCGUUUCUUGGGGUCUCACUGAGGAAUCCGAGGGCACUGGUUGUGUAUUGAUCCUCCCCGGCAAGUAAUGGCGGCUCCGGUUGCUGUUGCCGCUGGGUGUGGGUCUACUCUUUGCAUGCAUUGCCCGUCCGCAAGGUGUUCGAUGGAUUGUGCAGGGUGUACGUCUGUCCGGGGUCUCGUUCCAGUCCUUCAGGUUCCGGUCCGUUUACAGUCAGUUGCUGAAAUUGUGCACGGAACGCAUGAAAAUGCAGGGAUUUGUGCUCAGGUUCUGCUCGGUUGCUUGGCAUUCCAGGCAUUGGUUCCUCUUUGCAGGAAGCAUCCCAUCAUAAGCAUAUACUAGUACUAUAUAUAUAGUUAUAUGUUCCCACUUCAAAAGAAAAAGUUGUAUGUUCUGUUUGUUUGCUUGCUGUCUGCUUCAAUGUUUGUUCCAUUUUAAGCAUAGUUGUACAAGUAUAGUUGUUUGUUUCGUGGGCAUAAUUCAAAGUUUGUCGGAAGCAGCUUUUGUUCUCUCUUGCAUAGCAAAAGUGUGUGGAAACUGGAAUCUGUUGAGAGUAGUAUGGCCACGCCAAACGUUUUAGCUUUCACUUAAGGACCACACAUUGCUUCUUGACUUUGUUGGAUGCUUGUCGGCCCAGCCUUGGAACUGUACCUUCCUACUAAUGGUAUGGAAUAUGGUUAAUAUAAAUGAGGCACAGACCAAACUUUUGUGUUGCUUACUAGAAAUGAGUGUAUUUCCUUAAAAAAAUGUCAAAUCAUCUGUCAUUGUUCUCUCAAGUUACUUUCAUUGCGAUGUUCAAUCCAGUUUUUAUUACUGCAAUUGCUUCAUUCGAAUUGAGGUUUCAGUCCGUUUACCGUCAGUUGCUGAAAAUGUGCACGAAACGGAUGAAAAUGCCAGGACGUGCGCUCUUUGUUUACCGUUUACCGCCAUUUGUUUGGUUGCAGGAAGCACCCGGUCUUAAGCAUAGUAUAUAUAAAGUUGUAUGCUCUGUUUUGUUUGUCUGUUUGCUGUCUGAUUGAGACAAGGGCAUAAUCCAAAGUUUGACACCUGCACUUGCACCUGCUCCUGCACAUUUACGUGUUGGAAACUGGAAUCUGUUGAGAGUAGUAUGGCCACGCCAAAUGUUUUGGCUUUAACUCAAGGACCACAUUGCUUCUUGACUUUCUUGGAUGCUUGUUGGCCCAACUUUGCAACUGUACCUUCCUAAUAGUAGUAUAAAUCAGUCACAUACAAUUCUUUUUGUGUUGCUUGAGAUUUUGUGUAUUUACUUAAUGUGUUUAGUCGAAUCAUCUGUCAUUGUUCUCCCAAGUUGCUUUUCCUCGUGAUAUUCAAUCCGUCGGGUUUUUAAAUACUGUAACUUCUUCAUUCAAAUUGAUAUUUGCUUCCUUGUUGUUUUCCUUUCAACGUUUGGACUGAGGCUUCAAAUAAUGGUGCUCUUUAACAUGGGCUUUGUUACUUUAGAGAAUACAAGAAUUAUGCAUUGGUAUCAUGAUAACAUCUGCUCUAUGUUUUUUCUACAGGGGGUUUCCAACACAUAAGUAGUUUACUAACAUGAAGACAAGCAUCCAGUAGACUUUGCACCAUUUGAGGCACAAUGGAGAUAUCUUUUCUCAUGUUGUUGGUUCUCUCUCUGCUUCUGUUUCCUAAUGGCAUCUGCAAGAGUUUAGCUGCGAGGCCUCCUGUUGUGAAUAUUGGGUCUAUUCUUCAAUUUAACUCCACCACUGGAGGUGUUGCCGCGGUUGCCAUCCAUGCAGCCUUGGAAGAUAUCAACUCUGAUCCAACAAUUCUAAAUGGAACUACACUAAAGGUUCAAAUCAAGGAUACAAAUUGCUUUGAUGGUUUCCUUGGCAUGGUUCAAGGUACGCUAGCUUUAAUGUCACGCAUUCAUUUGGCAUUGUUGAAAUAGUUUUUGCUUCUCUUGUGGAAUUGUGACAAUGAUACCGUAUUCCUUGUAUCAGCUUUGCAGUUCAUGGAGACUGAUGUUAUUGCACUCAUUGGCCCUCAGUGCUCUACAAUUUCUCACAUCAUUUCAUAUGUAGCAAAUGAGCUUCGAGUCCCUUUGAUGUCCUUUGCUUCUGAUGCAACUCUUUCAUCCAUACAGUUCCCGUUCUUUGUCAGGACUGGUCCCAAUGACCUCUAUCAAAUGGCGGCUGUGGCAGAAGUUGUUGACUACAACCACUGGAAGAUAGUGACUGCCAUUUACAUUGACAAUGUUUAUGGUCGAAAUGGCAUUGCUGCUUUGGAUGAUGCACUCGCUUUAAAGCGCUGCAAAAUCUCCUACAAGGUUGGGUUUCCUUCCAAUGCUAAAAGAAGUGAGCUCAUAAAUUUGUUGGUUAGUGUCAGUUAUAUGGAGUCUCGUGUUAUCAUUCUCCAUACUGGAGCUGAACCUGGACUCAAGCUUUUCUCUAUGGCAAAACAACUGAACAUGAUGGGCAACGGCUAUGUGUGGAUUGCAACUGACUGGCUGUCUGCAUAUCUUGAUGCUAAUUCAUCAGUUCCUGCUGAGACUAUAUCUGGCCUGCAAGGUGUUCUUACUUUACGGCCACAUAUCCCCAACUCAAAGAUGAAGAGUAAUUUGGUCUCCAAAUGGAGCAGGCAAAGUAAAAAGUACAACUAUAGUGAUCUUCGUGUAAAUACUUACGGUUUUUAUGUUUAUGAUAGUGUCUGGGUAGUAGCUCGGGCUCUGGAUGCCUUCUUUGAUGAUGGUGGUAGGAUUUCCUUUUCAAAUGACUCGAUGUUACAUGAUGAAACUGGAGGAACACUUCACCUUGAAGCAAUGAGCAUUUCUGACAUGGGAAAUAAAUUAUUGGAGAAGAUUAGAAAGGUAAACUUCACUGGGGUGUCUGGGCAGGUGCAAUUCGAUGCUGGAGGCAACCUAAUUCAUCCUGCAUAUGACAUCAUAAACAUCAUCGGAAGUGGCAUGCGGACCAUUGGUUUUUGGUCAAAUUAUUCUGGCUUGUUGUCGACUGUCUCUCCAGAGGCUCUAUAUUCAAAGCCUCCUAAUAUUUCUCUGGCUGAUCAGCAUCUCUAUGAUGUUAUUUGGCCUGGGGAGACUGCACAGAGGCCUCGAGGAUGGGUUUUUCCUUCUAAUGCCAAGCAGUUGAAAAUUGGUGUUCCCAACAGAUUUAGUUUCAAAGAGUUUGUCACGAAAGACAAUUCUACUGGGUCAAUGAAGGGUUAUUGCAUCGAUGUCUUUACUCAGGCAUUGGCUUUGCUUCCUUAUCCUGUUAGUUACAAGUUUGUACCUUUUGGGAAUGGUACUGAAAAUCCUAAUUAUGACAAACUCGUACAGAUGAUUGAAUCAAAUGUAAGUAUGGAAUGCCUUUUUUCUUCCUCUAACCAUUUCAUCAUCUUUAUCAAAAAAACCAUUUCAUCAUACCAUGCUGACCAGGGGGGGUCUUAUCCUGCAGGAAUUCGAUGCAGCUAUAGGGGAUAUCGCAAUUACAAUGAGGCGAACAGUAACUUUUGAUUUCACCCAGCCAUUCAUUGAAACAGGCUUGGUUAUCUUGGCUCCGGUUAAACAGCAUAUAACAUCGUCCUGGGCAUUCUUGCAGCCAUUUACUUUGGAGAUGUGGUGUGUUACAGGGUUGUACUUCCUUAUUGUGGGUGUGGUUGUUUGGGUUCUUGAACAUCGGAUCAAUGAUGAUUUCCGUGGUUCAGUACGUCAACAAAUAAUAACUAUUUUCUGGUAAGGAGCUGACUUGCACCUAUUGUAUCGUCUUUUUGUAGUAUAUCAUUCCUUUUUUCUUAGAAAUGUUGAUGUUUCAACAAGUCUUGUGCAAUAUGUUUGCAUACAGCAAGCACCUCAGAACAGUUGCCAGUUAACAUACCCAAAUGAAGCAUCUACUGAUUACCAAGGAACUAUUAUCUUAAUGAUCUUGUGAAACGUAUAUAUGCACAGUAUAUAUAUUCGCUUAAUGAUAUUUAUGAUGCAUUGCUCUUUUUUUUUCUGUUUUCACAUACUUCUCCACAUGUAUUACAAAUGUUCUUAUCAUGGCGUGAUUCCUUGCUCUCAGAUGUGAUUAUAAUUUCUAUUUUGAUUGCCUGCAGGUUCAGCUUUUCGACGUUGUUCUUCUCACACAGUGAGUAAACCAACCUUCUCUAUUAUGUGUUUUUUUGGCCAUAGGUAACAUUUUGUUCUGAGGCAUGGCUCGUGAUUUCAUCUGUAUCUGCCCGCAGGAGAAAAUACUAUGAGCACCUCAGGGCGUGGUGUCCUGAUCAUAUGGCUAUUCGUUGUUUUGAUAAUUGUAUCCAGCUAUACCGCGAGUCUUACUUCCAUCCUGACCGUGCAACAACUUGAUACUUCUAUAAAAGGAAUCGAUGACCUGAAAAAUAGUAAUGAUCCUAUUGGUUUCCAAGUUGGUUCUUUUGCACAAGACUACAUGGUCAAGGAGCUCAACAUCUCACGUUCAAGGCUAAGAGCUCUCGGUUCAGCACAAGAAUAUGCUGAAGCCCUCAAGCUAGGCCCUAAGGAAGGAGGUGUUAUGGCCAUUGUUGACGAGCGACCCUAUGUUGAACUGUUUUUGUCAACCUACUGCAAGAUUGCGGUAGCUGGUACAGAUUUCACCAGCAGAGGAUGGGGCUUUGUAAGUACAUUUGAACCAUAUUCUUUAAUGUAGAUUAGAAUAUAAGAACAAAAUAUUUUGAAGUUAAUAUCCUGGAAUAGCAGUUUUAACUUUGAACAAGUUGUGUCAACUAUCUAGUUUAUUAUGCAACUUUAUUUGCACUUUUCUGCGGCUGCAAGUCUAAAAUCUACACCUACUUUGUCUCACAAAUCAAAAUGUAGCACCUUACAAGUUCAUUCUACCAGGCAUUUCCAAGGGACUCCCCUUUGCAAGUAGACCUCUCCACCGCAAUCCUGUCAUUGUCAGAGAAUGGGGAGCUGCAGCGGAUCCAUGACAAGUGGCUCAAGACAGGGGAGUGCGCAACUGACAACAGCGAGUUUGUUGACUCAGACCAGCUCCGCCUUGAGAGCUUCCUUGGUCUGUUCCUAAUCUGUGGCGUGGCAUGCAUCCUCGCGUUGCUAAUCUACUUUGGUAUCAUGCUACGCAAAUACCUGAGGCAUGAACAGAGGAAGAGCCUGAGAAGAUUCUUCUCAUUCGUCCAUGGCAAGGAUCCACCAAAGAACAACGAGAGGCGGUCCAUGAGCCUGCUUGGAAGCUCGACGCCGGCAACGCCAAUGAGCAGCCUUUCUACCCUUGAGAUAGAAAGGCCGUCCAGGGAAGUCAGAAACGACAGCGUUAUUGAAAUGGAAAGCUAGUUCAUGUGUACAAAGCUAGUUCGUGCUUUAUCUCUCAAGGCAGCUGGGCAACUGUUUUGUGUGAAGCAACAAUGCGGCCGACUAACCUUGGUCCCGGUAACCUAGGUUGUAAAGCCAAACACCAGGGAUGUAUAGAGGGGGUUCAAAUACUUCUUAAAGGAAGGAUUGAUAAUAAAAAUUAAAAUAUCGAAAUGCUCCUCUCUCCCACGUAGAUCACUUUAUUCUUUGCAUGACUAUAUUUUUUGGGGAUAUCUUGCCACUACAGAAUUGGCGUUUGGCGGUGUGAUCUGUUCAUGUGUUCAAUUGCGCGUAGUGUGGUUAUUCCAAAUCAGUAGGAUUGUGUCACUUCAGUUUGAUAGUAUGCGGCGGACUGAACCUGCCGGCUGCAGCUAGUACCGUUUGAUGUGUGACGAUGCCUGUAGAUUCUAGUACUAAACUUUGAUGCUUGUUCAUAAACUAGUUUAGAUGGAGCCACCCAAAAGAUAUGAUAGUUUUUCUUUUUUUGUCUUAUAUACUCUGUUUUGUCUGAGUUUUGUUCCGGGCAACUUUGAAGCUUAUGUUAGGGUGGUCGGUAGAAAAAUGUGUAGCACCUUCCACAACUCAUAAAGAAGAUAAUUAAAAAGAGCAUAGGAAGAAAUAGUUAUGAUCUUAUUAGGAUAGUUAAGAAGAAAUCCAACACUAGGUUUUCGUUUUUCUAACUCUAUGGCUACACUGUAAAAUAUUUAUGGAUUAGCUCCAAUUGAUGCAAAUCUUUUUGGUGGUUCUGGGAUGCGACUGAGUCAGAUUAAUCCCAAGUUACUCCCUCCAUCCCAUAAUAUAAGGUGUUAUUACAUCUAAUAUGUGGGACGGAGGGGGUAGCUACUUGUCUCUCUCAAAUCUUACUGGAACACUGAGCCACUGGUCUGAAAAGUGGAAAUUCCUGCAGGUUUGUAAUGCAUCUGUUUUGGUUCUUGCGGGCAUCACAAGUGUUGUUAGUAGUGGAGUAGUAGGCAGAUGCAAAACCAAGCCAUCAUUUUCCUUCUAAAUACACUUGUAAAAGAAUCAUGAGUGUCUAUUCUAAUGGAGUGGUAUACAGACAUAUAAUUAUUGCAGGGAUGCUGCAACUUCCUGGAGCAAGGCCUUAGUGGUACUAGGUUUGUCUAUUCUAGUGAUACUGGGUUUUCUUUUCUGAUUUCUUCUAAUUUAAUAGUUAAGCCAGGCUACAUUAUGACUGCCAGCUCUGCUGUAACUUUUCUUGCGAGGCAUAACAAUUGGAUUAUUGUUGAUGCAGCGAAAACAGAAACGAGUAUCAGUGCCUUUUUAUUUAAUUUAGUCAUAAUAGUUGACUUAACAUAUCAUAUAUUAAAUGUGGGUAGGAGAUUCCUGUAUUUUUCUUGAAUACAGAAGAGCAACAAUAGGGAGAGUUCUUUUACACGAUGGAGCGAUUAUUUUCCUAUGAAGAAUGUAUAAUGUAUAUAUAUUUCUCAUUCUGUUCAAUACCUGGUUUAGGAAGAGCUCUUUUUCCUAUGCAAAAUGUAUAACAUGUAUGUUUAUAAUUUUGAUUGCAGGCAUAUUCGUCGCGCUCGCCCUGCGUUUUGACGUUCCGCGAGGGACCAAGUGGGAUACGCCACGGGUUCCGACAGUAAAGAUAACAAUGAUAAACUGGUUUCAAGCCACUCAGGGCAGUUUUGCUGUUACUAAGAUACUGCGGCAUCUUGUCUCUCUCGGUCGAUGUCCUGUCAUCUCUGAAAAUAUCAGUGGCACCUGUUCUGUUUACCUGUCUUUUGUGUUGUGACGCACAGCCUGCUCUGCUAUACAUCGUUCCUGGCAUGACUGGUUUCAUCGCCGUUCGCUCUGUGUGGAAUGGAGAAGUAGAGCCGAUAAGUAAGCCUGCUUACCUAGUCCCUUUUGUUUAGUCCUGGGAUGAGAGAAAAUAACUGACAAUCUGGACGAGCCUGCCUUUGAAGUGCGAAACUUGUUUGUCACUGACAGUUUUCACGAUUGGCAGUUGCUGGAGUUCACUGAGUCGAUAGUCGGAGAGGACGCAGAACAUGAAGGUCCCAACCAUGAGAGCAAAAUGGUGGACUAGGGCUUUCCCUAAGGUGUGCUUUCAGGUAUUUUCAGUUUUCUUGUUAAGGAAUCAAGGUAGGAUUUUGUCUGCCAAGACCCUAUAUUCAUGGAGUGAGACGUUGUUCUGAAUUCCGAGGCACUCAGAAAGUUUCGUCGUGGAAUUUCUUCUGGAAAACAUGUGUAUGUAUUCCAGUUGUAUCAUUAGUAACCCAAGGCCAUAUAGCACAAAGAAUGUUUGCUUGAUUCGUUCUGCCUGACAAGACAUAAACUCCCAUUUCUAUAUUGCUGCCAAACACGCUGUAAAAUGAAGUUUCCGAAUUUUUGCGUUUUGAUGCGCAGCUUGCUCUGUUGUAGUAAAUCAUUCCUGUUGUGUGGCUGGUUCGUCGCCGUUCAACCGACUGAGCAGUCAGUUUGGUGCGUUCUCGGGGAGCAAGAAGAACAUAGCACACGCAUCCAAACAUACGAAGAGCUGAGUAGUCAGGAGAGCGACCAGUAAGACACUCCAUAGGAAUACCACCCUGCAGAGCAGUCGAUGACUAAAUGUUGAUGAGAUAGGUGGAUGCGGAAACAACCUCGGCCCAAAAAUGGGGUGAAAGGGAAGCAGCAAUCAUUAGCGCACGAGCCGUCUCAAGCAAAUGACGAUGCUUUCGUUCAGCAACGCCAUUCUGAGCAUGAGCACCAGGACAUGAGAACUGGGCAAGAGUUCCCUGUUCCGCGAGAAAACCACGCAACAGCUGAGAGAUAUACUCUCCAGCGGAGUCAGCACAAAAAGUAUGAAUGGGCGUAUAUAGGGAGAACCUCGCUACGAGAUUUCAUGAAGUAGAGCCACGUGUAGCGAGAGAAAUCAUCAAUAAACAAAACAUAGUAGCGAUGACCACCUUUCGUAUCAAAGGGAGCAGGACCCCAGACAUCAGAAUGAACUAAGUCAAAAGGACGCUGAGAUACAGACUCAUAGUAGGAUAAGGUAAUUGAGUCUGUUUGCCAAGUCUGUAACCAUUACAAUGUAAGGAGACAUCUCUAGAUACAUACCCUAAGAGGCCCUGACGAACUAAAGAAGACAAGCGAGAGCCACAGAUGUGACCAAGGCGAUGAUGCCACUGCUGGAAGGACGCAGACGAAGAGGCAGCAAGAGCAUGAGAGCUGGCAGAAGUGGUGGCAGCGGAAGGAACACAAAGCCAGUCAACCUCCCAAAGGCCCUCUGACUCACGGCGCCGGGGGCCAGCACCAAUCAAAGCCUUGGUGUCACGAUCCUGAAUGGAGCAAGAGUCGGUAUCAAGAAUGACACGACAACCAGAAUCAGUAAGUUGGGCAGCGGAAAAAAUAUUCAUGGUAAGGCGAGGAACAUGUGAAACACUUGGAACAGAAAAAGAUGGAGUGGAAAGAAUACCACCACUAGCCACAGGAAGAGAUGUGCCAUCGGCAGUAAGAACAUUAACAGGCGAAUCAAGAGGUUGGAGAGAAGACAGCGCGGAAGAAUCAUAAGACAUAUGAAAGGAGGCUCCAGAAUCCAGAACCCAUGAAGAUGUACCUGACUGUGUAGAUGCCGGUGAUGAUGAGGAAGGGGAUGAAGUCAUAGCAGCAGCGGAAGCAGUCGACGAGGAGCCUGAGGAAGCAAGAAGACGCUUGAGGCGAACAAUGUCCUGGUCAGUGAGUGACAGAGUCAAGGAAGACACAGGAGUCCCGCUGGAGGAGGAGCGCCUCUGGUCUCGCUUCUUCUGGCGACAAUCAGACUCUGGGUGACCUGGCCGGGAGCAGUAACCAUAGACGGUGUCACGGCACGACGUGCCCUUCUCAGCAUAAAGAGGACGGCUCACCCCCCUGGAGGAGUAGGCAGGAGCGGCGGAGCAGUAAGGCGGGCAGACGACACAGGAGCCCGGGCAGCCAAUACCGACGGAACCAGAAGCAACCCAGCAGAGCGAAGGCGGGUCUCCUCAGCACGAAGCUCAGCAAGUAUCUCGGAGAUAGGAACACGACCAUGAGCAAGCAGGUGAGCAUGUCGAGGCUCAAACUCAGACCGGAGACGAGAUAAGAACUCAUGGACCCGCUGAAACUCCAGAUCAGACCGAGUAGUCUGACAGCAACGACAGGUUCCACAAACAACUGUCCGAAGAGAGUCAAGCUGGCGCCAGAUGGCAGAGCGCUGUGAAUAGAACUCAUCAACAGACGAAUCACCUUGUUGGAGUGCGUGCUCCAGGCGCACCACAGAUAGGUAGAGAGCAUCACCAGAGGGCUGAUAGCGCUGACAGAGAUAAGAGCACAUCGCUGCAACUGUGCCAAGGCCCAUGAACUCCGAAGCAAACUGAGGGAGGACACUCGUAGUGAGAACAGCAGCAGCUCGAGCAUCAUCAUUGCACCACUGAGUGUAAGCAGACAGAUCAUCCCGGUACACAGAGAGAGCAUCGGAAUAAGCGGAUACCUGCUGAUCAUAAGCAUCAACUGCAGCAUCAUCCAGAGCCUUGGCAGCAUCCCGGUCAGCCUGAGAAGCAUCAGCAGCAAGGACCGGCGGCACUGGUGGGAUUGGGGCCACUGGCGCAACCGGACAUGGCGGACAGGGUACCUCGCCAGAGAGCACGCCCCACAACAGAAGGCCGCACAUAUGGAUAUGCAUGAAGCCCACAAACUCAACAUAGUUGGUGCCAUCAAAGAUCACUGAGCAGCGAGAAACAACCACAUAUCCCGAAAAAGACAUUGGUGAGCUCCCUUUUUUACAAAGUCAACCUCAUUGGGCAAACAGCCCGAGCAGCCAGAGAGCCCGAGCGCCCGUAGGCAGGCCGAGCGAGAGGGCCAGCCGAGCACGGGCCGGAUCCAAGGCCAGGAGGACCAGGCGGAACAAGGGGGCGGCGGAGGCGCAAUGGAGGAGGUAGCCACUCAGCGGGGCGAAGGCGAGCGCCUCUGCCCUCACGCGAAGCAGAGCAACGACGCGGGGGCGGUGCGGUAGCUUGAGGCGGGGGCUCCGGCAACACGGCGGAGUCCAGCAAGGCGGGGACGGCCAGAUCCGGCCGCGGGACACCGAUUCCCGGUGAGCCUUGCAGCGGGUGGGCCGGGCAGGCGAGCGCCUCUGCCCUCACGCGAAGCAGAGCAACGACGCGGGGGCGAUGCAGCAGACAGGAAGAGGUGGCCGUGAUCGGGCUGGAGCAGCAGGAUCCGGAUCCGCGACGGGGAGGGCCGGACGGAGCUGCUCGCCGGGACCGCCAGCAAGGCAGGAGGCGCCGGAUUGAGAGCAUCGAGAGAGAAACUAGUACAGUGUUGCAGCGUGCGGGAGAGAGGGGAACCUAACAUCUAAUACCAUGUUGGAGAGAUAGCAACUCGUAUUUUCUGAGGGCCAAAGGCCAUUACAUAUACAUGUGUGACAAAGUGCAGACAACCCCUCAUAUAACAAGGAUAUACCGAAAAGGAACUAUACACAUCUAACAUAUUCCUUGUCCCUUUUGUGUAUUUUUGUAGUUAUACAUUAUUCAGGAGAUAUGUUCAUAGAACAACCACGUCAUCAUUCGGUUACCAGCUGUAGAGACCCACCAAGCCUCCACAGUGUAAACCAACGGGGUAUAGAACCUCAAAGAAGAACAACGUAUAGACGACGUCCAUGGCGGUUGGAUGAAUGACACAGAGGAGGGAGGAGGAAGAUGAUGUCAGAUCGAAAACCACGAAAAUCAUAAUCAAAAUCGCUUUAGGGGCACAUUUAUCUGGUUUUGAAAUUUUUAGGGUGUAAAUUGUACCAAAAGCAAUCUUUAGGGGGGUAUUUGUCCAUUGAACCACAUUUGAUGUUGAAAAAUGAACUUCUUUCUAUCCAUUAUGUUGCAUUGUGCCCCGGGAGAACGGAACAUCCAGAAAAACGAAUCCGCUCGAACUCCCUGGCUCCUCAGCGAUUUGGGCCUCCUAUCCGUCCGAUCGGUUCGCUUGAUGGAGUUCCGGCCGUCGGAUCGAGCCGCCGACAGAUCUCAUCCGUCGGAUCGAAUCCCCCUCCCUUGUAGCAUGGUUGAUCCCGUCUGGUUCGCGCCGUCGAUUACUCCUUUCGUUUGACCGGUUGUUGCUGACUUGUGGGGUCCCGGCACGCGGGCCGCGCCCGUCAGCAAGCGGGUGUGCGGGUGCAGCCUGUGCGUUCAGUCAUGCGCGCGCCUGCGGUAAAUAUCCCGUGCCACCGCAUGUAAAUCUUGCACCCCGCCGAGGGCUUUUUCAUCAUUUCCUGUCCAAGCCGCGUGCGUGGUGGACGCUGGUUGGCUCCGUGCGGCUAUGUGGUGGGGGAGGGCGGCUGGCUCGCUUCUCGCUCGCCCCCUUCGUUCCCUUCUCUCUAUCUCUCCUCCCCCCUCCCCCUCAAUCCGAAUCUUCCCCCGGAACCCAAUCCAUGGCACCGCAGCGCUCGCUGCCCUCGGCCUCCUCACGCCGCCGCCGCCGCUCGUCCUCCUCGUCUUUGAAGGAAAUAUGCCCUAGAGGCAAUAAUAAAGUUAUUACUUAUUUCCUUAUUUCAUGAUAAAUGUUUAUUAUUCAUGCUAGAAUUGUAUUAACCGGAAACAUAAUACAUGUGUGAAUACAUAGACAAAUAAAGUGUCACUAGCAUGCCUCUACUUGACUAGCUCGUUGAAUCAAAGAUGGUUAAGUUUCCUAGCCAUAGACAUGAGUUGUCAUUUGAUUAACAGGGUCACAUCAUUAGAGAAUGAUGUGAUUGACUUGACUCAUUCCGUUAGCAUAGCACUUGAUCGUUUAGUUUGUUGCUAUUGCUUUCUUCAUGACUUAUACAUGUUCCUAUGACUAUGAGAUUAUGCAACUCCCGUUUACCGGAGGAACACUUUGUGUGCUACCAAACGUCACAACAUAACUGGGUGAUUAUAAAGGUGCUCUAUAGGUGUCUCCAAAGGUACUUGUUGGGUUGGUGUAUUUCGAGAUUAGGAUUUGUCACUCCGAUUGUCGGAGAGGUAUCUCUGGGCCCUCUCGGUAAUGCACAUCACUUAAAGCCUUGCAAGCAUUGCAACUAAUGAGUUAGUUGCGGGAUGAUGUAUUACGGAACGAGUAAAUAGACUUGCCAGUAACGAGAUUGAACUAGGUAUUGAGAUACCGAUGAUCGAAUCUCGGGCAAGUAACAUACCGAUGACAAGGGAACAAUGUAUGUUGUUAUGCGGUUUGACCGAUAAAGAUCUUCGUAGAAUAUGUGGGAGUCAAUAUGAGCCUCCAGGUUCCGCUAUUGGUUAUUGGCCGGAGACGUGUCUCAGUCAUGUCUACAUAGUUCUCAAACCCGUAGGGUCCGCACGCUUAAAGUUUCGGUGACGAUUGUAUUAUGAGUUUAUGUGAUUUGAUGUACCGAAGUUAGUUCGGAGUCCCGGAUGAGAUCGGGGACAUGACGAGGAGUCUCGAAAUGGUUGAGACGUAAAGAUCGAUAUAUUGGACGACUAUAUUCGGACAUCGGAAAGGUUCCGAGUGAUUCAGGUAUUUUCAAGGGUACCGGGGACUUACGGGAAUAAGAGGAAGAAGUAAUGGGCCUCAUGGGCCAAGUGGUGGAAGAGAGGAGGCAGGGCGCGUGGCCCCCCUAGCCCAAACCGAAUUGGACUAGGGCCCCCCCUUUCCUCUUCCCCCCCUCUCCUUCCUUCUCCUUCUCCUCCUUCCUUUCCUCCUCCUAGUAGGAGUAGGAAAGGGGAGUCCUACUCCUACUAGGAGGAGGACUCCUCCUCUUGGCGCGCCCAUAGAGGGCCGGCCGGCCUCCCCCUUUCUCCUUUAUAUACGGGGGCAGGGGGGCACCUCUAGACACACAAGUUGAUCUGUUGAUCUCUCCCAGCUGUGUGCGGUGCCCCCCUCCACCAUAUUCAACCUCGGUCAUAUCGUAGCGGUGCUUAGGCGAAGCUCUGUGCCAGUAGCAACAUCAUCACCGUCAUCAUGCCGUCGUGCUGACGGAACUAUCCCGUGAAGCUCUGCUGGAUCGGAGUUUGCGGGACGUCAUCAAGCUGAACGUGUGCUGAACUCGGAGGUGCCGUGCGUUCGGUACUUGGAUCGGUCGGAUUGUAAAGACGUACGACUACAUCAAUCGCGUUGUGCUAACGUUUCCUCUUUCGGUCUACGAGGGUACGUGGACAACACUCUCCCCUCUCGUUGCUAUGCAUCACCAUGAUCUUGCGUGUGCGUAGGAAAUUUUUGAAAUUACUACGUUCCCCAAUAGUGGCAUCCGAGCCAGGUUUUAUGCGUAGAUGUCAUAUGCACGAGUAGAACACAAGUGAGUUGUGGGCGAUAUAAGUCAUACUGCUUACCAGCAUGUCAUACUUUGGUUCGGCGGUAUUGUUGGAUGAAGCGACCCGGACCGACAUUAUCCAUACGCUUACGCGAGACUGGUUCUACCGAUGUGCUUUGCACAUAGGUGGCUGGCGGGUGUCAGUUUCUCCGACUUUAAUUGAACCGAGUGUGGCUACGCCCGGUCCUUGCGAAGGUUAAAACAACACCAACUUGACAAACUAUCGUUGUGGUUUUGAUGCGUAGGUAAGAACGGUUCUUGCUAAGCUCAGUAGCAGCCACGUAAAACUUGCAACAACAAAGUAGAGGACGUCUAACUUGUUUUUGCAGGGCAUGUUAUGAUGUGAUAUGGUCAAGACGUGAUGAGAUAUAAGUUGUUGUAUGAGAUGAUCAUGUUUUGUUGAAGUUAUCCGCAACUGGCAAAAGCCUUAUCGUUGUCUCUCUAUUGCAUAAGAUGCAAGCACCAAAUAAUUGCUUUACUUUAUCGCUAUGCGAUAGCAAUAGUUGCAAGAGCAAUAGUUGGCGAGACGACCAUGUGAUGACACAUUGAUAUAGAUCAAGAUGAUGGAGAUCAUGGUGUCAUGCCGGUGACGAUGGAGAUCAUGACGAUGCUUUGGAGAUAGAUAUCAAAGGCACAAGAUGAUGAUGGCCAUAUCAUAUCACAUAUUUUGAUUGCAUGAGAUGCUUAUCUUUUAUACAUCUUACUUUGCUUAGUUAUGACGGUAGCAUUAUAAGAUGAUCUCUCACUAAAUUUCAAGAUAAAACUGUUCUUCCUGAGUAUGCACUGUUGCCAAAGUUCGUCGUGCCCAGAAACCACGUGAUGAUCGGGUGUGAUAAGCUCUACGUCCAUCUACAACGGGUGCAAGCCAGUUUUGCACACACAGAAUACUCAGGUUAAACUUGACGAGCCUAGCAUAUGUAGAUAUGGCCUCAGAACACUGAGACCGAAAGGUCGAGCGUGAAUCAUAUAGUAGAUAUGACCAACAUAAUGAUGUUCACCAUUGAAAACUACUCCAUUUCACGUGAUGAUCGGUUAUGGUUUAGUUGAUAUGGAUCACGUGAUCACUUAGAAGAUUAGAGGGAUGUCUUUCUAAGUGGGAGUUCCUAAGUAAUAUGAUUAAUUGAACUUUAAUUUAUCAUGAACUUAGUCAUGAUAGUAUUUGCAUAUCUAUGUUGUAGAUCAAUAGCUCGCGUUAUUGCUUCCCUAUGUUUUAUAUGUGUUCCUAGAGAAAACUAAGUUGAAAGAUGAUAGUAGCAAUGAUGCAGACUGGGUCCGUGAUCUGAGGUUUAUCCUCAUUGCUACACAGAAGAAUUAUGUCCUUGAUGCACUGCUAGGUGACUGACCUAUUGCAGGAGCAGAUGCAGACGUUAUGAACGUUUGGCUAGCUCAGUAUGAUGACUACUUGAUAGUUUAGUGCACCAUGCUUAACAGCUUAGAAUCGGGAUUUCAAAGACGUUUUGAACGUCAUGGACCAUAUGAGAUGUUCCAGGAGUUGAAAUUAAUAUUUCAAGCAAAUACCCGAGUUGAGAGAUAUGAAGUCUCCAACAAGUUCUAUAUCUAAAAGAUGGAGGAGAAUAGCUCAAGCAGUAAGCAUGUGCUCAGAUUGUCUAGGUACUACAAUCGCUUGAAUCAAGUGGGAGUUAAUCUUCCAGAUAAAAUAGUGAUUGACAGAAUUCUCUAGUCACCAUCACCAAGUUAGUAGAACUUAGUGAUGAACUAUAAUAUGCAAGGGAUGACAAAAACAAUUCCCAAGCUCUUCGCGAUGCAAAAAUUGGCGAAGGUAGAAAUCAAGAAAAAACAUCAAGUGUUGAUGGUUGACAAGACCACUAGUUUCAAGAGAAAGGGCAAAGGGAAGAAGGGGAACUUCAAGAAGAACAGCAAACCAGUUGCUGCUCAAGUGAAGAAACCCAAGUCUGGACCUAAGCCUGAGACUAAGUGCUUCUACUGCAAAGGGACUGGUCACUAGAAGCGGAACUACCCCAAGUAUUUGGUGGAUAAGAAGGAUGGCAAAGUGAACAAAGCUAUAUUUGAUAUACAUGUUAUUGAUGUGUACUUUACUAGUGUUUAUAGCAACCCGUCGGUAUUUGAUACUGGUUCAGUUGCUAAGAGUAGUAACUCGAAAUGGGAGUUGCAAAAUAAACAGAGACUAGUUAAGGGUGAAGUGACGAUGUGUGUUGGAAGUGGUUCCAAGAUUGAUAUGAUCACCAUUGCACACUCCCUAUACUUUCGGUAUUAGUGUUGAACCUAAAUAAAUAUUAUUUGGUGUUUGUGUUGAGCAUAAAUAUGAUUGGAUCAUGUUUAUUGCAAUACGGUUAUUCAUGUAAGUUAGAGAAUAAUUGUUGUUCUGUUUACAUGAAUAAAACAUUCUAUGGUCAUACACCCAAUGAAAAUGGUUUGUUGGAUCUCGAUCGUGGUGAUACACAUUUUCAUAAUAUUGAAGCCAAAAGAUGCAAAGUUAAUAAUGAUAGUGCAACUUAUUUGUGGCACUGCUGUUUAGGUCAUAUUGGUGUAAAGCGCAUGAAGAAAAUCCAUGCUGAUGGGCUUUUGGAAUCACUUGAUUAUGAAUCAGUUGAUGCUUGCGAACCAUGCCUCAUGGGCAAGAUGACUAAGACUCCGUUCUCCGGAACAAUGGAGCGAGCAACCGAUUUGUUGGAAAUCAUACAUACUGAUGUAUGUGGUCCGAUGAAUAUUGAGGCUCGCGACAGGUAUCAUUAUUUUCUGUUCUUCACAGAUAAUUUGAGUAGAUAUGAGUAUAUCUACUUGAUGAAACACAAGUCUGAAAUAUUUGAAAAGUUUAAAGAAUUUCAUAGUGAAGUGGAGAAUCAUCGUAACAAAAAUAAAAGUUUCUACGAUAUGAUCGUAGAAGUAAAAUAUUUGAGUUACGAGUUUGGCCUUUAGUUAAAACAAUAUGAAAUAGUUUCACUACUCACGUGCAACGCCCUCGAUGCGGCUAUAUCUCCCACGUGUCAAAGCACGACUUAGAGGCAUAACCGCAUUGAAAGCAAUGUCGCAAGUGAGGUAAUCUUCACACAGCCCGUGUAAUACAUAAGGGAAAAAGAUAUAUAGUUGGCUUACAAUCGCCACUUCACACAAAUACAUGGAUAAAGCAUUACAUCAAACAGAUACAAUCAAUGUCCGACUAUGGAACCAAAAUAAAAGAAGAACCCCAAAUGCGACAAGGUCCCCGAUCGACCCCAACUGGGCACCACUACUGAUCAACUAGAACGAAACAACACAAAGGACAAGAUCUUCAUCGAGCUCCUCCUUGAGCUUGGUUGCGUCAUCUGCACGGUCUCAUCGGCACCUGCAAGCUGGUUUGAAAGUAUCUGUGAGCCACAGGGACUCAGCAAUCUCGCACCCUCGCGAUCAAGACUAUUUAAGCUUAUGGGUAAGGUAAAGGUAUGAGGUGGAGCUGCAGCAAGCGACUAGCAUAUAUGGUGGCUAACAUACGCAAAUGAGAGCGAGAAGAGAAGGCAAAGCACGAUCGAGAAACUAUGAUCAAGAAGUGAUCCUAGAACAACCUACGUUAAGCAUAACUCCAACAACCGUGUUCACUUCCCGGACUCUGCCGGAAAGAGACCAUCACGGUUACACACGCGGUUGAUGCAUUUUUAAUUAAGGUCAACUUCAGGUUUUCUACAACCGGACGUUAACAAAUUCCCAUCUGCCCAUAACCACGGGCACGGCUUUCGAAAGUUCAAAUCCCUGCAGGGGUGUCCCAACUUAGCCCAUCACAAGCUCUCACGGUCAACGAAGGAAUAGACCUCCUCCCGAGACAUUCCGAUCAGACUCGGUAUUCCGGUUCUACAAGACAUUUCGACAGGGUAAAACUAAACCAGCAACACCGCCCGAAUGUGCCGACAAAUCCCAAUAGGAGUUGCGCAUAUCUCUUUCUCAGGGCACACCGGAUCGUCCAAACUUUCGGUAGGCCAGCCCAGAGUUGCCCCUGGUGGCCACCGGCGGCUGACAAGUUGGACCAACACUCAGAGGAGCACUGGCCCGGGGAGGGUAAAAUAAUGAUGACCCUCAGGAGCGCGACUCCCAAGGGAAAAGAAAAGGCUAGGUGGCAAAUGGUAAAACCAAUGUUGGGCAUUGCUGGAAGAGCUUUACUUAAGGCGAACUGUCAAGGGGUUCCCAUAAUAGCCCAACCAUGUAAGGAACGCAAAAUCCGGGAACAUAACACCGAUAUGACAGAAACUAGGGCGGCAAGAGUGGAACAAAACACCAGGCAUAAGGCCGAGCCUUCCACCCUUUACCAAGUACAUAGAUGCAUUAAUUAAAUAAGAUAUAUUGUGAUAUCCCAACAAGUAAACAUGUUCCAACAAGGAACAACAUCUCCAUGUUCCAACAAGGAACAAACUUCAAUCUUCACCUGCAACUAACAACGCUAUAAGAGGGGCUGAGCAAAGCAGUAACAUAGCCAAACAACGGUUUGCUAGGACAAGGUGGGUUAGAGGCUUGGUUCAACAAUAUGGGAGGCAUGAUAGGCAAGUGGUAGGUAUCGCAGCAUAGGCAUAGCAAAAGAGCGAGCAUCUAGCAAGCAAAGAUAGAAGUGAUUUCGAGGGUAUGAUCAUCUUGCCUGAAAUCCCGCAAGGAAGAAGAACGAGUCCAUGAAGAAGACAAACGGACGUAGACGAAUGGGUCCUCACAAACUCGACGUUACCGAAACCAACCCGAAGAAGCAAACACCGGAAAGGAAGCACACAACAUAGUAAACAACCAACACAUGAACAUGGUAUGCUAUGCGGGAUGCGGUAUGCGAUGCAUAUGCAUGAUUUGACAAGGAAUUAUUGAACCUGGCCUCAACUUGGGAAUCCAAGUGUGCCACUGGAAAGGUGAGAUGAAAUCGCUUGAAAACGAUAUAAAGAACGCCGGAAUCGGAGUUACGGUUUGGAAAUGGCAAGCGAUUCAAAUAUGACCACGUUCUGCGAUUUACAGCAAGUAGUCAUCUAAAUGCAACAAGAUGAACAUGCUACAACACCCAAACAUGGCAACAAAAUACAUGGCAGGGAUCCACUCAAGAAGCUUAACAAAAAACUAGCACUGAGCUACGGUCAAAUCAUCCAUUAACAGGUUCAAACAAGCAUGGCAAAAAUGAAUAUGGUAAAACAGAUCUCAGACUUAGUGAAAUUAACACUUGUCUGGAAUUUCAGAUCAGAUAGCACUCUUCGGAGCAACAAAACUACAUGCUACAGGACCUGAACAUGGCAAAGUAAGGCAUGGCAUGGAGCUACUCAAAGAGCUUAACAAAAGUCCCUUAGUGACCUUGAGCCAAAAGGGAUCAGAAAAUACAUUUGCAAGCAUGUGAACAUGGCAAAAACAUAAUCAGUUCUCAGACUUAGUGAAAACUGGAGCAUGCAAAUCGGAUAUCAAGUAGGCAUGUUUACGAGCUCGAUGCACUCACUACGGAGCGAGGCAUGACAAUCUAAGCAUACACCCAUCAAGAAUACACAUUACACAAGCUAGACAUGGCAAGAACAACAACAUAGCACGCACGGAUCAACUACAACAUCCUCGGCAAAAUCGCUAACAAGUAGACAAUCUGCCCAGAUUCACGAAAUGACAAAAGUAGAGCUCGAUUGACUCAAGCUAGGGUGCUCCAUAAUUGCAAACAAAGGCAUGGAUGGAUAGGGCACUACAAGAUUAACAAAAGAUCCUUACUAGUCAUCCUCAAAAGAGGCACGAAUCACUAGGAAACAACAUGAACAUAUGGCCAUAUGAGAUAAACAGUCCAAGGACUUAGUGGAAAUGCUAAGUCCCUGAAAUCGGCAUUACCAAGUGCACCACUUUGCAAGCUCGUGCUAGGCACCACACACAUCACAAAAUACAUGGGUUGCACCUCUAGAAAGAUGGCAAACCCUUAACAAAACAUAUGUAGAGCUCAUGGGCAUAUCAUGCACACAAUAAUCAUGGCAAAAAUGACAAAUAUCUAAAUGGAGCAGCAGAUCUGACAAUUAUCUCAAGUAGCACUCUUCUAACAGCAUUUCGGGCAUCAAGAUGAACUCAAAUGAAAAUGAUGCAAUGAGAUGAAAUGAUGUACUCUCUGAGACGAAUAUUUUGAUAUGCUAUAUGCCCAAAACGGAUCUACGGAUGCGGAGAUAUAGCAUGAUGAACAUGGGCAGUUGAAACAUGGCAAUCUCGGGGACUUAGGGAAAUUCUACCUCCGCGAAAAGUCAACGGGACGGAGGGAUCCGGGAUGACGAGAUCCGGAUCGAGCGAGGGUGCGUUUGGUUCGGGGGAGUGGUGGAUCUCAUCCCACUCCCCGGACCGGAUCUGGCCUGCUAGGCCGGCGGGAGGCCUCGGCUCGCUCCCGAGCAAGGCCAUGGCGAUGGGGCGGCUGAAUGGCGGCGGGAACGGGCUCGUUCGGCCGGCCGGUGCCGGAUCUGGGCACGGCGGCGGUGUGGGCCACGACUCGCCGGAGUCCGGCGAGCGGGGAAAGGCGGAGCAGCGGACGGCGGGACCGGCGGACGGAGGCGCGCCGCGGCGGCGCUGGAGACGGCCGCUGGAGAAGAAGGGCGGCGGAGGUUGCUGCCGGCGAAAGGAGCCAUGGGCUCGGGCGGCGGGCGACGCCCUGGCGGGGGAGGCGACGCGGUCGGGCUUGCGCGGGCCCGCAAUGUGCUCGGCGGGCCGCGCGGUGGAGGAGGGAAGCAGCGACACAUGGCGGCGCGCGAGUGGAGGAGGGAGGCGGCGGUGCUGAGGUGGCGGCUCCCGAUUGGCCCGGGUGAGGUAAUGGCGGCGCGGACAUGUCCGCCGACCGGAUGGACAUGUCCGGUGAUGCGAGAGGAGCGGGGCUAGGGUUCAUCCGCGAAAAUUUCGGGGAUGGCCACAUAUAUAUAGGUAGAGGGAGCUAGGAGAGUCCAAAUGAGGUGCGGUUUUCGGCCACGCGAUCGUGAUCGAACGACUAAGAUGAUAGAAGGGGUUUAGGUGGGUUUUGGGCCACUUUGGAAGGGUGUUGGGCUGCAACACACACGAGGCCUUUUCGGUCCCUCGGUUAACCGUUGGAGCAUCAAACAAAGUCCAAAUGGUACGAAACUUGACAGGCAGUCUACCUGUAGUAAACCAAGGCCGCCUGGCAAGUCCCGGUCCAAUCUGGAAAUGUUUAAUCCCACACACGAGAAGAAGGUAGAAAUGACCACCAGAGGAGAACGGAAUGCCGGAUUGCAAAACGGACAACGGGGAAAAAGCUCGGAUGCAUGAGACGAACACGUAUGCAAAUGAAAUGCACAUGAUGACAUGAUAUGCAAUGCAUGACACGCAAGCAAUGACAAGGCAACAACAACGAAUAACUAGAGGACACCUGGCACAUCGGUCUCGGGGCGUUACAUCACGCCACCUGGAACACCACAGUGUAAUGGUGUGUCCGAACGUCGUAACCGUGCUUUAUUAGAUAUGGUGCGAUCUAUGAUGUCUCUUACCGAUUACCACUAUCGUUUUGGGGUUAUGCAUUAGAGACAGCUACAUUCACGUUAAAAAGGGCACCAUCUAAAUCCGUUGAGACGACACCGUAUGAAUUGUAGUUAGGCGAGAAACCUAAGCUGUCGUUUCUUAAAGUUUGGGACUGCGAUGCUUAUGUGAAAAAGUUUCAACAUGAUAAGCUCGAACCCAAAUCGGAGAAGUAAAUCUUCAUAGGAUACCCAAAAGAAAAUGUUGGGUACACAUUCUAUCACAGAUCCGAAGGCAAGAUAUUCAUUGCUGAGAAUGGAUCCUUUCUAGAGAAGGAGUUUCUCUCGAAAGAAGUGAGUGGGAGGUAAGUAGAACUUGAUGAGGUAACUGUACCUGCUCCCUUAUUGGAAAGUAGUUCAUCACAGAAAUCUGUUUUUGUGACUACUACACCAAUUAGUGAGGAAGCUAAUGAUGAUCAUCAUGUAACUUCAGAUCAAGUUACUACUAAACCUCGUAGGUAAACCAGAGUGAGAUCCGCACCAGGGUGGUACGGUAAUCCUGUUCUGGAGGUCAUGUUACUUGACCAUGACGAACCUACGAACUAUGAGGAAGCGAUGAUGAGCCCAGAUUCCGCGAAAUGGCUUGAGGCCAUGAAAUCUGAGAUGAGAUCCAUGUAUGAGAGCAAAGUAUGGACUUUGAUUGACUUGCCUAAUGAUCAGCGAGCCAUUGAGAUUAAAUGGAUCUUCAAGAGGAAGACGGACGCUGAUAGUAGUGUUACCAUCUACAAAGCUAGAAUUGUCGCAAAAAGGUUUUCGACAAGUUCAAGGUGUUGACUACAAUGAGAGUUUCUCACUCGUAUCUAUGCUUAAGUCUGUCAGAAUCAUGUUAGCAAUUGCCGCAUUUUAUGAAAUCUGGCAAAUGGAUAAACAAAACUGCAUACCUUAAUGAAUUUAUUAAAGAAGAGUUGUAUAUGAUGCAACCGGAAGGUUUUGUCAAUCCUAAAGGUGCUAACAAAAUAUGCAAGCUCCAGCGAUCCAUCUAUGGACUGGUGCAAGCAUCUCGGAGUUGGAAUAUACACUUUGAUAAGUUUAUCAAAGCAUAUAGUUUUAUACAGACUUGUGGUGAAGCCUGUAUUUACAAGAAAGUGAGUGGGAGCACUACAACAUUUCUGAUAAGUAUAUAUGUAUGACAUAUUGUUGAUCGAAGAUAAUGUAGAUUUAUUCUGCAAAGCAUAAAGGAAUGUUUGAAAGGAGUUUUUCAAAGAAAGACCUCGGCGAAGCUGCUUACAUAUUGAGCAUCAAGGUCUAUAGAGAUAGAUCAAGACGCUUGAUAAGUUUUUCAAUGAGUACAUACCUUGACAAGAUUUUGAAGUAGUUCAAAAUGGAACAGUCAAAGAAGGAGUUCUUGCCUGUGUUACAAAGGUGUGAAGUUGAGUAAGACUCAAAACCCGACCACGGCAGAAGAUAGAGAGAGAAUGAAAGUCAUUCCCUAUGCCUCAGCCAUAGGUUCUAUAAAGUAUGCCAUGCUGUAUACCAGACCUAUUGUAUACCCUGCCCUGAGUUUGGCAAGGGAGUACAAUAGUGAUCUAGGAGUAGAUCACUGGACAUUGGUCAAAAUUAUCCUUAGUGGAAUAAGGAUAUAUUUCUCAAUUAUGGAGGUGACAAAAGGUUCGUCGUAAAAGAUUACGUCAAUGCAAGUUUUGACACUGAUCCAGAUGACUCAAAGUCUCAAUCUGGAUACAUAUUAAAAGUGGGAGCAAUUAGCUAGAGUAGCUUAGUGCAGAGCAUUGUUGACAUAGAAAUUUGCAAAAUACUUACGGAUCUGAAUGUGGCAGACCCGUUGACUAAACUUCUCUCACAAGCAAAACAUGUUCACACCUUAGUAUUCUUUGGGCGUUAAUCACAUAGCAACGUGAACUAGAUUAUUGAAUCUAGUAAACCCUUUGGGUGUAAUGUGAACUAUGGGUGUUAAUCACAUGGUGAUGUGAACUAUUGAUGUUAAAUCACAUGGCGAUGUGAACUAGAUUAUUGACUCUAGUGCAAGUGGGAGACUGAAGGAAAUAUGCCCUAGAGGCAAUAAUAAAGUUAUUAUUUAUUUCCUUAUUUCAUGAUAAAUGUUUAUUAUUCAUGCUAGAAUUGUAUUAACCGGAAACAUAAUACAUGUGUGAAUACAUAGACAAACAAAGUGUCACUAGUAUGCCUCUACUUGACUAGCUCGUUUUGAACCAAAGAUGGUUAAGUUUCCUAGCCAUAGACAUGAUUUGUCAUUUAAUUAACGGGGUCACAUCAUUAGAGAAUGAUGUGAUUGACUUGACCCAUUCUGCUAGCAUAACACUUGAUCGUUUAGUUUGUUGCUAUUGCUUUCUUCAUGACUUAUACAUGUUCCUAUGACUAUGAGAUUAUGCAACUCCCGUUUACCGGAGGAACACUUUGUGUGCUACCAAACGUCACAACGUAACUGGGUGAUUAUAAAGGUGCUCUACAGGUGUCUCCAAAGGUACUUGUUGGGUUGGCGUAUUUCAAGAUUAGGAUUUGUCACUCCGAUUGUUGGAGAGGUAUCUCUGGGCCCUCUCGGUAAUGCACAUCACUUAAAGCCUUGCAAGCAUUGCAACUAAUGAGUUAGUUGUGGGAUGAUGUAUUACGGAACGAGUAAAGAGACUUGCCGGUAACGAGAUUGAACUAGGUAUUGAGAUACCGACGAUUGAAUCUCGGGCAAGUAACAUACCGAUGACAAGGGAACAACAUAUGUUAUUAUGCGGUUUGACCGAUAAAGAUCUUCGCAAAAUAUGUGGGAGCCAAUAUGAGCAUCUAGAUUCUGCUAUUGGUUAUUGGCCGGAGACGUAUCUCGGUCAUGUCUACAAAGUUCUCGAACCCGUAGGGUCCGCACGCUUAAAGUUUUGGUGACGAUUGUAUUAUGAGUUUAUGUGAUUUGAUGUACUGAAGGUAGUUCGGAGUUCCCGAUGAGAUCGGGGAAAUGACGAGGAGUCUCGAAAUGGUCGAGACGUAAAGAUCGAUAUAUUGGACGGCUAUAUUCGGACAUUGGAAAGGUUCCGAUUGAUUCGGGUAUUUUCGGGGGUACCGGAGAGUUACGGGAAUACGAGGAAGAAGUAAUGGGCCUCAUGGGCCAAGCGGUGGAAGAGAGGAGGCAGGGCGCACGGCCCCCCCUAGCCCAAACCGAAUUGGACUAGGGGGGCGGCUCCCUCUUUCCUCUUUUUCCUCCCUCUCCUUCCUUCUCCAUCUCCUCCUUCCUUUCCUCCUCCUAGUAGGAGUAGGAAAGGGGAGUCCUACUCCUACUAGGAGGAGGACUCCUCCUCCUGGCGCGCCCAUAGAGGGCCGGCCGGCCUCCCCCUUGCUCCUUUAUAUACGGGGGCAGGGGGCACCUCUAGACACACAAGUUGAUAUGUUGAUCUCUCCCAGCCGUGUGCGGUGCCCCCCUCCACCAUAUUCAACCUCGGUCAUAUCGUAGCGGUGCUUAGGCGAAGUCCUGCGUCGGUAGCAACAUCAUCACCGUCAUCACGCCGUCGUGCUGACGGAACUCUCUCGUGAAGCUCUGCUGGAUCGGAGUUCGCAGGACGUCAUCGAGCUGAACGUGUGCUGAACUCGGAGGUGCCGUGCGUUCGGUACUUGGAUCGGUCGGAUCGUGAAGACGUACGACUACAUAAACCACGUUGUGCUAACGCUUCCGCUUUCGGUCUACGAGGGUACGUGGACAACACUCUCCCCUCUCGUUGCUGUGCAUCACCAUGAUCUUGCGUGUGCGUAGGAAAUUUUUGAAAUUACUACGUUCCCCAACAGACUUCCCCCGCGUGCGUUCUCCUCUUCCUCUCCUCUGCGCCACGCCGGCUUCCGAUCCCGCGCCUCCAACCCCUGAUCCAUCGACGCUGCCGGAGUGCCCUUCGGCGGAGAGAAGGCCCAGGGCGACACCGGCCCCCAAUCCCAUGUGUCGAGCCCCUGCUUCGUGCAUGGUGCUGGAGCACCCUUCAUCGCCGAGGAGGCGCAGCGCGACAAGGCCACCGCCGGUGCUCCCUGGCGCGACACGACCUCCGCUGGCGUUGGUUCUCCAAGCACAUCCACUCCGACGAUGCCCAGGUGAUCCAUUCUCCUGCCUAGAGAUGCUGGUCUAUCUUCCCUUUCGGUUCUAGGUUUUCGUGUUUACAUUGAUUUUGUGUCGGAUUUAUCAUUGCAGGUCCUCUGUAGUUGUUGUUUGUUUCGUUUGUCGAAGCUUCGGCCAGCCUGCUGUCCGUUGCCGUGUCAAGAUGUUGCAAGGUUCGUGGUUGGCGAGCUCUUCCUUUUCCUUCCUGUCUAGCAGAGUUAUUAGUUGUUAUGUGCAGCUCCUGUAGCUUUUUGGAUGUGUUGACUGCCCGAAUCUUUUUCUUGGAUGCAUUGGUUGCUCGAUCCUAGUUCUGAUCGGAUUCCUUUGGAUGGAUUAGGUGUUCGGUUCUGUUUGGAUCCCUGGUAUUUGUUGUUGCUUUGCAGGAGACUAGGCCUCGUGCCUAUAUCCGGGGUAGAUUUUUGUUGCCUUUCUUAAUUUCUCUGGUGCUGGGAUGCAUUAGGUGCUCGAAUAUUGUUGUUGUUGUGUAGGAGGUUGUUGCGGUCUGCCUAGAUUCCUAUAUUUUUGUUACCUUUUUUUUGUCUGCUGCCUGAUUUGUCCUUAUCAGUGGUGACAAGGGAAGGGAAAGGUUUGGCACUGGCUCGCUAAGUUACUUACCUUGAACAUGAUAAUAAAUAUAACAUGGUUGUAGUUGUUAGUAAUUAAUUUCACCCAUGUAAUAAUCCAUUUUCCUAAAGCUAAAUGUUUUAUCUUCCAUAUUGUUGGUGUGUGACAGGUUAAAAUGGCAUGGACGAGUACUCAUUUAUUCAUGGAGCUAGCGCAGAGCAUCCUUUUUCGAUAGAGGGAUUUCGGCAUCAAUCCUUGGCCUUGCUCCUGAUUAUGUAUGGGAAGUGGGAGUGCUAAUUAGGCAUUGGAUGUAUACUUUGCCUAUGAAGCUUAGUGGAACUGCUCAAAUUUACCUCAAAUAUAGUUAUAAGGUUACAUUCUUCUUCACUCAUAUAUGAUCUUUUUUAUGCACUCUUGUUUCAUUUAUGGAUUUGGUGUAUCCUCAAGUAUGUAAAUCCACAAGGUAUAUAAUUAGUACAGGAUUAAGCACAAAUUAUUGAGAGCUGAUGUUGAACAAUGCACUUGAACUUUGAGCGAUCUGUCAGCCAUUGUUCAAAUCACAUCUUUAUGUGCUUAGGAUUAGGAGGAUAUAUAUGAACCCAACUUCGACACAGGUUUUGCAUUGGCUGCAUAGGCCGCUGCCCCGCUCAUUAAGUUUGCUAUCCAUCUUACUCACAUUGUUGGUUGUGGUUGCCAUCAUCAAUAUAUUACAGGUUCUUCAUUUCCUUCUGUUGUGCCACCCUGCAUUCUUAACUAUAUGCUCUUUAUGGAAAUCAUAUAGGUUAAUGAAAAAGGCUAUCUCAUUGCAGGAGACAUGUUCAGUUUUUUUUUUUAAGGAUAAACUCUUCAUGCCCCUACUACAACAAGAGGAGAUAGCUCAAGGUAAAUAAAAACUCAAAAGAUUCAGCUUCUAGGUGUGUUCCACCUGGGUGAUACUAAUUCAGGUAGAAUUCCUCUAGGUGUAUUUUGUAUGUUUUGGUGUUUUGGAAUAGUAGUAUCUAGCACCGUGAUAAUACUGCAUACUGAUUAUACCUCCUUUGAUACUUGUCUUUAGCUUUGUACAUCAGAUGAUUCAACAUUUUAUUUUGUAUUCUAGGCAAUUUAAUAAUUAUAAGAGUAAAUCCUACAAUUGCAGGCUUACAAACAGUUCAUGAGGCUUCCUUCGAUAUUUAUUUUUUGCACAUAUCUCUGAAUCUAUAGCAGUUCAGAUGUUUUCGCCAUGCUAGGCCAAGCAGACCAAUGGCAUUCUUAACAGUAUAAUAGAAUGCUGAAUGGGAAUGUCAUAGUUUAGUCUUAUGCCUUAAUUUAUUUCUUUGUUUUUCAUAUCUGUAUUGUGAACAAUGUUGACCGGCACCAUCACCUGCUACAGGAGCUUAAUUUAUUGGGAACUGCAUGUCCGUAUUGGUAAAAUCUCUAAUCCAUUUUUCAGAUGCACUUCUGGUAUUGUUCUGCAAUCUGUUUACACAUCCGGGACUGCUGUUGUUGUUGCUUGUGGUUGUCUCAUGAUCUUGGCUGUUGGUGGCUGGUACCAGCUCAGGUGCUACUCUAUUCUUGUCGCUUCCUUCAUGCCUUUCUAUACGCACGCUCGAUCUUUUUUCUUUUGUAUGAUGUUAUCGUAGGAUAUUGUUGUUGGAACUGCUGUUAUUGUUGCUACGGGUUGCUCAUGAGCUUAGUUACUUUUUUAGGUUGCCCUGCUGGAUGCCAUUUUUAGGUUGUUGUGUACCUACGGAUAGUUCGUUGUUCUGCAAUACCAUAUUUAGUCGUACUUUGUUUACAUGAUUGCUGCUACAUUCCAGAAACAAUGGUCUGUUGGUUGCAGAAUUAUGGUGGCUAGCUGGGACAACUAAUUCAUUUCUUGAUCUUGAUCAAAGAUAACUGGAUUAUUGCACUGCUUUAUCCAGAAAUAUGAGACAAAGGGAGCCACCGGUGCUCUCAGCGAUUGGCGCAUUUUGACCGUCGGAUCAAUUUGCUUGAUGGGUUUCUGGGCGUCCGGUCGAGCGGUGGAAGGACGUCGGCCUUCGGAUCGAAUCCCCCUCCCCUGUAGCAUGGUUGAUCCCGUUUGGCUCGCCCCGUCGAUUACUCCUUCCAUUUGACCGGUUGUCGCUGACCUGGGGGGUCCCGGCAGGUGGGCCGUGCCCGUCAGCGAGCGGGGGUGUGGGUGCAGCCGGUGCGUUCGGUCGUGCGCGCGCCUGCGGUAAAUAUCUCGUGCCACCACACGUAAAUCUUGCCCCCCCCCCCCGCCGAGGGCUUUUUCGUCAUUUCCUGUCCAGGCAGCGUGCGUGGUGGACGGUGGUUGGCUCCGUGCGGCUAUGUGGUGGGGGAGGGCGGCUGGCUCGCUUCUCGUCCGGCCCCUUCGUUCCCUUCUCUCGGUCUCUCCUCCCCGUCCCCCCCCCCCAAAUCUGAAUCUUCCUUGGCCGCUUCGGUGCCAUUGGUGUUCGUGCUCGUUGGUGGGAUGUGUUGGGGAACGUUGCAGAAAACAAAAAUUUUCCUACGGUUUCACCAAGAUCCAUCUAUGAGUUCAUCUAGCAACGAGUGAUCGGAUGCAUCUACAUACCUUUGUAGAUCGCGAGCGGAAGCAUUCAAAGAACGGGGAUGAGGGAGUCGUACUCGACGUGAUCCAAAUCACCAGAGAUCCUAGCGCCGAACGGACGACACCUCCGCGUUCAACACACGUACGGUCAGCGUGACGUCUCCUUCUUCUUGAUCCAGCAAGGGGGAAGGAGAGGUUGAUGAAGAUCCAGCAGCACGACGGUGUGGUGGUGGAUGCAGCAGUACUCCGGCAGGGCUUCGCCAAGCUCUAUGGCGGAGGAAGAGGUGUUGGAGAGGGAGAGGGAGGCACCAAAGGGAUGGGUGUGAAGCCCUCCCUCCCCCCACUAUAUAUAGGGGGCCUAGGGGGGGCGGCCCUAGGAGAUCCAAUCUCCUAGGGGGGCGGCGGCCAAGGAGGGUGGAGUGCCCCCCAAGGCAAGUGGGGAGCCCCCCACCCUAGGGUUUCAACCCUAGGCGCAAGGGGUGGGCCUUGGGGGUGCACCAGCCCACUAAGGGCUGGUUCCCCUCCCCACUUCAGCCCAUGGGGCCCUCUGGGAUGGGUGGCCCCACCCGGUGGACCCCCGGGAACCUUCUGGUGGUCUCGGUACAAUACCGGUGACCCCCGAAACUCCCCCGAUGGCCGAAACUGCACUUCCUAUAUAUAAUUCUUCACCUCCGGACCAUUCCGGAACUCCUCGUGACGUCCGGGAUCUCAUCCGGGACUCCGAACAACUUUCGGGUUACUGCAUAUUCAUAUCUCUACAACCCUAGCGUCAUCGAACCUUAAGUGUGUAGACCCUACGGGUUUGGGAGACAUGUAGACAUGACCGAGAUAGCUCUCCGGUCAAUAACCAACAGCAGGAUCUGGAUACCCAUGUUGGCUCCCACAUGCUCCUCGAUGAUCUCAUCGGAUGAACCACGAUGUCGAGGAUUCAAGCAACCCCGUAUACAAUUCCCUUUAUCAAUCGGUAUGUUACUUGCCCGAGAUUCGAUCGUCGGUAUCCCAAUACCUCGUUCAAUCUCAUUACCGGCAAGUCACUUUACUCGUACCGUAAUGUAUGAUCCCGUGACCAGACACUUGGUCACUUUGAGCUCAUUGUGAUGAUGCAUUACCGAGUGGGCCCAGAGAUACCUCUCCGUCAUACGGUGUGACAAAUCCCAGUCUUGAUCCGUGUCAACCCAACAGACACUUUCGGAGAUACCCGUAGUAUACCUUUAUAGUCACCCAGUUACAUUGUGACGUUUGGUACACCCAAAGUACUCCUACGGUAUCCGGGAGUUACACGAUCUCAUGGUCUAAGGAAAAGAUACUUGACAUUGGAAAAACUCUAGCAAACGAACUAUACGAUCUUGUGCUAUGUUUAGGAUUGGGUAUUGUCCAUCACAUCAUUCUCCUAAUGAUGUGAUCUCGUUAUCAAUGACAUCCAAUGUCCAUAGUCAGGAAACCAUGACUAUCUGUUGAUCAACGAGCUAGUCAACUAGAGGCUUACUAGGGACAUGUUGGUGUCUAUUUAUUCACACAUGUAUUACGAUUUCUGGAUAACACAAUUAUAGCAUGAAUAAAAGACAAUUAUCAUGAACAAGGAAAUAUAAUAAUAAUGCUUUUAUUAUUGCCUCUAGGGCAUAUUUCCAACAGGAUGGUGCAAGGCGCAACUCAGACGUGGUUCCUCACCGGUUGGACGGCGUUCAGGCGAAACCCCGGUGCCCACUGAGUACUGCCUUGGCUACAACCUCCCUCGCUGAGGUCCAUCUUCCCCUGCUCUCCUUAGGCUAUUGUAUGGGACAUGGCCAGGCUAUGAUGAUCAGUUAUGGAUGAUAUAGGCAUGCUCUCGAGUAAUCGAGGCACUUGUGGGUAUUAAUUUGGAUCCUCCCUCGUUUCUUUGAAUUGUUUUGACCACGUUCUUAUUUUAGUGGCUCUGUCCUUGGAUGGUCAUUUUUGAUUAGUGAUAACCAAGGCAGUUUCACCCUCGUAAGAACAUAUUGAUCUGGUGAAACUUGUAAUAAUAAAUAAGACCCGCGGCAAGUUCCCUGGCUCCUCGGAUCUCAGGCACUUUUGGCCGUCGGAUCGAUUUCCUGAUGUGAUUUUGGCCAUCGGAUCUCGAUCCGGUUUGAUCUCGGCCGUUGGAUCGAGCCCGGGCUCCUAUAGCAAUGAAUAGUUACUCCCGCGGUGAGAUAUCUCGUGCCACCGCGUUUGAAUCACGUGCCCCGUCGGUCGGAAGCCAUUCUUGCUAGGGCGGUGAUGAUUAGCCAUGGCUGAAAUAAGUGUGCCUUUGAGCAAUCGAGGGACCUGUGGGUAUCAAGUUGGAUCCUUCCUUGUCUCUAGAAUCCUUUUUGAUCCUGUGAUACUUAUUGUUCUGUCCUUGGAUGGUCAUUCUUGUUGAGUGAUAACCAGGGCAGCUCCACUGUAUAAACAGAUUGAUCUGGCGAUAGGAGAUGAUGGGGGUAGAUUAUAUGAUCGAGGAAAGGCGAAUCUGAGCCCACUAUGCAUGGAACCUUGAACCCUUCUUAUUUGUAUUUAAAGGUGUUGCUUAUUUAUGCUCCAGUGUUUAUAGCCGUCUUAUGUAAAGAUUUCUUCUCUCUCAUACCUUUGUUGCAUAUACGUUGUUCUUGAUCUUUUAUUGUUUGUUGUUGGUCCUUGAUCUAAUCUGGUUAAGAGUAAGUUGCACUUUGUUAUUCUGGGAUAAGCGAUGGUUCGCAAUGCUAUUGGUUCUUCAUGAGUUCAGAGGAGGAUUUCUGAUAUGAGUCAUGCCAGUAAGCUUUCUUGCAGGUACCCACACUUCUCUCUUCCUCCUGAUUAGCCUGAUCUCUUUUCUAUACGUGUCUACAAGUUGUGUGUCUACAAGCUGUGAAUUACAUAUGUUAGUGAAAUGUAGGUGUUUGUAUUAGCACAAUGCUUUAAUCAGUAGGGUCUUUCCCAUCUAUGAUCAAGGUUGAUUGCGUCAGCUCUGUUGUGGCUUUCAUGUAUAUGACAAUGGAAUGAUGUUAAAUUAUGGUAUCGAGGCUUAUUUUUUAAGCAUGCCUAGGGUUUUGUUCCUGUUUGUGUUGAUCUGAACAUGUGCUCUGUUCAUGUAGAAGAACUCAUAUGAAUCUGUCUUAGGGAAAUAAUUGAGUACAUGUGAUCAGUAUGUUAGCCAAAACUGAACAUUUGAUCUCUAUUGAACUGAAAGGAUUGUAUAUUUGAUCUUUGUUUAACUGAAAAGAUUGAACCCUUACUUUUGAUCUCUGUUUAAGUUUAAAAAAUCAGCUGUUCCACAAACCUUCUAUAGUUCAGAAACUGAAUCUUUAGAUGUACUCUGUUUUAGUGCACAAACUGAAUUAGUACAGAAACUGAAAAGACUGAACCUUUACUUUUGAUCUCAGUUUAAGUUUAAAAAUUCAGAUGUUCCACAAACCUUCGAUAGUUCAGAUACCGGACCUUUACAUAUACUCUGUUUUAGUGCAGAAAAUGAAUUAGAAUAGGAACUGAAAAGACUGAACAUUUACCGUUGAUCUACGUGUAAGUUUAGAAGUUCAGCUAUUCCACAAAUAUUCUUUAGUUUAGAUACUGAAUAUUUAGAUACACUCUGUUUUAGCGUAGAAAAUGAAUUUUAGCGCACAAACUGAAUUAGCGCAGAAACCAUUGCAAAAACUGAUUUUUGAUUUCUUUGCUUUCUUUAAGUGCAGGAAUUUAUUUAUUUUCUUUCCGGAGCCGCGGCCGCCGCCCUGUGACCAGAAGCAUUGGGGAUCUCGAGAGGGAAUUUUGUAGUUGUGGCCAUUUUAAAAAUAGACCUCUGUGAAAUCUAUGUACUCCUGAUACUAUUAUAUCAUGCUACAUUUCCUGUGAUAUAUCAAAUAUCUAUCCUUUGUCCUAAACAAGAGGCCUUACGUUUAUACUGAGCAAUACUAAUUUGGUCAGUAUAUAAUAUUGCAAUGCUUAUAACCCUUUGGUCAGUGGCCCAUCUGAAUUGAGAUGCAUCAUAGUUAUCUUAAUAUUAUUUGUUCUGUUUCUUACUCACUGAUCCAUCCCACACAAUAAGUAUUCUUCCUGAGAACUAUGCUCAGAUAGUUGAAUAUAUUAUUUUGUACUUAAUUGUUGAAAGAUGGAUUUGUAUUACUAAUGCUGAGAUGGGCAUUACAAUUUUCUUUCAAGGGAACAGACCAAACCAAACUGCGACUUUAUUUGUAAAUAUUUGAAAUUUAUAUUAUGUCUCUUAUGUGAUCUCAGAGGACUUAAUUUUUGUGUGGGGACCUCAAGCUACCUUUAGUGACUUACAAGAUAUCAACCAACAAGAGUUUUCCCUGCUUUUGGAGCCUGCUAAGCUAUCAACAAACAAAGAGGUUGCCCGUUCUCUUGCUAAUGAAAUAUGUAUUUACUAGAAUUUUUGUUAUUAUCAGAAGAGGGUUAUAUUUUUAUGGGAGGCCGCAUUUGUAAUGGUUCGGUAUUUCUAAAGGGGUACAUUUCUUUGUAGGUACUAUGCUGAGACUGAAGAGGAUGCUAGCCAGCGGCCCAUCUCUCUUGCCAUCACCGCUGAGCCGCCAUGUCUCCUUCAGAGGCUUAUUGUAUUGCUACAUGUUUAUGCUUCUUAUCCACACACCCAUUGUAGUGUAGGUUUGUGUUCUUGGAUCUCUUUCCCUCCAUUUCUUAUUUUUGGUGAACGGGUGAGCUAAUCGGGCUAUUUUCCUCUAGGUCUGCCGCGGCAAUUGAAUGCUUCAAAGGAUUUUAAUGGAGUUCAUUGUGGCUGAGUCGCGAAUCUCCAGCUUGCUUCCAUGUCUUUUCUCACUAGAGACACCUCCUGCCGGCGACGGCGAUGACCGCUACCCUGCUCCUCUCCCGGCAAUGUCUACCUCUCCUGUGAAGUUAAGGCCAUCUUUGCCUCUUCCUUCAGUUUUUCCUCUGUUUUUUGUUACACGACUUUGUGGUGCUUAGUGUANNNNNNNNNNNNNNNNNNNNNNNNNNNNNNNNNNNNNNNNNNNNNNNNNNNNNNNNNNNNNNNNNNNNNNNNNNNNNNNNNNNNNNNNNNNNNNNNNNNNNNNNNNNNNNNNNNNNNNNNNNNNNNNNNNNNNNUAGCAAACUCCAUUUUUGUUUAUGUAGAAAAACAAAGGAAACUCCAUUUUUGUGUAUGUGGAAAAAACAAAGGAAACUGCGUUUUUGUGUAAUUACAAACAAAUGAAACUCCAUUUUUGUGUAAUUACAAACAAGAGACUUUUAGACGGCGAAGACUAUUGCCCUGAUCCUAAGAGCAUACUGACAUUUCACCAACUCUUGUUAUAAUUUUUUUAUCAGCAGCAGAUACUUUUAAAUUUGUCUUUACAAUUCCAAGUACAUGACCAUACUGAUCCUUCUAUUUUUUAUGUAGCGGAAUAAACGUUCGUAAUCCUGGCCGGUUGAUGGCUUUGUUAAUUCAAAGCCGGGCUCGACUUGAGCCUUCGUUCUAAAAAAAAACGUUCGUAAUUUAUACACCUAGGCUCAGCUUCUCUAUAUUGAUACGAAGGCCUGGAGCAUGUUUCUUUUGUUUUCAAGUUGAGGGGACCAGGUAGGGCCAUAUAGACACAGUAAAAGGCCAGUUUAUUUGUUCCACGCCUUACAAAACCGAGCAAGGCUGAUAUAAUAUUUCUGGUUCCCUUCUACCGUGUGCAAACAGAACCUGGCGGCGCAAUAGCAGCUCAACUACUAUUGUUAUUAAUCAGGAUAAAUGCUUCUGCCUGGCUGGCACACAUGCUUAGGCACAACAGUCUGCCCCAGCACCGCAGGGCAAGGCGCGCUGCAGGUCAUUUAUAUAGCAUCUCCUCAUUUGUAUAUUAUUCACAUAUAGCAUCUCAUUUCUUGGUUGAUUGCUUACAUGUAUUCAACUUCUGGCUCUUUCGCUCCCAAGCUGGCCUCCCUCUCCUCGGUGCUCAGCGGGAGAAGCAUGAGGUGAUGCACCUUUGACCCCGUAGUGCUCGGCUCCAAUUUAUCAGGGAGGUCACCGGCAAGCAUCAAGCUGCCCUUGUUGCUUCCUCGUCAUCAAGGAGGAGGAGGUCGGGUAGCACCGUCCUCAAGGUACGUCCUCGCUGCUUUGACCCGCCUCUUUCGUGCACCUGUCCUUCCCUAUUUCUCUUACUGUCGCGGUGCUCGUGCGGCUGCCGAUCCUAACCUAGGUCGCCGUCACUCCUCGGCGCUUCGCAGGACAGGCACAACCACGACACCGCAGAGACGGACGAGAAUGUGGUGCUGCUCCUUCUUAUGGUGUAUGCAUCGGCGUGGCUUGCGGUAGUGAUGCAUAUCUUCGUGGGCAAUGCUAUUUGAAGACCAUUCAAGUGAUUUAAAGGAGAAGAUGUCCAGACUGCAAGGAGGUUGAAGAUGACGAUCAAAAGAUUGACAUAUUAAGCGACUACCAAGAAGCCAAUAAUGCUUGCCCCUGCCAUUAGUAAUACCCUUGCUCUUCUUUAUGAAAUCUUUCCUAACUAUCGUUGCAGAUUGUGAGAUCCCUAUUUAAAUACAUCACUCAGCAGCUGGCCGGUACAGAGUUGGUGGCAGGCAUAUGUGUUCUCAGCCACCUUAUCAAUUGUAGGCUUAGAAUGAUUUGCUUCGUCCAGGUGUUGUUCGUCAACAAUUCCUUUGUUUGUCCAUGUCAAUUCUGAUUUUAGAGGAUUACAAGUUUUAGAGUGGUUGGGCUUUUUUAGAACCGUUCGUUGAUGUCGAUCUAACGGCAGACAAAUACGAAGUACUGGGUAGUACUCCGAUGAAAGUACGCGAAAGUACUAAAACGAGUGGGGCCGGUACUCGUGACAAGGUGGGGACGCGUUUUAAUCUAGGGGCAGUUUAGUCCUAGGAAAAUUUGCACGCGCCGCCCCUCUCGUCGAAUGAAUAACCGCCGCCAUGGUGCUACACAUUCCAUAAUUACUCAUCGGCGGCCAUCUCCUCCCUCUCCUCCAUGUCCACCGCAGUCAUCUCCUCCUUCUUGCCGCUGCAACUUCGCUCCACUCAGGCAACCCCCCCACCCACCCCCACCCCCUCUUCCACGGCAGAUCGAGCUGAUGGCCGGCGGCGAGAACACCGACUUCGUGCAGAUCGCCGGCGGCGACCAGGUCAAGUUGGCCAGGUUGAGGGAGAUCCGUUCUUGGUUUGACAACACAAGGCAGAUGAGCUGGACGGCAAUGGCCACUCNNNNNNNNNNNNNNNNNNNNNNNNNNNNNNNNNNNNNNNNNNNNNNNNNNNNNNNNNNNNNNNNNNNNNNNNNNNNNNNNNNNNNNNNNNNNNNNNNNNNAAUUUGUAGUAUUAGUUAGUUUGAAUGUGGAAGUACCUUAAUUUGUAGGAACGAAAUGUUGCUAUGUAUGAUCAAGGGUUUCAUACCUUAAUCUUUGGAUUAUUAAUUAUGUGAACUGUUGGAUGUGGCGCAUAACGAAACGCCUCUACCAUUGAUACUAGUUCAACAUGUCGGUCCAAUUAGAGACCAGCCACUUCCAUAUAGAACAGUUAGCAUUUCAUACUACAACCUAGCACGUACAAAACAUCACACAGUGGAAGCACAUCCCUAAGCACCUUGCAUUGUACAAGGUCUUAGAGACAAGCCUCUACCAUAUAUAACAGUUACCAUGUCACACUACAGCCUAUAAAACAUCACACAGUGGAAUAAUCAUAGCUAGUAGAGCAUUAGGUACCAGUUAAUAAUAGUUGCAAUCCAUCACAAGCAAUAGUACCUAGAUAUGAGUAGAUAUAGGUACGGUAAUACACGACAAGUACUCGCAAACAAGAGCAAACAUAACAAGUUCAUUUCAGUUUGAUACAUGGCCCACCGCAGUUCUAAAUGAGGUGGAUGGUGAUCAUCAUCCUCAAGUCAUGGCGACGGGUGUUCGCAACAGUGAGUAGGAUGGCCUGUCCUACCCGAAGAAUCUUGACACGAAGGAACUUCUUCCACCCUGCCCUGCUCAAGACAGUGCGACCGUCCGUGUCCACUGCAUAGGCACAGCUGGUGAUGGAGCCCGUUCUGGUAAGGUGUAGUCCAGCAGCCAUGCCUUCUUCGUCCGGGUCGAUGCCACAGCUAUCAAGUAACCUCUUAGGUAAUUUCUGAAAACAGUUGACAUGAUCAUAUACAUUAGUGGAAAUAGCAAAACAGUUGACAUGAUGUAUGAUCAUGUCACGUGCAAUUAUCAACAAAGCAUACACUUGAAGACACAUAUAUCAUUGGAUUCAACACUGAGCAUAUAUAUCAUCACAUCAGUAUACUAUACGCCAAGCAUCAAAUUACUACAGUAAUUAGGCAUAUCAUUAUAUUACUGCGUACACUAAGCAUAUCAUCGCAUAUUACUACACUACAUGCAUGUCAUAAAAUUCUUCACUAAAUGAAUUGUAAACUAGGCCUCUCAUCACAGUACUACAACAUGCAUAUCAUAUGAACUACUACACUAACUAAGCAUGUAUAUCAUGUAAUUACCACACUAAGUAACAUACCAUGAUAUGCCGUUUAACAUUAGUCCUUGUGAGGCGGGUCACGAAUGGCUUCCCUAGGUAGUCUUCACGUAGCGGAAGCAUGUCCCAGAGGUUGCCGAUUUCCUCGUCGCCCAGUCUUAGUCCUUGGGCAUACAGGUAUUCAACAAGUGGGUUCUCAUCAUCAUCAGAAUCGUCAUCAUCUGACUCAGCACCAUCUUCCUCAUGAACUUCAUCCUCACUAUCCGGAAUCAAAUUCAGAUAGAUAACAGAAAUCCCGGGCCUAUCUUUUCUGAAGGAGAAGCUGAUCAAUUCACCCCCACUAAGACGGUUGUGGGCGAUGAAACGAUCCCAAUCAUCUCCUCCUAUCUGGGUUAUCUUUCGCCCCUUCUCGACUUGCAUAGUGUAUGGGCCCCCAAGAGCAUCGAAGGUCACGGUGUCUGCGACGAGCUCAUUGAAUGCCAAUCUCACAUUGCAUGGUACGAUCUAUGUAAGAUAAAAACAAAUAACAGACACAAUACAUUAGUGGAAAUAGCAAAAAAACAAAAAGAAUGUACUGUCAGAAGGUUCAUAUAAAUUGUUACCGCUGUAAAAACAAAAGAAGGCUGGAAGUAGAUGCUGAACAGCGUGGCAGUAGAAAGGCUGGUCCGGCACCGUGAGUUGCAGCGUCCACAUUGUGCUUCCUCCAUUCUACACAGAACGUGUUGAACUCUAAGUUGAAUUGUACAUAGUACAAUACAAAGAUCAUACAUAUAAUAAAUCACAGUGAUAACCUAUACUGGCAAUGGCCAAUCAAUCUAUUUUCUAUCAUCUACGUAAUAAAGCAAUGGCAAUGACAAUUCAUCUAAACCUGGGAAUAGUUCGGCAUCCAAACUAAAACCAGUCCAAUCCACAGCACACAUCAAAACCAAACCAAUCCAGAUAUUUUCAUUUAGAAUCUAGACCAAACCGAACUAUACAUGCUCGUCAUCCAACCCAGUCCAAACCGUUUUCAACUUUUGGAUUGAAUCCAAAGGUUCAAACCGUGGACAAAGCCAUACACGAGGGCACGUCAUGAAUCUAGAUCAGACAUGGCGUCAAAGCUCGAGAGAGGCGACGAGCUCCGGCCAGCAACAGCGGGAUUUGAAGCAGUAGUAGGUGGUAGUGGUGGCUCAAACUAAUUGAUUGAUUUGGUCUCAAACCAUAGAAACCAAAUCAAGAUCCAAUCCAAAAACUAAGUUUCAGUCCAAAACCAAUCGGCUCAAAUCCGCCUCCGUAGGGAGACGCGGUUGGGGAAGGGAAUAAGAGGGGAGAUCUCACGUACUUGCCGGAGUUGGCGGCGGCCGCGCACCGGCAGCAAAGAGAGGGGUCGUCGAGAGAUGGCGGCGACGGCGGCGGCGCUGGUCGAGAAGGGGAGAAAGAAAAAUGUGGAGUGGUCGAGACGGGGAGAAAGAAAAAUGUGGUACAUGUGGUGGCUCGGUUGUGUGGAUGACAAGGGGACCCACUUGUGAGACCGAUAGCAAUUGAUGGCUAACCGCAGGAGGUGCAGGACCGCGUGCACGACCGCCACGUCCCCACGUGGAAUGGGGACGGCCGGGUGGGUGUGUCAAGUCAAAUUGGCACCCGCGGCUUCUCGGUAACUCCAAGAGGCAGGAGCAGUGCAUUUCUUCCCCAUAUCGGGUAGAAAACCCUCGUCCUCUCCCCACCCUCUCUUCCUUCGUCACCACCUCACCACCCUCUCCUCCUUCCUCACCACCCUCCUCCCUUCCUACGCCUCCCUCCUCCUGUCUUCGACCGACAAUGAAGCGCGGGCGUGAAGAUGCGGCGGACGAGCCGGAGGCAACCAUCGGAGCAGAGCAGUCUGCUGCCGUGGAUGCAGCCGUGGGUGGAGCGGCUGAGUCCGCCGUAGCGGCGGAAGCUGGCGGUGCAGCGACCGUUGUGCCUGCUCCCGCUGCCAUCGCAGCUGUCGAGGCACCCGUCGGCGAGCACAAGGUCGGGGAAGAUCUGGAGGAGGAGGAGAUGAGAAGGCAUAAGCGGAAGGUGCAUGACUGAAAGUGCAACUAUCCCUAGGUGGUUUUGGUAAUUCAUAACAACAUAUAGCUCAUUGAGCUAAUGCUAUUUCAAGAUGAUUAUUUCAGGAAAGCUCAAUGAUUGGCAUGGCAUGGAUGUGAAAGUGGAAUCCUCAAAAUGCGAAGGAAAAAGAAUUGGCUCAAGCUCAAAAGUUCAAGACUCUUCAUUUUAUAUUUUAGUGAUCCAAGAUCACAUUGAGUCUUUAGGAAAAGCCAAUACUAUUAAGGAGGGAUGAGGUGUUGCUUAAUGAGCCUCUUGCUCUAUGUGCUUAGUGAUAUGCUCCAAAAUCCUCAACCACUUUUCCAUAUCCACAAAUGACCUAAACCCUAAGCCAAACUCGGUCUUACCGAUUCUGUCAAUCCGGCGCCACCGAGUUUCACUUGUCAUUUGAGACUGCCAAACCCUAGCAAUUCGGUCCUACCGAUAAGGUUCUCGGUCUCACCGAGAUGGGCUUGCAAACUCUCUGUUUCCCUUUCGUAACUUUUUGGUCUCACCGAAAGAGCGAAUCGGUCCCACCGAGAAUGCAAGGUAAACUCUAUGUUUCCUUCUUGUAACGUUUCGGUCUCACCGAAAGAGCAAGUCGGUCCCACCGAUUUUGCCUGACCAACUCUCUGGAUAGCUAAUUGCCGAACUUGGUCUCACCGAGAUUACGUUAUGCCCAAACCCUAACCGAAUCGGUCCUACCGAGUUGCAUCUCAGUCCCACCGAAAUUCCUAAUGGUCACUAGGUUUACCAUUUCGGUCCGACCGAGUUUGAUUAUUUGGUCCCACCGAGAUUGGAAAACUGUGUGUAACGGUUGGAUUUUGUGUGGAGGCUAUAUAUACCCCUCCACCACCUCUUCAUUCGAAGAGAGAGCAAGCAAAACACAUACAUCAUUCCUACUCAUAUGUUCUGAGAAAGAACCACCUACUCAUGUGUUGAGACAAAGAUAUUCCAUUCCUACCUUAUGAAUCUUGAUCUCUAGCCUUUCCCAAGUUGCUUUCCACUCAAAUCUUCUUUCCACCAGAUCCAAAUCCUAUGAGAGAGAGUUGAGUGUUGGGGAGACUAUCAUUUGAAGCACAAGAGCAAGGAGUUCAUCAUCAACACACCAUUUGUUACUUCUUGGAGAGUGGUGUCUCCUAGAUUGGCUAGGUGUCACUUGGGAGCCUCCGACAAGAUUGUGGAGUUGAACCAAGGUGUUUGUAAGGGCAAGGAGAUCGCCUACUUCGUGAAGAUCUACUGCUAGUGAGGCAAGUCCUUCGUGGGCGAUGGCCAUGGUGGAAUAGACAAGGUUGCUUCUUCAUGGACCCUUCGUGGGUGGAGCCCUCCGUGGACUCGCGCAACCGUUACCCUCCGUGGGUUGAAGUCUCCAUCAACGUGGAUGUAGGAUAGCACCACCUAUCCGAACCACGGGAAAACAUCCAUGUCUCCAAUUGCGUUUGAAUCCUCCAAACCCUUACCUUUACAUUCUUGCAAGUUGCAUGCUUUACUUUCCACUGCCAAUAAACUCUUUGCAUGCUUGCUUGAAUUGUGUGAUGAUUGCUUGACUUGCUCUAAGAUAGCUAAAAUCUGCCAAGAACUAAAAUUGGGAAAAGGCUAAGUUUUUAAUUAGUCAAGUAGUCUAAUCACCCCCCCUCUAGACAUACUUUCAAUCCUACAAGUGGUAUCAGAGCUUUGGUCUCCAUUUGGCUUGAUCUUCAUAGCUUUUGGUGGUCAUAGCCUUGGUUUCACAACCUAGGAGAGUAUGGCAUCUAGCGAGGGAAAUUAUCACCGUAGAGGUCCUUACUUUGAUGGCACUAAUUUUGCUAGUUGGAAGCAUAAAAUGAAAAUGCAUAUUCUUGGACAUAACCCCGCCGUAUGGGCUAUUGUUUGUGUUGGCUUGCAAGGUGAGUUCUUCGAUGGGAGGGAACCAAACCGUGAAGCUACCGCGGAUGAGUUGAAGAUGUUGCAAUACAAUGCUCAAGCUUGUGAUAUUCUCUUCAACGGAUUGUGCCCCGAAGAAUUCAACAAAAUCAGCGGCCUUGAGAAUGCAAAGGAGAUUUGGGAUACUUUGAUUGAUAUGCACGAAGGUACCGACUCCGUCAAGGAAUCCAAGUUGGAUGUGCUCCAAAGUCAACUUGACAAGUUCAAGAUGAAGGAUGGUGAAGGUGUCGCUGAAAUGUACUCCAGGCUUGCUCUCAUCACAAAUGAGAUUGCCGGCUUAGGAAGUGAAGAGAUGACCGAUAGAUUCAUCAUCAAGAAGAUCCUAAGAGCCUUGGAUGGGAAAUAUGAUACCGUGUGCACAUUAAUCCAAAUGAUGCCCAACUACAAAAUCUCAAGCCAACGGAAGUAAUUGGAAGGAUUGUUGCUCAUGAGAUGUCACUCAAGGAUAAAGAGGAACUUCACAAUAAAUCAAGUGGUGCCUACAAAGCGUCAUGUGAAGCCCCCGCAUCAUCAAGUGAGAAACAAAACUUCAAUGAAGAAUUGAGCUUAAUGGUGAAGAACUUCAACAAGUUCUACAAGAGUAGAAGCAAAGAUAGAAGCUUCAAGUCAAGGUCCUACAAUGACAAAAGAUCUUCUAGUCGAGAGCGAAACUGCUAUAAUUGUGGAAGACCCGGACACUAUUCCAAUGAGUGUACGACUCCCUACAAGAGAAGAGAAGAUUCUCCAAAAAGAAGAAGCAAAGAAUCUCCACCAAGAGAGAGAAGGAGUAGAGAUGAUCGUUAUGAACGAAGAUACUCACGGAGAAGCAAGGACUCGGAAAGGAAGGAAAAAUCAUCAAGGAGCUAUACAAAACAAAGACAUCAAGCUCAUGUUGAUGAAUGGGUAUCCGGCUUCGACUCCGACAGCCACUCAGAGAGAAGUUAUCACUCCGACUCCGAAGAUACUCAAGAUGAAGGUGUUGCCGGUCUAGCACUUGUGUCAACCAACUCCUACGACAUAUUUGACUCCCCAAAUGAAGGAAUUGGAAGAUGCUUCAUGGCUAAAGGUCCUAAGGUAACACACCCCGAGUACGUUGAUUUUAAUAGUGAUGAAGAUGACUUGUUAGGUAAUGAUGAUUUGCUUGUUGACAACUCUAGUGAUGAGUACUAUGAUGAAACAUCAAUUAAUCAUGCUAAAACGAAUGACAAUGAUAAGGAGAAGAUUGAGGCUCUAACUAAAGAACUAAACACUCUUAAGUUAGCUCAUGAAACUAUCUUCGAAGAUCAUCGAGAACUUUUAAGAGCUCAUGAGAAAUUACGCUUUGAAAAGCUCAAUCUUGAGCAAGAGCAUGAGUUCUUAAAAGCAAUCAACGAUGAUCUCCGCAAGAAUAGUUCUUCUUACAUUGCCAAGCGUUUACUAUUAUCCACUUACAUGCCUCAAGUCAAGACUAGUAACAAGAAUAAGAAAGAUUCUUCCUCUAGUAGUGACAAUGAUCAUGCUAAAUCCAAUAUUGUUGCUUCUAGUAGUUCUCUUGAUUCCACUAAUGAUUCUCUUAGCCAAGUUACACUUGAGCAAGAAAAUAGCUUAUUGAAGGGAAUUAUAGAGAAAGGUGUUUACAAGAGCCUUGCCGGAAGUAAGCAAUUCGAGGAAAUUGUGCACAAGCAAGGAAUGCACCGGAAGAAUCAAGGUGUUGGUUUUGAACGAAAGUUCAAUGCCAAUGGAGUUGAAUGGGAAGAAGAUCAAUACCCCAAGACAAAGUUUGUUCCUCAACAAGAGAAGUAUGACACUUCUUUCAAGGGGACACAAGCUCAAGAUGAUCUUCCACCACAAGACUACAAGCAAAAAGGCAAGGACAAGCUUCAAGAGGAGAUUGAUGCAUUUGAAGAAGCUCCCAAGACCUUAGUCAAGUGGAUUCCCAAGACUACUUCAAGUUCCACUACACCAAGUACGACUACAACUCCAAGGAUUCCCAUCAAGAUGGUGUGGAUCCAAAAGAAGAAGAACUAGAGAGUUCUUGAGGGUGACUCCGCCAACAUAAUUCACUCUUAUCAUUUUGGCAAGAACAAGUGCAAUCAACUUCCACAUCUUGCACUAGUUCAAGGAGUUACAAACCCUCUUGUUGGUAAGACAAGGGACAAGGUAACCUAAAGUUUUCAUGGACAUCAUCUUGUGUGUGCAUCACUCUAUGUCUAUGGAUAUCCUUGUUUGUUCCUUGUGGGACUAACCCAUGUAGGUAUUGAAAGUGCAAUUCACUCAAAUGGAUAGCUCCAAGUGAUCUACAUCAACAUUGAGCAUCCACAUCUUCAACAUCUACAUGAAGUCAUCAUCGACAAAACCCAAGGUUAGUUCAUCCCUCUUAGGGGGGAUAUCACAUCUAGGGGGAGCUUUACUCUAAGACUUGAGCUAAAGCAACUCUAAAGAUGUGAAUACAACAAUGCUUUAUGUAAAAGUGGUAACCCCACUUGAGCUUAAACGAUGGGUAUGACCUAUGAUCAAGUGUUCUCACUUGACUCCUAAGUCAAUAUGCUCAUAUAUAGAUGACCUAGUCAUCGCAAAUUGCUUUAUAGAUGCUAGAAUUGGUUGUGCAUGCUUUGCCACAUAUUUCAUUUGCCAUCUUAUUGUGUGAGCAUGUUGGUUGCAUAUUUUACUCAUUCGAGGACAUCCACUUGUUGUUUUGAUUGUUUGGCUUUCUUUUUUUGCCAAGUGGAUGGACAAGAAUGCCUAAGAACCUCCUCUAGCUAUCUAUGCUUUUCUCGUCUCAAACUCUAUUCAUGCUGCAUCACAAAACUUGAUCAAGUCAGAUUCGAACCACUCUGUGUGAGGAGCGCUCGGAGUCCCCGAUUCGUCAUAGACUUAAACUUCCAAAACCUCUUUAUGAAUCUCGGUCUGACCGAUACUCCAUUUUCGGUCCUACCGAGUUCAUUAAGUUGAUCUAGGUUUUCGAUCUCGGUGCAACCGAUUUGAACUUUUCGGUCACACCGAGUUGCAAUAACUGCACACAGUUUUGCAUCUCGGUGCCACCGAGUUGUUCCACUCGGUCACACCGACAGGGUCGGGCUAUAUAUAGUGACGGGAAAUUUUUUGGAAAUUUCUCCGAAACCCCUUCGCCCGCGCGAUAGCCUGCUCUGCCUUCGUGGUCUCCGGAUCGUCUUCUCGUCGCCAGCAGCCUCCAGUCACUGGUCUCCGCCGCCGUCAACGGAUUUCUGCCCCGCCGUUGCCGCCGUAGCGAGUCUCCGCCGAACUAGGGGUCAGCAGUCAGUUUGCAACAUGUCUGAUCAAAGUGACAGCCAGAAUGUGUCUGAGCAGCAAGUUGUGAUGAGUGAGGGCACUAGCCCCUCAAGCUCUUCUGAUGAUGGCAGCAGGAGCACCCCCAGCAAUCUGCCCAAGGCCGCCACACGUCAAAGGAAGAAGAGAACGUCUGAUUCUGAGGAUGAAGACUAUGUGGCAGAGGAAGAGGCCACAUCAAAGAGAGCUGAACCAGCUCAAGGAACCAAGCCAGGGCUGAAGAUCAAAAGGCCAACAGGCAGGCAGCCCAUGUCAAAGGCUAGGGCUUCAACUGUGAAGCCUGCUCCCACUGAGCCCGUUGCUGCUGAGGGCAAGAAAAGGAAAGAAAGGGUGAAAAAGACUGUAGCCAGAGUGCUUGGAAAGGCCUCCAUCAUGGUCGAUGAGGAGGAAGAAGAAGAGGUUGCUGCACUAGCACCCAAGGCAGCCAAACUCAUGGGAGAUGCUAUAAGGUCAGGAACAGCUGCAUCCAAGCCCAAGGAUGCACCUAAGGCUGCAACUAAGCCUAAGAGUGCACCCAAGAGAAACACACGAAGCAUCCCAGCUGCAGAAAAGAACAAGGCCCCAACGCCUGAAGCUAUUGAAGAAGAGGAAGAGAGUGUCCUUAGGAAGAUCAAGCCUGAGCGUCGACUUAGCACUAUGCAUUUUCUAGGAACUUUUUGGUAACUUGUUGCCAAAGGGGGAGAAGAUGUAUAGAUCAUAGGCUUCGAGAGAGAGUGUGUUGCUUUUCUCUCUUGUUUUUAUUUGGUGGUUUUUCGAACUUUGUUUGCUUGUGUGUGAGAUACUAUGUCGUUAUUCGUGAGACAUCGAUGAUCAUGUGUUUGAUCAUAAGCUACACUUAAUGUUUGCUUAAUGCUUGCUAUAUAUUAUCAUUCCAUCUAUCGUUUGUGAUCAUUCACUAUUCUUGGUGAUGAGUGCAUGUAUUUCAAUCUUAUCAUUUUUGAGCGCUCCACCAAGAUGUAUGUGACAUGGAAGAGUAACCCAUGAUUCUAACUCCAUGUGCAUUUGCAGUCCAAAGCAAAUUUUAAAUACGCACAAAUUUAGGGGGAGCUCUUAUUUGUCACAUACUUCUGAAAGCGACGAUAUAUUUCAUGCUUAUUAUCAUUUGUCGAAGCUUUGAUCUAUAUGUUGUCAUCAAUUACCAAAAAGGGGGAGAUUGAAAGUGCAACUAUCCCUAGGUGGUUUUGGUAAUUCAUAACAACAUAUAGCUCAUUGAGCUAAUGCUAUUUCAAGAUGAUUAUUUCAGGAAAGCUCAAUGAUUGGCAUGGCAUGGAUGUGAAAGUGGAACCCUCAAAAUGCUAAGGAAAAAGAAUUGGCUCAAGCUCAAAAGUUCAAGACUCUUCAUUUUAUAUUUUAGUGAUCCAAGAUCACAUUGAGUCUUUAGGAAAAGCCAAUACUAUUAAGGAGGGAUGAGGUGUUGCUUAAUGAGCCUCUUGCUCUAUGUGCUUAGUGAUAUGCUCCAAAAUCCUCAACCACUUUUCCAUAUCCACAAAUGACCUAAACCCUAAGCCAAACUCGGUCUUACCGAUUCUGUCAAUCCGGCGCCACCGAGUUUCACUUGUCAUUUGCCACUGCCAAACCCUAGCAAUUCAGUCCUACCGAUAAGGUUCUCGGUCUCACCGAGAUGGGCUUGCAAACUCUCUGUUUCCCUUUUGUAACUUUUCGGUCUCACCGAAAGAGCGAAUCAGUCCCACCGAGAAUGCAAGGUAAACUCUAUGUUUCCUCUUGUAACAUUUCGGUCUCACCGAAAGAGCAAGUCGGUCCCACCGAGUUUGCCUGACCAACUCUCUCGUUAGCUAAUUGCCGAACUCGGUCUCACCGAGUUUGUGCGAUCGGUCUCACCGAGAUUACGUUAUGCCCAAACCCUAACCGAAUCGGUCCUACCGAGUUGCAUCUCAGUCCCACCGAAAUUCCUAACGGUCACUAGGUUUACCAUUUCGGUCCGACCGAGUUUGAUUAUUCGGUCCCACCGAGAUUGGAAAACUGUGUGUAACGGUUGGAUUUUGUGUGGAGGCUAUAUAUACCCCUCCACCACCUCUUCAUUCGAAGAGAGAGCAAUCAGAACACAUACAUCAUUCCUACUCAUAUGUUCUGAGAAAGAACCACCUACUCAUGUGUUGAGACCAAGAUAUUCCAUUCCUACCUUAUGAAUCUUGAUCUCUAGCCUUUCCCAAGUUGCUUUCCACUCAAAUCUUCUUUCCACCAGAUCCAAAUCCUAUGAGAGAGAGUUGAGUGUUGGGGAGACUAUCAUUUGAAGCACAAGAGCAAGGAGUUCAUCAUCAACACACCAUUUUUUACUUCUUGGAGAGUGGUGUCUCCUAGAUUGGCUAGGUGUCACUUGGGAGCCUCCGACAAGAUUGUGGAGUUGAACCAAGGUGUUUGUAAGGGCAAGGAGAUCGCCUACUUCGUGAAGAUCUACUGCUAGUGAGGCAAGUCCUUCGUGGGUGAUGGCCAUGGUGGAAUAGACAAGGUUGCUUCUUCGUGGACCCUUCGUGGGUGGAGCCCUCCGUGGACUCGCGCAACCGUUACCCUCCGUGGGUUGAAGUCUCCAUCAACGUGGAUGUAGGAUAGCACCACCUAUCCGAACCACGGGAAAACAUCCGUGUCUCCAAUUGCGUUUGAAUCCUCCAAACCCUUACCUUUACAUUCUUGCAAGUUGCAUGCUUUACUUUCCGCUGCCAAUAAACUCUUUGCAUGCUUGCUUGAAUUGUGUGAUGAUUGCUUGACUUGCUCUAAGAUAGCUAAAAUCUGCCAAGAACUAAAAUUGGGAAAAGGCUAAGUUUUUAAUUGGUCAAGUAGUCUAAUCACCCCCCCUCUAGACAUACUUUCGAUCCUACAAUGACGAAAUCGAGGAGCUCUUCGAGGAGAACGCCAUAAAGGAGUUCGACCUAGAUAGCAGGAAGGGCAGCGACUUCGACGAGGAUGCCAUCGACGACCUAUCUGAGGUAGUACUCUGUUUUUGCUCUGUUUUUUUCAUGACAUUGGGGUUUUUCUUGUUAACUACAUGAGCAUCAAUUUCACUUGGGCGUGCUAGUUGUACGUAUGUAGGAUUGUAGGGAUCUAGCAUAGAUCUUCAUGUUGGAUGUGGUUUUUUAAAUCUGAUUGACAUUCUGAUUCCAGCAAAUACUUUGGGUUUUUUUCAUGGCAUUGGGGUUUGUCUUGUUAACUAGAUGAGCAUAAGUUCCACAAGGGAUACAUUAAUGAAAGAAGUGGGGUAAUGAACCCAACUACAAGAUAAUGUUCAUGGCAGGGAUACAUUAAUGGAAAAAGUGGGUUAAACAAUGGAUAUAUGGCAGGAUUCUCCAUUGGCUUCCCCAGGACAGUGACAAAAUGCUGCAGUUCCUGAUUCAUUUUAGUUUAUGUAGAUGAAUUAAUUUGCACACAUGUUCAUAGAUGAUUAGUUUGCACACAUGUUCAUAGAUGAUCCAUUUGCAAAUUCUAUACAGCUUUCCAUUUUGCAAAGGAAGUGAUCGCUCCCUUAAUAAUUAUGGGCUGACAGUACAUAUCCACUGGAUACCAAAAAAUCAAAACAUUUCAUCUAGCCAAUUUUCCACAGUAUGUUAUCUAGAUGAUCACAGCCACAUCUCUCAUCAAUAUGAGCAGUGAGACACCCCAUAGCUCCUUUACCAAUUUCCUUCUGAAACUUAUCAGGGUCUAACAAUGUUGGACAAGCAGUAUUGCCGGUGUCAGAAAGAAUAAUGGUUUCUUCAUUCCAGUAGAUAGAACAAACCCCCCUUGUGUGAAACAUGGAGGAGUACAAUGAAGCCAUUUUUCUGAUUCCAAUAAGAAUUACACCUGUAACAAGUAUCAAAUAUCAUUAAACCAAGCCACUUCAUGAAGUCUUUCAUGUGUUAAUUAUGUACUACUUGUGCACUAAUCUAUAAAUGCAACUAUUCCACCAUCCGUAUUUAUGCAUGUCAGUUUCUUUGGCUCAAUUAUGUAUGUGCACAUACGCCUUGUUUCUAGCAAAUAGAUAGUUGCCAUGUUACACGUGUGUACUUUCAAAACAUUGUAAUUAAAGUCAAUGUACCAUAAUGGAUUAGCUGAGUUCUUCUAUGUGUACUAAUUCACUAAUUCACAGGAGGAUGACGACGAUGUGGACUACUGCAUGGACAGCAGGCACAACAAGAGCCGGUACACCCUGAGGCAUCUGAUUGCUGGGAAGAUCAAGUACCGUUUCUUUGGCAAGAUUGGGUGCCCUUUCUGUUGCAAGGUGAUCGGUGGCGGCAUAGAUGGCAUGAUCCAGCAUGCCUUCAGCACUGGCAAUGGACAUGGUAAGAAGCAUAAAGCCAGUACUUUGGCUAAACAUGCUGCCUACGCACGCUUCCUCGAGAUUGUGAAAGUCAAUGAGCCCUACAACAUGCAUUGAACAAGGGAGAGAAGUGAUGUGCUGCUAGAGUGCUGCUGCUGCCCCAGGACCCCCGUGUCCUGUUAUGUUAUGUAUGUUUGUUUGUUGUUGGAGUCUAAAACUGAUGUCCUAUGGUGUGUCUGAACCUAUGCUGAGCGGUGGUUGAUCUGCCGUUUAUGUUAAGAGUUUGCUGCUACUCUAGUUUAGUGUUCCUAGUUGUUAAUACUAUUUUGGUGAUGCAUGUUUAAGCCUUGUACAAUGCUAGAUGCUUAGGGUGGUGCUUAGAAAAAUAAACAGGGUUUUUUUGAAGCACCAGUGCCUAUUUCUACAGGAGAGACGCCUAGUUAUGCGUCUACCCUGUACAAAUAAGCACCUGUGCUUAAGAAAAGCCUAGUUUAUUUCUAUAAGCAACUCCCCUAAGCGCCUUGCAUUGUACAAGGCCUUAGCAACUCAAGUAUCGUACGGUGGUCUACGUUAUGGUUGCUGUGUUAUUCUGCCGUACGGUGAUGCAUGCUAGGAACUGUCAUAAUAUGACUAUGGUAGUUAUAGCUUCGCAUGAUUAUGUUUAGUGUAUAACUCAGCAUGUUCCUACCAUAUCUAUGGGUAAUUACAACUGAACUAUGCAUUAAUUUUUGACAAAAUGAAAGCAUGCAAAUGAUUGCCGAUUCCACCUAUUGGAAAAUCAAGCUUUGGACUGAUGAUGCAUUAUAUAUUGCAAUAAGUAGAGGAUGCUCAUGAUUGCCAAAAGUACCUAUUUCCACUUUCUGAUAAGAACUAAACGUGUAUCAAAUGAUGCUAAAAGUAGAGCAUGAGCAUAAGCAUGUAUCAAUGCAUUAGAUAUUGCAAUAAGUAGAGGAUGCUCAUGAUUGCCAAAAGUACCUAUUUCCACUUUCUGAUAAGAACUAAACGUGUAUCAAAUGAUGCUAAAAGUAGAGCAUGAGCAUGAGCAUGUAUCAAUUGAUGCUACCUAUUUGUGUUUGAAUGGGCUCAAUAAAGCUGGUGCUGGUUUAUGCUCUCUGCGUGACCGUGAUGGUAACGAAGACACUUGGUUGGCUAUGGUCUUGCUGUCAAAUUUAAGUUUCAGUUCUUUAAGAUUCUUUGUUUUUGCUGCUUGCUCGGGAUCGACUAGCUUUCUCGGGCGUCCACGUGCUCUCUUCCUUUUGGGGGAGUUGGGUGCACCAUUUUUGGGGGAGUUGGCUGCACCGGUAUCCUUCUGGGAGUUGGAUGUGUCAGGUUCGUUGGAACCAUCGGGAUUGUUGACUAAUUGUACGUCCUCUUCUGAAGCAUCAGGUAGAACUGCUUGCUGGGCAUCGUACACCUCCUUCUGUAUAAGAGAGAGUGCUGCGUUAGUUCUAAUCAUGAGACUUAUGAAAUAAAUGAUAUAUUCUUCAUGUAGCGCUAACCGUUAUGGGGAACUUAUAUGAUUCGAGACGAAGCGCAUUGCAAUUUGAAUGCAGUAAGGCUGUACAUAUUUUCCACCUGAAAAUAUCUAUCCUUGCCUAUAUUGGAUAACCGACACUGACGUCAGCAUAGCUUUCAAGCUAAACAAAUUACAAAUUUAAAUUAGGCAUUCAAUUACCUGGUUCAAAAUAUCGGUCAUUUCAUCCCCGUUCCAUGACAACAUGUACUGCAGUGUCCAAACCGCACAGGAAGUCUUGCAAUGUUUAGUUAAAGAUCAGUAAUCUUAUUCGUGUACGCAAAUAAUAAUUUAUGAGGCCAUGCGUACCCAUCGGUCUGUUGUGGUAUGUUCUCAUAGUGUUUUUUGGUCCAUUUGGCAAAAUUGAUGUUAUUAGCUGGUGAUAUCAACCCUUUCUUGACCGCUUCGUCAAUGCAGAACUGAAUCGAGUCCACCUAGGUUACGACAAGUUAUACAUAGGGUUACGGUACUUUGGGAGCUCAUGUUCCAUGCGGAUCAAGAGAGGCAGCAAGAGAACACUUACAAGAGAAUCUUCCUUGGUCUUGUUGCAAUGAUAAUUCAUGGAGUUCAGAGUCUGAAUUUCUUUUUUGUCAAAAUUAAACAUCAUUAGCAUCCAAUGGUUUUGGUGUACAUUGAGUGGGACAUGCACCUGCAGUAAAAUUUGGGUUGGGUUGAGAACCGAAAUUUGUCGUGUACAGUGUGUACGUAAACUAUAAAAGUGUGGAAAACGUGUACCUUUCGGCGCCCUACAAAUUUUCCUGCUACACGAGCUAACCAUGAUGCUGCACGUCCAACAGGAACCACCCCCUUCAUUUGUAACAGCUUUUCGGUUUCUUGAGGGGAUAUGAUUGAGGUAGUAUCAUUCUCAAUUUGGCUAAUGAGAGCAUAUGCCAUAAUAACCUGCCAAAUUUUCAAUCAUACAAUAAUAAGACAGUUGUUGCAGUAAUGAUGUACAAUAGAGUAUAAUGGGCUUACAUCACCAUAAAUGUAUUUCUCGUCCAAAUUUCGCUUCAGAUUUUCUGCUGUGAGGGAAAUGUCUCCGAUUCUAGCUAUUUCAACAGGGUCAUAUGUUCCGCGGGUGUAAACGGCUGUCUCUAUGUCCUCAUCCGUGAACUUGUAAUCAUUACCAAAGACAGGCUUCAUCGGAGUUAAUUGUGGUUCCUCAUUGUUUUCCCUCACAUGUCUUGCACUUGGUGUACUCAAAGUCCCUGUCGUGAUUUGGCUAGCCCUAGGAGUUCCUGUCAGGGAUGAAUUGCACACAUUGACUUGAUCCUACAAUGAACAAAGGUAGUUCAUCAUUAGUUUGUUACUUUUAGAUAUUAACGUGUUGGGCCAAUUUUGAUCACCUGCACGCCUCCUUUCUGUGACACUGAUUGUCGGUUCCUUGUAAAUUCGUAUUUUAAGUCCUGUAACAAUGCAAACAAUAAUGAACAUGAAGGAACAUAUUCAUAAAAAAUACAAAAUGCACAGUAUGACAUACAUGGAGUUCCCUCCUUAAGUCUUUAAUUUCGUCCUCGGCCUUCGACAACCUAGGAUUAGUGCCAGUUUUAGUCUUCAUGUCGAUCAAGUCUUCACCUAGAGUCUGGUAUUUGACAUCAAAUCUGUGCUCAAUUUCCAUUAACUUCCUGCAUACCUUCUUUUCAUGAUCAGCAAUGCGUGCAUUCAUGACUUCAACUACCAUUUCAAUCUGUGUAAACAAAAUAAAACCCCAUUGGUAACAAUAGCUAAAUGAAUGAGGUUCCAUGACACCUAUUUGUGAUAUUGCAAAAACAAAUAGUCUUUGGAGUACAUACUUGCUGGCUACUAAAUUGCUGUCCUUGUGAUGGUGCUCGAUACGAAUCAUGUUGAUGCACAUGUUCAUCUUUUUUUCUUGGAAAAUUAUUAGAAUUAUCGGACGGUCGUUGAGGAGCACAAAUUUCCAUGACAACCUAUUUUUUUAAAAUAUAAUGAACCAUUAGUACCAAAUAAAAAAUCGAAUAUAGAAAGUUCAAUUGUAGAUAGGUACCAGCCCGUUAUGAAGACCUCCUUUCUCGUAAGCAUCGCUUCUUAAAGUAGCCAUCAUUUCGUCCCAUCGUGCGAUCAAUGGAGGGGGUCUAGAAGCAUACAUUAAUCGGCCACUACGCACGUGCUCCCAGUACCAAUACUACACAAUAAAUUAGUUCAUCACCAUACAGAUAUGCAACAGAACAAUAAUUAAAGGACAUUAAGUAGUGAUCUAUCACUAACCUAGAGCAGAAUUAGAUUUCAUUGUAGAUUUACGUGAUCUCGAUUUCUAAACUUGUGAACGGACUUGAAGAAGUGAUUAAGUGUGAAACAUCCCCAGUUAAAUUUCCGAAGGUUUUCAAGAUCUGUAACGAGGUUGAGAAAUUUCGAGUCCACAUAAUGUUGUGCUGUUGGUGCUAGAACAGUACCAAUUGCGUACAGAAUGAACCGCCUCAGGAAAUCGCCGUCUGGGGCUUUGGAAGCUCGGAUCAUUGUUUCAAGGUCAGAAAUCAAAAUUUGCCCAUUGUUUGCAUAGGCGGUAAACAAUUCUGUGUCGGUUUGCAUUUCCAGAUGUGGCUCUAUAUCCUCCCCUUCUAUCGGAAUGCCAAAUAUACCUUGCACGUCCUCUUUUGUUAUAGGAAUUGGCGUUUUACCGAUGGUAAUGGAUUGCGUGUCCAUAUCUAUGCUCUUGGCUAGUCUAACCAACAUUAUGCGCCGUAGAGUCACUUCAUGCAUCUGGGUCAGACCGCCAAGACUGGUUUCUGAUAUGAUGUACUUUCUGUGGUCUUAUGAAAACAGUUUCAUGGUUUUUCCGAACCUUGUCUGUGAGCAUACUAACUUCAUAUGACCAUGCUUUUCGGCGAGUUCCUGUUACAUGCCAUUAAAUAUUACUGAGUACACAUGAAUUAUGUGUACGAAACGAUUGUACACAAACAGUAAAUUACUUACCACAUCGGUAAUUUCGGAGAUGGGCUUUUCUCCAUUAUUAAGGUUCGUAUCUGAAACUGACAUUGCUGCCUCGUAUGCAAUGAUAAAAUCAGGCUCAAUUAAUCUGAACAAAAUUGGAAAAUCUAUAACAAAAUUAGCAGAGAAUUAAUUUUAACAAAAUUAACUGGGUCAUUUAACAUAUGAUCCACUUAUGGGUUUAAGCACAGAACCUACUUGGGUGCAAAACCUAUGAGGGUUCAACAACUAAAGCAUCGGCGAACAACGAUUAUAAAGAGUUACAAUCAGCUAAGACCUUACCUCGGAGAUGGUGCCACCGAGUAGAUGGCGGCGGUUAGUGCGUCGGAAACUAUAAGUGCCGGUAUAGCGCGGUCGACGGCGCAAAGGAAAAACGGCACGUUCACGCGAGGAGGAGGCGGCGAGAAGAACACUGACGUCCGAGCCCUUAGAUCACGUUGGCGGUGGGCGGCGAGUGGUGGUCGCCGACUCCUGUAUUCCAUGGGCGACCGGCGUCUCCGAUCUGAUCUUGCAGCGGUCGUGGGAGGUGCAGACGACCCGGGUGGUUAGAAUGCGGAGCUGUAAUCGCGGGAUUUAGGGAGGGGUGGGCCGCGUGAGUUAUGUGAGAUUUGGAUAAAUGAUAUAAAGAAAUAAGAAAAUCUUGUGAACUCGGUGUGGGGUUUAUGGGCUUUAGGGUUUAGGGGUUUAGGGUUAUUAGGGUUUAGGGAUUUAGGGGUUUAGGGUUAUCAGGGGUUAGGGUUAUCAGGGUUUAGGGUUGAGUGUUUACAUGCAAGCCCGGAAAUGCGCGUGUCAGAGAACAUACUUGCAUGUGUAUGUACUAAUGAUCCCAAACUUUCUUAAUGGCAUCCCAUGACCACAUAGAGAAUGAAUGCAUAAUGGUUUCCAUGUUGGGCAAAAUUUUGAAUGUUUUUACGGUUUAGUGGGGGGGGUGGGGUUAGGGUUAUCAGGGUUUAGGGUUUAAGGGUUCUAGGGUUGACGGAACUAUGUUUGUCUUACGGUGGACGUAGCACACACACCGGACAUUGGUGGAGCGUUGGUCUACAAUGGAUUCCCUCUGGUAGCAUCGAUCCGAUCCAUUGAAUGGCUCGGCCAACAAACUUCGUGCCACAUAGAGCAUGCAUCCAUCCACUGGACCGGAUCAAUGUUGGGUUGGUUUCAUACAGGUGAGGAAAGCAGCUAGUGCUUUCGGGGUGUUGACAUGCUAGGCCGGAAAUGCGCGUGUCAGAGAUCGUACUUGCAUGUAUAACCCCAAACUUUUUUCAUGGCAUCCCAUGACCCCAUAGAGAAUGCAUGCAUAAUGGUUUCCAUGUGGGGCAAAAAUUUGAAUGUUUUUACGGUUUAGUGGGGGGUGGUGGUUAGGGUUAUCAGGGUUUAGGUUUUAAGGGUUUUAGGGUUAACGGAACUAUGUUUUUCUUACGGUGGACUUAGCACACACACCGGACAUUGAUGGAGCGUUGGUCUACAAUGAAUUCCCUCCGGUACCAUCGAUCCGGUCCGUUGACUGGCUCGGCCGACAAACUUCGUGCCACAUAGAGCAUGCAUCCAUCCACUGGACCGGAUCGAUGUUUGCUUGGUUUCAUACAGGUGAGGAACCCAGCUAGUGCUUUCGGGGUGUUGACAUGCUAGGCUGGAAAUGUGCGUGUCAGAGAUCAUACUUGCGUGUAUAAUCCCAAAAAUCUUUCAUGGCAUCCCAUGACCACAUAGAGAAAUUUUGAAUGUUUUUACGGUUUAGUGGGGGGGAGGGGGUGGGGUUAGGGUUAUCAGGGUUUAGGGUUUACGGGCUCUAGGGUUGACGGAACUAUGUUUGUCUUACGGUGGACGUAGCACACACACCGGACAUUGGUGGAGCGUUGGUCUACAAUGGAUUCCCUCUGGUAGCAUCGAUCCGAUCCGUUGAAUGGCUCGGCCGACAAACUUCGUGCCACAUAGAGCAUGCAUCCAUCCACUGGACAGAAUCAAUGUUGGGUUGGUUUCAUACAGGUGAGGAAAGUAGCUAGUGCUUUCGGGGUGUUGACAUGCUAGGCCGGAAAUGUGCGUGUCAGAGAUCGUACUUGCAUGUAUAAUCCCAAACUUUUUUCAUGGCAUCCCAUGACCCCAUAGAGAAUGCAUGCAUAAUGCUUUCCAUGUGGGGCAAAAAUUUGAAUGUUUUUAUGGUUUAGUGGGGGGGGGGUGGUUAGGGUUAUCAGGGUUUAGGUUUUAAGGGUUUUAGGGUUAACGGAACUAUGUUUGUCUUACGGUGGACUUAGCACACACACCGGACAUUGAUGGAGCGUUGGUCUACAAUGGAUUCCCUCUGGUAGCAUCGAUCCGAUCCGUUGAAUGGCUCGGCCGACAAACUUCGUGCCACAUAGAGCAUGCAUCCAUCCACUGGACCGGAUCGAUGUUUGGUUGGUUUCAUACAUGUGAGGAACCCAGCUAGUGCUUUCGGGGUGUUGACAUGCUAGGCCGGAAAUGUGCGUGUUAGAGAUCGUACUUGUGUGUAUAAUCCCCAAAAAUCUUUCAUGGCAUCCCAUGACCACAUAGAGAAUGCAUGCAUAAUGGUUUCCAUGUGGGGCAAAAAUUUGAAUGUUUUUACGGUUUAGUGNNNNNNNNNNNNNNNNNNNNNNNNNNNNNNNNNNNNNNNNNNNNNNNNNNNNNNNNNNNNNNNNNNNNNNNNNNNNNNNNNNNNNNNNNNNNNNNNNNNNNNNNNNNNNNNNNNNNNNNNNNNNNNNNNNNNNNNNNNNNNNNNNNGGUUUUAGGGUUGACGGAGCACACACAUCGGACAUUGAUGGAGCGUUGGUCUACAAUGGAGUCCCUCCUGUAGCAUCGAUCUGGUCCGUCGACUGGCUCGGCCGACAUACUUUGUGCCACAUAGAGCAUGCAUGCAUCCACUGAACCGGAUCAAUGUUGGGUUGGUUUACAUGUACAUGUACAGGGACCCGAAAUGCGCGUGUUAGAGAUCGUACUUGCGUGUACAUGUACCAUCCUUCCAUCCACUGGCUGGGCCGACAACCUUCGUGCCACAUUGUUCACAUUGUCCAAUUAACACUUUGUAUAGAUUUUUUUCAUAAAAAAUGAACGAAAUAAUGCAACUAAUCUGAACGUAACGUUUGGCAUGUAUCAAACCAAGUUGCCACUAUUCCUCAAAAAAAGAACCCAGUUAGCCACUAAUUGCGCCAAACAUAUCUCGUAAUUACGAACGAAAAUGGGUUGACAAUUAUAUCUGGAAAUUCUUGGACUGAAUUUAUUGCUCUUCGUUUUUUAGAGAACAAUAAGUUAGAAUGGUGGGCGGCGGGUUGGCAUGGGCACGACCAUGGCUCGGGCUUGUGUCAUAUGUGGUUCGACCCGCGGUCAGUGCACAUGUUUUCGAAGCCCCGAAAAGAUCGUGCUCGUUAAAAAAAAAACUUGCAUCGACGCGCAUUACUUCAAAAUAACUAAUUAACCCUACAAUCACGGAUAUAGACCUUCCCAUUCUACCGCAUAUCUACCCUAUCCUAACCACCCCCAUCUACCUUGUUUCUCCUCACAUAGCCAUCGCCGGGAUCGCGCCAUCACUUCUCAAGCGACCACGCCGACGCCGGAUUACAAAAGGUCUCUUCCACGGCUUCUCUCAUCUUCGAUUGCAGUGAUGAUUAUUUUUUCCAUUGAUUCGACCAACAAGUAAUUUCCGAAGAGAUUAGAAAAUCCAGCUUUUACUAUGGUUGAGUAGUUCUGUUGUGAUUCGAGUACAGGAUGUCAUGCAAGAGCUUUUUGAUUGAUAGUUUGUACUAGUUGAUCGUGUGAACUUAUUAUGAAUAUUUUUUCACAGUCGUAUUGUUUCGAAUUAGUUGGAUGAGGGUGUGGAUACAGUUUUCAUACUAUGGGUAUAUGUGUUGCUGUAGGGACCAUGGUCUCAGAGGCGCAUAACAACCGUGCGGAGUACGACAAGUCUUUGCAUGAAGCGCGUCGGGAGAUCGACUUGAAGGUGCAAAAGGAUCGCGCUGAGGUAGAUAAGAAACAGAAAAAAGAACGUUCAUACGUGGACAGGAUGAUAAAGGAGGAGCGUGAGGAGUUUUCCCUUAAGAUGGCGAAGAUGCGUCUUGAGAUUGAAGAAAAGUAUAAGAGGGACUGUGAGCACAUGGAAAAAAAGUUUGUCUUAGGCUACAAGGAAAUGCAUCAAAUGUUGCAGAAGGACCGGAAGCUUGUGGACAGUAUUAUACAGACAGAGCGAGUCAGGAUGGAUGCCUAUGUGUUGCAGGCAUGUGCGGAUAUGGACAGUAAGCUGCUACAGGAGCGGUCGGACAUGGAUUAUAAGGCCAUGCUGGAGAAGGUCCGCUUGGAAGGACAUAUGUUAGAAGACCGUGCGAUCUCACGGCCACCCCGACAACAUGUCUUCAAUUAUUCUCCCCCUGUCAGUAUCUCGCACCGAUUCUAUAUAUUAAGGACCUACGUAUUCUAUGAUAUAAACAUCUUCAAUUUGUGGCAACCUUAUGUCGGCGAUUGUAUGUAGGCUAAGCAUCAUGACACGACACAGUCGCCAUUCACUCGACACAUUGCGAUAGAGUCACCCGUUCAAUGCCACAUCAGUCCACCCCAACAACAUAUCGUCAAUUCUCCCCUUGUAAGUACCCCGCAACAAUGCAUACCCAAUAUAUGGUAUGACCUUUCAAAACUUGUGUGUAAACCCACUAUCGACGUUUCAUACGCAGGAUAAGAAACCUGUGAUGGCAGAGUCCCCAGUCACACCACAUGAAGGAUACAUUCCACAUAAUAAGGUGAGAAGGUUUGAGAUGGCACAACCCCCAGUCACUCCACAUGAAGGAUACAUUCCACAAAAGCAGGUAACAACGCCGCAAUGUUGCUAUGCACAUAAAAAAUUAUGUUUGCCCCUUUACUCAUUGAAUGUAUUAACUCCGAUGUGAGAUACUAGGUGCUGGUCAUGGAAUUUUUUGUUAGUAGGGAUCAUGAGAUGUCACAUGUCCCGAGAGCAUACUUUGAUGAACACCCGGCAGAAGUCAGAAUUUUUGAACCCGCCAAAGUUACCUACGAUCUCAUUAUGAGUGAAAUGAGAGAUACUUUUGGUUGCAAACUGGGAGCAGAACUGUACUACUUCUUACCCGGGUCUGCGUGGAAGCUGCCAGAAGGAAUGUUCUUGAUUGCAGGACCAGAUGAUGUACAAAAAAUGCUUUCUGAUCUGAAUGGCAGCAAGACAUGUCACCUGUACAUUGUGUACAAUAGAACUACGGGUUGUUUUCCCGAGGAUGACGUUGAUUCCGAGGUUCAAAUUUUACAUGUUACAUGCAUCUAGUUUAUGGCUACGUCUUUUUUGAGUUCUUCCUAAUACAAUUCCUAUGGUUUUCUACAGGAAGUGAGAAUCCAAGAAAUGGAGUGUCUUGCUAGAGAGUUGGCAGAGAAAGACCAAGAACAACUUAAGUUGUAUGGUUACAUUGAUGUUAAAGAGAAAAAGAUUGAAGCACGUGGGUCGUCGCCAAGCCCGACGCAAUCUCCAACGACGCAACGCAAGAGGUCACUGGAUUUUGGUAGUGCAGAAGACAAUAUGGAGUAGGCUCAAUUGUUUUUCAACCAGUUAAAGCUUCAAACCAGGAUUAUUUAGUUGCAAACAAACAUUUUGUUUUCUGUUUCACACUAUGUUCGCAAUUAUGGUACAAUUUAUUCAUGAGACAUUUCGUUGAACAACAAUGCAUGUGUUUUAUGAUCAAUCAUACAGUUGUUUCUGAGUUGUUUUUGAGAUGGCAUUGUGUCUAAAGAAGUUUCCAUCUAUAAAACUUGCCACGCAGUCGCAUCGGAAUCGCGUAUCACGCGAGAGGCGUGCGUCGCACGGGAGAGCGUCGCACGCGAGCUUGUUUUCGGGUAGAAAUCAUAACAUAUUUCGGAUAGAUAAAGUUCACGUCCUCCACCCGCGCAUGCAAACCCACGUCGCCGCCAUUCCCAUGCACGCAUGCCUCAGGCGCAGACAACGAGACGGCCCAUCCGAAUUAGGCCCAUCCGAAGUAGGACAUUAGAACCCUCCCCCCACUCCACCUAUUCCCCUCGCACUGUGGCCUCCCUCCCUCCAUCGCCAGAUCCCCCACUCGUCCCCCUCUGUCCGCCGCCCCUGCAUGCCGUCAGCGACUUCACCUCCGCCGCCCCCGCACCCCCCGAACGAGAUCGGCCAGAUCCAUCUCCUCAACCAUCGCAGGACAACGCAGGUACCCCAGUUUCUGUUGACGUCUCAAUGGUAUCCAUGCUGAUAAUGCUAGGUAGAUCGACUGAGUGUAGCAAUUUUGUGCCACCAUCUGAAACUUGUGAUGCUUCCUACUGUACAAUAUAGGACUUUUCAAAGUUCUGUUAUGAUGGCACUUUUUGACACAUACAGUAGAGCUGCGUUUUUAGUUGUUAUACUUUCAGUUACCAUCACUGCUUGGGAAAGGACGAAUUGGAUGCAUUCAGGUCUGCAGUUGAUAGUGUAUCAUCAUAAUAUAGGUGCUGUGUUGUGUGAUUCUUCAUGCUGAGAACUUCAGCUUUUUCAGUUAUAGUGAAAGGCUUCUGUAUAAAAAAAACUACUAAAUGAUCACAAAAACUUCUAGACAACAUUUUGUAUGAUCUGACCAAAACUUGAACUAAAUGAUCACCAAAAGUUGAAGGAUUUUGCAUCACAUCACAACCAUAAGUCUUCUGCACCAGCAUCAUAACAAUCACAUAACUACAUAACAAAAGCAAACUUGUUCAUCAUUACAAAAGAAAACUUGUUCAACAUAAGAAAAGCUAACUUGUUCAGCAUUACAAAAGCAAACUUGUUCAACAUAACAAAAGCUAACUUGUUCAGCAUUACAAACGCAAACUUGUUCAACCACAUAACUGCAAACUGAGACACAUAAUACCACAAACAACUCAAUAUCCCAGUAGUAGGGGUCAUCCCAAUGAUCCUCCACCUCUUGCCAGUACUCCAAACCUUCUUUGACGAUAUCGAUUUUCUUCCAUGCCUCGUAGGUGACGUACGCAUCUUUCGCUGCGUACUCGAUGAGGUUGUUUGGCAGUGGGCUGUCCCCCCAUAGUUUGUGGUCCAAUUCCUUGUUGAUCUUCUUCUUCAUUUCCUUGUACGAUGGGUGGAUGAGGCUGGCUGCAAACUCAGCCAAAGCCUGCCACUUCUUUCCAUUCCUUGGAACUCUCCAUUUGCGCUGCAUGUCGACGUACUUGUCGGGGUUGAUCUCCAAACCAGACAAUUUCAGCUUCUCCUUGUCACCUCCAAUGGAGAAGCCAACAAAGGUGUAGAGCUUCUUCUCCUGCAGGAGUGGGCGGAGUUCCUUAGGCCUGCAUCAAAUUAAUCUGGUGCAUCAAAUUCAUCCACUUCAAAAACUUCAGAAACUACUAAUUAGACAUAAAAUUCAGAACUAGUAUUGCAUCUACUCCAGAACUUCAGAACUAGUAUUGCAUCUACUUCAGAACUUCAGAACUAUUGCAUCUACUUGAGAAACUUCUGAAACUUCAGAACUAUUGCAUCUACUUGAGAAACUUCAGAAACUACUAAUUAGACAGAAACUUCAGAACUUCAGAACUAGUAUUGCAUCUACUUCAGAACUUCAGAACUAUUGCAUCUACUUCAGAAACUACAGAAACUACUAAUUAGACAGAAAGUUCAGAACUUCAGAACUAGUAUUGCAUCUACUUCAGAACUACAGAACUAUUGCGUCUACUUCAGAAACUUCAGAAAUUACUAAUUAGACAGAAACGUCAGAACUUCAGAAACUUCAGAACUGGAUGUUUUUACCAUUUGGUUGCCGCGGUGAUGUGGUAUACCAGGACGAGAUCCUCCACGCAUAACUGUAGAACUGCAGCCUUUUGCGGAGGUUCAUCUUCCCUCGUAUACUCGACAUCAACGCCGAUCGACUGAGGAAACAUGCCGCCGAGCCUCCUCCUGAUCUCGCGGAUCCUCUUGUCGGCUUCGUAUGGAUUGCUGGUGCAUACGACAUCCAGCUUCUCCUUCAGGUGGAUAUCAACCAUGAGCUUCACGGUGUAGUCCUGCUUCUGCCCAGGGAUCGGAACGUCGUCGUCGACCACCAGCGGCUCCUUGCCAGACGCCUCACCUUGGUGAUGCUUGCCAGAUGGAGGGGAGUUGCUCCACGAUGCCUCCGCCAUUCUCUUGGCAGACGGAGGGGAGUUGCUCCACGAUUCCUCCGCCAUUGCCCUCCUGGCCAGCGAUGGUGGAGGCAGAGGGGAGUUGCUUGAUGGUGGAGGCAGAGGGAGGAAGAUGGAGCGGCAAUGGAAUAAGGAGGGAGGCAGAGGGAGGCAGAUUGAGCGGCAAUGGAAUAGGAGGGGAGUUCCCUGCGUCGUGGGGAGUUGCCAGUGGAGGGGAGUCGUGGGGAGUUGCCAGUGGAAGGGAGGCGUGGGGAGUUGCCUCGAAAACUCAAACGUCCUGCCCUUUGGCCCUCGAAAAAUCUGGAGGGGAGACGUGGGCUCUUUGGUUUGUCCCGUUUCUGAAACAAAAAAAAAAUAACAGCCAUAUUUUGCUCUCACUGCAACCAUAUUAAGAGAUGAAAAAUGGCACCAAAAAGUCACUGCAGCCAUCCUCAAUGGCACGAAAACAGCACCAAAACAACAUCAGCCAAAACAACAAAAAAUGCAUCCAUUGAUCGUUCUUUAUUUCUUCUAACAUUCCGUGUUCUGUGCAGUGAGAUAGACACAACACUACAAAUGCAGGCUGACAACGCCCGCGAUUUCAUGACCAUCAGGACAGACGGCGGCUUCAUCCACGCUCCGGUCCCAUGAGUCGAGUCGAAAGUAGUGAUGCUAUGUGUAGUUCUGAAACAUUGAUUGGCUCAUGUUGUAAUUAAACUUUAAUGAAUUGUAUGUCUCUUUGGUUUGGACAGUCGUUAAACUUAGAUGUACUCGAUGCUAUUUAUUACUAGGACCAUGAAUUGUGCUAUUAAUGUCUUGCUUUUCUCUUCCGAUCCUUUUGUUGCAUACUUAUUUAUUGCUUAUGUAUUGUCUGUUGUUUGGCUUGUGCAUAGAGAUGCCGUCGUAUGUCGUGUACAAGGUAAGGUUCCCGGAGUCUACGAUGACUGGGAGGAGUGUCGGAGACAGGUUCACCGUUUCAGCGGUAACAGUUACAAAGGGUACACCACUAGGGUGGAGGCGGAAUCUAGAUAUGCCCGCUAUCUAGCGGGAGAGAGGAGGGAGCGUUGGAGGAAACGGAUGAAGACCAAUUUCAUCGCGAUGAUGCUCAUCGUGAUGACCGCAACUCUCUUCUAUGUGAUGGUAGUUUAGAUGAUCGAUAUCGACUUGUAAUGUGAAGACAAACUCGCUACUCGCGGUCUCGAGACUUGUAAUGUUCUAUCUUUGUUCGGUCUUGUGAAUUCAGAGACUAAUAUGAUGAAUUGUAUUCGGAGAGCUAUCUUCUAUUGUAUUGGAUGAAUGUGCUGUUGCUGUGUGGUGUUGUCUAUAUUCUCUCCAAUAAUAUAUUUUGUAACCUGUGAAAAUAUCAGAAAUGUGCAUUUUUUCGACCACCUCCAAAUCACCUCAGUUUUGGAACACAUGAUCUCUUCCACAAACAAAACUAGGUUUCCAAGUUUUUGUAUUUUUUUAAAUUUUUUUGAAUUUAUAAUGCCCUCUAGACUGACUGCUGAAAACAUCGGUCUAUGCCUCAAGGGGGCAUUGUAAAAUAUUUUUUUUAAAAUUUUCUUGCAUACACAUGUUUUGCACAUGUGGGUCACCAUGUACAAGAAAAUUUGGGUGAUUUGGAGGUGGUGGAAAAAUUCACAUUUUUUCAAAAACUGACUUAAGUUAAGACCAAAUGGUCCCUCCGGGAAUGCGGGCAUUUUUUCGACCACCUCCAAAUCACCUCAGUUUUGGCACACAUGAUCUCUUCCACAAACAAAACUAGGUUUCCAAGUUUUUGUAUUUUUUUAAUUUUUUUUGAAUUUAUAAUGCCCUCUAGACUGACUCCUGAAAACAUCGGUCUAUGCCUCAAGGGGGCAUUGUAAAAUAAAUUUUUUCAAAAUUUUCUUGCAUACACAUGUUUUGCACAUGUGGGUCACCAUGUAUAAGAAAUUUUGGGUGAUUUGGAGGUGGUGGAAAAAUUCAUGCAAGACUCGGGGACCUGCAUGCAAGACUCGGGGACCUGCAUGCAAGAGUCGGGGACCUGCAUGUGAAUAGUGAUUCAUCAAGGCCAUGACAGCUAUUGGCACAGCGGCUGCCGCCCGAUUUGUAUGCAGCGAAGAUGAACGUGCAUGGAGGUUUUUCAAAGAUUUCCAAGCACACCCCAGUGGGCCCCGCUUAUUUAAAAAAGACGUCAGUCAUUAUUGCUCUGUAAAUGAAGAAUAUGCAUGAUGAUUAUGAAUACGCAUGACAACCAUAGUAAGGGUGAAGAAUCAUAGUGCCCAAUUUGUCGAAAUACAUCAUCAUUCUUAAAGUUGGACAUCAAAUGAUACACACAGAAAAUGGAAACGAAAGAUGUCGAACUAAUAUAGUAACAUGCCAGUACAACUGCACUUCACUAAAUUACUGUCACGAUGAAAUAGAAUGUAAAGACCACGUCACACAAACAUGAAUGACACACGACUUUCUCUGGCUCAUCGUCGGUUCAUGCUGUAUGUAGAUAUCACAGUUCAGCCUCGAUAUCCUACACAGAAGAAUAGAAUAAAUCACAUGGACAUCAAUUAUGAGUAAAACACAUGCAAAAAAAAUAUGAAAAUAUUUUGUACCUCUAGCAAUUUAGCGCAUUUACGUCGAUUGUGACCUGGUUUCUUGCAAUAGCCACAGAUAUUCUGUGAUGUUGACUUCUUUGUCUUUGCCUGCAGCCUUUUCUUCGGUGCACCUCGUCCUGGCACAUGCACGGGAUCCAGAACCUUAUCAACUUUCUGUGAGUGUGGCAUCAACGGGCCAAACCUAAUGCUGUUAUGCUGAGCAUUAGUUGACUCCUUGCUGUCAGCUUGUUCAAAACUUGAUUGCUUGCCAUGAUGUUGUGCUUGCAAAAGCAUCUUUAGACGGUGAUAGUCCUCAUCAGAGUGGCAUGCCUGGAAACUUGCGGCGUGACUACAAUUCCGCAACUCGCGGUACCUCUGCAGGCUUAGCGAAUAGUCAUACAUCUGGUUUUUUCUGGUAGGUGCGUAUGCACAUUUUGCAUUCAUAGUCCACCUAGUGGGAACGCAACAACCGGGCAGAAUUGUUUGUUUUAAAAUCCCCAAUAUGUAAAAAAAUGUGGGAACAUGGUGUGCCUGCGCAUUCCAGCUUAUGGCAAGAACAACUCACCCUGUGCAAAAGACCUCCUUGCUCUUCAAUGCGCACUCCAAACUUUUUAUCCAUUCUUUCCUGCUUGGACACAACAUAAGUGGAAUCUUCUGAUCCAUCUAGUAUCUCUCUAAUCUGACAUUUGCUGACAGAAUCUAUGCUCCAUAAGACCAUCUUAAAGACACUAGGUGUGAAAACUGUUGCGGCGUGUUUCUCAAGCGGCGAAGCAUUUUCCUCUGUAAAUGGAACGGACUGCAAGGCUUCAACGUCAUGGAGAGCUUCGUUAAUCCGUCGCGACGCAAGGCAACGCUCAUAGUGCUCUAGCCUUUCAAACAACGACAUCUUACCCUCAAGAUGCGUAUGUAGCACAGAGUUCAAGCUCUCACUCCUCUGAUUACUGCUCAAUCCUAGGAAACAACGCCCCUCAAGAUAUGGAGCACACCACAACUUUCUCAUCUGAUACAUCUGAUGCAGCCAAGACUCCUCACUGGUUACUUUAUUCCGUUGUAAGAAUUGUAUUCAUUUUAUCUCAUGCUCUUCAAUGGAAGAAGUAUCAUAAAUGAAAGAUCUGAAUUCCUCCUUUACGUCGUCAUCAUGCAGAUGGCGUACAAUGUUCUGCUGAAUGUGCCAUAUACAUAGUCUAUGGUUUGAGUCUGGCCAGACCACCCUUAUUGCUCUCUGCAUUGCAAGGUCCCCAUCUGUGAUCACAGAUAUCGGAUGCUUCUGUGCCAUGCAAUCAGAAAAGGUCCGCAACAUCCACUCGUAUGCCUGGCUUGUUUCAUGAGAAAUUAAUUAUACCACAGCCAAAUAUAACAGUGCUGCGGUGGUGAUUCAACCCGACAAAAGGCACGAAUGGCAGAUUGUAUUUUUUGGUUCUGUAUGUGCUAUCGAAAACAAUGACGUCUCCGAAAGCCUCGUAGUCAAGUCGCGAUUGACUGUCAGCCCAGAACAGUCCCUUCAGAUGGCCAUGCUCGUCUACCAAGUACUUGAAGAAAAAAAUCCACAUCUCGCUCUCGCCUCGCCAUCAUAUGCAUGAUCACCGUUUUAGCAUCACCGGCACUGAUUGUCUCUUGCUUAUUAGCAUGGCAGAAAUUAUAAACGUCCCUCUUUAUGCAUCCAACCUUAUCAAAUCCACCGUAUUGGAAGCACAAAAUAUCCAUAAUACGGUAUUUGUGGAUCCCACAUUUUCCAUGUCCGCAAUGUCCGCUUUCUGCUCAUCGCUAAUUCGUCUGUGCAAACGCAACAGACAAGAAAGAUCCCAUGGGGCUAGAGGAUGGUUGUGCUCAUCGAUGAAAUCCUUGACAAACCACCGACCGGUUUCCUCUUGUCUCGUAAUGACCAAUUUAGCAUUACAUCCAACACGAGUUAAACUUUGUGGCCUCCUUUUUCUAUCUUCCAUCUUUCUUUUCAUGUGCUUAUCUUCGCGAAACCCUUGACGACUACACACAAUUUUCCUUAAAAUUAUGUAUUUGUUGGAUCCAUCCCACUCAACGUAGCUUUUCCUCACACUAAAACCUUUUUCAAGAGCAUAUUUGUUGUAGAAUUCAUAGCCUUCAGCCUCACUAUCAAACAUCUUGCUGACAACAUUUACAUACUCGAACAUACUCUCAUCACUUGCAUACGCCAUGUCUUCCUGCAUAUGACAUGUGAGGGAAACCAAUCAUCAACAUCUUUCUGUUUAUCAAUGUUGCAGGUGUAAAAUAGCUCAUAGGCAAAGACAAGUGCAUGGAAAAGACUUUGCUGGUUUGACAUGUGAGGGAAACCAAUCAUCAACGUCCAACAAGUACUAUCCUAGCAUGGAUGAUGACUCUAAUAAACUGGAUUCAUACCUGGUACGCGCGAAGAGAUGGGAUCGCCCGCCGCCGUCGCCGCCUAUUCCGUCGGCACAGAUCCGGCCUUCUUCUUCUUCGGUGACAGCGUGGGGGGCUGGGGUUGGUUGGGUGGAGGACGAGGACGAUGAAUUUAUUCCUCUCACCAGGCAGGUCGAGGACGGAGAAGGUCAGGAGCGGCGACGAAUAGAUCGGAGGAGGUUUCUGAUCUGGAUCGAGUAUACAUGGAUCUGGUCUUCGGGUGAUCGGUUCAAGAAAAGAUUUUUGUCCCUGGACCAUUAUGCCCUUAUCGCUUAAAUUUAAUCAAGUUUAAUUCCCUGCAAGAUCGGUUUUCUAAUAAUAAUCAGACGUCACCAGACAUGUAAGUACUGCUAAGUACUCCGAGUACUAACCUAAUCACCGUAAAACUGCUCCCAAAUAGGAUGACCGCUUUAGAGAAAGCAAUAAGGGAAUUCAUGGACAAUCAAACUGAGAAUGUAAUUGUAUUUGUACCGAUGAUGGGAACGAGUUCACAGAUUCUCUGACUUAGCCGAGACUAUGGCAGAGGGAUGUCAAAUUCAUAUAACUGUUCAUGCACCAUCCGACGGCAGCAAGCAAAGCCCAUGGACACACAGCAUUAUCGACCUAGAAGGGUGAUGCUGCCCAGUCCAACGCAUAGGCGAAGCAGGAAAAACGGUGCGAGGCAGCCGAAGUAUGAAUGAAGGAACCGAUCACCAAGCUGCCGAAGGAUGAGCUGCUCUGCUCUUGUGAGAGAUGUUAAAUUUUGUAGUGUUCAUUUUACCAUUCUGUAAUGUGCACUUAUGUUGCUGCUCAAUUCAGUUCCCUUCUCCCACUUGCAUUUCACAGUCAUGUCCAGUUCAGUGAGCAAAGUCUCUAAAAUUCAGCUCAUUCAAUUAUAGCAUUCAUUCACAACAACCACACUGAGAGAUCUCAACCCCUUCUGCCACUGAGUGAUCUCAACCCCUUUUGCCAUACUCAAUUCUGUUAUCAAUUUUACAACAUCAAGUGAUAUGCUCACAAAUUGACAAUGUCAAUGACCUGCUCUUAAUUUACAACAUCAUUGAUAUGCUAAAAAAUGAUAAUGUCAAUGAUCUGCUCUCAAAGUACUUCCUCUGUCCCAUAAUAUAAGAGCGUUUUUGACACUGUCUGAAACUCUCUUGUUGUUUUGUGUAAAUCAGUUUACAAUCUGAAACUCAACUGAUGUUUGCUUGUAAAUCAGUUAAUAAUGUGCUCUCAAUUUCCAGGCUAGCUUCGCCGGCGCCUGCUCGACGGAGUGGUGCAUCGAUGGCAGCCACGGCCGUCCUCCUCUUGCGAUGGUGCGGGGUCAGCGAUAUGGUGCUUGCUUAGUGCCUCCAGCAACAGCGGCGCGACCUCGCGGCGUGAUACAACCAUGACUUGUAGCCAAGGCAGCGGCAGUCGUCCUCCCAGGGCGAUCGCGAGCAAUGGCGACGGUGAGCGAUGGGUUGUUUAUGGGCUGCACAGCAUUGUUGUUAUUCUUAUUUGUUUUCACCUUGCUGCUGUCGAAUGACGCAUGUGAUUUGGAUUAGACGUCCGUCUAGCGUAAAAAUAAUACUCGAUGCUAUACAGCCCAGGUCGGGAAUCUCGAAGUGAGUUCACGAUGGAGAUAGCGAGAGUAUCUGAGCUCGUGCUCAGAACAUCACUUUCCUUAGGAAAGGGGGAACCAGGAUCGAUUCCUGGUCUCAAAGGUGACAGCGGGUGCUGCUACCAGUCCGAUCAAGUUCCGUUCGUGAUAAGUUGUAGGUGCGCGUCGUACUUGAGCCGAUUCAAGCCGGUUUUCUUUGAGUUUUUUUCCUUCUUCAUUUUUUUCAUUCUUUUUUGCACUCGUUUCUUCAUUUUUUUUCAUUUUUUUCUUUUGUUUAUUUUCUUUGUUCUUUUGGUUAUUAUUGUGCAUUUUUUGUAUACGUCAACAAUAUUUUUUUAAUACACGUCUAACAUUUUUCAAAUACAAAUCAACAAUUUUUGCAAUACAUGGCCUACAUUUUUGUAUACACAUUUUUUAAAUGCUUGAUUAUCAUUUUUCAAAUACAAUAUUAACAAUUUUAAUACAUGGUUAACAUUUUUUUAUCAUUUUUACAAAAAAAUAUAUUAAAUGCUUGAUUAACAUUUUCUUAAUAGAUGGUCAACCUUUUUUUCAUACACAUUUAACAUUUUUUCCAAACGCUUGAUUAACUUUUUCAGACCCUUGUUCGACAUUUCUUUCAAAUGCUGGAUUACAUUUCUAUAUACUUAAUCAAAUAUUUCUAUCAUUUUUAAUACAUGGUCAACAUUAUUAACAUACACAUUUAACAAUUUCCCAAUUCUUGAUUAAUAUUUUUUAAAUACUCGUUUAACAUUUCCCAAUUUUAGCUAGUUAUGGUGCAAACUAAGUGUUGUGCCUCGUCUUAAUCUAUCUAUAUAUCCUAUCUUCUAUUCGGCGACGUGGUUGCGCCCGUGGCGGAUGUGGUCGCCGCCAUGACUUGGUCGAUCUCCCUCUUCUGUAUUCGAGAAAAAAAGAUCUCCGUCUUCUCUUUAGAUGAGAUGGGGAGGAGAUGGUGAGAGAUGAGGUCAACGGCAUUGGGGAGAGGAUAAGGGUAGACGCCAGUGGUGAGGCGGCGUGAGGAAGACGAGGUGGUUGGCGGCUAGGACGCAUGAGGGGAGGGGAAGGGUGGGGAGUGGUGCGUGGAGGGAAGUGGGUGUGCGGCGUGCCCAAUUCACGAGAGAGGAGAGAGGUCGGCAAGGGAGCGACCCAUGGGAGUUUUUUUUCUUCUGAGUGAGCCUAGUUGGGCUAUCUGCUGCGUCCAAGGCCCAAUGCACCACAUGUCUUCAAAUUGGCCACCAGUAGCAGCCCUUAGAACAGACAUGGCCAUUUUGCAAAUUUAAAGACAUAAGUUUUUUGCACGCAUGAAAAACAUAACACGUAUCUUUUCACACAUAAUGAACUAUAGGUACUACCCAAAAAAACAUAAUGAACUAUAGGUUGUCACAAGAACUCAUGCCAUCCCACAACCUCCCUCUGACCCUGCCAACAUUGUUGCAACUGCACUCGCAAGUGUUAUCGUAGAUGAUCAUUUGCAUGAUUUCCCGUAAAACAAAAUAAGAUCUACAAACGAAUAGAAGCUACACAUACCUUGGCAUGCACACACAUUGCAAGCCAUACUAAGCAGAUAAGUGUUAAAAACUUGUACUCCCUCAUCUCAGUUUACAAGUCUUCCACGUGUAUCUAGGUCGUCAAUUUAAUUAUAUAAAAUAAAUUGUUUGACAUAAAUUAUAUCAUUAGAAAAUAGAAAUAUAUAUUUUGUAAUGUAUGCCUCUUAUUAAGUUGGUCAAAUUAACAAUCUAGGUACACAUGCAAGACUUUUAAACUAAGAUGGAGGGAGUACAACAUAUACAACACUUACGACAAGUAAAAGCAAUUUGAUGAGUCAUGGUCUAUCAAAGCAAGCUACAUUACUAAUCUAAUCUAUGUUAACAUGUCACACAUGAUUACAAUCUUUUUUGUGUGCAAGUCAAGCCUAUCUAGUCUACAUGUAACAACUUGUAGAACAUUACAAAAUUGAUGUUUGCUAAUAACUUUUAGAACACUACAACACUUGACAUGUAAAAAGAGUUUGAUGAGUCAUGACCUACUAAAGCAAGUUACAUUACUAGUCUCAUCUAUCUUAACAGGUCACACAAGAUUAAAAACUAAGUUCUGUGCAAGCAAUGCUUAUCUAUUUUACACAUAACAACUUGCAUAACAUUACAAACUUAGUUUUAGAAAAUUAGGCAACCUAGAUUAGUGUUUAGUUGUAAAGUGAAUAAGAUGAGUCAUGUGUGUUAUCACACCUUUUUAUGGUGGAAUGAUAGUGCCACCAAACACAACAUACCAAAAUAUGAUUUUGGGAAGCAUCCAAGCACUUUCCAGACAAGCAAAUGCCAAUUGUGAAAGAGAUAAUGCCAUGGCAGCUAUAAAUAGGCCUGUUGCAUGAUGAUCAUCCUUCCUCAUUCAUCAUUCUCAUAAGUAGAGUGCAUCAUUCAAGCCAAGCAAGCACUGGUCAAUACAAAUCCAUCAUGAAGACAUUUCUCAUCAUUUCCCUCCUUGCUAUCGUGGCGACCACCGCCACAACUGCAGUUAGAGUUCCAGUGCCACAAUUGCAGCCGCAAAAUCCAUCUCUGCAACAACCACAAGAGCAAGUUCCAUUGGUGCAACAACAACAAUUUCCAGGGCAGCAACAAACAUUUCCACCACAACAACCAUAUCCGCAGCCGCAACCAUUUCCAGGACAACAACCAUAUCCGCAGCCGCAACUAUUUCCACAGCCGCAACCUUUUCCGCCACAACUUCCAUAUCCGCAGCCGCAACCAUUUCCCCCACAACAACCAUAUCCACAACCGCAAACACAUCAUCUGCAACCACAACAACCAAUUUCGCAGCAACAAGUACAACAACAACAACAACAACAACAACAACAACAACAACAACAACAACAACAACAACAACAACAACAACAACUACUACUACAACAACAAAUCCUUCAACAAAUUCUGCAACAACAACAACUGAUUCCAUGCAGGGAUGUCAUCGUCUUGCAACAACACAACAUAGCGCAUGAAAGCUCACAAGUAUUGCAGCAAAGUAGUUACCAAGUGUUGCAACAAUUAUGUUGUCAGCAGCUGCGGCUGAUCCCCGAGCAGUCGCGGUGCCAAGCCAUCCACAAUGUCGUUCAUGCUAUUAUUCUACAUCAACAACAACAACAACAACAACAACAACAACAACAAGGACAACAUCAACCGUCGAGCCAGGUCUCCUACCAGCAGCCUCAGCAACAAUAUCCAUCAGGCCAGGGCUCCUUCCAGCCAUCUCAGCAAAAUCCACAGGCCCAGGGCUUUGUCCAACCUCAACAUCUGCCCCAACUCGAGGAAAUAAGUAACCUAGCGCUGCAGACGCUACCAGCAAUGUGCAAUGUCUACAUCCCUCCAUAUUGCUCGACCACCAUUGCGCCAUUUGGCAUCUUCGGUACUAACUGAGAAGAGAAGAACUCUAGUACUAGAUAUAUGAAACACCGUGUUCUUAGUCCAUGGUUUGGUCGUUGUACCGUUGAAAAUAUAAGGUGACAUGCACUAUCAUGUAAGAACCCGAACUAUACUAGUUCAAACAUGGGAAUAAAAGACAAACACAUGUCUUGUCUGCAUAUGAUUGUUUAUUUGAGUUCCAUUCCUAUGCCCAUUCACAAGUUCACCCGUAAUUAUAUAUAUUACACAUUAAGUAGAUAUUUAUGUUGCAUUAAUAUGAAGAUAACAAAAUGAGUCUGAAACUUGAAUUAAAUUGAAGUAUUUUCUUGGACUUUCAAAUUGUGUAUUAUUAAAGUAGUAAGGAUUAUCCACAUCCUUGGCUUGCCCUUCAUCAAUUAUUCCCAGAGAAGCUUUCAGUUCAUAAAUCAAUUACAUUGAUUUUUGUGAAUGGUACAUCUCCUCAUCACGAGUAUCAUUACGGCUACUCCAAAUCGCUCACAUAACCGAAGCAUUAAUAGCGCCCUUCUUGCAUCCGGAAAUAUGGAUCGAAGAUAUCACUUGACCAUGUUUCCAGGUGCAACCUUGGGAUUUUUAUGUCAAAAUAUUCUCAAGCAAAAUCCAAGAAUAAACUUGCAUGCUCACGUGUGAUGAGGGCAGAUGAAGUAACAUUUCCUCCCCAUGGCCACACAUAGGGCACACACAUAACCCCAUCACAUGCCUUUUUAGUUAUGCAUAUGAAAGGUAGGAUGUUUUUAAUUACUCUCUACCAAAAUACUCUUAACUUGGCUUGUACCCUAAUAUUUCGUUGCCUUUUCAAUUGUUCUUCCCCAUUAGACAAAGUAGACAGUCCAUCUACCACACCGUACCUUGUGUCCAUCAUUGCUCUGUACAACAAUUGAACAGAACAAAUGUCAUUUCUUUACGAUACCCACGACCAAAUGUCCUUUGCUGGAUUGUUUGGUCGUGGCAUAUUAAGGAUGGCCACCUCAUCUCAUGGGGUAAACACCUAAUGAAUGAAAGGAUUGUUCUAGUCGCCCGUGUUUUUCAUCGAUAAGAUCAUCUACAAGUUGGACCGAAGUUUCUCACAUGCAUCAUAGUGGUUUCAUUAGCGGCGUGCCCUGCACCCAUUUAUCACGUCGUAUCUCUGUAGUAUGUGCAUUCCCAAUUUGUCACAGCAUACCCUCCUUCAAACCUUCUUUCCCUUUCAGAUUAGCACGCCAAGUUAGCUAUGCACUAUGCGGGAACCAGCAUUUGAAAAAAAAGAAUCUCAUUUCAUGGUAUCUUCCAUGAAGGACCCUCGUACAUUAGCUAUCUAGGUAGAAAUAGCCAUGUAUGUUUGGCAAACUUUGCAUAAGUGAAUAGAUCAAGGUCGUGGAACCCCAAGCCUCCAAUUACACACGGCCUCUCUACCAAUAAGAUCUCCAAAGACAUCAAGGAUACAGACAGCCAAAAAAGAAAAUAAAAAGAAAAAAAAUAAAAAAUACCCUGCCAUGGUGAUCAAUCACAAGCAUCAGCAGCACUCUAACCACCACCAAAGACAAUGCCCAGAUUACAAAAAAAAAUUAUCCAAAAACAAUGCCCCCAAGAAGGAAACAAUACACAAGCGUUGUCGUUGCCCGAUCGAAGAUCGUGGGUUUUCACCCUGGAAAAUUUUUGAGUUCACCCAAAAACAAUGCCUUCAACAAGGCCAUUGCCAAGUACAACAAAUAUGGUCGAGACCUUGGGUUUUCACCCUAGGAAUUGAGACUCGAUGCUCGAGGAGUACCAGCAAAAAUGCAGUCCACUAGUGUUGCCGCCCCCACUUGGCAAGGCCACUGUUGCAAGUCACCAAACACCUGGCAUAUAGUUGUCAUCGCAUCCAAUACACCCUUCGGCCGAAGCUUCAAGACCUUGAUCCGUCUCCAGCGUAUCUAUAAUUUUUGAUUGUUCCAUGCUAUUAUAUUAUCUGUUUUGGAUGUUUUAUAUGAUUAUUAUGGUAUUUUAUAUGAUUUUUGGGACUAACCUAUUAAACUAGAGCCCAGUGUCAGUUCCUGUUUUUUCCUUGUUUUAGAGUUUCGUAGAAAAGGAGUACCAAACGGAGUCCAAACGGAAUUAAACUUUUGCGAUGAUUUUUCUUAGACCAGAAGACAUCUAGAGGACUUGGAGUGCAUGUUAGGAAAGCCACGAGGCUGCCACAACGACAGAGGUGCGCCCCCACCCUUGUGGGCCCCUCGUGACUCUACCGACAUAUUUCUUCCGCCUAUAUAUUCUCAAAUAUUCCAAAACAUACUAGGAGAGCCACAAAAACACUUUUCCACCGCCGCAACCUUCUGUACCCGUGAGAUCCAAUGUAGGGGCCUUUCCCGGCAUCCUGUCGGCGGGGGAUUCGAUCACUUAGGGCUUCUACAUCAACACCAUUGCCUCUCCGAUGAAGCGUGAGUAGUUUACCACAGACCUAUGGGUCCAUAGCUAGUAUCUAGAUGGCUUCUUCUCUCUCUUUGAUUCUCAAUACCAUGUUCUCCUCGAUGUUCUUGGAGAUCUAUUCGAUGUAAUACUCUUUUUGCGGUGUGUUUGCCAAGAUCCAAUGAAUUGUGGAUUUAUGAUCAGGUUAUCUAUGAGUAUUAUUUGAAUCUCCUAUGAAUUCUUAUAUGCAUGAUUUGAUAUCUUUGCAAGUCUCUUCGAACUAUCGAUUUGGUUUGGCCAACUAGAUUGGUUUUUCUUGCAAUGGGAGAAGUGCUUAACUUUGGGUUCAAUCUUGCGGUGCUCGAUCCCAGUGACAGAAGGGGAUGAUACGUCCCCAACGUAUCUAUAAUUUUUGAUUGUUCCAUGCUAUUAUAUUAUCAACCUUGGAUGUUUUAUAUGCAUUUAUAUGCUAUUUUAUAUGAUUUUUGGGACUAACCUAUUAACCCAGAGCCCAGUGCUAGUGCCAGUUUCUGUUUUUUCCUUGUUUUAGGGUUUCGAAGAAAAGGAAUAUCAAAUGGAGUCCAAACGGAAUGAAACCUUCAGAAAAUUUAUUUUUGGAAAGAAAGUAAUACGGGAGACUUGGAGUGCACGUCCGGGGAUCAACGAGGAAGCCACGAGGCAGGGGGCGCGCCCACCCCUCUUGGGCGCGCCCUCCACCCUCGUGGGCCCCUCGUGGCUCCCCAAAUGUAUUUCUUCCGCCUAUAUAUAUCCAUAUACCCCAAAACGACCGGGGAGCACAAUAGAUCGGGAGUUUCUCCGCCAGAAGCCUCCGUAGCCACCGAAAGCUAAUCUAGACCCGUUCCGGCACCCUGCCGGAGGGGGAAUCCCUCUCCGGUGGCCAUCUUCAUCAUCCCGGUGCUCUCGAUGACGAGGAGGGAGUAGUUCUCCCUCGGGGCUAAGGGUAUGUACCAGUAGCUAUGUGUUUGAUCUCUCUCUCUCUCUCUCUCUCUCUCUCUCGUGUUCUUGAGGUGAUACGAUCUUGAUGUAUCGCGAGCUUUGCUAUUAGAGUUGGAUCUUAUGUUGCUUCUCCCCCUCUACUCUCUUGUAAUGGAUUGAGUUUCCCCUUCGAAGUUAUCUUAUCGGAUUGAGUCUUUAAAAAUUUGAGAACACUUGAUGUAUGUCUUGCCGCGUGUAUCUGUGGUGACAAUGGGAUAUCACGUGAUUCACUUGAUGUAUGUUUUCGUGAUCAACUUGCGGGUUCCGCCCAUGAACCUAUGCAUAGGGGUUGGCACACGUUUUCGUCGUGAUUCUUUGGUAGAAACUUUGGUGCACUCUUUGAGGUUCUAUGUGUUGGUUGAAUAGAUGAACUUGAGAUUGUGUGAUCCAUAUCAUAUAAUCAUACCCACGGAUACUUCAGGUGACAAUGGAGUAUCUAGGUGACAUUAGGGUUUUGGUUGAUUUGUGUCUUAAGGUGUUAUUCUAGUACGAACUCUAGGGCUGUUUGUGACACUUAUAGGAAUAGCCCAACGGAUUGAUUGGAAAGAAUAACUUUGAGGUGGUUUCGUACCCUACCAUAAUCUCUUCGUUCGUUCUCUGCUAUUAGUGACUUUGGAGUGACUCUUUGUUGCAUGUUGAGGGAUAAUUAUGUGAUCCAAAUAUGUUAUUAUUGUCGAGAGAACUUGCACUAGUGAAAGUAUGAACCCUAGGCCUUGUUUCGACGCAUUGCAAUACCGUUUACGCUCACUUUUAUCAUUAGUUACCUUGCUGUUUUUAUAUUUUCAAAUUACAAAAACCUUUAUCUACCAUCCAUAUACCACUUGUAUCACCAUCUCUUCACCUAUACAAUUUACCAUUGUAUUGGGUGUGUUGGGGACACAAGAGACUCUUUGUUAUUUGGUUGCAGGGUUGCUUGAGAGAGACCAUCUUCAUCCUACGCCUCCUACGGAUUGAUAAACCUUAGGUCAUCCACUUGAGGGAAAUUUGCUACUGUCCUACAAACCUCUGUACUUGGAGGCCCAACAACGUCUACAAGAAGAAGGUUGUGUAGUAGACAUCAAGCUCUUUUCUGGCGCAGUUGCCGGGAAGGUGAGUGCUUGAAGUUAUAUCUUUAGAUCUUGCAAUCGAAUCUUUUUGUUUCUUGUUUUAGCACUAGUUUAGUUUAUAAAAGAAAACUACAAAAAAACGGAAUUGAGUUUACCUCACACGCUUCAUCUUUUUAAUAUCUUUCGUGAGUAUGAUGGAAAGAAAAAUUGUGCCAAAGUGUUAGAAGAAGAAUGCAUUAAACUGUUUGGCAUUAAAUAUUUGAAUGAUGAGCAUUAUUGCAAUGUUGUUAGUAUGAAUUCCUUGAAUAUCCAUAGUACUAAUGAUGAUUGCACUAGUUAUGAUGAAAAUGUCUCAUGUAAACAUGUCAAUUUUUGUGGAGUGCAUUGGGUUUGCAAGUACACACCAAUUAGGGAAGAUAGAUUUUGCAAGAGGCAUAAGUACUUAGAAACUAAAUUGUUGCAAGAAAGGCUAGAUGAAUGUGCUGAAAAUUUAAAUUUUCUUGGCCAUACUUGUGAGCUUUGCAAUGAACAUGGUUAUUUAACCAUCCGAUGCAAAUUGUUUCAUGAUCUAAUCGUUUCCAAAAAUUGUGAUGACUUGAUUUCCCUUGCACAUCAUAAUGAACUUAGUUUGCUUAUGGGUUAUGAGGAAAUGAAAUGUAUAACUAACUAUCUUCCAGUAUUUUCCCAUGAUAAACUUCUUGGAUUUGACCUAGAGGAAAUUUAUAUGUAUUGUGCGGUGAAUUGCAUUGAAAACCCCUAUAUUGUCAAUUACAUAAAGAAAAGAAAACAAAUAGAGGAUGAACAGAAUACUAAUGAAAGGGAAGAGACCUCCCAAUAUCCUCCUAUUAUUUCUUAUGAUGAACCAGGUAACGAGGAGGAGCCUCCUAUUCAACCAAUCUCAUUAAUAAGGAGCUCCAAAAAGAGGAUUGAACCCACACACGAUGUAGUGAAGAAGAAGAAAAGAAAGAGGAAGAGAGGUAAAAAGAUAUCUCUCCCAAAUAAUGCUGCUCCUAUUACUAUUGUGCCUCAUGAAAAUAUAAUUGUGGAAAAUAAUGAUACUUCUUAUGAUCUUGAAAAUCCUUUUGUCACUUGCUUGGAAGAAUAUGAUAAUUGCUAUACUAUUGGUGCUAUCCAUACUAUUAAUGAUGAGAGUGAUUAUGCUUAUGAUAUGAAAAGGCCCAAGCUUUGGGAUGCUAUGUUUGAUGAAGAUGAUGUUUUUGAGAAUAUAUUUGCUACAAUUAAUGUUUGUCCCAAGCUUGGGGAUGCUAUGUUUAAUCAAGAUGAUAUUUUUAGUCUCCCAAGUUUUGAUAUGCAAAUUUAUAAUGAUGAUAGCAUGCCUCCUACUUAUGAUGAUUAUUGUGAUGAUACUUAUGCUAUAAAAAGUAAUGAUUAUAUUUAUAAAACUUGUCAUGAUUAUGGUUACCCCUUUUCUGAACAUUACUCUUUUAAUGUGGAAACAAUUUAUAGUAUUCGAGUUUCUUAUGAUACUCCCACUAUUCCGAAUGAGAAGAAUUUUGCUUGUGUAGAGAGUAAUAAAAUUUCUAUGCUUGUAGAUCAUGAAAAGAAUGCUUUAGGUGCUGGUUAUAUUUUUGAAUUCAUUCAUGAUGCUACUGAAAAUUAUUAUGAGGGAGGAACAUAUGCUUGUAGGAAUUGCAAUAAUAUCAAGUUUCCUCUCUAUGUGCUUAAAGUUUUGAAGUUAUGCUUGUUUUGCCCUCCUAUGCUAGUUGAUUAUUGUUCCCAUAAGUUGUUUGCUCACAAAAUUCCUACACAUAGGAAGUGGGUUAGACUUACAUGUUCUAGUCAUAUGCUUCAUGAUGCUCUCUUUAUGUUUCAAUUCUUAUCUUUUAUGUGAGCAUCAUUGAAAUCGUCAUGCCUAGCUAGGGGCGUUAAACGAUAGCGCUUGUUGAGAGGAAACCCAACUUUAUUUUUGUUCCUUGAUUUUUGCUCCUGUCUAGCAAUAAAUAAUUUAUCUAGCAUCUGUUAUGAUUGAGUUUUUAUGUUAGAACCGUUGGGAAGACUUGGGGAAAGUCUUGGCGAUCAUGCUGUAAAAAAACAGAAACUUUAGCGCUCACGAGAAUUGCUGACAUUUUUUAUUGGAGAGUGCUAUUUGGUUAAUUAUUUUUGCAGAUGAUUAAUAGAUAAAUUCCUCACGUCCAGCAAUUUAUUUUAGAAUUUUUGAGGCUCCAGAAGUUUGCGUUAGUUACAGAUUACUACAGACUGUUCUGUUUUUGACAGAUUCUGUUUUUCGUGUGUUGUUUGCUUAUUUUGAUGAAUCUAUGGCUAGUAAAAUAGUUUAUAAACCAUAGAGAAGUUUUAAUACAGUAGGUUUAACACCAAUAUAAAUAAAUAAUGAGUUCAUUACAGUACCUUUAAGUGGUGUUUUAUUUUCUUUCGCUAACGGAGCUCACGAGUUUUCCAUUUUAAGUUUUGUGUUGUGAAGUUUUCAAGUUUUGGGUAAAGAUUUGAUGGAUUAUGGAAUAAGGAGUGGCAAGAGAAUAAGCUUGGGGAUGCCGAAGGCACCCCAAGGUAAUAUUCAAGGACAACCAAAAGCCUAAGCUUGGGGAUGCCCCGGAAGGCAUCCCCUCUUUCGUCUUCGUUCAUCGGUAACUUUACUUGGAGCUAUAUUUUUAUUCACCACAUGUUACGUGUUUUGCUUGGAGCGUCAUUUUAUUUCAUUUUUUUGCUUGCUGUUUGAAUAAAGUAUCAAGAUAUGAAAUUAUUAAGUGGGAGAGUCUUCACAUAGUUGCAUAAGUAUUCGACUACUCAUUGAUCUUCACUUACAUCUUUCAGAGUAGUUUGUCAUUUUCUCUAGUGCUUCACUUAUAUCUUUUGAGAGCACGGUGGUGGUUUUAUUUUGUAGAAAUAGAUGAACUCUCGUGCUUCACUAAUAUUAUUUUGAGAGUCCUCAGAACAGCAUGGUAAUUUGCUUUGGUUAUGAAUUUAGUCCUAAUAAGAUGGGCAUCCAAGAGGGAUAUAAUAAAAACUUUCAUAUAAGUGCAUUGAAUACUAAGAGAAGUUUGAUACUUGAUGAUUGUUUUGAGAUAUGGAGAUAGUGAUAUUAAAGUUGUGCUAUUUGACACUACUAGGAAAAGGCCUACUAAUGGCGCACCAGUUUUGCCUACUAAUGGCGCAUCACUGGUGCGCCAUUACUAGCACGCCAUUAGUAAUUUUUAGUAAUGGCGCACCACUGGUGCGCCAUUAGUAUCGGCCACGGUGCGCCAUUCGUAUAGGCCACUGGUGCGCCAUUAGUAUAGGCCACGGUGCGCCAUUAGUAUUUUUGGAUUUUGAAGGCGGGAAAAUAGUAGUGGCGCACCGUCUAACCCCCACCGUGCGCCAUUACUAUUUUUGAAUUUUGAAUUUGGAUCUGGAUCGUGAUUUUUUUGCCCAUUUUUUGCUCGUUUUUUUGCUCGUUUUUUGGCACAAUAUUAUUUCAAAUUUUGUUCUUGUUUUUGGAUCUUGUACGUUCUUUUGCCGUGUUCUUUUGCCGGAGAGGAGUUCGCCGGAGAGGAGGAGGAGGAGGUCACCGGAGAGGCGCUCGCCUACAUCGCCGGAGAGGAGGAGGAGGUCGCCGGAGAGGAGUUCACCGAAGCAUCGGAGAGGAGGAAGGAGAAACCAUGAGGGAAUGGGAGGAGAGGAGGGAGGAGAAACCAUGAGGGGAGGGGAGGAGAGGAGGGAGNNNNNNNNNNNNNNNNNNNNNNNNNNNNNNNNNNNNNNNNNNNNNNNNNNNNNNNNNNNNNNNNNNNNNNNNNNNNNNNNNNNNNNNNNNNNNNNNNNNNNNNNNNNNNNNNNNNNNNNNNNNNNNNNNNNNNNNNNNNNNNNNNNNNNNNNNNNNNNNNNNNNNNNNNNNNNNNNNNNNNNNNNNNNNNNNNNNNNNNNNNNNNNNNNNNNNNNNNNNNNNNNNNNNNNNNNNNNNNNNNNNNNNNNNNNNNNNNNNNNNNNNNGGAGAGGAGAAGGAGGUCGCCGGAGAGGAGGAGAUGGAGUGGAGGAGAGGAGGAGAUGGAGUGGAGGAGAGGAGAGGAGGAGAUGGAAUGGAGGAGAGGUGGAGUGGAGGAGGUGCGCCCAGCCAUGUAUACGACAUAGUAAUGGCGCACCGUGGGCAGGUGCGCCAUUACUAACUUUUUUUAUUUUUUGAUUUAUUUUGAAUUUUGAAGGCGGGAAGAUACUAAUGGCGCACCGUGGGCAGGUGCGCCAUUAGUAACUUUUUUUUUAUUUUUGACUAAUUUUGAAUUUUGAAGGCGGGAAGAUACUAAUGGCGCACCGUGGGCAGGUGCGCCAUUAGUAACUUUUUUUGACUAAUUUUGAAUUUUGAAGGUGGGAAGAUACUAAUGGCGCACCACGGGGUGGUGCGCCAUUAGUAACUUUUUUUUAUUUUGUUGACUUAUUUUGAAUUUUGAAGGCGGGAAGAUACUAAUGGCGCACCAUGGGCAGGUGCGCCAUUAGUAAGUUUGAAUUAUUUUUAAUUUUUUUGCCUCUCCAGAUCUUAAAAGCCCCAUAUAUUUUUUUCUGUUAGGUUUUUGAGGAUUUUAAAAAUGUUUAACGGAUUCCCCGGUUAAAUUUGGAUGUAACUUUUCGAGUAGAUGAUUUUUCAUAUAAAAAACUUUUUCAUCCGAGUUAGUAUGCAAAAGUUAUGCCCAUUUUUACAAAUUNNNNNNNNNNNNNNNNNNNNNNNNNNNNNNNNNNNNNNNNNNNNNNNNNNNNNNNNNNNNNNNNNNNNNNNNNNNNNNNNNNNNNNNNNNNNNNNNNNNNNNNNNNNNNNNNNNNNNNNNNNNNNNNNNNNNNNNNNNNNNNNNNNNNNNNNNNNNNNNNNNNNNNNNNNNNNNNNNNNNNNNNNNNNNNNNNNNNNNNNNNNNNNNNNNNNNNNNNNNNNNNNNNNNNNNNNNNNNNNNNNNNNNNNNNNNNNNNNNNNNNNNNNNNNNNNNNNNNNNNNNNNNNNNNNNNNNNNNNNNNNNNNNNNNNNNNNNNNNNNNNNNNNNNNNNNNNNNNNNNNNNNNNNNNNNNNNNNNNNNNNNNNNNNNNNNNNNNNNNNNNNNNNNNNNNNNNNNNNNNNNNNNNNNNNNNNNNNNNNNNNNNNNNNNNNNNNNNNNNNNNNNNNNNNNNNNNNNNNNNNNNNNNNNNNNNNNNNNNNNNNNNNNNNNNNNNNNNNNNNNNNNNNNNNNNNNNNNNNNNNNNNNNNNNNNNNNNNNNNNNNNNNNNNNNNNNNNNNNNNNNNNNNNNNNNNNNNNNNNNNNNNNNNNNNNNNNNNNNNNNNNNNNNNNNNNNNNNNNNNNNNNNNNNNNNNNNNNNNNNNNNNNNNNNNNNNNNNNNNNNNNNNNNNNNNNNNNNAAUUUUUUUACUAAUGGCGCACCGUGGAUGUGGUGCGCCAUUACUAGUUCAACUAGUAAUGGCGCACCACCCCCACGGUGCGCCAUUAGUAGUUUUGAAAAAAAUUAAAUUUUUUUACCAAUGGCGCACCGUGGAUGUGGUGCGCCAUUAGUAUUUGGACACUAAUGGCGUACCAACACAUGGUGCGCCAUUAGUAUAUAGUAAUGGCGCACCACAUGUCUGGUGCGCCAUUAGUGUCAAUUCCAUCUAUAGCCCUUUUCCUAGUAGUGUGAGUAGUUGUGAAUUUGAGAAAUACUUGUGUUGAAGUUUGCAAGUCCCGUAGCAUGCACGUAUGGUAAACGUUAUGUAACAAAUUUGAAACAUGAGGUGUUCUUUGAUUGUCCUCCUUAUGAAUGGCGGUCGGGGACGAGCGAUGGUCUUUUCCUACCAAUCUAUCCCCCUAGGAGCAUGCGUGUAGUGCUUGGUUUUUGAUGACUUGUAGAUUUUUGCAAUAAGUAUAUGAGUUCUUUAUGACUAAUAUUGAGUCCAUGGAUUAUAUGCAUUCUCACCCUUCCAUCAUUGCUAGCCUCUUCGGUACCGUGCAUUGCCCUUUCUCACAUUGAGAGUUGGUGCAAACUUCGCUGGUGCAUCCAAACCCCGUGAUAUGAUACACUCUUUCACACAUAAACCUCCUUAUAUCUUCCUCAAAACAGCCACCAUACCUACCUAUUAUGGCAUUUCCGUAGCCAUUCUGAGAUAUAUUGCCAUGCAACUUUCCACCAUUCUGUUUGUCAUGACACAUUCAUCAUUGUCAUAUUGCUUAGCAUGAUCAUGUAGUUGACAUAGUAUUUGUGGCAAAGCCACCGUUCAUAAUUAUUUCAUACAUGUCACUCUUGGUUCAUUGCAUAUCCCGGUACACCGCCGGAGGCAUUCAUAUAGAGUCAUAUCUUGUUCUAGUAUCGAGUUGUAAAUAAAUAGAAGUGUGAUGAUCAUCAUUAAUAGAGCAUUGUCCCAAAAAAAGGAAGAGAACGACCAAAUAAAAAAGGGAAGCCCCCCACCCAAAAAAGAAAAGAAAGGCCAGAUAAAAAAUAAAAAAAAUAAAAAAAAUAAAAGGGACAAUGCUACUAUCCUUUUUCCACACUUGUGCUUCAAAGUAGCACCAUGAUCUUUAUGAUAGAGAGUCUCUUGUUUUGUCACUUUCAUAUACUAGUGGGAAUUUUUUAUUAUAGAACUUGGCUUGUAUAUUCCAACAAUGGGCCUCCUCAAGUGCCCUAGGUCUUUGUGAGCAAGCAAGUUGGAUGCACACCCACUUAGUUUCUUUUGUUGAGCUUUCAUACAUUUAUGGCUCUAGUGCAUCCGUUGCAUGGCAAUCCCUAAUCCUUGCAUUGACAUCAAUUGAUGGGCAUCUCCCUAGCCCAUUGAUUAGCCGCGUCGAUGUGAGACUUUCGCCUUUUGGUCUUCUCCACAUAACCCCCUCAUUAUAUUCUAUUCCACCCAUAGUGCUAUAUCCAUGGCUCACGCUCAUGUAUUGCGUGAAAGUUGAAAAAAGUUUGAGAUUACUAAAGUAUGAAACAAUUACUUGGCUUGUCAUCGGGGUUGUGCACAAUGAGAGCAUUCUUGUGUGACGAAAAUGGAGCAUGGCCAAACUAUAUGAUUUUGUAGGGAUGAACUUUCUUUGGCCAUGUUAUUUUGAGAAGACAUGAUUGCUUAGUUAGUAUACUUGAAGUAUUAUUAUUUUUAUGUCACUAUUAAACUUUUGUCUUGAAUCUUAUGGAUCUGAAUAUUCUUGCCACAAUAAAGAGAACUACAUGGAUAAAUAUGUUAGGUGGCAUUCUACAUCAAAAAUUCUGUUUUUAUCUUUUAGCUACUCCAGGACGAGCAGGAAUUAAGCUUGGGGAUGCUGAUACGCCUCCAACGUAUCUAUAAUUUUUAUUGUUCCAUGCUAUUAUAUUAUCAACCUUGGAUGUUUUAUAUGCAUCUUUAUGCUAUUUUAUAUCAUUUUUGGGACUAACCUAUUAACCUAGAGCCCAGUGCCAGUUUCUGUUUUUUCCUUGUUCUAGGGUUUCGAAGAAAAGGAAUAUCAAAUGGAGUCCAAACGGAAUGAAACCUUCGGAAAAGUUGUUUUUGGAAAGAAAGCAAUACAGGAGACUUGGAGUGCACGUCAGCGGAUCAACGAGGAAGCCACGAGGCAGGGGGCGCGCCCACCCCCUGGGCGCGCCCUCCACCCUCGUAGGCCCCUCGUGGCUCCCCUAAUGUAUUUCUUCCGCCUGUAUGUACCAAUAUACCCUAAAACGAUCGGGGAGCACAAUAGAUUGGGAGUUCCGCCGCCAGAAGCCUCUGUAGCCACUAAAAGUGAAUCUAGACCCGUUCCGGCACCCUGCCGGAGGGUGAAUCCCUCUCCGGUGGCCAUCUUCAUCAUCCCGGUGCUCUCCAUGACGAGGAGGGAGUAGUUCUCCCUUGGGGCUGAGGGUAUGUACCAGUAGCUAUGUGUUUAAUCUCUCUCUCUCUCUCUCUCGUGUUCUUGAGGUGAUACGAUCUUGAUGUAUCGCGAGCUUUGCUAUUAUAGUUGUAUCUUAUGUUUCUUCUCCUCCUCUACUCUCUUGUAAUGGAUUGAGUUUCCCCUUCGAAGUUAUCUUAUCGGAUUGAGUCUUUAAAGAUUUGAGAACACUUGAUGUAUGUCUUGCCGCGUGUAUCUGUGGUGACAAUGGGAUAUCACGUGAUUCACUUGAUGUAUGUUUUCGUGAUCAACUUGCGGGUUCCGCCCAUGAACCUAUGCAUAGGGGUUGGCACACGUUUUCGUCGUGAUUCUUUGGUAGAAACUUUGGUGCACUCUUUGAGGUUCUAUGUGUUGGUUGAAUAGAUGAACUUGAGAUUGUGUGAUGCAUAUCGUAUAAUCAUACCCACAGAUACUUGAGGUGACAAUGGUUUGCUCACAAAAUCCCUAUGCAUAGGAAGUGGGUUAGACUUAAAUGUUCUAGUCAUAUGCUUCAUGAUGCUCUCUUUAUGUUUCAGUUCUUAUCUUUUAUGUGAGCAUCAUUGAAAUCAUCAUGCCUAGCUAGGGGCGUUAAACGAUAGCGCUUGUUGGGAGGAAACCCAACUUUAUUCUUGUUCCUUGCUUUUUGCUCCUGUUUAGCAAUAAAUAACUUAUCUAGCCUCUGUUAUGAUUGAGUUUUUAUGUUUUAAUUAGUGUUUGUGCCAAGUAGAACCGUUGGGAAGACUUGGGGAAAGUCUUUGCGAUCAUACUGUAAAAAACAGAAACUUCAGCGCUCACGAGAAUUGAUGGGCAUCUCCUUAACCCAUUGAUUAGCCGCGUCGAUGUGAGACUUUCUCCUUUUUGUCUUCUCCACAUAACCCCCUCAUUAUAUUCUAUUCCACCCAUAGUGCUAUAUCCAUGGCUCACGCUCAUGUAUUGCGUGAAAGUUGAAAAAAGUUUGAGAUUACUAAAGUAUGAAACAAUUGUUUGGCUUGUCAUCGGGGUUGUGCAUGAUGAGAGCAUUCUUGUGUGACGAAAAUGGAGCAUGACCAAACUAUAUGAUUUUGUAGGGAUGAACUUUCUUUGGCCAUGUUAUUUUGAGAAGACAUGAUUGCUUAGUUAGUAUGCUUGAAGUAUUAUUAUUUUUAUGUCAAUAUUAAACUUUUUUCUUGAAUCUUAUGUAUUUGAAUAUUCUUGCCGGAAUAAAGAGAACUACAUGGAUAAAUAUGUUAGGUAGCAUUCCACAUCAAAAAUUCGGUUUCAUUAGCGGCGUGCCCUGCACCCAUUUAUCACGUCGUAUCUCUGUAGUAUGCGCAUUCCCAAUUUGUCACGGCAUACCCUCCUUCAAACCUUCUUGCCCUUUCAGAUUAGCACGCCAAGCUAGCUAUGCACUAUGCGGGAACCUGCAUUUGAAAAAAAAGAAUCUCAUUUCAUGGUAUCUUCCAUGAAGGACCCUCGUACAUGAGCUAUCUAGAUAGAAAUAGCCAUGUAUGUUUAGCAAACUUUGCAUAAGUGAAUAGAUCAAGGUCGUGGAACCCCAAGCCUCCAAUUACACACGGCCUCUCUACCAAUAAGAUCUCCAAAGACAUCAAGGAUACAGACAGCCAAAAAAGAAAAUAAAAAGGAAAAAAAUAAAAAAUACCCCACCAUGGUGAUCAAUCACAAGCAUCAGCAGCACUCUAACCACCACCUAAGACAACGCCCAGAUUACAAAAAAAAUUCUCCAAAAGCAAUGCCCCCAAGAAGGAAACAAUACACAAGCGUUGUCGUUGCCCGAUCGAAGAUCGUGGGUUUUCACACUGGAAAAUUUUUGAGUUCACCCAAAAACAAUGCCUUCAACAAGGCCAUUGCCAAGUACAACAAAUAUGGCUGAGACCUUGGGUUUUCACCCUAGGAAUUGAGAGUCGAUGCUCGAGGAGUACCACCAAAAAUGCAGUCCACUAGUGUUGCCGCCCCCACUUGGCGAGGCCGCUGUUGCAAGUCACCAAACACCUGGCAUAUAGUUGUCAUCGCAUCCAAUACACCCUUCGGCCGAAGCUUCAAGACCUUGAUCCGUCUCCAACGUAUCUAUAAUUUUUGAUUGUUCCAUGCUAUUAUAUUAUCUGUUUUGGAUGUUUUAUAUGAGUAGGGCGUUUUGGUGCCCAGGCUCAUCUGCACCCGGUUAGAAAAAAUUCAUAAAAAAUUUAAACAAAUUCAAAAAAUUCCAAAUAAAAUUUGUAUGGUAGACAAUUUGAUGCGUGAGGCCCGCCUCAAAUUUCAAGUCAUUUGGAUAUAUGAGAAGCUCUCAGCAAAAAAGACAAAUCGGACUAAAACAGUACAUGAACAGUAAACAUUUUUACAGACCCUCAAUUUGUCUUUUUUGCUGAGAGCUGCUCAUAUGUUCAAAUGACUUGAAAUUUGGAGCGUGCCUCACGCAUCAAAAUUUCUAUCACACAAAUUUUAUUUGGAAUUUUUCGAAUUUUUCUAGUAUUUGUUUUGAUUUUUUUCGUCGGCACAGGUGCAGAUGAGCUCAGGUGCAGAAAUGGAUUUUCGGUUUUAUUUGCACUAUUAUGCUAUUUUAUAUGAUUUUUGCGACUAACCUAUUAAACUAGAGCCCAGUGCCAGUUCCUGUUUUUUCCUUGUUUUAGAGUUUCACAGAAAAGGAAUACCAAACGGAGUCCAAACGGAAUGAAACUUUUGCGAUGAUGUUUCUUAGACCAGAAGACAUCUAGAGGACUUGGAGUGCACGUUAGGAAAGCCAUGAGGUGGCCACAAUGACGGAGGGCACGCCCCCACCCUUGUGGGCUCCUCGUGACUCUACCGACCUAUUUCGUCCGCAUAUAUAUUCUCAAAUAUUCCAAAACCUACUAGGAGAGCCACAAAAAAACUUUUCCACCGUCGCAACCUUCUGUACCCAUGAGUUCCCAUCUAGGGGCCUUUUCCGGCAUCCCGUCGGAGGGGGAUUCGAUCACGGAGGGCUUCUACAUCAACACCAUUGCCUCUCCGAUGAAGCGUGAGUAGUUUACCACAGACCUAUGAGUCCAUAGCUAGUAUCUAAACGGCUUCUUCUCUCUCUUUGAUUCUCAAUACCAUGUUCUCUUCGAUGUUCUUGGAGAUCUAUUCGUUGUAAUACUCUUUUUGCGGUGUGUUUGCCGAGAUCCGGUGAAUUGUGGAUAUAUGAUCAGGUUAUCUAUGAAUAUUAUUUGAAUCUCCUAUGAAUUCUUAUAUGCAUGAUUUGAUAUAUUUGCAAGUCUCUUCGAACUAUCGAUUUGGUUUGGCCAACUAGAUUGGUUUUUCUUGCAAUGGGAGAAGUGCUUAACUUUGGGUUCAAUCUUGCGGUGCUCGAUCCCAGUGACAGAAGGGGAUGAUACGUCUCCAACGUAUCUAUAAUUUUUGAUUGUUCCAUGCUAUUAUAUUAUCAACCUUGGAUGUUUUAUAUGCAUUUAUAUGCUAUUUUAUAUGAUUUUUGGGACUAACCUAUUAACCUAGAGCCCAGUGCCAGUGCCAGUUUCUGUUUUUUCCUUGUUUUAGGGUUUCAAAGAAAAGGAAUAUCAAACAGAGUCCAAACGGAAUGAAACCUUCGGAAAAGUUAUUUUUGGAAAGAAAGCAAUACGAGAGACUUGGAGUGCACGUCAGGGGAUCAACGAGGAAGCCACGAGGCAGGGGCACGCCCUCCACCCUCGUGGCUCCCCUAAUGUAUUUCUUCCGCCUAUAUAUAUCCAUAUACCCUAAAAUGAUCGGGGAGCACAAUAGAUCGGGAGUUCCGCCACCAGAAGCCUCCGUAGCCACCGAAAGCCAAUCUAGACCCGUUCCGGCACCCUGCCGGAGGAGGAAUCCCUCUUCGGUGUCCAUCUUCAUCAUCCCGGUGCUCUCCAUGACGAGGAGGGAGUAGUUCUCCCUCAGGGCUGAGGGUAUGUACCAGUAGCUAUGUGUUUGAUCUCUCUCUCUCUCUCUCUCUCUCUCUCUCGUGUUCUUGAGGUGAUACGAUCUUGAUGUAUCGCGAGCUUUGCUAUUAGAGUUGGAUCUUAUGUUUCUUCUCCCCCUCUACUCUCUUGUAAUGGAUUGAGUUUCCCCUUCGAAGUUAUCUUAUCGGAUUGAGUCUUUAAAGAUUUGAGAACACAUGAUGUAUGUCUUGCCGUGCGUAUCUGUGGUGACAAUGGGAUAUCACGUGAUUCAUUUGAUGUAUGUUUUGGUGAUCAAGUUGCGGGUUCCACCCAUGAACCUAUGCAUAGGGGUUGGCACACAUUUUCGUCAUGAUUCUCCGGCAGAAACUUUGGGGCACUCUUUGAGGUUCUAUGUGUUGGUUGAAUAGAUGAAUCUGAGAUUGUGUGAUGCAUAUCGGAUAAUCAUACCCACGGAUACUUGAGGUGACAAUGGAGUAUCUAGGUGACAUUAGGGUUUUGGUUGAUUUGUGUCUUAAGGUGUUAUUCUAGUACGAACUCUAGGGCUGUUUGUGACACUUAUAGGAAUAGCCCAAUGGAUUGAUUGGAAAGAAUAACUUGGAGGUGGUUUCGUACCCUACCAUAAUCUCUUCGUUCGUUCUCCGCUAUUAGUGACUUUGGAGUGAUUCUUUGUUGCAUGUUGAGGGAUAGUUAUGUGAUCCAAUUAUGUUAUUAUUGUUGAGAGAACUUGCACUAGUGAAAGUAUGAACCCUAGGUCUUGUUUCAACGCAUUGCAAUACCGUUUACGCUCACUUUUAUCAUUAGUUACCUUGCUGUUUUUAUAUUUUCAGAUUACAAAAACCUUUAUCUACCAUCCAUAUACCACUUGUAUCACCAUCUCUUCGCCGAACUAGUGCACCGAUACAAUUUACCAUUGUAUUGGGUGUGUUGGGGACACAAGAGACUCUUUGUUAUUUGGUUGCAGGGUUGGUUGAGAGAGACCAUCUUCAUCCUACGCCUCCUACAGAUUGAUAAACCUUGGGUCAUCCACUUGAGGAAAAUUUGCUACUGUCCUACAAACCUUUGCACUUGGAGGCCCAACAACGUCUACAAGAAGAAGGUUGUGUAGUAGACAUCAGGGGAACCGACACAUAUUGUAGUGUUUCCAUCGAGGAUAACAAGAUGGGGUUUUCGUCAUAUUGCUUGAGUUUAUCCCGCUACAUCAAGUCAUCUUACUUAAUGCGUUAUCCUGUUCUUAUGAACUUAGUACUCUAGGUGCAGGCAGGAGUCAGUGGACGUGUGGAGUAAUAGUAGUAGAUGCAAGCAGGAGUCCGUCUACUUGAUACAAACAUGAUGCUUAUGUUCAUGAUCAUUGCCUUAGAUAUCGUCAUAAGUUUGCACUUUUCUAUCAAUUGCUCAGCAGUAAUUUGUUCACCCACCGUAAGAUUUUCUAUCUUGAGAGAAGCCUCUAGUGAAACCUAUGGCCCCGGGGUCUACUUUCCAUCAUAUAAGUUUCUGAUCUACAAUUGUGUUGGUUGAAUAGAUGAAUCUGAGAUUGUGUGAUGCAUAUCGUAUAAUCAUACCCACGGAUACUUGAGGUGACAAUGGAGUACCUAGGUGACAUUAGUGUUUUGGUUGAUUUGUGUCUUAAGGUGUUAUUCUAGUACGAACUCUAGGGCUGUUUGUGACACUUAUAGGAAUAGCCCAACGGAUUGAUUGGAAAGAAUAACUUUGAGGUGGUUUCGUACCCUACCAUAAUCUCUUCGUUCGUUCUCCGCUAUUAAUGACUUUGGAGUGACUCUUUGUUGCAUGUUGAGGGAUAGUUAUGUGAUCCAAUUAUGUUAUUAUUGUUGAGAGAACUUGCACUAGUGAAAGUAUGAACCCUAGGCCUUGUUUCAACGCAUUACAAUACCGUUUACGCUCAGUUUUAUCAUUAGUUACCUUGCUGUUUUUAUAUUUUCAGAUUACAAAAACCUUUAUCUACCAUCCAUAUACCACUUGUAUCACCAUCUCUUCGCUGAACUAGUGCACCUAUACAAUUUACCAUUGUAUUGGGUGUGUUGGGGACACAAGAGACUCUUUGUUAUUUGGUUGCAGGGUUGCUUGAGAGAGACCAUCUUCAUCCUACACCUCCUACGGAUUGAUAAACCUUAGGUCAUCCACUUGAGGGAAAUUUGCUACUGUCCUACAAACCUCUGCACUUGGAGGCCCAACAACGUCUACAAGAAGAAGGUUGUGUAGUAGACAUCAGGGGAACCGACACAUAUUGUAUUGUUUCCAUCGAGGAUAACAAGAUGGGGUUUUCGUCAUAUUGCUUGAGUUUACCCCGCUACAUCAAGUCAUCUUACUUAAUGCGUUAUCCUGUUCUUAUGAACUUAAUACUCUAGAUGUAGGCAGGAGUCGGUGGACGUGUGGAGUAAUAGUAGUAGAUGCAAGCAGGAGUCAGUCUAGUUGAUACAAACGUGAUGCUUAUGUUCAUGAUCAUUGCCUUAGAUAUCGUCAUAACUUUGCGCUUUUAUAUCAAUUGCUCAACAGUAAUUUGUACACCCACUGUAAGAUUUUCUAUCUUGAGAGAAGCCUCUAGUGAAACUAUGGCCCCGGGGUCUACUUUCCAUCAUAUAAGUUUCCGAUCUACAAUUUUAGUUUCCUAUCACUUCCUUUGCAAUCUUUUACUUUCCAUUCCAUAAACCAAAAAUACCAAAAAUAUUACUUUACCGAUUAUCCAUCUCUAUCAGAUCUCACCUUGCAAAUAACCAUGAAGGAUUGACAACCCCUUUGUCGCAUUAGGUGUAAGUUGCUAUUUGUUUGAGCAUGUAUUCAGUGACUUGUGCAUUGUCUCCUACUGGAUUGAUACCUUGGUUCUCAAAACUGAGGGAAAUACUUACUCUACUUUGCUGCAUCACCCUUUCCACUUCAAGGGAAAAACCAACGCAAGCUCAAGAGGAAGUAGGAAGAAUUUCUGGCACCGUUGCCGGGGACAUCUACGCCAAGUCAAGACAUACCAAGUACCCAUCAUAAACUCUCAUCUCUUGCAUUAUAUUAUUUGCCAUUCGCCUCUCGUUUUCCUCUCCCCCACUUCUAAAAUGAUUUGCCUUUUCUUCGCCCUCUUCCAUUCAUCUUCUUCGCUUGCUUUUUGUGUGCUCAUGUGUUGGAUUGCUUGCUUUGUCACGAUGUCUCAAGAGAAUACCAAAUUGUGUGACUUUUCCAAUACCAACAACAAUGAUUUUAUUAGUACCCCGAUUGCUCCCGCUACUAAUGCGGAAUCUUGUGAAAUUAAUGCUGCUUUGCUGAGUCUUGUUAUGAAAGAUCAAUUUUCCGGCCUUCCCAAUGAAGAUGCCGCAUCCCAUCUAAACAAUUUCGUUGAUUUGUGUGAUAUGAAAAAGAAAAAAGAUAUGGAUAAUGAUAUUGUUAAAUUGAAGCUAUUUCCGUUGUCACUUCGAGAUCGUGCUAAAACUAGGUUUUCAUCUUUGCCUAAAAAUAGCGAGUGUCAUUUUUUAAUGCGAGUGAUUAGUUUUUAAAGAAUGAUUGGCAUUCUUUCUUAAUUGCUCAUCUACUAAUCGUUUGGCGUGUUUUCUUAUCUUGUCAAAAUCAUAUCCCCUGGCUGUAAAUAUCAAAGAAUAAUUUCAUUUGUUGGGCUUGGACUGUACUGUCCGAGAGUCAGAGUAUAAAUACCAUACGAUUUCAAGAGCAAUAGCAACGGGGCAACCAUUAGUCCAUACUCUACACCAUAUGGCUAGAAAUUUUAUAUUAUAUAUAACAAAGUUGUGACAAAUUGGAAAUGGAAAGCAAUAAAAUGAAUAUGUUGCUAUAGGUUAUUAUUAUUACACAUGCACGUGUACCUUGAUCCUUGCUUGGACAUAGGGUCCGAGGAAGUUACAUUGCUUUGACUACUGAUAUUGUUUGUGUUAAAGUGUGCCACAAUGGCAUAAAUAUUGUCGUUGCAUAAUGGGAAACCACGUCAUAUUUAUCGAUGAUAUGUGGAAAUAGGGAUAAGCUACUUUAUGAAGAUAUAUAAGGAUGUAUGGGUUACGUUGGUGGAAAAUGUUGUUAUGAACACAAAUGCAGUUGCAUUUAUCAUGCAUUCGCGGUGAAGUGCGCUAUUGUGGCAUAUAUCUUCCUUUUUGCCACAGAAGCAUGGUAGAAUUAUAAAGAGAGUAUGUUUCUAUAGACAUUUCAAAAAAGAGAUUUGUGUAUACUCUCAUUAUACUGUAAUCACCAUAGAUUAUUCAGAUUAGAAGUUGUUGUCUCUACCACAUAUUUAGAUUUUCUAUACAUACUAAUAUCUAUAUCGCAUAGAAAAUCAUGUAUUUAUAUGAGAUCUUUGUGGUGCAUGAUAAAGCAAGAUUCCUUUUGUUAUUGCAGCAAUUUAUAAGUAUUUAAAUAUAUACUAAUAGCUAGUUUCUUCUGUGUUAUAAGGACAAAAUAAGACAUGCAUAGACAUGCAAAUACGUAUUAGAAAUCUGCUACUCCAAAUGUAUCAUGUUAAUCCAUGUAAGCCACGAAUCGCGUGCAUAUCAGGCAAAGCAGUUUUUUUUGUAAAAACAAUACAUAAUACUAAUCGAUGGUAUAGACGAUUCAAUACAUAUGCAUCAAGACACCGCUACCUUGCACAUAGUGAUAUAGGAUGGAAUUGAAUCUGAUCCGCUCCUUUCCAACUUAAUCGAGUAAUGUGUACUUCUCAUAAAUAGGCAUGUAUAUAGUAAUUGUUCUUUUGACCAAACGCUUGGUAUAUUAAUGAUCACAUUAUACAUUUAUGUAACAUUUCUUACUUGCGAAAUCUUUUACAAAUUGGAAUAUGGGAAUUUUAUUAAUACCUAGAAGAAAUACUACUAUUUAGAACAUAUAAUAACUGGUACUAUACUUUUUCUUAAUAUUGGUACUAUACUUAAUUGGACCAAAAGUUGCACAUAUUUUUGAUUAGUUCAUUUUUUUCUACAGAUUUAUCGGCGCCAUUAUUUCUCUAUGGUUGACAUGUAUAUGAACUACUGUCUGUAUAUAUUGAUCUGCAUUUAGACAAAUAUCAGGGACAAACACACAUACUGUUUAGCAUGUGUAGUUGUAAAGGUAGAAUACUGAUUUGUAGUAUUAAGAAAAUAUAUUUAUAAGAUCUUACUACAAUGUAUAUGGAUUGAGAAUCAGAGAAAUAACCAAGUGUUGUGCAAGGAUCAUUCUGACUAUCCAGUGGCAGAAUAAAAAUAGGAUGCUAAGCGCGGGGAGAAUACUUAUGUCCUAUAAACCUGCAAAUAAGAAGCAUGCAUUCACCAUAUAUUAGAAUUCCAAAUUUUAUAGUUCCUUUGCAUGUUGGAAAUAAGCUUUGCCCCUUGUGAUAUGGAUUAUCACGUAGAAUGGAAAGAGGAGAAAAAAAUUAUGGCUUAGCAGAAUCAAUGAGGAAAAGCACUACAUGUGAAGUAUCAAAACGUUGUGAUAGCACGAACCCCACCAGAUUUGAACUCGUGCUCUUAGUAUGACAUGAAAAGAGGGGCUACUCUCCAAUCGAAGUGAAAAUAGUAGAACUUUGAACUUAUAUAUAUAUACGCUUAAAAAUUCUAAAAGCAAAUGGUCAAAAACUCAGAAUAGCUUGAGCGGGCACUACUUGCUAACUCAAGCACAUGGCAACACAGUAUUAAGUCAAGAUUUUGCAACCGAGAGGGAAAGUCAAAUAAAUAAAUAAAUAAAUAAGGAUUCUCAUCAAACCUGUGAAUCCAAGCUAGUAUCUAACUAUUGUAUUGCUCAUAGUUUUGCAUACACCAUGGAACGUACGAUACAUAGCAUGUUGAAAAAUUAUAACCAAUUAAAUAGAAGAUAAAGGCAUAGUGCUAGGAGAUCAUCUCUCAGAGCAAUCAUCGCUGACAUAAACCUUCGGUUAAAUCACAUGUCUAAUUAGAACCUAGAGGUCUUUUACUUUUCCUUUAUAUGGAACCUUUAUUUUGACCUUUGGGGACUAUAGCCGCCUCAAAUAUGCAACUUUUUUUCGAAAUUUUAGUAUAGUGUAGUUGGAGCUUUUCCUGGUGUUCCAUAAAAAUAGCAAAGGGCAUAUUUCCUUUAGCCUACUUAUAUAUAAAAAAACGGCGUUCCUUAAUUAUUAUUCAAACUGAAAACACAUGCUAUCUUUAAAAGCAAAGAUGUACCUUAUGUGAGAAUCAUGCAUGUGUUAUUUCUAAUUAGUUAGGCAAUAAAAUAAUAGCAUCGUAUCAUUAGAUAAAUUAUUUUUCAACUGAAUCAGACAUGUGGGGUUUGACAAAAUUGAAAGUAUAUGCGAAGAUGUUAAGGAGAAAAUGUCAAUAUAAAAAAACUGUUUCUAUAGGCAGAUGUGAAUUACGUACAAAAAUAGGUCUGUUCGCUUUACAAAAGUUCUGGUGAAACCAAACUCCUGAGUUACUACAUGUAGAGCUCAAAAAUACCAGAUAUAGAGUAUAAAAUGAGAAUGGAAUACUAAGUGCAUCUUACAGAAAUUAUAAGAUCUUUUUAAUAGCUUCCUCAAUAUUACAUAGCAUACACAACAAUGAGGCAUCAAAUGAAUCAGUAUUCUAAAUAUGUAAAGAAGAAUAAGAAACACAAAGUAGCUGCUGCUCGAGCAACUACUACAUGCAAAUACAAUGCUUGAGAAUUUUCAAGCGUUCUGUUCGCUUUUUACCCUGAUUCAGCAUGGAUUAAAAAACCACAGUACUUAAUUCCGUGUAUCCUAAAUUCAAGCGUCAUGUUCGACGAAUUUCACCAUAGAUUUACAUGCCUGUGGACUUGUAGAACCAACAGCGCACUCUACAACAUCCGACAGAUAAAUCGAUCUGCUUUCCGUUCGCUGUAGGUUGUUCAUUGGGAAGCAGCACGAUCCACUUUAGACCACCAUCAGUAGACCUGAUCCUACGCUGCAUCGCAUUGUUAUAUUGCAGUCAGCUCGGAACUUAUGUCAAGGAGAAUAGUUAGACGAUGGAUUUGAUAUUUGGCCUUUUUGAGAUCUGAAACGUGUGUGUACUUCGUAGCUGUCAGCAGGUGGAAGGCCGUCCUGACAAAGAGGCAUAUUGCAUCCUAAAUUCAAGCACCAUGUUCGAAAAAAAAUCAGUAUGGGUUUACUUGCCUGUGGACUUGUAGAACCAACAUCAAACCCGACAAAAUCGGACAGAUAAAUCGAUCUGCUUUCCGUUCGUAGUAGGUUCUCCAAUGGGCAGCAGCACGAUCCACUUUAGACCACCUGAUCCUACGCUGCAUCUUGCAGUCAGCUCCGAACUUAACCCAGAAGAAUAGUUAGACGAUGGAUUUGAUAGUUGGCCUUUUUUUAGAUCAGAAUUGUAGGUGCAGGGUGGCUCGGCGAUCCUGACAAAGAUGAGAUUGAUCGGGGUCGCUAAUAAUCCCUUGUAGCACCUGCCGGGAUCCUUUGUGGUUCGCCGAGUGCACUUGAUGGCGAUGGGAUCAAGGGAAGAGAAGAAUUGAAGGAGGUGGGGUCGAGGGACAUGUUUUUCCUAUUUUAGGGGGAGAUAUCUUUCCUUUCUGUUUUUGCGUGAUUGUUUUCGUUUUUCAAUCGGCCGAAGAUUUUAUUGACAGAUCUAUUUUCUUUUUCUUUUCAUCACGGGAUUUUACAUGAAAGGAGGCUAUCUUUUUUUAGCAUGGAAGGAAGAUAUCUUUUUUAAAGGAACCGAUGGAUGCUUUGUUUGUUUGUUAAGCCAAUCUUGACGGUGUCGCGUUCCUUUAUUUUUUACGGGGCCAUAUAUGCUACCAUUGAUUGCAAUUAGUUUUUUUCUCUUGGAGAUGGAUUAUUUGUUUGUUGAACGUGUCUGCCUUAAUUAUGGAUGGACCAUCUGUGUAACGCAUGUUUACUUUUUAUCUUGGACGUUAAUUCUAUAAUCUAUCGGUGUAAUUAAUUUUGAUGAUGUGGAUUAAUGAGAAGGCCUUAAAAGGUGCCUCCAAUUAGUAAAUAUAUAAGAUAUAAGAUAUUGAUUCAUGGAAUAAGUUUAAGGAUGAAUUUAUUUCCAAGUAUUUUCCUCCCGCUAAGAUCAUCUCUCUUAGGAACGACAUUAUGAAUUUUAACCAACUUGAUCAUGAACAUGUUGCACAAUCUCCGUAGAGGAUGAAAUUGAUGAUAUGAAAUUGCCCUACACAUGGUUUGAAUAUGUGGAUGAUUAUACAAUUUUUUAUGCCGGAUUGAAUUUUGCUUCUAGAAAUCUUUUAGAUUCGGCCGUGGGAGGUACUUUUAUGGAAAUUACUUUAGGAGAAGCUACUAAACUCCUAGAUAAUAUUACGGUUAAUUAUUCUCAAUGGUAUACUGAAAGAUCUUCCACUAGUAAAAAAGUGCAUGCGAUUGAUGAGUUUAAUGUUUUGAGUGGAAAGAUGGAUGACCUUAUGAAAUUAUAUGCUAGCAAGAGUGCUUCUGUUGAUCCUAAUGAUAUGCCUUUGUCUACUUUGAUUGAGAAUAAUAAUGAAUCUAUGUAUGUGAAUUUUGUUGGUAGGAACAAUUUUGGUAAUAACGCUUAUGGAGGUAAUUUUAAUCCUAGACUGCUUCCUAAUAAUUCCCCUAAUAAUUAUGGCAAUUCCUACAACAAUUCUUCACUGGUAGAAAAAGGGCCUGUAGUCCCGGUUCGUAAGGGCCUUUAGUCCCGGUUCCUGAACCGGGACUAAAGUGUCGGUACUAAUACCUCCCACCUUUAGUCCCGGUUCAAUCCAGAACCGGGACUAAAGCCCAUCCACGUGGGCAGUGUGCAGAGCCCAGUCAGGAGACCCUUUGGUCCCGGUUGGUGGCACCAACCGGGACCAAUAGGCAUCCACGCGUCAGCAUUUCUGUGNNNNNNNNNNNNNNNNNNNNNNNNNNNNNNNNNNNNNNNNNNNNNNNNNNNNNNNNNNNNNNNNNNNNNNNNNNNNNNNNNNNNNNNNNNNNNNNNNNNNNNNNNNNNNNNNNNNNNNNNNNNNNNNNNNNNNNNNNNNNNNNNNNNNNNNNNCCGGUUCAAUCCAGAACCGGGACUAAAGCCCAUCCACGUGGGCAGUGCGCAGAGCCCAGUCAGGAGACCCUUUGGUCCCGGUUGGUGGCACCAACCGGGACCAAUAGGCAUCCACGCGUCAGCAUUUCUGUGGCUAGGGUUUUUAUUUUUAUUUUUUGAAAGGGGGGGGGGGUUGGGGGUUUUGGGGGGUUAAUUUAGGUGUUUCAUAUAUUGUGUUAGCUAGCUAUAAUUAAUAUAGAGAAGUGUCCUCUCUUAUGUCCGUGCUUGGUCGACGCUACGUACUAUACAUACGUAUAGAGAGGACUAGACACGCUGGCUAGCUAGUAAAGCAAACGAAGGAAACAGAAGAUCGUCAUGAACAUAUAUGCAUACAGAGAGAAGUGAUAUCGACCACCUCUCCUUCUCCGAGAGAUUGGUCGAACAACAAGUUCUCGUAUAUCUAUCUGACAGUACCGGCUACAUAUAUACAGUAAUUAUCUCUUACAAAUAUAAUCAUACGGACUCAGGUUUAACAUAGAAUUCUCCGUCUUCAGGGAUCACGUGGUCAAAAAAGAAUGCCGCCAAUUCCUCUUGAAUUGCUCGCAUGCGAGCUGGUGCUAGGAGUUCAUCCCGCUUCCGAAACAUCUAAUUUGAAGAAGGGGGUCAAUACAUAUAUAUAUAUAUAUGAAUGAAUGAAACUCAACACAAAUGAUGGUAAUAAAAUAAAAUUGUGAAUAUUGUUAUUUACGUACUUCAUAUUGUUCGUUAGAGUACCCGCCCCGCUCACACGUCGUGUGACGGAUGGACUCGCAGAUGUAGUAUCCACAGAAAUCAUUCCCUUGUUCCUGCCACAACCACUUUACAAGAAAUAGAGGUCAAUCAAACUGAUAAGCAAGAAUGCUAAAUGGUAUUGAUGAAACUAGCGCUUGAAUCACUAGGAGAUGCGCGGAACAUGCUACUAUAGUACUUACUUUCGGGUGUCUAAAUUCUAGCUCCUUCGGCAGUCCCGGAACUUUUUUGGUGAAUUUUCUCCAAACCAUGCCGGACAAAGAAAACAAUUACUUGAUAUCAGGAAAUGAACAAAGUUGCUGAUAUGGUGGAUAAUGAUCGAUUUAACUUACUUCUUGAGGAUUUCAGUCAUGUCUGCAUAGUCCUGCGGAUCUUUUCGUUUUGAGUCUAAGAAGGUUACUAGUCCCUGCUCAAGCUUAAUCUCUAGGAGAAUAUAGUGGAAACUGCACACGCAUGCAUAACUUAUGAAUUACAUUACUAUAACCUUGAGUAAUAUAUAAGGGAAACCGAAUACGCACAAGACAGUAGCACUCACUUGAAGUUGUAAGGAAAGAGUAUUAUAUCUUUGUUUUGAUUUAUUACGAACGAUUGUAGAAAGUUGGCCUCGGUAGCUGUGACAUGAAGUUUAACCUGAAUUGCAUCUAUGAGAUAUGUGUUAAUGAACCCAAUAUCACCGACUUGUCUUUUCUUCAAUUCGACGAUCUUCAAUCUGCAUAAUAUAGUGAGGAUGAUUAUAAAUACAUGCAAUGAAAGAGCUAAGCUAUAUAGAGAAACUUAAUGACAGAAGUAGUACUACUUACAGACAGUAGCAGGCGACCGUUGUUUUAUCGAGGGCCAAUUGAUUGAAAAACUGAUAGAACUCCUCAAAUGGAACAGGCAACAGAUCAAUUCCAACGAGGUCAUGCUCCUUUUUAACUCUCACAUACAAAGUACUCCUCCCCCAGAGUCUCUGCAGAUUUUCAAGUACCAAUCAUGCAAUCUUCGCAUCAUCGUUGAUAGAGAUCUUUCAUCUUUGACGAGAGGCUUCCCGUACUCGUAUCUUUGCAUCUGCAUGUCCAUGGGUUCAUAAUGUACUUCGUCGGGUAGGUAAUCUGCAAGAUUAUUAUAACCGGGCACCAUCCUCGGAUCAUUAGCGACUUUGUGGCUAGGCACCUUGAGCGAGGGGCAUGAUUGCUUCGCUUGUUUGCCGAGCUGGGCAAUUUGUUUCCCAGCUCGUCGUUUUUUCAGCCUUUCAUCACUGACAGUAGUUCCCGACCGCUCCGCUUCGGCAAAUUCCUUUCCAAUAAUGCGGUCAUAGUUUCCUUUCGGCGGAUCAGACUUUGGUGGUUUUGUCAGGGCAGCCAGAGUGCGCUUCACUUUCACCCCAUCUACCUUCUCCUCUGGAGGUGGAUGUUUCUUUGCUUUCACCCCUUCAAAGAAUUUCCUCACUUCUUCUCACGCGAUCUCGGCGUUCUCCUCCUGGGUCCUCUCGUAUGGUAACUUCUCUGGAGUCUUCAGAGAAGGACCGAAUCUGUAUGUCCUCCCGCCUCUGGUUGUACUGCUAGACGCCGACCGAGCAAACGAAGCGGUUGUCUUCUUUACUUGCUUAAGAGGCGGAGGAGAAGGACUACGACCCGCCGGAGCAGCUGGAGCGGCGGCAGGUCUCUUCUGCCCUUGCUGACGAGGCGGAGAAGGAGGAGGUUGGCUGCUCGGGCGCGUCGGCGCAGGCGGAGACGGAGGCGGAGUGCCGCCACGCGCCGGAGAAGGAGCCGGCCGAGGGCCCUGAUCCUCACUCGCCGGAGGAGGAGGUGGUGGAGGAGGCGGAGUGCCCUGACUCGCCGGAGGAGGAGGAGGAGGCGGAGGCGUCCAGUUCGGAAGGUUGAUGAGGUCCUUCCGCCAUAGGCAUGGAGUCUUCAGAGCAGACCCCAGCCGAGUCUCCCCUUCACCGGUAGGGUGGUCAAGCUGGAGGUCCUCAAAUCCCUCCGUUAUCUCAUCCACCAUCACCCUAGCAUAUCCUUCUGGAAUCGGCAUGCAGUGAAAAGUUGCGCCGGGUUCAGUAGGAUAAACAGAGCCAACAGCCGCCUUGACCUUCAAAUUCAUCCAUUGCGUCAUAAGGUGGCAAUUUUGAGACUCCGUUAUAGCAUCCACAGGAUAGCUGGCAGGAGCCGUCAAGGCAUGCUGCAGCUGAAGCUGCUCGGUGGAAGCCACGCUGCUUCUGCGCUGAGAUGGCGGGGUAGCUUCGGGGGAGGCUUCGGCAGUACGUUUGUUGCGAUUUGCUUCUCGUUCCUCUAUCGCUUGUACCCUUGCGUGCAGCGCCUGCAGUUCGGUCUGCUGCACUUUUUUCCUCCUCUCAUGGGAUUUGUAACCGCCUGCGUCCGGAAACCCAACCUUCCACGGAACGGAGCCUGGCGUGCCUCGUGUCCGUCCAGGGUGCUCAGGAUUCCCGAGGGCCAUUGUGAGCUCGUUGUGCUCUCUGUCUGGAAAGAACGUCCCUUCCUGCGCUGCGUCGAUAUAGUGCUUAAGCUUACUGACUGGUAUGUCCAUUUGUUCGUUCGUCCAAAUGCAGUUCCCUAUUUCAGGGUCCAAGGUUCCGCCACCCCCGAAGAACCAAGUCCGGCAACGGUCUGGCCAGUUAUUUGUCUCUGGUCCGAUCCCUUUAUGAACCAGAUCAUUCUCAACCAUGGACCACUUAGGCCGGGCUACGAGGUAGCCACCUGACCCCGUGCGAUGGUGAAGCUUCUUCUUCGCGGCAUUCUGCUUGUUUGUCGCCGACAUCUUCUUACUCUUUUCCGAUGUCUUGUAGGCCACAAAUGCGGGCCAGUGAUCUCUGAUCUUCUCAUAUCUUCCCUUGAAUUCUGGUGUCUCUUUUUUAUCGACAAACCUAUUCAGCUCUUUCUUCCACCUCCUGAAUAGAUCUGCCAUCCUCUUCAGAGAAAAAGACUUGAUUAAUUUCUCUUUAAUUGGGUUCUCUGGAUUAUCCUCUGGCGGUAGGGUGAAAUUUGACUUCAGCUCAGUCCAAAGAUCAUUUUUCUGCAUAUCAUUGACAUAAGACACCUCAGGGUCUUCUGUAGCCGGCUUAAACCAUUGCUGGAUGCUUAUCGGGAUCUUGUCCCUAACCAGAACCCCGCACUGAGCAACAAAUGCCCUCUUUGUCCGGAGGGGUUCAAUAGGUUGGCCGUCGGGCGCGAUUGCUGUGAUCUCAAGCUUUUCAUCCGAGCUCAACUUUUUCUUCGGGCCUCGUCUCUUUACCGAAGUUGUGCUCGAUCCGGAGGGCUAGAAAAAAGAACAAAGACUUAAUUAAUAUGUGUACAUACCAAAACAAUGAAUGCAUCAAUCAGCUAGUCAGCAUAGGCUUAACUAAUAUAUAUACCUGGCCGGACUCGGUUCGGUCACCGGAGCCGUCAUCACGGUCUCCUUCUUGCACCGGCAUUGGGUCACCGGCGCCGUCCUCAUGUUCUUCUUCUUGCACCGGCAUUAGGUCACCGUAGCCAGCUUGUUCACCCUCUCCUUCCGGACCAUCGAUGAUAUCGUUGAGAUAGUACGAGACGGCAUCACUUCCUUGUGCGAUUAUCUCCCUCAACAACGCUUCUUUUGUUGCUUCGUCUAGGGCGGUGUCCAUAGUUUCUACAAAUAUUUACAACAUGGCAAUUAUUAUUCAAACAUGACAGAUGGAUAUAUUAGUGCCAAACGUAGAACUACCUACCUAAUCAUAGUAAGCUAUCGGGAGGGGGUAUAUAUCGACAACGACGACACUACAUCUAUAUAUGUCCCUCGAUGACCCUCGUUCCUGAUAAAAAAAGAGGAAGAAGAAGAAAAAAAAGAGGAGAAGAAAGAAUAGAGGAGAAGAACUCCUCUAUUCUUUCUUCUCCUCUUUUUUCUUCUUCUUCCUCUUCUUUUUUUAUCCUCUUCUUCCUCUCAUGUUCGAGAGGAUCGCCUUGGGGUCGGGAGGUUGCCUAGUGUCAAAGGAUUCAACAAAACCAUGUCUUCAUCAUUAGGCGAAAGUAACAUGUGCAUGAUGGUAGGAAGCUCUUCAAAGUUGUUCUGGAACGGAGUCCCAGAUAGGAUAAUUCGCUUUUUGGUACAAAGUUCAGCAAGAGCCUUCCGAAUAUCGCUAUUUGGAAGGCCUUUGCUGAAUUCGUACCAAAAGGCGGAUUAUUCUAUCCGGGACUCCAUUCCAGAACAACUUUGCAGAACUUCAUACCAACAUGCCCUGGUUACUUCCGGCUAAUGAUGAAGGCAUGGAUUUCUUCAAUACUUUGACACUAGGAAACCUCUCUCGACCCCUCGGCGAUUCUUGACCCCUCGAACCCUCAACGACCCUGAAACCCUCGACGCUUGACCCCUUAACGACCCUCGACCCUCUACCCUAGUUCCCGACCCUCGACCAAUAGAGGAGAAGAAGAAAGGAAUAGCUAGAGGAGAAGAUCGAAGAAAAAAAAGAAGAAACAAAAGAGGAGAAGAAGAAAGGAAUAGUGGAGAAGAAGAGAAAAUAGAAUAUAUAUUCUAUUUUCUCUUCUUCUCCACUAUUCCUUUCUUCUUCUCCUCUUCUUUUUCUUCUGUUUUCUUCUUCUUAUUUAUUUCUCCUCUUCUUUUCGGUAGAGGAAACCCUAAAUAGCUAGCAAGUAUCGUGGGUGUGAGAUACAUGUGGCCUUCGGUGUCGGACACUACAUCCACGUCCCACAAGUGACGUGGGCGUCGAAACCCGCGCCACUUGUGGGAUGUGGAUGUAGUGUCCGACACCGACGGUACAUGUAUCUCACACCGACGAUACUUUCUAUUUAGGGUUUCUCCUCUACCACUCGGCGGCCCUCUCGACGACCCUCGUUCCCGAUAAUAUAAAGAGGAAGAAGAAGAAGAAAAAAGAAGAGAAGAAAGAAUAGAGGAGACGAACCCUCGAACCCUCGAACCCUAGACGACCCUCUUCUUCCUCUCAUGUUCGAGAGGAUCGCCGAGGGGUCGGGAGGUUGCCUAGUGUCAAAGGAAACCCUAAAUAGCUAGCAAGUGUCAUGGGUGUGAGAUACAUGUGGCCUUCGGUGUCGGACACUACAUCCACGUCCCACAAGUGACGUGGGCGUCGAAGCCCGCGCCACUUGUGGGAUGUGGAUGUAAUGUCCGACACCGACGGUACAUGUAUCUCACACCGACGAUACUUUCUAUUUAGGGUUUCUCCUCUACCACUCGGCGGCCCUCUCGACGACCCUCGUUCCCGAUAAAAUAAAGAGGAAGAAGAAGAAGAAAAAAGAAGAGAAGAAAGAAUAGAGGAGAAGUCUCCUCUAUUCUUUCCUCGCCUCUCUCAUGAAUGUCCGGCGUUCUCGACCCCCCCCCCUCCCCACGUGUCGAAGAAAAAAAAGAAGAAAAAAAAGAGGAGAAGAAGAAAGGAAUAGAGGAGAAAAGAGAAAAAUAGAAUAUUCNNNNNNNNNNNNNNNNNNNNNNNNNNNNNNNNNNNNNNNNNNNNNNNNNNNNNNNNNNNNNNNNNNNNNNNNNNNNNNNNNNNNNNNNNNNNNNNNNNNNNNNNNNNNNNNNNNNNNNNNNNNNNNNNNNNNNNNNNNNNNNNNNNNNNNNNNNNNNNNNNNNNNNNNNNNNNNNNNNNNNNNNNNNNNNNNNNNNNNNNNNNNNNNNNNNNNNNNNNNNNNNNNNNNNNNNNNNNNNNNNNNNNNNNNNNNNNNNNNNNNNNNNNNNNNNNNNNNNNNNNNNNNNNNNNNNNNNNNNNNNNNNNNNNNNNNNNNNNNNNNNNNNNNNNNNNNNNNNNNNNNNNNNNNNNNNNNNNNNNNNNNNNNNNNNNNNNNNNNNNNNNNNNNNNNNNNNNNNNNNNNNNNNNNNNNNNNNNNNNNNNNNNNNNNNNNNNNNNNNNNNNNNNNNNNNNNNNNNNNNNNNNNNNNNNNNNNNNNNNNNNNNNNNNNNNNNNNNNNNNNNNNNNNNNNNNNNNNNNNNNNNNNNNNNNNNNNNNNNNNNNNNNNNNNNNNNNNNNNNNNNNNNNNNNNNNNNNNNNNNNNNNNNNNNNNNNNNNNNNNNNNNNNNNNNNNNNNNNNNNNNNNNNNNNNNNNNNNNNNNNNNNNNNNNNNNNNNNNNNNNNNNNNNNNNNNNNNNNNNNNNNNNNNNNNNNNNNNNGGGACUAAAGGGGGGCAAUGGUCACGGUUGGUGCCACGAACCGUGACCAAUGCCACCUUUAGUCCCGGUUGGUGCCACCAACCGGGACCAAUGCCCUUGUGCGCCCCGCGCCCAGAAGUUUAGUCCCACAUCGCUAGCUGAAGGGCGCCGAUACUGGUUUAUAAGCGCUGCUCUGCCUCCCCUUUCGAGCUCCUCUCAAAUGCAGGCUUUCGGGCCUAAACUGCUACUGCCUGUGGGCCUAUUGGGCCUCUGCGGGCCUGAAUCCUGGCCCAUGUAGGGUUUCUAGUCGUAUUCAGGCCGUGGAGGCCCAGUAGGAGGCAUUUUUUUUGGUUUUUUCUUUUUUGUUUCUAUAUUUUUUUGGUUUUUUAUUUUUUUUAUUUCUACUUACAACUAAAUACUUACAGUUUUUUAGUGAUUUCUUUUUGCUUUUAGGUCACAAAAAUUAUAAACUUUCUAUUAGUGCCAUUAGUUUUAAAUUUUAAAUAGUUUAAAUUUGAAUUUUUAAAAAUUUGUGUGAAUCACUAGUUUAUGAAUAACUUUACUAUAAAGUUAGAAUUUGUUUUCUAUUUAUUUUUUAUUUCUACUUACAACUAAAUACUUACAGUUUUUUAGUGAUUUGUUUUUGCUUUUAGGUCACAAAAAUUAUAAACUUUCUGUUAGUGCCUUUAGUUUUAAAUUUUAAAUAGUUUAAAUUUGAAUUUUUAAAAAUUUGUGUGAAUCACUAGUUUAUGAAUUUUUUUCUUCUUUGCUAUUUAUUUUUGAUUUAUACUUACAAUUAAAUACUUAUAGUUUGCUUUUAGGUCACACAAAUUAUAUUCUUUUUGCUAUUGAAGAAUAUUAUAGUUUUAUUUUAGUUGAUCAUAACAUAAUAUUUUAAUUGAUUGUUUUUAUUUUCAUAAAAGUUUUGUAGUUCAUUCUGUUUGCUAUUAAUUCAUUCUUUGAGCUAAAUGACUCUGAAAUUGGAAAGCAUUUCAAAAUGAACUCUGAAAAGGUUGAAAGUUGGCAUGGUAUCAUCAUUUCACCCACAUAGCAUGUUCCAAAAAGUAGAGAGGGUUACGACAAAAACUUGAUGCACUUCGUGUACAAAAUGGACAAUCACUUUCGAAGUAUCAAAGUUUCAAACCAUAAGACAUGAAAGCAUUUCGAAUGAACUCUGAAAAAGUUGAAAGUUGGGAUGCAUGGUAUCAUAAUUUCACCCACAUAGCAUUUUCUUAUUGCGGGAGAAAGUCUUCACUUUUUCUUCGCUUGUGUCAUUUGCUUAUUGCGCCGUAACCAUGGAUAAUCUUCAUUGUUUUUAAGGAUGCUUGGGUCAGCCUUGACAUUGAAGGGAGGAAUUUCAUGAAACUUUUCAUAAUCUUCAGACAUGUCUGUCUUGCCGUCCACUCCCAGGAUGUCCCUUUUUCCUGAAAGAACUAUGUGGCGCUUUGGCUCAUCGUAUGAUGUAUUCGCUUCCUUAUCUUUUCUUUUUCUCGGUUUAGUAGACAUGUCCUUCACAUAGAUAACCUGUGCCACAUCAUUGGCUAGGACGAACGGUUCGUCAGUGUACCCAAGAUUUUUCAGAUCCACUGUUGUCAUUCCGUACUGUGGGUCUACUUGUACCCCACCGCCAAACAGAAUGACCCAUUUGCACUUAAACAAAGGGACCUUAAAAUCAGGUCCGUAGUCAAGUUCCCAUAUGUCCACUAUGUAACCAUAAUAUGUGUCCUUUCCUCUCUCGGUUGCUGCAUCAAAGCGGACACCGCUGUUUUGGUUGGUGCUCUUUUGAUCUUGGGCGAUCGUGUAAAAUGUAUUCCCAUUUAUCUCGUAUCCUUUGUAAGUCAAUACAGUCAAAGAUGGUCCCCUGGACAACAAGUACAACUCAUCACAAACAGUGUUGUCACCUCUGAGACGUGUUUCCAACCAACUCCUGAAAGUCCUGAUGUGUUCACAUGUAAUCCAGUCGUCGCAUUGCUCCGGGUGUUUGGAGCGCAGACUGUUCUUGUGUUCAUCGACAUACGGGGUCCCCAAGGUAGAGUUCUGUAGAACUGUGUAGUGUGCUUGAGACCAAGAAUAUCCGUCCCUGCAUAUUAUUGAGUCUCUUCCAAGAGUGCCUUUUCCAGUCAGUCUCCCCUCAUACCGCGAUUUAGGGAGACCUAUCUUGUUAAGGCCAGGAAUGAAGUCAACACAAAACCCGAUAACAUCCUCUGUUUGAUGGCCCAUGGAGAUGCUUCCUUCUGGCCUAGCGCGGUUACGGACAUAUUUCUUUAGGACUCCCAUGAACCUCUCAAAGGGGAACAUAUUGUGUAGAAAUACGGGCCCCAGGAUGACAAUCUCGUCGACUAGAUGAACUAGGACGUGCGUCAUGAUAUUGAAGAAGGAUUGUGGGAACACCAGCUCGAAACUGACAAGACAUUGCGCCACAUCACUCCUUAGCCUUGGUACCAUUUCUGGAUCGAUCACCUUCUAAGAGAUUGCAUUGAGGAAUGCACAUAGCUUCACAAUGGCUAAUCGGACGUUUUCCGGUAAAAGCCCCCUCAAUGCAACCAGAAGCAGUUGCGUCAUAAUCACGUGGCAGUCAUGAGACUUUAGGUUCUGAAACUUUUUCUCUGGCAUAUUUAUUAUUCCCUUUAUAUUCGAUGAGAAGCCAGUCAUGACCUUCAUACUAAGCAGGCAUUCAAAGAAGAUUUCUUUCUCUUCUUUCGUAAGAGUGUAGCUGGCAGGACCUUUAUACUGCUUCGGAGGCAUGUCAUCUUUUUUGUGCAAACGUUGCAGGUCCUCCCAUGCCUCCGGCGUAUCUUUUGUCUUCCCAUACACGCCCAAGAAGCCUAGCAGGUUCACGCAAAGGUUCUUCGUCACGUGCAUCACGUUGAUUGAGGAGCGGACCUCUAGGUCUUUCCAGUAGGGUAGGUCCCAAAAUAUAGAUUUCUUCUUCCACAUGGGUGUGUGUCCCUCAGCGUCAUUCGGAACAGCUAGUCCACCGGGACCCUUUCCAAAGAUGACGUAGGGUAAAUCAUUGACCAUAGCAAGCACGUGAUCACCGGUGCGCAUGGCGGGCUUCUUUCGGUGAUCUGCCUCGCCUUUGAAAUGCUUGCCUUUCUUUCGACAUUGAUGGUUGGUCGGAAGAAAUCGACGAUGGCCCAGGUGCACAUUCUUCCUGCAUUUGUCCAGGUAUAUACUUUCAGUGUCAUCUAAACAGUGCGUGCAUGCGUGGUAUCCUUUGUUUGUCUGUCCUGAAAGGUUACUGAGAGCGGGCCAAUCGUUGAUGGUCACGAACAGCAACGCCUUAAGGUUAAAUUCCUCCUGUCUGUGCUCAUCCCACGUACGUACACCAUUUUCAUUCCACAGCUGUAAAAGUUCUUCAACUAAUGGACUUAGGUACACAUCAAUUUCGUUGCCGGGUUGCUUAGGGCCUUGGAUGAGAACUGGCAUCAUAAUGAACUUCCGCUUCAUGCACAUCCAAGGAGGAAGGUUAUACAUACAUAGAGUCGCGGGCCAGGUGCUGUGAUUACUGCUCUGCUCCCCGAAAGGAUUAAUGCCAUCCGCGCUUAAAGCAAACCAUACAUUCCUAGGGUCCUUUGCAAACUCAUCCCAGUACUUUCUCUCGAUUUUUCUCCACUGCGACCCGUCAGCGGGUGCUCUCAACUUCCCAUCUUUCUUUCGUUUCUCACUGUGCCAUCGCAUCAACUUGGCAUGCUCUUCGUUUCUGAACAGACGUUUCAACCGUGGUAUUAUAGGAGCAUACCACAUCACCUUUGCAGGGACCCUCUUCCUGAGGGGCUCGCCGUCAACAUCACCGGGGUCAUCUCGUCUGAUCUUAUACCGCAACGCACCGCAUACCGGGCAUGCGUUCAGAUCCUUGUAUGCACCGCGGUAGAGGAUGCAGUCAUUAGGGCAUGCAUGUAUCUUCUCCACCUCCAAUCCUAGAGGGCAUACGACCUUCUUUGCUGCGUAUGUACUGUCGGGCAAUUCGUUAUCCUUUGGAAGCUUCUUCUUCAAUAUUUUCAGUAGCUUCUCAAAUCCUUUGUCAGCCACAGCAUUCUCUGCCUUCCACUGCAGCAAUUCUAGUACGGUACUGAGCUUUGUGUUGCCAUCUUCGCAAUUGGGGUAUAACCCUUUUUUGUGAUCCUCUAACAUGCGAUCGAACUUCAGCUUCUCCUUUUGACUAAUGCAUUGCGUCCUUGCAUCGACAAUGACCCGGCGGAGAUCAUCAUCAUCGGGCACAUCGUCUGGUUCCUCUUGAUCUUCAGCAGCUUCACCUGUGGCAGCAUCAUUGGGCACAUCAUCAUCUGGUUCCUCUUGAUCUUCACCAGCUCCCCCCGUUGCAGCAUCACCGUAUUCAGGGGGCACAUAGUUGUCAUCGUACUCUUCUUCUUCGCCGUCUUCCAUCAUAACCCCUAUUUCUCCGUGCCUCGUCCAAACAUUAUAGUGUGGCAUGAAACCCUUGUAAAGCAGGUGGGAGUGAAGGAUUUUCCGGUUAGAGUAAGACCUCGUAUUCCCACAUUCAGUGCAUGGACAACACAUAAAACCAUUCUGCUUGUUUUCCUCAGCCGCAUCGAGAAACUCAUGCACACCCUUAAUGUACUCGCGGGUGUGUCUGUCACCGUACAUCCAUUGCCGGUUCAUCUGCGUGCAUUAUAUAUAAUUAAGUGUCCAAAUUAAUAGAAGUUCAUCAUCACAUUAAAACCAAAGUGCAUACAUAGUUCUCAUCUAACAACAUAUAGCUCUCCAGAGCAUCUAAUUAAUUAAACCAUACAUUGAAACUAUGUAAAACAUUUCAAUGCGAAAACAAAUGCGAUCAUAAUCGCAACCAAGGUAACAAUUGAUCCAACGGCAUAAUGAUACCAAGCCUCGGUAUGAAUGGCAUAUUUUCUAAUCUUUCUAAUCUUCAAGCGCAUUGCAUCCAUCUUGAUCUUGUGAUCAUCGACGACAUCCGCAACAUGCAACUCCAAUAUCAUCUUCUCCUCCUCAAUUUUUUUUAUUUUUUCCUUCAACAAAUUGUUUUCUUCUUCAACUAAAUUUAACCUCUCGACAAUAGGGUCGGUUGGCAUUUCCGAUUCACAUACAUCCUAGAUAAAUAAAAUCUAUGUCACGUUGGUCAGCAUAAUUUUCAUAAACAAUAAAUGAACCAAUAGUUAUAAAGAUAAUAUACAUACCACAUCCGAAUCAUAGACAGGACGAGGGCCGACGGGGGCGGAUACCAAAACCAUCGCACUAUAUAAGAUGCAAUAAUAAAUGUAAGAAAAUGAUACAAGUAUCUAUCUAAACAUACAAGUAAGAAUAUUUUUCCUUUCAGAAAGAAGAUAAGAACAAGAGGCUCACCACGGUGGUGUCGGUGAUGAGAUCGGCGCGGGUGAUCGACGGCAGUGAAGACGGGGACGGGGCGUGACGGACCGCUAAAUCUAGACAAAUCUCGAGGAAAAUGGAGCUUGGAGGUCGAGCUUCGAGAGGAGAAAGCUUAAGUAGUGUGGCUCGGGCAUUCCAUCGAACACCUCAUGUGCAUAGGAGGUGAGCUAGAGCACCACAAAGCCCUCUCCCCCUCGGCCAGAGAAAACAGAGCACUGGGGUGCUCUGCUCACGAGCGAGGGGUAUAUAUAGGCACCUCAUUGGUCCCGGUUGGUGGCAUGAGCCGGGACUAAAGGGAAGCCUUUGGUCCCGGUUCGGGCCACCAACCGGGACCAAUGAUGGUGGGCCAGGAGGGAGGCCCAUUGGUCCCGGUUCGUCCCACCAACCGGGACCAAAAGGUCCAUACGAACCAGGACCAAUGGCCCACGUGGCCCGGCCGGCCCCCUGGGCUCACGAACCGGGACCAAUUCCCACAUUGGUCCCGGUUCAAGACUGAACCGGGACUAAUGGGCUGAGGCGGCCUGGACCAUAGCCCCUUUUUCUACUAGUGCUUAUGGAAAUUAUAAUAAGAUGCCCUCUAAUUUUGAGAAUAGUGUUAAAUAAUUUAUGAGUUCGCAAAAGAAUUUCAAUGCUUUGAUUGAAGAAAAAUUGCUUAAGAUUGGUGAUUUGGCUAGGAACGUGGAUAGAACUACCCUUGAUGUCGAUUCUUUGAAACUUAGAUCUAUUUCACAUAAGCAUGAUAUCAAUGAGUCUCUCAAGGCUAUGAGAAUUCCCAUUGAUGAGUGCAAGGAAAGAACCGCUAAGAUGCGUGCUAAAAAAGAUUGGUUUAUAAAAGCGUGUUCUUCUAGCUAGUUUCCGUGAAAAUAAUGAUGAAGAUCUUAAAGUGAUUGAUGUGACUCCUAUUGAAUUUUUGUUUUCCAAUAUAAAUCUUGAGAAAGAUGGGACUGGAUAUGAGUCAACUUUAGUUAGAAGGCGUCCCAAUGAUUCGGAGUUUUUAGAUAUUAAUGCAAAAAUUGAUAAAAGUGGGAUUGGAGAGGUUAAAACUUUAGGUAGUAAUGAACCCACUCUUUUGGAUUUCAAGGAAUUUAAUUAUAAUAAUUUCUCUUUAAUAGAUUGUAUUUCCUUGUUGCAAUCCAUGUUGAAUUUUCCUCAUGCUUAUAAUCAAAACAAAGCUUUUACUAAACAUAUCAUUGAUGCUAUGAUGCAAUCCUUUGAAGAAAAGCUUGAAUUGGAAGUUUCUAUUCCUACACUAGUAGACAAAGGGUCAAACAUGAAGCACAUUAGUGCCGGUUUGAAUUUGAGCCGGCACUAAUGUGUGCAUUAGUGCCGGUUCCAACGGCUAGCCGGCCGCUCUCAUUAGUACCGGUUCAUGGCGAACCUUUAGCACCGGUUCGUGCCACGAACCGGUACUAAAGUGAGUGGUGGCAGGAUGUUGUCACUCCGGGGCCCCUCCAGCACCUUUAGUACCGGGUCGUAUCACGAACCGGUCCUAAAGGCCGUCCUACAUAGACCCUUCGUCCACCCGAGCUCGCUCUGUUCUUCCCCUUUCCCCUCUCCUCUUUGUACUUUUCCCUCUUCCUCUCAAUCUCAUCACACAUUUUGCCCAAAAUUUGUCAAGAUUUGAAGGCCCCCAUCCAUUCAAAUGAUCACAAAGGUUAGCAACUUUUUCCUUUCAUCUCUCAUUGCUAGAUUAGCUCGUGCAAUGCUUUAUAUAGUGAUUGAUUUUUGAGUUUAGUAAUUUGGGAGGAAUUAUAUAUAUGUGCUAGUAUUUGAUUUAUAUGCAAUUUUAGGUCAAAAAUAACACUUAGUUUGCAUAUGUAGGUGUGGUUUACGUAGUACCUUCUAAAUCUCCGUCGUAACCACCGUCGAUCGCUCGCAACGUCCCGUCACCAGCACCACCUUUUGGUGAGCCUCUUGUUCAUGAAGUUUUAUAUAAAAAAUUGAUGUUUGUGUGAUUUGGAUAUAUAGUUACUCGUAUAAUUAUCUUACCCAUACGUUGUUUGUUAUACAUAGUGCCAUGGUUUUGAUAUCCGUCCCCGUUGGCCCUCGUCCGGGUUAUGAUUCGGAUGUGGUAUAUUCUAUUUUAAAACUAUUCAUUGCAUUUCGUGUUUAUGACAAAUUAUGCCCAUCAAGUUGACAUAGAUAUUUGUAUGUAGGAGGUAGUUGAAACGGAAAUUCCAACCGACCCUAUUGUCGAGAGGUUAAAUUUAGUUGAAAGAGAAAACGAGGAUUUGAAGGAAAAAUUGAAAAGAAUUGAGGGGGAGAAGAUGGAAUUGGAGUUGCAUGUUGCCGAUGUCGUCGAUGAUCACAAGAUUAAGAUGGAGAAAAUGCGCUUGAAGAUUAGAAAGAUUAGAAAAUAUGCCAUUCAUAGUGAGGCUUGGUAGCAUUAUGCUGUUGGAUCAAUUGUUACCUUAGUUGCGAUCUUGAUCGCAUUUGUUGUUGCAUUUAAAUUCUUUAGCUAGGGACUUAUUUGUUUGUUGCAUUUAAGUGUUGUAUGAUCUUUAUGUAUGAACCUUAUGUAUUGUAUUAAUUUGAUGUUUUCGGUGUUGUGUAUUGAAGAUGAGCCGGCAAUGGAUGUACGAUGACUGAUGCUCUCCCAAGUUCAUUAAUGGCGUGCGUACUUUUCUGCUUGCGGCUGAGGCAAACAAGCGAGCGGAUGGUUGUAUGCCUUGUCCAUGUGCUGGCUGUAAGAAUGGUCACAGUUACUCUACGUCAAGAACCAUUCACGUCCACCUGUUUGAGUCUGGUUUCAUGCCCCACUAUAAUGUUUGGACCAAGCAUGGAGAAAGAGGGGUUAUGAUGGAAGACAAUGAAGAAGAAGAGGACGACGAAAGCUAUCCUGGCCAUGGGUUCCCUGAAUACGGUGAUACAACAAUGAGGGAAGAAGCUGAGCCGGUAAUGCGGGAAGAAGCUGAGCCGGCAAUGCGGGAAGAAGCUGAACAAGAGGCACGGAUGAGCCCGUUGAUGAUCUAGGUCGGGCCAUUGCCGAUGCAAAGAGAAACCGCGCUAGUGAUUUGGAGAAGAAGAAGUUGCAGCGCAUGUUAGAGGAUCACAAAAAUUGUUGUACCCGAAUUGCGUAGGUGACAAGAAAAAGCUAGGCACCACACUGGAAUUGCUGCAAUGGAAGGCAAAGAAUGGUGUAUCUGACAUGGGAUUUGGAAAGUUGCUGGUAAUGAUAAAGGAUAUGCUUCCAAAGGACAACAAAUUGCUCGAGAGUACGUACGAAGCAAAGAAGAUUGUCUGCCCUCUAGGGUUAGAGGUGCAGAUGAUACAUGCAUGCCCUAAUGAUUGCAUCCCCUACCACGGUGAGUAUGAGGAUUUGAAAGCUUGCCCGGUAUGAGGUGCAUUGCGCUAUAAGAUCAGCCACGAUGACCAUGGUGAUGUCGAGGGCGAGCGCCCCAGGAAGAAGAUACCUGCCAAGGUGAUGUGGUAUGCUCCUAUAAUACCAUGGCUGAAACGUUUGUUCCAAAACAAUGAGCAUGCCAAGGCGAUGUGAUGGCACAGAGAAGACCGUAAGAAAGACGGAAAGUUGAGAGUACCCGCUGACGGGUCGCAGUGGAGAAAAAUCGAAAGAAAGUACGGGAAGGAGUUUGCAGAUGACGCAAGGAACGUAUGGUUUGGUCUAAGCGCAGAUGGCAUUAAUCCUUUUGGGGAGCAGAGCAGCAACCAUAGCACCUGGCCUGUGACUCUAUGUUUGUAUAACCUUCCUCCUUGGUUGUGCAUGAAGCGGAAGUUCAUUAUGAUGCCAGUGCUCAUCCAAGGCCCUAAGUGUCAGGACCCCGAUUCCAAGUCACAUCGUUCUAGCCGGUAACACCUCAUAUCACUUUGCGGCCUCAUGCACGGUAUCCCACAGGUGUCGCCUUACCAUGGCCCGGGACCGUUUGCGCCUUUUGGCUCACGUAUAUGAUAGUGUCGCUAGCAUCCAUAUGACAGAGAACCCGGGCCGACAUGGCUAGUCGUGAACCCAAAGCGGCACAGACCUAUGGAGACAGGCAUACAUGAAUCACAUCAAGCAUGUCAGUCAUCAGUGAGUGAAUCCGGGCUGUAGCACUGGGCUAACAGGACUCCGGGGAACCCGGGCUGUAGCAGGCUAGGCAGGACUCCGGAUGUCACCGCGUGACAUUUCCCCGAAGGGACAGACAUAGGAACGACGUGAAACACAUGCCGGCCAGUCAAGUGUCCUGAGCAGUAGUGCUGGGCUAGCAGGACUCCGGUGAACCGGGCUGUAGCGGACUACUAUGGCUCGAGGAACACUAGACUACGUUUCCCCAUAAGAAAGGCUGCCAAGGAUAAACAACUAGAUUGUCGGAUCCCACUCAUACCAAGCAUUUCAAUCAUACACACAAUAUGCCCGAUAUGAGUACAUACAACAUGGCAUCACAAGAAAACUCUACAACUCAAAUACUUUAUUUAAAGGCUCCAGAGAGCCAUACAUAACAUGUUCAUACAGAUAGGGGUCACAUGACCCGACACUCAAGUCAUACAAUCAUACAAGCACAAGCGGAAGCAACUAGUCUGAGUACAGACACUAGAAAGAAAGAAGGCUUCUCGAAGCCUGUCUAUCUACAUAGGUCUCUCCAUGGCCAGGAUCACCACCUGGGUGGCUAGUCACUCGUCGACGUCAAGGUCUACGUAGAACCCAUCGGAGGGGCGGUGUUGUCAUCUGAAAACCGUAAUUAAGCAAACAUGAGUACAAAGGUACUCAGCAAGUCUUACAACAUAACCUACUAUAAAUGCUCAUUCUCAAGAAGGUGGUGGGGUUAUUGCAGCAAGCCAGCUUUGACUCUUGGCUAAGCUAUCCUACGGAACUCCACUAGUAAAAUAGUUUUCGCACACGAGUCCACUACUCACCAACAUAAUACUCCACCGGGGAUCCUCUCUCGUCAUCCUACGAGAGGGCCAUCCUCGGUACUCACACUUAUCUUGAGUCUUUUAGUAAUAACCAUUAACUUGUCUAUGAACUGUAUAGGCAACCAGGUAGUCCUUUACCGCGGACGCGGCUAUUCGAAUAGUUUUAUACCCUGCAGGGGUGUACUUCCUCAUACACGCUUUCACCACUUACCGCCGUUUACACGACAUGUACUCGGCAACCUUCAAGCCUUGGCCCAACGAGGGUGUCGGCCACGGCCUACCUAAACACUCAAAUCUCUAGUCCAGGUGCAUCGCCUAUCCAAGUUCCAUCCGCAGGGAGUCCGGCCGAGGUUUCCACAUACGGCCCCGAACGAUGUGAACAGGGUUCCCGAGACACCAAACAGGUGACUCGGUACACCGUGCCACGGUGUAUCUACCGCAACAUAGCCCACCCCUAGGGUCAGUGCUACGCACGGCCGCCAACACAUAACCUACAAACACCAGAAACUAUUUGCAACUCCUGGACAGAGUACUAGGGUAUUUAAGAAGCCGAGAGGGUCAAUUAAGGAUCCCAAUGCAUGGUAGUAGCUGAAUCUUAAAAUCACACAUACAGAUCUCAGUUCUUAGGGACGGCCUCAAUAAAACAACCCACCAUGUACUCCUACAUGGCCUCUCAUCGAUACCUUUACCAAAUCAUGUUCAUCACAUCCCUCACAUUACCGAUAUAACCAUUUCACUCUAGCCCAUCACCCAGAUGGACCAGACCUGACACAACUCUAAGCAUAGCAGGCAUAGCAAGGUAGGAAACACAUACCUGGCUCAAUCAACUCCUACACAUGCUAGUGGGUUUCAUCUAGUUACUGUGGCAAUGACAGGUCAUGCAGAGGAAAAGGGUUCAACUACCGUAGCACACAACAAUUUGAAUCGCGUUGUCUUAAUGCAGUAAACAAGAGCAGAAGCGAGAACAUGGGUUUGUAUCAGAAUGAUCAAUGGUUGUUUGCCUGUUGUAGUGGUAGUAGGGUACUGCCCUUCAGACGGAUACUCGGGGUUAUCCUCGGAGGCAGAACCUACCACGAAAGAUACACCGAACAUAAUCAACACAUGACAAUAUGCAACGGUAUGAUGCAUGCUAUGACAUGGCAAAAUGAAUGUGUCUUGGCCUAAUGCAAGCUGAAACAGGAUGGAAUGAACUCAUUUGAAUCAAAGAUUCAAAUGUUAGCUCAUUUAACAUGGCCUUAUUAGUGCAUUAUCUUAUUCUGCUUAAAUAGCAAGGUUAACUUGUUUUGUCAUGCAUGAAACCAUUACAGAUGGACAGAUUGAAUUUUUUUGAUCAUUUUUCAUAUAUAAAUCUUUGCAUUUGGAGCUAUGGUUGAUUUUCUAAGAUUUUUAGAAGUUUUGGCUAUUUACUGGAAUUUCCUAUUAAAGAAUAAAUCCAGUAAUUGAAUUAAUGCGUCAGCAUGACAUAGGUGUGAUGUCAGCGGGUCAACUGGGUUGGCCAGGUCAAACCUGACUGGCGGGCCCUGUCUGUCAGUGACUCAGCUAAUUAACAGAGUUAAAUUAACUCUAAUUAACUAAAAGUGGGGCCUGGGCCCACAUGUCAGUGACUGAACUAAUUAAAUUUAGUUAAAACAAAUCCUAAACUAAUCAGCAGGCCGGCCCCACCUGUCAUAGACUAACCUGGGCCCACACGGGGGUCAAACAGGGUAAACUCGCCGGCGUCUAGCCGCCGGCGAGGCCAGACGCGGCGGAGCAGUGCGGGAUUUGCACUCUGGCGACCAAAUGGGCGGCGGAGACUAUCUACGUGAUGCGGGGAGGAAGCCGCCUUUGGAAAUAUGCCCUAGAGGCAAUAAUAAAUUGAUUAUUACUAUAUUUCCUUGUUCAUGAUAAUCGUUUAUUAUCCAUGCUAGAAUUGUAUUGAUAGGAAACUCAGAUACAUGUGUGGAUACAUAGACAACACCAUGUCCCUAGUAAGCCUCUAGUUGACUAGCUCGUUGAUCAAUAGAUGGUUACAGUUUCCUGACCAUGGACAUUGGAUGUCAUUGAUAACGGGAUCACAUCAUUAGGAGAAUGAUGUGAUGGACAAGAACCAAUCCUAAGCCUAGCACAAGAUCAUGUAGUUCGUAUGCUAAAGCUUUUCUAAUGUCAAGUAUCAUUUCCUUAGACCAUGAGAUUGUGCAACUCCCGGAUACCGUGGGAGUGCUUUGAGUGUGCGAAACGUCACAACGUAACUGGGUGGCUAUAAAGGUACACUACAGGUAUCUCCAAAAGUGUCUAUUGGGUUGGCACGAAUCGAGACUGGGAUUUGUCACUCCGUGUAAACGGAGAGGUAUCUCUGGGCCCACUCGGUAGGACAUCAUCAUAAUGUGCACAAUGUGACCAAGGAGUUGAUCACGGGAUGAUGUGUUACGGAACGAGUAAAGAGACUUGCCGGUAACAAGAUUGAACAAGGUAUCGGCAUACCGACGAUCGAAUCUCGGGCAAGUAUCGUACCGAUGGACAAAGGGAAUUGCAUACGGGGUUGAUUAAGUCCUUGACAUCGUGGUUCAUCCGAUGAGAUCAUCGUGGAACAUGUGGGAGCCAACAUGGGUAUCCAGAUCCCGCUGUUGGUUAUUGAUCGGAGAGUCAUCUCGGUCAUGUCUGCAUGUCUCCUGAACCCGUAGGGUCUACACACUUAAGGUUCGAUGACGCUAGGGUUAUAAAGGAAGUUUGUAUGUGGUUACCGAAUGUUGUUCGGAGUCCCGGAUGAGAUCCCGAACGUCAUGAAGAGUUCCGGAAUGGUCCGGAGGUAAAGAUUUAUAUAUGGGAAGUCCUGUUUUGGUCACCGGAAAAGUUUCGGGUUUUAUCGGUAACGUACCGGGACCACCGGGAGGGUCCCGGGGGUCCACCAAGUGGGGCCACAAGCCCCGGAGGGCUGCAUGGGCCAAGUGUGGGAGGGGACCAGCCCCAGGUGGGCUGGUGCGGCCCCCCACCAAGGCCCAAGGCGCAAGGAAGAGGGGAAGGGGGCAAACCCUAGGGCAGAUGGGCCCUAAGGCCCACCCUGGUGCGCCUCCCCCUCUCCCCUCCCCUUGGCCGCCCCUAGAUGGGAUCUAGGGGGCUGCCGCCACCCCUAGGGAGGGAACCCUAGGUGGGGGCGCAACCCAUCCCCUCCCCCUAUAUAUAGUUGAGGUUUGGGCUGCCCAAUACACAUGAGUUCCUCUCUUUCUUGGCACAGCCCUAUCCCUCUCUUUCUCCUCAUAUCUCGCAGUGCUUGGUGAAGCCCUGCUGGAUCACCAUGCUCCGCCAUCACUACCACGCCGUUGUGCUGCUGUUGGAUGGAGUCUUCCUCAACCUCUCCCUCUCUCCUUGCUGGAUCAAGGCAUGGGAGACAUCGUCGGGCUGUACGUGUGUUGAACGCGGAGGUGCCGUCCGUUCGGCACUAGGAUCUCCGGUGAUUUGGAUCACAACGAGUACGACUCCUUCAACCCCGUUCUCUUGAACGCUUCCACUUAGCGAUCUACAAGGGUAUGUAGAUGCACUCUCCUUCCCCUCGUUGCUGGUUUCUCCAUAGAUAGAUCUUGGUGACACGUAGGAAACUUUUGAAUUUCUGCUACGUUCCCCAAUAGUGGCAUCAUGAGCUAGGUCUAUUGCGUAGAUUCUAUGCACGAGUAGAACACAAAGUAGUUGUGGGCGUUGAUUUUGUUCAAUAUGCUUACCGUUACUAGUCCAAUCUUGUUUCGACGGUAUUGUGGGAUGAAGCGGCCCGGACCGACCUUACACGUACUCUUACGUGAGACAGGUUCCACCGACUGACAUGCACUAGUUGCAUAAGGUGACUAGCGGGUGCCAGUCUCUCCCACUUUAGUCAGAACGGAUUCGAUGAAAAGGGUCGUUAUGAAGGGUAAAUAGCAAUUGGCAUAUCACGUUGUAUUUUUGCGUAGGUAAGAAACGUUCUUGCUAGAAACCCAUAGCAGCCACGUAAAACAUGCAAACAACAAUUAGAGGACGUCUAACUUGUUUUUGCAGGGUAUGCUAUGUGAUGUGAUAUGGCCAAGAAGAAUGUGAUGAAUGAUAUGUGAUGUAUGAGAUUGACCAUGUUCUUGUAAUAGGAAUCAUGACUUGCAUGUCGAUGAGUAUGACAACCGGCAGGAGCCAUAGGAGUUGUCUUUAUUUAUUGUAUGACCUACGUGUCAUUGAACAACGCCAUGUAAUUACUUUACUUUAUUGCUAACUGGUAGCCAUAGUGGUAGAAGUAAUAAGUUGGCGAGACAACUUCAUGGAGACACAAUGAUGGAGAUCAUGGUGUCAUGCCGGUGACGAUGAUGAUCAUGGAGCCCCGAAGAUGGAGAUCAAAAGGAGCAAUAUGAUAUUGGCCAUAUCAUGUCACUAUUUGAUUGCAUGUGAUGUUUAUAAUGUUUAUACAUCUUAUUUGCUUAGAAUGACGGUAGUAAAUAAGAUGAUCCCUCAUUAAAAUUUCAAGAAAGUGUUCCCCCUAACUGUGCACCGUUGCGAAAGUUCGUCCUUUUGAAGCACCACGUGAUGAUCGGGUGUGAUAGAUUCUUACGUUCGAAUACAACGGGUGUUGACGAGCCUAGCAUGUACAGACAUGGCCUCGGAACACAUGCAAAACACUUAGGUUGACUUGACGAGCCUAGCAUGUACAGACAUGGCCUCGGAACACAAGAGACCGAAAGGUCGAGCAUGAGUCGUAUGGUAGAUACGAUCAACAUGAAGAUGUUCACCGAUGUUGACUAGUCCGUCUCACGUGAUGAUCGGACACGGCCUAGUUGACUCGGAUCAUGUAAUCACUUAGAUGACUAGAGGGAUGUCUAUCUGAGUGGGAGUUCAUAAGAUGAACUUAAUUAUCCUGAACAUAGUCAAAAGGACUUUGCAAAUUAUGUCGUAGCUCACGCUAUAGUUCUACUGUUUAGAUAUGUUCCUAGAGAAAAUUUAGUUGAAAGUUGAUAGUAGCAAUUAUGCGGACUAGGUCCGUAAACUGAGGAUUGUCCUCAUUGCUUCAUAGAAGGUUUAUGUCCUUAAUGCACCGCUCAGUGUGCUGAACCUCGAACGUCGUCUGUGGAUGUUGCGAACAUCUGACAUACACAUUUUGAUAACUACGUGAUAGUUCAGUUAAACGGUUUAGAGUUGAGGCACCGAAGACGUUUUGAAACGUCACGAAACAUAUGAGAUGUUUCGAGGGCUGAAAUUGGGAUUUCAGGAUCGUGCCCACAUCAAGAGGUAUAAGACCUCCGACGAUUUUUCUUAGCCUGCAAACUAAGGGAGAAAAGCUCAACUGUUGAGCUUGUGCUCAGAUUGUCUGAGUACAACAAUCAUUUGAAUCGAGUGGGAGUUGAUCUUCCAGAUGAGAUAGUGAUGUUUCUCCGAAGUCAUUACCACCAAGCUGCUAGAGCUUCGUGAUGAACUAUAAUAUAUCAGGGACAUAUAUGAUGAUCCUUGAGAUAUUCGCGAUGUUUGACACCACAAAAGUAGAAAUCAAGAAGGAGCAUCAAUUGUUGAUGGUUGGUGAAACCACUAGUUUCAAGAAGGGCAAGGGCAAGAAGGGAUACUUCAUGAAAUGGCAAUUCAGCUGCUGCUCUAGUGAAGAAACCCAAGGUUGAACCCAAACCCGAGACUAAGUGCUUCUGUAAUAAGGGAAACAACCACUGGAGCAGAAUUACCCUAGAUACUUGGUAGAUGAGAAGGCUGGCAAAGUCGAUAGAAGUAUAUUGGAUAUACAUUGUGUUAAUGUGUACUUUACUAGUACUCCUAGUAGCACCAUGGUAUUAGAUACCGGUUCGGAUGCUAAAUGUUAGUAAACUCGAAAUAAAAGGCUGCAGAGUAAACGGAGACUAGCCAAAGGUGAGCUGGCAAAAUGUGUUGGAAGUUUUUCCAAGCUUGAUGUCAUCAAGCAUCGCACGCUCCCUCUACCAUCGAGAUCGGUGUUUGCGUUGAGCAUAGACAUGAUUGGAUUAUGUCUAUCGCAAUACGGUUAUUCAUUUAAGGAGAAUAAUGGUUACUCUGUUUAUUUGAAUAAUACCUUCAAUGGUCUUGCACCUAAAAUGAAUGGUUUAUUGAAUCUCGAUCGUAGUGAUACACAUGUUCAUGCCAGAAGAUAUAAGAUAGUAAUGAUAGUACCACCUACUUGUGGCACUGCCAUGUAAGUCAUAUCGGUAUAAAACGCAUGAAGAAGCUCCAUGUUGAUGGAUCUUUGGGCUCACUCGUUUUUGAAAAGUUUGAGACAUGCGAACCAUGUCUAUUGGUGUAUAUGCAUGAAGAAACUCCAUGCAAAUGGACCGUUUGGACUCACUCGAUUUUGAAUCACUUGAGACAUGCAAAUCAUACCACAUGGGCAAGAUGACUGAAAGCCUCGUUUUCAGUAAAAUGGAACUAGAAAGAAACUUGUUGGAAGUAAUACAUUUUGAUGUGUGCAGUCCAAUGAGUGCUGAGGCAUGUAGUGGAUUUCAUUAUGUUCUUACUUCACAGAUGAUUUGAGUAGAUACUGAGUAUAUUUACUUGAUGAAACAUAAGUCUGAAUUAUUGAAAGGUUCAAGUAAUUUCAGAGUGAAGUUGAACAUCGUCGUGACAAGAGGAUAAAAUGUCUAUGAUAUGAUCGUAGAGAUGAAUAUCUGAAUUACGAGUUUGGCACAAAAUUAAGACAUUAUGGAAAUUGUUUCACAACUAAUACAGUCUGGAACACCACAGUGUGAUGGUGUGUCCGAAUAUCAUAACUGCACCCUAUUGGAUAUGAUGCAUACCAUGAUGUCUCUUAUCAAAUUACCACGAUAGUUUAUGGGUUAGGCAUUAGAGACAACCACAUUCACUUUAAAUAGGGCACCACGUAAUUCCGAUGAGAUGACACCGUAUGAACUAUGGUUUAGAGAAACCUAAGCUGUCAUUUCUUAAAAGUUUGGGGCUGCGACGCUUAUGUGAAAAAGUUUUAGGCUGAUAAGCUCGAACCCAAAGCGGAUAAAUGCAUCUUCAUAGGACACCCAAAAUAGUUGGGUAUACCUCCUGUCUCAGAUCCGAAAGCAAUAAGGGAUUGUUUCUAGAAUCGAGUCCUUUCUCGAGGAAAGGUUUCUCUCGAAAGAAUUGAGUGUGAUGAUGGUGGAGAUUUGAUGAGGUUAUUGAACUGUCUCUUCAACUAGUGUGUGGCAGGGCACAGGGAGUUGUUCCUGUGGCACCUACACCAAUUGAAGUGGAAGCUUAUGAUAGUGAUCAUGAAACUUCAGAUCAAGUCACUACCAAACCUCGUGGGAUGACAAGGAUGCGUACUACUUCAGAGUGGUACGUAAUCCUAUCUUGGAAGUCAUGUUGCUAGACAACAAUGAACCUACAAGCUAUGGAGAAGCAAUGGUGGGCCUGGAUUCCAAAAUGGCUCGAAGCCAUAUAAUCCGAGAGAGGAUCCAUCUAUGAAAACAAAGUGUAGACUUUGGAAGAACUACUUGAUGGUCGUAAGGCUGUUAGGUACAUAGGGAUUUUAAAAGGAAGACGGACAAUGAUAGUAAGUAUCACCAUUAAGAAAGCUUGACUUGUCGUUAAGAUGUUUUCCGACAAGUUCAAGGAGUUGACUACGAUGAGACUUUCUCACUCGUAGCGAUGCUAAGAGUCUGUUGGAAUUAUAUUAGCGAUUACUGCAUUAUUUAUGAAAUCUUGCAGAUAGGAUAUCAAAACAUUGUUUCCUCGAUGUUUUUUUGAGGAAAGGUUGUAUGUGAUACAACCAGAAGGUUUUGUCAAUCCUGAAAGAUGCUAACAAGUAUGCAAAGCUCCAGCAAUCCUUCUAAGGACUGGAGUAAGCAUCUCGGAGUUGGAAUGUAUGCUUUGAUGAGAUGAUCAAAGUUUUGGGUGUAUACAAAGUUUAUGAGAAACUUGUAUUUCCAAAGAAGUGAGUGGGAGCACUAUAGAAUUUCUGAUGAGUAUAUGUUGUUAACAUAUUGUUGAUCGGAAAUGAUGUAGAAUUUCUGGAAAGCAUGCAGAGUUAUUUGAAAAGUGUUUUUCAAUGGAAAGCCUGGAUUAAGCUACUUGAACAUUGAGCAUGAAGAUCUAUAAGGAUAGAUCAAAACGCUUAAUGGUAAUUUCAAAUGAGCACAUACCUUGACAUGAUCUUGAAGGUGUUCAAGAUGGAUCAGUCAAAGAAGGAGUUCUUGCCUGAGUUGUAAGGUAUGAAGUUAAGACUUAAAGCUCGACCACGGAAGAAGAAAGAGGAAGGACGAAGGUCGUCCCCUAUGCUUUUGUCAUAGGCUCUCUACAGUAUGCUAUGUUGUGUGCCGCACUUGAAGUGUGCCUUGCCAUGAGUCAGUCAAGGGGUACAAGAGUGAUCCAAGAAUGGAUCACAAGACAACGGUCAAAGUUAUCCUUAGUAACUAGUGGACUAAGGAAUUUUCUCGAUUAUGGAGGUGGUAAAAGAGUUCGUCGUAAAGGGUUACGCCGAUGCAAACUUUGACACUAAUCUAGAUUAUUCUGAGUAGUAGACUGGAUUCGUAUAGUAGAACAGUUAUUUGGAAUAGCUCCAAAUAGAACGUGGUAGCUGCAUCUAGGAGAUGACAUAGAGAUUUGUAAAGCACACACGGAUCUGAAAGAUUCAGACCCGUUGACUAUAACAUCUCUCACAAGCAUAACAUGAUCAAACCCAGAACUCAUCGAGUGUUAAUCACAUGGUAAUGUGAACUAGAUUAUUGACUCUAGUAAACUCUUUGGGUGUUAGUCACAUGGGGAUGUGACCUUGAGUGUUUAUCACAUAUCGAUGUGAACUGGAUUAUUGACUCUAGUGCAAGUGGGAGACUGUUGGAAAUAUGCCCUAGAGGAAAUAAUAAAUUUAUUAUUAUUAUAUUUCCUUGUUCAUGAUAAUCGUUUAUUAUCCAUGCUAGAAUUGUAUUGAUAGGAAACUCAGAUACAUGUGUGGAUACAUAGACAACACCAUGUCCCUAGUAAGCCUCUAGUUGACUAGCUCGUUGAUCAAUAGAUGGUUACAGUUUCCUAACCAUGGACAUUGGAUGUCAUUGAUAACGGGAUCACAUCAUUAGGAGAAUGAUGUGAUGGACAAGACCCAAUCCUAAGCCUAGCACAAGAUCAUGUAGUUCGUAUGCUAAAGCUUUUCUAAUGUCAAGUAUCAUUUCCUUAGACCAUGAGAUUGUGCAACUCUCGGAUACCGUAGGAGUGCUUUGGGUGUGCCAAAUGUCACAACGUAACUGGGUGGCUAUGAAGGUACACUACAAGUAUCUCCAAAAGUGUCUGUUGGGUUGGCACGAAUCGAGACUGGGAUUUGUCACUCCGUGUAAACGGAGAGGUAUCUCUGGGCCCACUCGAUAGGACAUCAUCAUAAUGUGCACAAUGUGACCAAGGAGUUGAUCACGGGAUGAUGUGUUACGGAACGAGUAAAGAGACUUGCCGGUAACGAGAUUGAACAAGGUAUCGGCAUACCGACGAUCGAAUCUCGGGCAAGUAUCGUACCGAUGGACAAAGGGAAUUGCAUACGGGAUUAAUUAAGUCCUUGACAUCGUGGUUCAUCCGAUGAGAUCAUCGUGGAACAUGUGGGAGCCAACAUGGGUAUCCAGAUCCCGCUGUUGGUUAUUGACCGGAGAGUCAUCUCGGUCAUGUUUGCAUGUCUCCCGAACCCGUAGGGUCUACACACUUAAGGUUCGAUGACGCUAGGGUUAUAAAGGAAGUUUGUAUGUGGUUACCGAAUGUUGUUCGGAGUCCCGGAUGAGAUCCCGGACGUCAUGAGGAGUUCCGGAAUGGUCCGGAGGUAAAGAUUUAUAUAUAGGAAGUCCUGUUUUGGUCACCGGAAAAGUUUCGGGUUUUAUUGGUAACGUACCGGGACCACCGACAGGGUCCCGGGGGUCCACCAAGUGGGGCCACAAGCCCCGGAGGGCUGCAUGGGCCAAGUGUGGGAGGGGACCAGCCCCAGGUGGGCUGGUGCGCCCCCCCACCAAGGCCCAAGGCGCAAGGAAGAGGGGAAGGGGGCAAACCCUAGGGCAGAUGGGCCCUAAGGCCCACCCUAGUGCGCCUCCCCCUCUCCCCUCCCCUUGGCCGCCCCUAGAUGGGAUCUAGGGGGCUGCCGCCACCCCUAGGGAGGGAACCCUAGGUGGGGGCGCAGCCCCUCCCCUCCCCCUAUAUAUAGUUGAGGUUUGGGCUGCCCAAUACACAUGAGUUCCUCUCUUUCUUGGCGCAGCCCUAUCCCUCUCUUUCUCCUCAUAUCUCGUAGUGCUUGGCGAAGCCCUGCUGGAUCACCAUGCUCCUCCAUCACCACCACGCCAUUGUGCUACUGCUGGAUGGAGUCUUCCUCAACCUCUCCCUCUCUCCUUGCUGGAUCAAGGCAUGGGAGACGUCAUCGGGCUGUACGUGUGUUGAACGCGGAGGUGCCGUCCGUUCGGCACUAGGAUCUCCGGUGAUUUGGAUCACGAUGAGUACGACUCCUUCAACCCCGCACUACUAGGAAAAGGCCUACUAAUGGCGCACCAGUUUUGCCUACUAAUGGCGCAUCACUGGUGCGCCAUUACUAGCACGCCAUUAGUAAUUUUUACUAAUGGCGCACCACUGGUGCGCCAUUAGUAUCUGGUAUACUAAUGGCGCACCACUGGUGCGCCAUUAGUAUAGGCCACAGGUGCACCAUUAGUAUACCAGAUACUAAUGGCGCACCGCGUGGUGCGCCAUUAGUAUACCAUUCGGUGCUCCACUGGUAUUCCCUCCAGGUGCGCCACUAAUAACCUUAUAGGUGCGCCACUAGUAAUAAAGGAAGGUGCGCCACUAAUAAGGGCUUAAAUGCGCCACUACUAAUGUAUUUGGAAAACAAAAAAAAAUCUAAAUUUACAGAAAAAAACCUAUAAGGAAAAAUAAUUUAAAAACAAAAAAUGAAAUAGAAUCAUAAUUUUUAUUAUAGUAAGAAUAUUACAAUGUCUUUACAAGUUUCCAAUAAAAGGGAAAUUGCAAGGAAAUAAAAAAAAUCCUAAAGCUAAUCUUCUAGUAAUCUUCUCUUCUUUUUCUUCACUUUAUCCCUGCAAAAUGUAACAAAAUAAACACAAACACAAACAAACUAUUUAUAACAUGUCAAUACUGUCAUUUUUUCAGACCAAGUAACUAACAACUUCAGUGAGACAGGCACAGUGCAGUGUGAAUUUCAAUUGGCUAAAUCAUAUAUAGAAAUCAGUAUCUUCUCUAUGAACCUGAAACUGAGAUGACUGGACUAAUUUUGCACAUUUGAUUUAUGAAUUUAUUCUUCUUCGACAACCAACUAAACUUCGGAUCACCUACUAAGCAUCUGUACAUACUACAUAGGCUGAUUAAUCCAACAGCCACAAUGCAAAUAUUGACUAUUUCCAUUCAACUUCUUCACUUACUCAUUAUUAUCUAAUGAAACCAUUCGUAACUAAUGAAGCAGAUUGGCUAAAGUUAUUAUCAAGUCCUAAGUCCUAAUUGAAGCAGAUCUGCUAGGGUUCUUCUCGCUAGCCCCUCAUGGCCAACCGUUUCGGAACAGGCAGGCAGAGCUGCUUGGCCGGUGGCUAGGGAGUCGCUGGUGAUGUUGGGCAUCUCACACGAGCACCUGGCUAUUUGAGGAAACCGAAAUAGUAGCAUAAACAAGAUUGAUUCCGAGGAAAUGAUAGAACCUAUUCUAUCAAAGUGCUACUCCCCCCGUUCCAUAAUUCCAGUCGUGGUUUUUUAACUAAAACCAUGAAGAGAACUAUGGAAUGGAGGGAGUAGAAAACAAUAGCAUGCUUAAAAUUCUACCAUACACAGCAGCAACAGACAUUACACAAGCAUUUAUUUAUUUAUUGCAUUUGGCACAAGUUAAAAAUUCUCACAAGCAGAGGCGGUCCUAUCAGACAAAAAGAACAUGGACCGCUCAUUACAAAGCACUUCUACUGCAGUAUCAUGGAGUAGGAAAAGGGGCUUAAGCAGCAAAGAAGUAUAAUAAGAGAAAAAAACACUAUGGCGGCUGGAACUAGAAGAGCACCAUCACAGGUUCGAAACAUCACCAUGGAGUCGAUGGCCGGCAUAGCCCAUGGCAGGGCUGGAUGGGCAGCAUAAUAACACAAUAAAAGUUUGAUGUAUACUUAUUCGUUUGAAAAGAUGCAAGCUUAUUUACACCCUAGGACUGUUGAUUAGGGUCUGGAUGGUAUUUUUGUUCCUUGCGUAAGUAAGAGAAGGACUAGCAUCCAUAGUAGAAAGAAGGGUAAACAUACAUAAAGGAAAGUUUUUAUAGCGUCACGACCGAAAGAGGCUACGUGCGGCUGGGUGAAAUGGACAAGGUUUCAUGUAUGCAAUAUAUUAUAGAAAAAUAAGUGUUGACAGAAAAUGAAAGAUUUCCUGUCAAACAAACAGAGCUUCAUUUUGUAACAUUUCUGACCCACAUGAUAAUUGUACAACAUAGUAGAGGAGACCACUGUACAUACAUGUGUUGAAUGAAGCAGACUAAGAAAUAUUGGGUGGGUAUAAAGAAUACAAUAGUACGGUAGCUGAUGUAAACAAGUGCAGAGUUGCAUCCACAGAAUAGGUAACAAAUUAAAUAGCCCUGGUGCCAACAGUAGAGUUCGUGUAUCCAAUCCAUCCUUUGUUUAACACAGCAGCUCCAACUCUUGUGUAACAAAUUAAGUUUGGCAUGGGCACACAUAAAGCACUGACAUUUUCAUGGCUCGAUGGCCGUGGGCUAAGGGAGCAGAGGAGGAGGUGCGGCUCACCUCACAUGGCGGCGGAACCGAGGGAUGAAGGUGCGGCGCACCGGAGCAGGCAGAGGUGCCUUGUGUUGGCCAAACACGUGGCCAGCAGCAGAGAAGCGCUUCUCUUGCUCGACGGAUGUUGGGUGUGUGUGAGGCGUGCUCCUGCCUGCCUGCCUGCGUGAGGAACGGGAGGACCAUUAGAGAAGAGAAGGGAAGGGAAGAAGAGCAGGUAGAGGAUGGCAAGGGGAGAGGAGGGAAUCAAAAUCAAAGAUGAGAAGAUGACCUUGAGGAGGAGCAGGGGAAGAGCGGAGCAGCAGAAACAGAGGCCUUCCUCUCCCGGUGGUGAGGACCGAGGCGACCUCCGUCACGGCCUAGCCAGGUCGACGACUCUGGCGACCGUGGCUGCCAGAUCCGGUGUCACCAUGGCCGGCCUCCUCCUGUGGUGCCUGCUAGGUCGCCAUGGCCGCGGGCUCCUUGUCCGUGGCGGCUGGAUCUGGGGCCUUGGGGUGGCGGGGAGCUCCUCCUCCUGCAGCUCGGCGGCCUCCACACCCCGGAGCAACGCCGUCGCCGGAGGACGUGGUCACCUGCUCUCCUCUGGAUCCGGUGAGGAGGGUUGGGGAAGGAGCUCACCACGGCUCCAUGCCCUGGAUCUGGUGUGAGGGAGGGGGAAGGGAGCUCGCCGUGGUCAGGAGGGAGAGGAAGAGGCGGGCGGCCGGGGCUUCCCGAUCUAAAUCAAAGUCGAGGGAGGUGGGUGGGUGUGUCAGGAGGAAGGUGAGGGGGAGAGAACGUGACAAGAUGGAGGGGAUAAGGGGUGAUAGCAAUGGCGCACUGGUAGGGGUGCGCCAUACGUAUAGAUAGCAAUGGCGCAUCUCUUACUGGUGCGCCAUUACUAGUUUAAACUAGUAAUGGUGCACGGUGGAACAGUGCGCUAUUAGUAGUUUUGCAAAAAAAAGUAAUAAAAAUAUAAUAAAAAAACAACAUUAGUGGCGCACUUUUCGACAGGUGCGCCAUUACUAGUUACAACUAGUAAUGGCGCACUGUGUCUGGAUGCGCCAUUAGUAUGUUUGGACAGGCGCACUAGUUCAAAAAAAAUUGAUACUAAUGGCGCACCCUGGGCCAGGUGCGCCAUUAGUAGUUUCAACUCUAAUGGCGUAUCAGAAGGUGGUGCGCCAUUAGUAUAUACCCUUGUAGAGGACUUAGGACUUGAUAAUAACUUUAGCCAAUCUGCUUCAUUAGUUACGAAUGGUUUCAUUAGAUAAUAAUGAGUAAGUGAAGAAGUUGAAUGGAAAUAGUCAAUAUUUGCAUUGUGGCUGUUGGAUUAAUCAGCCUAUGUAGUAUGUACAGAUGCUUAGAAGGUGAUCCGAAGUUGGAGAGGUCGGGGAUGAGCUGAUGCGGCGGGGGUGGUGAAGGGGAUCUCUGGUGGCCGGAGUUGAGGACGAGCUCGGUGCAGCGUCUCCGAGGCGAGCAAGCGCUCGGGCGCGGCCUACUCGAUGUAGUCGAUGGCGGCGGAGCUCGUGGACACGAUGGCGCGGCGCGAGGACGACGGAAGGCACGGCUACGACGACGGUGCGGCGACAGAAGUGUCGGCCAUGGUGGGGAACGGCGAAGGGAUAGAGACAGGGGGGAAAUGGCGUGUCCAGGGGCUUCGGGGUGCGACGUGGAGGCGUCCAGGCGUCUAGGGGCGCGGGCGGCAAGCAGGUGACGCCGUGGUGAGCUCGGGCACGCCGGAGUCACCUCCCUGCCUGCGUGGCGGGGAAGAAGCAGCUGGCUGGCGCGAGCCAGCACAGUGCUGGGCCGCCUGGUGGGCCGGCGGGUGAGAUAGCUGGGCCGCGCCAGGUAAGCUUCUCUCUCUCUCUCUCUUUCUUAUUUGUUUUCUUUUUCUAUUUUUCUGCAACUGUUGGGCUUUAUUAAAAAUACCUAGACAUCUUUAAAAAUCCUGAAAAUAAUCAGGGGCUCUGUUUAGAUUAUUCCCAACAGCCCACACUUAUUUCUAGAAUUAUUUGAGCAUUUAAAUUAUUUUAUAGCAUUUAAAUGCCCAAAUUCAAAUACUUAUGAUUUAAUUCAAGAAAAUCCAGAAUGUCCUAGAAAAGAGUGCACCAUUUUUGCCAGGGGUUUUAGCCCAAUCCAGAAAUGAUGAACAUUUUGUGAAAGGCAUUUUGGGUUCAUUGAAAAUAAUUUUAGUAAACCCUAGUUGUUUCCAGGGGGUGCUGGGGGUUCUGUCAUCCCCAUUUCAAAUUUAAAAGGAAUUUAAACAUGAUGCACACUCUAAUGCUUGAACUAGCUAGGGUGUGACACUAAGCAACCCGGCAACGACAUAGAUGUGUACCUAAGGCCAUUAGUUGAAGAACUCUUACAACUGUGGAAUGGAACAGGUGUACGUGCGUGGGAUGAGCACAUGGGGAAAGAAUUUGACCUAAAGGCGUUGUUGUUCGUGACCAUCAAUGAUUGGCCUGCUCUCACUAACCUUUUAGGACAGACAAACAAGGGAUACCGCGCAUGCACGCACUGUUUGGACGAUGCCGACAGUAUAUAUUUGGCUAAAUGUAAGAAGAAUGUGUACCUGGGACAUCAUCGAUUUCUUCCGAGCAGGCAUCCCGUAAGAAAGAAAGGCAAGCAUUUCAAAGGUGAGGCGGAUCACCGGACGAAGCCUCGCCACCGUACUGGUGCUGAUGUACAUGAUAUGGUCAACGAUUUGAAGGUGGUCUUUGGAAAGGGUCCUGGUGGACAACCUAUUCCGAAUGACGCUGACGGACGCGCACCCAUGUGGAAGAAGAAAUCUAUAUUUUGGGACCUGCCCUAUUGGAAAGACCUAGAGGUCCGCUCCGCAAUCGACGUGAUGCACGUGACGAAAAUCUUUGUGUGACCCUGCUUGGCUUCUUGGGCGUGUAUGGGAAGACAAAAGAUACACCUGAGGCACGGGAGGACCAACAAUGUAUGCACGGAAAAGAUGGCAUACAUCAGGGUCAUGCAAGCUACGCUCUUACCAAAGAAGAGAAGGAAAUCUUCUUUGAAUGCCUGCUCAGUAUUAAGGUACCGUCUGGCUUCUCGUCUAAUAUAAAGGGAAUAAUAAACAUGGCAGACAAAAGUUCCAGAACCUAAAGUCUCAUGACUGCCACGUGAUUAUGGCGCAACUGCUUCCGGUUGCAUUGAGGGGGCUUCUACCAGAAAACGUUCGAUUAGCCAUUGUGAAGCUAUGUGCAUUUCUCAAUGCAAUCUCUCAGAAGGUAAUCGAUCCAGAAAUAAUACCAAGGUUAGAGAAUUAUUUGGUGCAAUGUCUUGUCAGUUUCGAGUUGGUGUUCCCACCAUCCUUCUUCAACAUCAUGACGCACGUCCUAGUUCACCUAUGCGAAGAGAUUAACGUUUUGGGUCAUGUAUUUCUACACAAUAUGUUCCCCUUUGAGAGGUUCAUGGGAGUCUUAAAGAAAUAUGUUCAUAACCGUGCUAGGCCAGAAGGAAGCAUCUCCAAGGCCAUGAAAAUGAGGAGGUCAUUGAGUUUUGUAUUGACUUUAUUCCUGACCUUAAGCCGAUUGGUGUUCCUGAAUCGCGGCAUAAGGGCAGACUGGAUGGAAAAGGCACGCUAGGAGGGGAACAAAUAAUAUGUAUGUACGGACAUUCUCUCACUGAAGCACACUACACAGUUCUACAGAAUUCCGCCUUGGUGGCUCCAUAUAUGGAUGAACACAAGAAUUUGCUACGCUCCAAACACCCGGAGCGGUCUGAUGACUGGAUUACACGUGAACAAACCAGAAGUUUCGCCAGCUGGUUGCAGACACGUACCAUGCAUGACACCUCUAUUGAAGAUGACCUGUACUUGCUGUCCCAGUUACCAUCUUCGAAUAUAAUGACUUUCAAAGGGUACCAGAUAAAUGGUAAUACAUUUUACACGAUCGCCCAAGAUAAGAAGAGCACCAACCAAAACAGUGGUGUCUACUUUGAUGCAGAAACCAAGACGGGAAAGGAAACAUAUUAUGGUUAUAUACCGGACAUAUGGGAACUUGACUAUCGACGUGGUUUAAAGGUCCCUUUGUUUCGGUGCAAAUGGGUCAAUAUGACACGAGGCGGGGUAACGGAAGACCCGCAGUACGGAAUGACAACAGUGGAUCUCAACAAUCUUGCGUAUGCAGACGAACCAUUCGUCCUAGCCAAUGAUGUGGCACAGGUUUUCUAUGUGAAGGACAUGUCUACCAAGCCAAGAAAAAGAAAAGAUAAGGAAGCGAAUGCAUCGUACGAUGAGCCAAAGCGGCACAUAGUUCUUUCUAGGAAGAGAAACAUCGUGGGAGUGGAUGACAAGACAGACAUGUCAGAAGAUUAUGAAAAGUUUGAUGAAAUUGCUCCAUUCACAGUGAAUAUUGACCCGAGCAUCCCGUUAAAUGAUGAAGAUUUUCCAUGGUUACGGCGCAAAGGGACGCACGCGAAGAAAAAGUUUCACACCCAAAGAUCUGGGAUGUGAUCGGCUUCACUAUCAUCACUUUCUUCUGUGUUUCACACCCAGGAGGGAAUCUCUGUAAUAGUUAGGGUAGUUAUGUGUUUUGGCAUUUGAAACGCGAAGAAAUUUUAUGUGCAAACAAAUUCUUUCAUGCCUUUACUGAUUUUUAAAGUUAAGUUAUUCACAAACUAGUGAUUCACACUAAUUUCAAAUAAUUCAAAAUUUAAACUAUUCAAAUUUGAAAACUACAGGCACUAACAGAAAGUUUGUAAUUUUUUGUACCUAAAGCAAAAAUUGAAGGAAAUAUGCCCUAGAGGCAAUAAUAAAGUUAUUAUUUAUUUCCUUAUAUCAUGAUAAAUGUUUAUUAUUCAUGCUAGAAUUGUAUUAACCGGAAACAUAAUACAUGUGUGAAUACAUAGACAAACAGAGUGUCACUAGUAUGCCUCUACUUGACUAGCUCGUUAAUCAAAGAUGGUUAUGUUUCCUAACCAUGGACAAAGAGUUGUUAUUUGAUUAACGGGAUCACAUCAUUAGGUGAAUGAUCUGAUUGACAUGACCCAUUCCAUUAGCUUAGCACCCGAUCGUUUAGUAUGUUGCUAUUGCUUUCUUCAUGACUUAUACAUGUUCCUAUGACUAUGAGAUUAUGCAACUCCCGUUUGCCGGAGGAACACUUUGUGUGCUACCAAACGUCACAACAUAACUGGGUGAUUAUAAAGGUGCUCUACAGGUGUCUCCAAAGGUACAUGUUGGGUUGGCGUAUUUCGAGAUUAGGAUUUGUCACUCCGAUCGUCGGAGAGGUAUCUCUGGGCCCUCUAAUGCACAUCACUUAAGCCUUGCAAGCAUUGCAGCUAAUGAGUUAGUUGCGGGAUGAUGUAUUACGGAACGAGUAAAGAGACUUGCCGGUAAUGAGAUUGAACUAGGUAUUGGAUACCGACGAUCGAAUCUCGGGCAAGUAACAUACCGAUGACAAAGGGAACAACGUAUGUUGUUAUGCGGUCUGACCGAUAAAAGAUCUUCGUAGAAUAUGUAGGAACCAAUAUGGGCAUCAAGGUCCCGCUAUUGGUUAUUGACCGGAGACGUGUCUCGGUCAUGUCUACAUUGUUCUCGAACCCGUAGGGUCCGCACGCUUAAGGUUUCGAUGACAGUUAUAUUAUGAGUUUAUGAGUUUUGAUGUACCAAAGGAGUUCGGAGUCCCGGCUGAGAUUGGGGACAUGACGAGGAGUCUCGAAAUGGUCGAGACGUAAAAAUCGAUAUAUUGGACGACUAUAUUCGGACAUCGGAAAGGUUCCGAGUGAUUCGAGUAUUUUUCGGAGUACCGGAGAGUUACGGGAAUUCGCCGGGAGAAGUAUUGGGCCUUAUUGGGCCAUACGGGAAAGAGAGAGGGGCUGCCUAGGGUAGGCCGCGCGCCCCCCAAGGCCUAGUCCGAAUUGGACUAGGGGGAGGGGCUGCGCCCCUUCCUUGUUUCCUACUCCUACUACAUGGAAGGACUCCUACUUGGACUAGGAAAGGGGGAAUCCUACUCCCGGUGAGAGUAGGACUUCUCUAGGCGCGCCAUAGAGAGGGCCGGCCCUCCCCUCCUGCACUCCUUGAUAUACGGGGGCAGGGGGCACCCCAUAGACACACAAGUUGAUCCACGUGAUCAUAUUCUUAGCCGUGUGCGGUGCCCCCUUCCACUAUAGUCCUCGAUAAUAUUGUAGCAGUGCUUAGGCGAAGCCCUGCGACAGUAGUACAUCAAGAUCGUCACCACGCCGUCGUGCUGACGGAACUCUUGCCCGACACUUUGCUGGAUCGGAGUCCGGGGAUCGUCAUCGAGCUGAACGUGUGCUAGAACUCGGAGGUGCCGUAGUUUCAGUGCUUGAUCGUCGGGCCGUGAAGACGUACGACUACAUCAACCGCGUUGUCAUAACGCUUUUGCUAUCGGUCUACAAGGGUACGUAGAUCACACUCUCCCCUCUCGUUGCUAUGCAUCACCAUGAUCUUGCGUGUGCGUAGGAAAUUUUUUGAAAUUACUACGUUCCCCAACAGUGGCAUCCGAGCCUAGGUUUUAUGCGUUGAUGUAAUAUGCACGAGUAGAACACAAGUGAGUUGUGGGCGAUAUAAGUCAUACUGCUUACCAGCAUGUCACAGUUUGGUUCGGCGGUAUUGUUGGAUGAAGCGGCCCGGACCGACAUUACGCGUACGCUUAUGCGAGACUGGUUCUACCGACGUGCUUUGCACACAGGUGGCUGGCGGGUGUCAGUUUCUCCAACUUUAGUUGAACCGAGUGUGGCUACGCCCGGUCCUUGCGAAGGUUAAAACAACACCAACUUGACAAACUAUCGUUGUGGUUUUUGAUGCGUAGGUAAGAACGGUUCUUGCUAAGCCCGUAGCAGCCACGUAAAACUUGCAACAACAAAGUAGAGGAUGUCUAACUUGUUUUUGCAGGGCAUGUUGUGAUGUGAUCUGGUCAAGACAUGAUGCUAAAUUUUAUUGUAUGAGAUGAUCAUCUUUUGUAACCGAGUUAUCGGCAACUGGCAGGAGCCAUAUAGUUAUCGCUUUAUUGUAUGCAAUGCAAUCGCACUGUAAUGCUUUACUUUAUCACUAAGAGGUAGCGAUAGUCGUGGAAGCAUAAAAGUGGCGAGACGACAACGAUGCUGCGAUGGAGAUCAAGGUGUCACGCCGGUGACGAUGGUGAUCAUGACGGUGCUUCGGAGAUGGAGAUCACAGGCACAAGAUGAUGAUGGCCAUAUCAUAUCACUUAUAUUGAUUGCAUGUGAUGUUUAUCUUCUAUGCAUCUUAUCUUGCUUUGAUUGACGGUAGCAUUAUAAGAUGAUCUCUCACUGAAUUAUCCAGAAGUGUUCUCCCUGAGUAUGCACCGUUGCGAAAGUUCUUCGUGCCGAGACACCACAUGAUGAUCGGGUGUGAUAGGCUCUACGUUCAAAUACAACAGGUGCAAAACAGUUGCACACGCGGAAUACUCAGGUUAUACUUGACGAGCCAAGCAUAUGCAGAUAUGGCCUCGGAACACGGAGACCGAAAGGUCGAGCGUGAAUCAUAUAGUAGAUAUGAUCAACAUAGUGAUGUUCACCAAUGAAACUACAUCUCACGUGAUGAUCGGACAUGGUUUAGUUGAUUGGGAUCAUGUGAUCGCUUAGAGGAUUAGAGGGAUGUCUAUCUAAGUGGGAGUUCUUAAGUAAUAUGAUUAAUUGAACUUAAAUUUAUCAUGAACUUAGUCCUUAUAGUAUUUUGCAAAUUAUGUUGUAGAUUAAUAGCUCGUGUUGUUGCUUCCUUGUGUUUUUUAUAUGUUCCUAGAGAAAAUUGUGUUGAAAGAUGUUAGUAGCAAUGAUGCGGAUUGGAUCCGUCAUCUGAGGUUUAUCCUCAUUGCUGCACAGAGGAAUUAUGUCCUUGAUGCACCGCUAGGUGACAGACCUAUUGCAGGAUCAGAUACUAACGUUAUGAACGUUUGGCUAGCUAAAUAUGAUGACUACUUGAUAGUUUAGUGCACCAUGCUUAACGGCUUAGAAUCGGGACUUCAAAGACGUUUUGAACGUCAUGGACCAUAUGAGAUGUUCCAGGAGUUGAAGUUAAUAUUUCAAGCAAAUACCCGAGUUGAGAGAUAUGAAGUCUCCAACAAGUUCUAUAGCUAAAAGAUGGAGGAGAAUCGCUCAACUAGUGAGCAUGUGCCCAAAUUGUCUGAGUACUACAAUCACUUGAAUCAAGUGGGAGUUAAUCUUCUAGAUAAGAUAGUGAUUGACAGAAUUCUCUAGUCACCAUCACCAAGUUAGUAGAACUUCGUGAUGAACUAUGAUAUGCAAGGGAUAACGGAAACGAUUCCCAUGCUCUUCGUAAUGCGGAAAUUGAUGAAGGUAGAAAUCGAGAAAAACAUCAAGUGUUGAUGGUAGACAAGACCACUACUUUCAAGAAAAAGGAAGAGGGAAGAAGGGGAACUUCAAGAAAAACAGCAAGCAAGUUGCUGCUCAUGUGAAGAAGCCCAAGUCUGGUCCUAAGCCUAUGACUAAGUGCUUCUACUGCAAAGGGACUAGUCACUGGAAGCGGAACUACCCCAAGUGAUUGGCGGAUAAGAAGGAUGGCAAAGUGAACAUAAGUAUAUUUGAUAUACAUGUUAUUGAUGUGUACUUUACUAGUGUUUAUAGCAACCCCUCAGUAUUUGAUGCUAGUUCAGUUGCUAAGAGUAGUAACUCGAAACGGGAGUUGCAGAAUGAACAGAGACUAGUUAAGGGUGAAGUGACGAUGUGUUUUGGAAGUGGUUCCAAGAUUGAUAUGAUCAUCAUCGCACACUCCCUAUACUUUCGGGAUUAGUGUUGAACCUAAAUAAGUGUUAUUUGGUGUUUGCGUUGAGCAUGAAUAUGAUUUGAUCAUGUUUAUUGUAAUACGGUUAUUCAUUUAAGUAAAAGAAUAAAUUGUUGUUCUGUUUACAUGAAUAAAACCUUAUUUGGUUACACACCCAAUGAAAAUAGUUCAUUGGAUGUCGAUCGUAGUGAUACACAUAUUCAUAAUAUUGAAACCAAAAGAUGCGAAGUUAAUAAUGAUAGUGCAACUUAUUUGUGGCACUGCCAUUUAGGUCAUAUUGGUGUAAAGCUCAUGAAGAAACUCCAUGCUGAUGGGAUUUUGGAAUCACUUGGUGCUUGCGAACCAUGCCUUAUGGAUAAAAUGACUAAAGACUCCGUUCUCCGGAACAAUGGAGCGAGCAACUGACUUAUUGGAAAUAAUACAUACUGAUGUAUGCGAUCUGAUGAGUGUUGAAGCUCGCGGCGGGUAUCGUUAUUUUCUGACCUUCACAUAUGAUUUGAGCAGAUAUGGUAUAUCUGCUUGAUGAAACAUAAGUCUGAAACAUUUGAAAAGUUCAAAGAAUUUCAGAGUGAAAUGGAAAAUCAUCGUAACAAGAAAAAUAAGGUUUCUACGAUCUGAUCGCGGAGACAAAUAUUUGAGUUACGAGUUUGGUCUUCAAUUAAAACUAUGUGGAAUAGUUUCACAAAUUCAUGCCACCUGGAACACCACAGCAUAAUAGUGUGUUCGAACAUCAUAACCGUACUUUAUUGGAUAUAGUGCAAUCUAUGAUGUUUCUUACCGAUUUACCACUAUAGUUUUGGGGUUAUGCAUUAGAGACAGCUGCAUUCACGUUAAAAGGGCACCAUCUAAAUCUGUUGAGACGACACCGUAUGAACUGUGGUUUGGCAAGAAACCAAAGUUGUCGUUUCUCAAAGUUUGGGGUUGCAAUGCUUAUGUGAAAAAGUUUCAUCCUGAUAAGCUCAAACCCAAAUCGGAAAAGUGUGUCUUCAUAGGAUACCCAAAAAGUUACUGUUGGGUACACCUUCUAUCACAGAUCCGAAGGCAAGACUUUUGUUGCUAAAUUCAGAAACUUUCUGGAGAAGGAGUUUCUCUCGAAAGAAGUGAGUGGGAGGAAAGUAGAACUUGAUGAGGUAACUGUACCUACUCCCUUAUUGGAAAGUAGUACAUCACAGAAAACUGUUUCUGCGACACCUACCCCAAUUAGUGAGGAAGCUAAUGAUACUGAUCAUGAAACUUCAGGACAAGAUACUAUUGAACCUCAUAGAUCAACCAGAGUGAGAUCCGCGCCAUAGUGGUACGGUAAUCCUAUUCUGGAAAUCAUGCUGCUAGAUCAUGAUGAACCUACGAACUAUGAGGAAGCGAUGAUGAGCCCAGAUUCCGAUAAAUGGCUUGAGGCCAUGAAAUCUGAGAUAGGAUCCAUGUAUGAGAACAAAGUGUGGACUUUGGUGGACUUGCCCGAGGAUCGGCAAGCCAUUGAUAAUAAAUGGAUCUUCAAGAGGAAGACGGACACGGAUAGUAGUGUUACUAUCUACAAAGCUAGAAUUUUCGCAAAAGGUUUUCGACAAGUUCAAGGUGUUGACUACGAUGAGAUUUUCUCACUCGUAUCUAUGCUUAAGUCUGUCCGAAUCAUGUUAGCAAUUGCCGCAUUUUAUGAAAUCUGGCAAAUGGAUAAACAAAACUGCAUUCCUUAAUGGAUUUAUUAAAGAAGAGUUGUAUAUGAUGCAACCAGAAGGUUUUGUCAAUCCUAAAGGUACUAACAAAAUAUGCAAGCUCCAACGAUCCAUCUAUGGACUGGUGCAAACAUCUCGGAGUUGGAAUACACGCUUUGAUAAGUUGAUCAAAGCAUAUAGUUUUAUACAGACUUGUGGUGAAGCCUGUAUUUACAAGAAAGUGAGUGGGAGCACUACAACAUUUCUGAUAAGUAUAUGUGAAAGACAUAUUAUUGAUCGGAGAUAAUGUAGUAUUAUUCUGCAAAUCAUAAAGGAAUAUUUGAAAGGAGUUUUUCAAAGAAAGACCUCGGUGAAGCUGCUUACAUAUUGAGCAUCAAUAUCUAUAGAGAUAGAUCAAGACGCUUGAUAAGUUUUUCAAUGAGGAUAUACCUUGACAAGAUUUUGAAGUAGUUCAAAAUGGAAUAGUCAAAGAAGGAGUCCUUGCCUGUGUUACAUAGGUGUGAAGUUGAGUAAGACUCAAAACCCGACCACGGCAGAAGAUAGAGAGAGAAUGAAAGUCAUUCCCUAUGCCUCAGCCAUAGGUUCUAUAAAGUAUGCCAUGCUGUGUACCAGACCUAUUGUAUACCCUGCCCUGAGUUUGGCAAGGGAGUACAAUAGUGAUCUAGGAGUAGAUCACUGGACAUUGUUCAAAAUUAUCCUUAGUGGAAUAAGGAUAUGUUUCUCGAUUAUGGAGGUGACAAAAGGUUCGUCGUAAAGGGUUACGUCGAUGCAAGUUUUGACACUGAUCCAGAUGACUCUAAGUCUCAAUCUGGAUACAUAUUGAAAGUGUGAGCAAUUAGCUAGAGUAGCUCCAUGCAGAGCAUUGUUGACAUAGAAAUUUGCAAAAUACUUACAGAUCUGAAUGUGGCAGACCCGUUGACUAAACUUCUCUCACAAGAAAAACAUGAUCACACCUCAGUACUCUUUGGGUGUUAAUCACAUAGCGAUGUGAACUAGAUUAUUGACUCUAGUAAACCCUUUGGGUGUUGGUCACAAGUUGAUGUGAACUAUGGGUGUUAAUCACAUGGUGAUGUGAACUAUUGAUGUUAAAUCACAUGGCGAUGUGAACUAGAUUAUUGACUCUAGUGCAAGUGGGAAACUAAAGGAAAUAUGCCCUAGAGGCAAUAAUAAAGUUAUUAUUUAUUUCCUUAUACCAUGAUAAAUGUUUAUUAUUCAUGCUAGAAUUGUAUUAACCGGAAACAUUAUACCUGUGUGAAUACAUAGACAAACAGAGUGUCACUAGUAUGCCUCUACUUGACUAGCUCGUUAAUCAAAGAUGGUUAUGUUUCCUAACCAUGGACAAAGAGUUGUUAUUUGAUUAACGGGAUCACAUCAUUAGGUGAAUGAUCUGAUUGACAUGACCCAUUCCAUUAGCUUAGCACCAGAUCGUUUAGUAUGUUGCUAUUGCUUUCUUCAUGACUUAUACAUGUUCCUAUGACUAUGAGAUUAUGCAACUCCCGUUUGCCGGAGGAACACUUUGUGUGCUACCAAACGUCACAACGUAACUGGGUGAUUAUAAAGGAGCUCUACAGGUGUCUCCAAAGGUACAUGUUGGGUUGGCGUAUUUCGAGAUUAGGAUUUGUCACUUCGAUCAUCGGAGAGGUAUCUCUGGGCCCUCUCGGUAAUGCACAUCACUUAAGCCUUGCAAGCAUUGCAGCUAAUGAGUUAGUUGCGGGAUGAUGUAUUACGGAACGAGUAAAGAGACUUGCCGGUAACGAGAUUGAACUAGGUAUUGGAUACCGACGAUCGAAUCUCGGGCAAGUAACAUACCGAUGACAAAGGGAACAACGUAUGUUGUUAUGCGGUCUGACCGAUAAAAGAUCUUUGUAGAAUAUGUAGGAACCAAUAUGGGCAUCCAGGUCCCGCUAUUGGUUAUUGACCGGAGACGUGUCUCGGUCAUGUCUACAUUGUUCUCGAACCCGUAGGGUCUGCACGCUUAAGGUUUCGAUGACAGUUAUAUUAUGAGUUUAUGAGUUUUAAUGUACCGAAGGAGUUCAGAGUCCCGGAUGAGAUCGGGGACAUGACGAGGAGUCUCAAAAUGGCCGAGACAUAAAAAUCGAUAUAUUGGACGACUAUAUUCGGACAUCGGAAAGGUUCCGAGUGAUUCGAGUAUUUUUCGGAGUACCGGAGAGUUACGGGAAUUCGCCGAGAGAAGUAUUGGGCCUUAUUGGGCCAUACGGGAAAGAGAGAGGGGCUGCCUAGGGCAGGCCGCGCGCCCCCAAGGCUUAGUCCGAAUUGGACUAGGGGGAGGGGCUGCGCCCCUUCCUUGUUUCCUACUCCUACUACAUGGAAGGACUCCUACUUGGACUAGGAAAGGGGGAAUCCUACUCCCGGUGAGAGUAGGACUUCUCUAGGCGCGCCAUAGAGAGGGCCGGCCCUCCCCUCCUGCACUCCUUGAUAUACGGGGGCAGGGGGCACCCCAUAGACACACAAGUUGAUCCACGUGAUUAUAUUCUUAGCCGUGUGCGGUGCCCCCUUCCACCAUAGUCCUCGAUAAUAUUGUAGUAGUGCUUAGGCGAAGCCCUGCGACAGUAGUACAUCAAGAUCGUCACCACGCCGUCGUGCUGACGGAACUCUUCCCCGACACUUUGCUGGAUCGGAGUCCGGGGAUCGUCAUCGAGCUGAACGUGUGCUAGAACUCGGAGGUGCCGUAGUUUCGGUACUUGAUCGAUCGGGCCGUGAAGACGUACGACUACAUCAACCGCGUUGUCAUAACGCUUCCGCUAUCAGUCUACAAGGAUACGUACAUCACACUCUCCUCUCUCGUUGCUAUGCAUCAUCAUGAUCUUGCGUGUGCGUAGGAAAUUUUUUGAAAUUACUAUGUUCCCCAACAAAAAUAUUCACAAAGAAACUCUAAAUACACAAAAAAAACAACUCAAAAAUAAAUAAAGCAAAAAAAAUAAAAAAAGCCCGCCUACUGGGCCAGAGCGGCCUGCAUACGACUAGAAACUCAACCUGUUGUUGGGCCAGGAUGCAGGCCCGCAAAGGUCGAGUAGGCCCACAGGGCAGCACAGAACAUGUAGGCCCAGUAGGCCUGCUUUGGAGAGGAGCUCGAGACAGCUACCGCACGGGGGGUUAUAAACCAGUGCAGACGCCCUUCGGCUAGCGAGGUGGGACUAAACUUGCUGCACCGCACCUGCGCCAAUGCACCCCCUUUAGUACCGGGUGGUGGCACCAACCGGUACUAAAGGCGGGGGUGCCUUUAGUACCGGUUGGAGCCACCACCCGGUACUAAAGGGGGUGCGCUUCCCGCCGCUUGGACUGGCCAAAACAGGCCUUUAGUACCGGUUGGUGGCUCCAACCGGUACUAAAGGUCCAUCCUAUAUAUCCAAACACUUCAAAAAUUUCAGUUUUUCAUCUGCUUCUUCUCCUCUGCCCCGUCGCCCGCCGCCCCCGUCUCCAUAUCCCUCGUCGCCGCCCCCGUCGCCGCCCCGUCCCCGUCGUCGNNNNNNNNNNNNNNNNNNNNNNNNNNNNNNNNNNNNNNNNNNNNNNNNNNNNNNNNNNNNNNNNNNNNNNNNNNNNNNNNNNNNNNNNNNNNNNNNNNNNNNNNNNNNNNNNNNNNNNNNNNNNNNNNNNNNNNNNNNNNNNNNNNNNNNNNNNNNNNNNNNNNNNNNNNNNNNNNNNNNNNNNNNNNNNNNNNNNNNNNNNNNNNNNNNNNNNNNNNNNNNNNNNNNNNNNNNNNNNNNNNNNNNNNNNNNNNNNNNNNNNNNNNNNNNNNNNNNNNNNNNNNNNNNNNNNNNNNNNNNNNNNNNNNNNNNNNNNNNNNNNNNNNNNNNNNNNNNNNNNNNNNNNNNNNNNNNNNNNNNNNNNNNNNNNCUCGCCGAUGAGCACACACGCACAUACAUUUUUUUAGUUUUUUAGUUAUAGAAAUAGUUAUAAAAAUGUUAGAAAAUUUUCUUUUCUUAGUUAUAGAAAUAGUUACUUAUAUAUCAUUAUUAGAAAUGUUAGAAUUGUUAGAAAUUUUUUCUGUUUUUUAGUUAUAGAAAUAGUUAUAAAAAAGUUAGAAUUGUUAGAAAUUUUUCUGUUUUUUAGUUAUAGAAAUAGUUAUAAAAAAGUUAGAAAUUUUUCUUUUUUUAGUUAUAGAAAUAUUAGAAAUGUUAUACAAAUGUUAGUUAUACAGAUAGAAAUGUUAUAAUUUUUUUUGUUUUUUAGUUAUAGAAAUAUUAGAAAUGUUAUAGAAAUGUUAGUUAUAUAGCAUUGUUAGAAAUGUUAUAGGAAUGUUAGUUAUAUAGAAAUGUUAGAACUUUGAGUUAUCAAAAUCCAAUUAUUAAAAAAAUGUUACUUUUUGCGGGCAUAUAGCUAGUACUUGUUCUCGACGAUGCCCGGCCCGCAUCCUCGCCGUCGACCCGUCCGCGACGACGUCCGGCUGACCCAUGUCCGAGACUGGGCUCCGCCGGGCUGGCACUGGGGGGGCGCGCCGCUUGAUGAGGAACAUGGCCCCGGGUCCCGUCGUCGACCCUGAUCUAGUUUGGAGGCGUUCGCGUCGGCCAGUUUCGGUGCGGAGGGAGCCGGCCCCGCCGGAGGUGGUACGUCGCCGUGUUAGGGAGGAGGACGAGCACGUCCAUCGCUACAUGGUUGCGUUAGAGGGCGGCAGGUUCUCCAAUACCUGGCAGUUUCUUCAGGGAUCUCACUUCAGCUAUGAUCCUGUGAGGGUUCCUUCUCUUUGGGUGUCCACCGCCCGCGCCGCAGGAACUGCGAGUGUCCUAGAUUCUUCUGUAGUCAGUGAUGUAUUCGAUAUAUAAUAUUCGAGACGAUGUAUUCGAGAUUAUAUAUUAUUCGAGACGAUGUAUUCGAGAUUAUAUCUAUUAUUCGAGACGAUGUAUUCGAGAUUAUAUCUAUUAUUCAAGACGAUGUAUUCGAGAUUAUAUCUAUUAUUUGAGACGAUGUAUUCGAGAUUAUAUCUAUUAUUCGAGACGACGUAUUCGAGAUUAUAUUUGAUGAUGCUUAUAUGUACUAUGAUUGAUUCAGUUUUUCCUUAUUAAUUGAUUGCAUCCAUGCAUUGUAAUUUGAAUAUAUUUCUUUUGGAUUAGUUAAACAAAACCUAUGGCGGACAAUACCGGUAGAGAGGGAGAAGAGGCCCUGUUCAAUAUCAUAUGCAAUCCUCGCGGGCCAGAUGAUGAUCAGAAUGAAGAAGAUUAUGACGGCUCCGAAUAUGUAAACAACACCGGGGAGGGUGAUAUGAUAUUCGAUCGCGACGACUGAAUUGAUGAAGUCAUGAACUAUGAACAUGACAAAGAAAAUGUUGAUCUUGAAACAACAAAGACCGGCGAGGUAUAUAUAUUUAUAUAAGCAGGCAUCUGGUGAUCAUCACAUGUUUUAAAUGACUCGAAGAUAUAUUAACGAAUCGAUCUUUCUUCUUUCAGCUAUCUGGAUCGAGCAAAUCUUCAGGCAACAGGAUGAAAUGAGGCCCAAACAAAAAGUUGAAGGAGGGCGUAAAGUACAAUAUCGAGGCAAUCAGACCUAAUGGCGAACCAUUAGCGCCUAAGAAGAUUGCGGACAAGUUCGUUCGUCAGUGCGGAGUUCUUGUGAAGGACCUACUCCCGAUCUCCCUUCAAGAAUGGAGAGAGCCAGCAAACCAACGUCCAGAUCUUACUUUUGUCGAUGACAGACAAAAAGGUCUGCUUUGGGAUACUCUCAUGGAACAUUUCACCCUACCAGAUCAUUUCACAGAAGCAGAUGUGCAGAAAGUAAAGGACGCUGCUCUUAGGAAGAUGGCGGUUGCAUUCAAGAACCAUAAGAAUCAUGAAUGGGACAAGUACAUCAAGGGAGGAAGGAAGACUCCAGUAUUCGAGGGAACACUAGAGAAGCAAAGUGCUCAUUGGGACGAUUGCGUGAAAUUCAAGGAUUCGGAAUUAGCUAAGGAGCGGUCGAGAAUAAACAAGAAGAAUGUCGAAAAAAGGAUAAGUUCCAUAAGCUGGGGCCAGGUGGCUACGCGAUGGCAAUGCCUAAGUGGGAUAAGUUUGAGAAAGAGAUGGAGGAUGCAAGUGUCACUCCGGUUACUAGGAGCUGGCCCCCCAGGUGCAGGACUUGGUUCUAUGCGCAUGGGGGGAGUUGGACCCGAAGACAGGCAAAGUUUCGACGAAGGCAUGUCUGAACGGAGCCAACGAUGCGCUAAUUGUUGCAAUAGAAGAGGCUCGAACGGGGGUAUUCCAGCCCAACAGAGAGAACGACGAGCUUACGCGUGCCCUGGGAAAUCCUGAACACCCGGGAAUAACACGAGGCAAGGGCGCUAUUCCGUGGUAUGAGUGGUUUUCGGACUGGAACCGACUACAGAAACCGUGUGAGAAGGAAGAUUGCGGAGGAGAAGAAGAGGAAGAUGGAGGAGGAGCAGAGGAAGUUGGACUAUGAACGCCUUCAAGGCCUAGAAUCAAAGCACGCAGACUUGGCAGUCAAAUUCCAGCGGCAGCAGGAGCAGAUCGACUCACUUAGCCAGCAAAGGGGGUCUCAGCAGCUGCAGCGGCAAGCGGAUGAUCCAGCAUUGGAUAGCACCGCCCUAUCCAUGCCGAGAAGCAGCGUGGGUUCCGCCCCGGGCGACGCAAUGCUGGAUAGAUACCCCGUGGAUGACGUCACGGAGAACACUAACUGCGAGCUACACUUCAAAAUGAAGAACAUAUCCAUGAAGGUGGCGGAUGCCGUUGCUUUUACAAAUCCCCCCGAGGCAACCUUCCAUUGCAACCCGAUUCCAGCAGGCUAUGCUCGUGUCUUGGUUGAUGAGGUGGUGGACCCAUAUUCGGGGCUACAUCUUGACAUUCCUGGAGGUGAUGACGAGCACACAUUGGGAGAGGCCAUACAUCGUGUCAUCCUAUGGAGAAAGGAUUGCAUCGUCUUUCGAAGGCCACCGGCACCGCGUCACCCGACUCCUCGUCGAAGUCCGCCACCGAGUCAGCAAACUCCUGCUCCUCCAAGUCCACCAAUGUGUGAGGCCAUUACUCCUCCUCCAAGUCUGGCAAAGUGUCAGGCCACUCCUCCUCCAAGUCCGACACAGCGUCAGACGUCCACUCCUCCUCCAUGUCCGGCACAACUUCAGGCCACUCCUCCUCCAAGUCCGGCACAGCUUCAGGCCACUCCUCCUCAUCCAACUCAGCCCCGUCAGCCUUCUCCGCCGCCUCAGCAAUCGCAGAAGAGACACCCCGCAGCUAUGGUGCAUAGCGGUACGAGUCGAGGUAGUACAGGAAGUACAGGCGGAGGCAAGCUAUAUAAAUAUGGUCCAAGCCUCACUACUCCUCUUCCUCAGAGGGCUUAUGACAUGACCGAGGAGCAAACCAAUGCCAUAGAGCAGGCAGAAGUGGACGCCCAUUUUGGACCGAAACCGCCACCGCCGCCAAGGGAGAAACUGCCUGUGGAAAAGAUUGACCACUUCAUUCGUAUGGCCCAACCACCAGCUCCCAAGCCCGAUGACACAGACUAUGAGCGCCACAUCAGGAAGUUAAAUCGAGCACGUCUACAGAAGGAGGCGAGCUCGAGCUCGAGCAAACAACAAGCAGCUGUCAAAAAAUGCAGGAAAACCGUUCCCCAGCAGGGAGAACAGGCGACGCAAUCGAUCCCCUCGCUUGUUGUGCCAACAACACGUGAUAGUACGCGCGCCCAAUAUUAUUGUGGCCAAACAGUUUAUGUUCCCGAGGUGGGCAAUGUGGUAAUAACCGAGGAGCAUAUAAUGCAGGCUAAAAUUCUCAACAUCACUGUUGGACAACUCCUCAAGAUCGAGCCCAUGCCUGUGCUUACAGAGGAGGAAAUAAAAUGGAAAUAUGUCCGGGGCGAACCUUUGGUCAAGCCAGACGAGGUCAAGAAGCUCCUAACGCGAAUGUAUGAAUUGCAUCAAUGGUACAUGGACAUUACCAAGAGUUCCAAUCGAGAGUCCCUCAUGGUGGAAGUCAAGAAGGAUCAUUACUACCAUCAGAAAGCUGUGGCCGUUGAGUAUAAUGAACUGUUUGAGUUAUACAAUCAAGAUGCACUCGACAAAUCUAUCGUCAGUUGCUAUUGUCUGUAAGUGAUUUCUUUCUGUAAUUUAAGUCUCAAGCUAGCUGUAGUGAUCCUUUUGAUCAAUCAUUACCUGUAAUUAUCCUCACUAUAUUCUUUUCUGUGGUAUUAUGCAUGAUGAAGAUGUAUGUAAUGAAAAAAAGUGGACGCUACGGCAUUGGGUUCAUUGACCCAAACACCGUUAAUGAAUACACAUGGAAAAUAGAUCCAUAUCAUGAAAAGCAUGUAGAGGACAGCAUGCUAGAGUUCUUGAAGCGCCUCAAAUACAAUGAAGAUAUACUACUUCCUUACAACUUCCAGUGAGUCACACUGUCUUGUACUAUACAAAUUCUCUGUUUUUGCCUACUAGCUAGCUACAUGUUUUUGCUUAUGUAUGCCCGCUUAAUUAAGACAUGCAAACGUGUGUGCAUGCAGAUUUCACUGGAUCUUGUGUAUCAUUAAAGUUGACGCUGGAACAAUUGAAAUACUGGACUCACUACUCAAAGCAAAUAGUGACUAUAACAUCUUGUUUGGGAUAGUCAACAGGUAAUUUCAAUCAUUAUUAACUAUAUAUCUCGACCUAUUUAGUUCGUCAUUUCAUGAUAUGAACUAUUUAAUAACCCAUUUAUUCAUUUUCUUUGUCAGCGGGCAGGGCUUGGGCAAGGUUCAUCAGCGUCACUCCAGGCGAAUGGAAACAAAAGCUGAAAUGGUUUCGACCCAAGGUAAGUAAUUAAGUAGUACUAGCUAGCUAGCUAGCUGCCAUCUCUUUAAUUAUCAUGCUUGCUUAAUUAUUAUCUGAUCAACUUCCAUUCUCGUAAAGGCCCUGAAGGAGGCGCAGGGGACUGAUCUGUGUGCAUACUGCGUUUGCGAGAACAUUCACAUGAUGGCAUCCGAAAGGAGCAGAUCUCAAAGACAGGAAUGGCACUAGUAGAAAAAGGGUCCAAUCGUGAAGCACAUUAGUGCCGGUUUGAAUUUGAGCUGGCACUAAUGUGUGCAUUAGUGCCGGUUCCAACGGCUAGCCGGCCGCUCUCAUUAGUACCGGUCCGUGGUGAACCUUUAGCACCGGUUCGUGCCAUGAACCGGUACUAAAGUGAGUGGUGGCAGGAUGUUGUCAGUCCGGGGCCCCUCCAGCACCUUUAGUACCGGGUCGUUUCAUGAACCGGUACUAAAGGUCGUCCUACAUAGACCCUUCGUCCACCCGAGCUCGCUUUGUUCUUCCCCUUUCCCCUCUCCUCUCUGUUCUUUUCCCUCUUCCUCUCAAGCUCAUCACACAUUUUGCCCAAAAUUUGUCAAGAUUUGAAGGCCCCCAUCCAUUCAAAUGAUCACAAAGGUUAACAACUUUUUCCUUUCAUCUCUCAUUGCUAGAUUAGCUUGUGCAAUGCUUUAUAUAGUGAUUGAUUUUUGAGUUUAGUAAUUUGGGAGGAAUUAUAUAGAUGUGCUAGUAUUUGAUUUAUAUGCAAUUUGAGGUCAAAAAUAACACUUAGUUUGCAUAUGUAGGUGUGGUUUACGUAGUACCUUCUAAAUCUCCGUCGUAACCACCGUCGAUCGCUCGCAACGUCCCGUCGCCAGCACCACCUUGUGGUGAGCCUCUUGUUCUUGAACUUUUAUAUAAAAAAUUGAUGUUUGUGUGAUUUGGAUAUAUAGUUACUCGUAUAAUUAUCUUACCCAUACGUUGUUUGUUAUACAUAGUGCCAUGGUUUUGAUAUCCGUCCCCGUUGGCCCUCGUCCGGGUUAUGAUUCGGAUGUGGUAUAUUCUCUUUUAAAACUAUUCAUUGCAUUUCGUGUUUAUGACAAAUUAUGCCCAUCAAGUUGACAUAGAUAUUUGUAUGUAGGAGGUAGUUGAACCGGAAAUUCCAACCGACCCUAUUGUCGAGAGGUUAAAUUUAGUUGAAAGAGAAAACGAGGAUUUGAAGGAAAAAUUGAAAAGAAUUGAGGGGGAGAAGAUGGAAUUGGAGUUGCAUGUUGCCGAUGUCGUCGAUAAUCACAAGAUUAAGAUGGAGAAAAUGCGCUUGAAGAUUAGAAAGAUUAGAAAAUAUGCUAUUCAUAGUGAGGCUUGGUAUCAUUAUGCUGUUGGAUCAAUUGUUACCUUAGUUGCGAUCUUGAUCGCAUUUGUUGUUGCAUUUAAAUUCUUUAGCUAGAGAGUUAUUUGUUUGUUGCAUUUAAGUGUUGUAUGAUCUUUAUGUAUGAACUUUAUGUAUUGUAUUAAUUUGACGUUUUCGGUGCUGUCUAUUGAAGAUGAGCCGGCAAUGGAUGUACGAUGACCGAUGCUCUCCCGAAUUCAUUAAUGGUGUGCGUACUUUUCUGCUUGCGGCUGAGGCAAACAAGCGAGCGGAUGGUUUUAUGCCUUGUCCAUGUGCUGGCUGUAAGAAUGGUCACAAUUACUCUACGUCAAGAACCAUUCACGUCCACCUGUUUGAGUCCGGUUUCAUGCCCCACUAUAAUGUUUGGACCAAGCAUGGAGAAAGAGGGGUUAUGAUGGAAGACAAUGAAGAAGAAGAGGACGACGACAGCUAUCCUGGCCAUGGGUUCCCUGAAUACGAUGAUACAACAAUGAGGGAAGAAGCUGAGCCGGUAAUGCGGGAAGAAGCUAAAGAAGAGGCAUCGGAUGAGCCCGUUGAUGAUCUAGGUCAGGCCAUUGCCGAUGCAAAGAGAAACUGCGCAAGUGAUUUGGAGAAGAAGAAGUUGCAGCGCAUGUUAGAGGAUCACAAAAAAUUGUUGUACCCGAAUUGCGUAGGUGACAAGAAAAAGCUGGGCACCACACUGGAAUUGCUGCAAUGGAAGGCAGAGAAUGGUGUAUCUGACAAGGGAUUUGGAAAGUUGCUGGUAAUGAUAAAGGAUAUGCUUCCACAGGACAACGAAUUGCCCGAGAGUACGUACGAAGCAAAGAAGGUUGUCUGCCCUCUAGGGUUAGAGGUGCAGAAGAUACAUGCAUGCCCUAAUGGUUGCAUCCUCUACCGCGAUGAGUACGAGGAUUUGAACGCUUGCCUGGUAUGCGGUGCAUUGCGCUAUAAGAUCAGCCGCGAUGACCCUGGUGAUGUUGAGGGCGAGCGCCCCAGGAAGAAGAUUCCUGCCAAGGUGAUGUGGUAUGCUCCUAUAAUACCCCGGUUGAAACGUUUGUUCCAAAACAAAGAGCAUGCCAAUGCGAUGCGAUGGCACAGAGAAGACCGUAAGAAAGACGGAAAGUUGAGAGUACCCGCUGAUGGGUCGCAGUGGAGAAAAAUCGAAAGAAAGUACGGAAAGGAGUUUGUAGAUGACGCAAGGAACGUAUGGUUUGGUCUAAGCGCAGAUGGCAUUAAUCCUUUUGGGGAGCAGAGCAGCAACCAUAGAACCUGGCAUGUGACUCUAUGUUUGUAUAAUCUUCCUCAUUGGUUGUGCAUGAAGCGGAAGUUCAUUAUGAUGACAGUGCUCAUCCAAGGCCCUAAGCAACCCGGCAACGACAUUGAUGUGUACCUAAGGCCAUUAGUUGAAGAACUCUUACAACUGUGGAAUGGAACAGGUGUACGUGCGUGGGAUGAGCACAUGGGGAAGAAUUUGACCUAAAGGCGUUGCUGUUCGUGACCAUCAAUGAAUGGCUGUUCUCAGUAACCUUUCAGGACAGACAAACAAGGGAUACCGCGCAUGAACGCACUGUUUGGAUGAUACGGACAGUAUAUAUUUGGCUAAUUGUAAGAAGAAUGUGUACCUGGGACAUCGUCGAUUUCUUCCGAGCAGGCAUCCCGUAAGAAAGAAAGGCAAGCAUUUCAAAGGUGAGGCGGAUCACCGGACGAAGCCUCGCCACUGUACUGGUGUUGAUGUACAUGAUAUGGUCAAGGAUUUGAAGGUGGUCUUUGGAAAGGGUCCUGGUGGACAACCUGUUCCGAAUGACGCUGACGGACGCGCACCCAUGUGGAAGAAGAAAUCUAUAUUUUGGGACCUGCCCUAUUGGAAAGACCUAGAGGUCUGCUCCGCAAUCGACGUGAUGCAUGUGACGAAGAAUCUUUGUGUGACCCUGCUUGGCUUCUUGGGCGUGUAUGGGAAGACAAAAGAUACACCUGAGGCACGGGAGGACCAGCAAUGUAUGCACGGAAAAGACGGCAUACAUUAGGGUCAUGCAAGCUAUGCUCUUACAAAAGAAGAGAAGGAAAUCUUCUUUGAAUGCAUGCUCAGUAUUAAGGUACCGUCUGGCUUCUCGACGAAUAUAAAGGGAAUAAUAAACAUGGCAGAGAAAAAGUUCCAGAACCUAAAGUCUCAUGACUGCCACAUGAUUAUGACGCAACUUCUUCCGGUUGCAUUGAGGGUGCUUCUACCAGAAAAUGUUCGAUUAGCCAUUGUGAAGCUAUGUGCAUUUCUCAAUGUAAUCCCUCAGAAGGUAAUCGAUCCAGAAAUCAUACCAAGGUUAGAGAAUGAUUUGGUGCAAUGGCUUGUCAGUUUCGAGUUGGUGUUCCCACCAUCCUUCUUCAACAUCAUGACGCACGUCCUAGUUCACUUAUGCGAAGAGAUUAACGUUUUUGGUCCUGUAUUUCUACACAAUAUGUUCCCCUUUGAGAGGUUCAUGGGAGUCUUAAAGAAAUAUGUUCAUAACCAUGCUAGGCCAGAAGGAAGCAUCUCCAAGGGCCAUGAAAAUGAGGAGGUCAUUGAGUUUUGUAUUGACUUUAUUCCUGACCUUAAGCCGAUUGGUGUUCCUAAAUCGCGGCAUAAGGGCAGACUGGAUGGAAAAGGCAUGCUAGGAGGGGAACAAAUAAUAUGUAUGGACGAACAUUCUCUCACUGAAGCACACUACACAGUUUUACAGAAUUCCGCCUUGGUGGCUCCGUAUAUGUAUGAACACAAGAAUUUGCUACGCUCCAAACACCCGAGCGGUCUGAUGACUGGAUUACACGUGAACUAACUAGGAGUUUCGCCAGCUGGUUGCAGACACGUACCAUGCAUGACACCUCUAUUGAAGAUGACAUGUACUUGCUGUCCCAGUUACCAUCUUCGAAUAUAAUGACUUUCAAAGGGGACGAGAUAAAUGGUAAUACAUUUUACACGAUCGCCCAAGAUAAGAAGAGCACCAACCAAAACAGUGGUGUCUGCUUUGAUGCAGAAACCAAGACGGGAAAGGAAACAUAUUAUGGUUAUAUACAGGACAUAUGGGAACUUGACUAUCGACGUGGUUUGAAGGUCCCUUUGUUUCGGUGCAAAUGGGUCAAUAUGACACGAGGCGGGGUAACGGAAGACCCGCAGUACGGAAUGACAACAGUGGAUCUCAACAAUCUUGCGUAUGCAGACGAACCAUUCGUCCUAGACAAUGAUGUGGCACAGGUUUUCUAUGUGAAAGACAUGUCUACCAAGCCAAGAAAAAGAAAAGAUAAGGAAGCGAAUGCAUUGUACGAUGAGCCAAAGCGGCACAUAGUUCUUUCUGGGAAGAGAAACAUCGUGGGAGUGGAUGACAAGACAGACAUGUCAGAAGAUUAUGAAAAGUUUGAUGAAAUUGCUCCAUUCACGGUGAAUAUUGACCCGAGCAUCCCGUUAAAUGAUGAAGAUUUUCCAUGGUUACGGCGCAAAGGGACACACGCGAAGAAAAAGUUUCACACCCAAAGAUCUGGGAUGUGAUCGGCUUCACUAUCAUCACUUUGUUCUGUGUUUCACACCCAGGAGGGAAUCUCUCUAAUAGUUAGGGUAGUUAUGUGUUUUGGCAUUUGAAAUGCGCAGAAAUUUUAUGUGCAAACAAAUUCUUUCAUGCCUUUACUGAUUUUUAAAGUUAAGUUAUUCACAAACUAGUGAUUCACACUAAUUUCAAAUAAUUCAAAAUUUAAACUAUUAAAAUUUGAAAACUACGGGCACUAAAGAAAGUUUGUAAUUUUUUGUACCUAAAGAAAAAUAUUCACAAAGAAACUCUAAAUACACAAAAAAACAACUCAAAAAUAAAUAAAGCAAAAAAAAUAAAAAUAAAGCCCGCCUACUGGUCCAGAGCGGCCUGCAUACGACUAGAAACCCAACAUGUUGUUGGGCCAGGAUGCAGGCCCGCAAAGGCACAGUAGGCCCACAGGGCAGCACAAAACAUGUAGGCCCAGUAGGCCUGCUUUGGAGAGGAGCUCGAGAGAGCUACCGCACGGGGGGAUAUAAACCAGUGCGGACGCCCCUCGGCUAGCGAGGUGGGACUAAACUUGCCACACCGCACAUGCGCCAGCGCACCCCCUUUAGUACCGGGUGGUGGCACCAACCGGUACUAAAGGGGGGCCUUUAGUACCGGUUGGAGCCACCACCCGGUACUAAAGGGGGUGCGCUUCCCGCCGCUUGGCCUGGCCAAAACAAGCCUUUAGUACCGGUUGGUGGCUCCAACCGGUACUAAAGGUCCAUCCUAUAUAACUAAACACUUCAAAAAUUUCAGUUUCUCAUCUGCUUCUUCUCCUCUGCCCCGUCGCCCGUCGCCCCCGUCUCCAUAUCCCUCGUCGANNNNNNNNNNNNNNNNNNNNNNNNNNNNNNNNNNNNNNNNNNNNNNNNNNNNNNNNNNNNNNNNNNNNNNNNNNNNNNNNNNNNNNNNNNUUUUUCUGUUUUUCAGAAAUAGUUAGAAAUGUUAGAAUUGUUAAAAUAGUUAGAAAUGUUAGAAUUGUUAGAAUUGUUAGAAAUGUUAGAAUUGUAAGAAAUUUUUCUGUUUUUUAGUUAUAGAAAUAGUUAUAAAAAAGUUAGAAUUGUUAGAAAUUUUUCUGUCUUUUAGUUAUAGAAAUAGUUAUAAAAAUGUUAGUUAUAUAUAUAGUAAUGUUAUAAUUUUUUCUGUUUUUUAUUUAUAGAAAUAUUAGAAAUGUUAUAGAAAUGUUAGUUAUAUAUAGCAUUGUUAGAAAUGUUAUAGAAAUGUUAGUUAUAUAGAAAUGUUAGAAAUUUUAGUUAUCAAAAUCCAAUCAUUAAAAAAAUGUUACUUUUUGCGGGCAUAUAGCUAGUAUUUGUUCUCGACGAUGCCCGACCCGCAUCCUCGNNNNNNNNNNNNNNNNNNNNNNNNNNNNNNNNNNNNNNNNNNNNNNNNNNNNNNNNNNNNNNNNNNNNNNNNNNNNNNNNNNNNNNNNNNNNNNNNNNNNNNNNNNNNNNNNNNNNNNNNNNNNNNNNNNNNNNNNNNNNNNNNNNNNNNNNNNNNNNNNNNNNNNNNNNNNNNNNNNNNNNNNNNNNNNNNNNNNNNNNNNNNNNNNNNNNNNNNNNNNNNNNNNNNNNNNNNNNNNNNNNNNNNNNNNNNNNNNNNNNNNNNNNNNNNNNNNNNNNNNNNNNNNNNNNNNNNNNNNNNNNNNNNNNNNNNNNNNNNNNNNNNNUAUAUUAGAAAUGUUAUAGAAAUGUUAGUUAUAUAGCAUUGUUAGAAAUGUUAUAGGAAUGUUAGUUAUAUAGAAAUGAUAGAAAUUUUAGUUAUCAAAAUCCAAUCAUUAAAAAAAUGUUACUUUUUGCGGGCAUAUAGCUAGUAUUUGUUCUCGACGAUGCCCGGCCCGCAUCCUCGCCGUCGACCCGUCCGCGACGACGUCCGACUGACCCAUGUCCGGGACUGGGCUCCACCGGGCUGGCACUGGGAGGUGCUGCCUAGAGGGACGCACCGCUUGAUGAGGAACCCGGCCCCGGGUCACGUCGUCGACCCUGAUCUCGUUUGGUGGCGUUCGCGUGGGCCAGUUUCGGUGUGGAGGGAGCCGGCCCCGCCGGAGGUGGUACGUCGCCGUGUCAGGGAGGAGGACGAGCACGUCCAUUGCUACAUGGUUGCGUUAGAGGGCGGCAGGUUCUCCAAUACCUGGCAGUUUCUUCAGGGAUCUCACUUCAGCUAUGAUCCUGUGAGGGUUCCUUCUCUUUGGGUGUCCACCGCCCGCGUCGCAGGAACUGCGAGUGUCCUAGAUUCUUCGGUAGUCAGUGAUGUAUUCGAUAUAUAAUAUUCGAGACGAUGUAUUCGGAUUAUAUAUUAUUCGAGAUGAUGUAUUCGAGAUUAUAUCUAUUAUUCGAGACAAUGUAUUCGAGAUUAUAUCUAUUAUUCAAGACGAUGUAUUCGAGAUUAUAUCUAUUAUUCGAGACGAUGUAUUCGAGAUUAUAUCUAUUAUUCAAGACGACGUAUUUGAGAUUAUAUUCGAUGAUGCUUAUUAUGUACUAUGAUUGAUUCAGUUUUUCCUUAUUAAUUGAUUGCAUCCAUGCAUUGUAAUUUGAAUAUAUUUCUUUUGGAUUAGUUAAACAAAACCUAUGGCGGACAAUACCGGCAGAGAGGGAGAAGAGGCCCUGUUCAAUAUCAUACGCAAUCCUCGCGGGCCAGAUGAUGAUCAGAAUGAAGAAGAUUAUGACGGCUCCGAAUAUGUAAACAACACCGGGGAGGGUGAUAUGAUAUUCGAUCGCGACGACCGAAUUGAUGAAGUCAUGAACUAUGAACAUGACGAAGAAAAUGUUGAUCUUGAAACAACAAAGACCGGUGAGGUAUAUAUAUUUAUAUAAGCAGGCAUCUGGUGAUCAUCACAUGUUUUAAAUGACUUGAAGAUAUAUUAACGAAACGAUCUUUCUUCUUUCAGCCAUCCAGAUCGAGCAAAUCUUCAGGCAACAGGAUGAAACGAGGCCCAAACAAAAAGUUGAAGGAGGGCAUAAAGUACAAUAUCGAGGCAAUCAGACCUAAUGGCGAACCAUUAGCGCCUAAGAAGAUUGCGGACAAGUUCGUUCGUCAGUGCGGAGUUCUUGUGAAGGACCUACUCCCGAUCUCCCUUCAAGAAUGGAGAGAGCCAGCAAAGCCACGUCCAGGUCUUACUUUUGCCGACGACAGACAAAAAGGUCUGCUUUGGGAUACUCUCAUGGAACAUUUCACCCUACCAGAUCAUUUCACAGAAGCAGAUGUGCAGAAAGUCAAGGACGCUGCUCUUAGGAAGAUGGCGGUUGCAUUCAAGAACCACAAGAAUCAUGAAUGGGACAAGUACGUCAAGGAAGGAAGGAAGACUCCUGUAUUCGAGGGAACACUAGAGAAGCGAAUUGCUCAUUGGGACGAUUUCGUGAAAUUCAAGGAUUCGGAAUUAGCUAAGGAACGGUCGAGAAUAAACAAGAAGAAUGUCGAAAAAAGGAUAAGUUCCAUAAGCUGGGGCCAGGUGGCUAAGCGGUGGCAAUGCCUAAGUGGGAUAAGUUUGAGAAAGAGAUGGAUGAUGCAGGUAUCAUUCCGGUUACUAGGAGCUGGCCCACCAGGUGCAGGACUUGGUUCUAUGCGCAUGGGGGGAGUUGGACCCGAAGACAGGCAAAGUUUUGACGAAGGCAUGUCUGAACGGAGCCGACGAUGCGCUAAUUGUUGCAAUAGAAGAGGCUCGAAUGGGGGUAUUCUAGCCCAACAGAGAGAACGACAAGCUUACGUGUGCCCUAGGAAAUCCUGAACACCUGGGAAGAACACGAGGCAAGGGCGCUAUUCCGUGGUAUGAGGGGUUUUCGGACUGGAACGCCGACUACAGAACCCGUGCGAGAAGGAAGCUUGCGGAGGAGAAGAAGAGGAAGAUGGAGGGGGAGCAGAGGAAGCUGGACUAUGAACGCCUUCAAGGCCUAGAAUCAAAGCACGCGGACUUGGCAGUCAAAUUCUAGCGGCAGCAGGAGCAGAUCGACUCACUUAGCCAGCAAAGGGGGUCUCAGCAGCUGCAGCGGCAAGCGGAUGAUCCCGCAUUGGAUAGCACCACCCCAUCCAUGCCGAGAAGCAGCGUGGGUUCCGCCCCGGGCGACGCAAUGCUGGAUAGAUACCCCAUGGAUGACGUCACGGAGAACACUAACUGUGAGCUACACUUCAAAAUGAAGAACAUAUCCAUGAAGGUGGCGGACGCCGUUGCUUUUACAAAUCCCCCCGAGGCAACCUUCCAUUGCAACCCGAUUCCAGCAGGCUAUGCUCGUGUCUUGGUUGAUGAGGUGGUGGACCCAUAUUCGGGGCUACAUCUUGACAUUCCUGGAGGUGACGACGAGCACACAUUGGGAGAGGCCAUACAUCGUGUCAUCCUAUAGAGAAAGGAUUGCAUCGUCUUUCGAAGGCCACCGGCACCGCGUCACCCGACUCCUCGUCGAAGUCCGCCACCGAGUCAGCAGACUCCCGCUCCUCCAAGUCCACCAAUGCGUGAGGCCACUCCUCCUCCUCCAAGUCCGGCAAAGUGUCAGGCCACUCCUCCUCCAAGUCCGACACAGCGUCAGACGUCCACUCCUCCUCCAAGUCCGGCACAAGUUCAGGCCACUCCUCCUCCAAGUCCGGCACAGCUUCAGGCCACUCCUCCUCGUCCAACUCAGCCCCGUCAGUCGUCUCCGCCGCCUCAGCAAUCGCAGAAGAGACACCCCGCAGCUAUGGUGCGUAGCGGUACGAGUCGAGGUAGUACAGGAAGUACAGGCGGAGGCAAGCGAUAUAAAUAUGGUCCAAGCCUCACUACUCCUCUUCCUCAGAGGGCUUACGAUAGGACCGAGGAGCAAACCAAUGACAUAGUGCGGGCAGAAGUGGACGCCCAUUUUGGACCGAAACCGCCACCGCCGCCAAGGGAGAAAGUGCCUGCGGAAAAGAUUGACCACUUCAUUCGUAUGGCUCAACCACCAGCUCCCAAGCCUGUUGACACAGACUAUGAGCGCCACAUCAGGAAGUUAAAUCGAGCACGUCUACAGAAGGAGGCGAGCUCGAGCAAACAAUAAGCAGCUGCCAAAAAUGCAGGAAAACCGUUCCCCAGCUGGGAGAACAGGCGGCGCAAUCGAUCCCCUCGCUUGUUGUGCCAACAACACGUGACAAUACGCGCGCCCAAUAUUAUUGUGGGCAAACUGUUUACGUUCCCGAGGUGGGCAAUGUGGUAAUAACCGAGGAGCAUAUAAUGCAGGCUGAAAUUCUCAACAUCACUGUUGGACAACUCCUCAAGAUCGAGCCCAUGCCUGUGCUUACAGAGGAGGAAAUAAAACGGAAAUAUGUCCGGGGCGAACCUUUGGUCAAGCCAGACGAGGUCAAGAAGCUCCCAACGAGAAUGUAUGAAUUGCAUCAAUGGUACAUGGACAUUACCAAGAGUUCCAAUCUAGAGUCCCUCAUGGUGGAAGUCAAGAAGUAUCAUUACUACCAUCAGAAAGCUGUGGCCGUUGAGUAUAAUGAACUGUUUCAGUUAUACAAUCAAGACGCACUCGACAAAUCUAUCGUUAGUUGCUAUUGUUUGUAAGUGAUUUCUUUCUGUAAUUUGAGUCUCAAGCUAGCUGUAGUGAUCCUUUUGAUCAAUCAUUACCUGUAAUUAUCCUCACUAUAUUCUUUUCUGUGGUAUUAUGCGGGAUGAAGAUGUAUGAAAUGAAAAAAGGUGGACGCUAUGGCAUUGGGUUCAUUGACCCAAACACCGUUAAUGAAUGCACAUGGAAAAUAGAUCCAUAUCAUGAAAAUCAUGUAGAGGACAGCAUGCUAGAGUUCUUGAAGCGCCUCAAAUACAAUGAAGAUAUACUACUUCCUUACAACUUCCAGUGAGUCACACUGUCUUGUACUAUACAAAUUCUCUAUUUUUGCCUACUAGCUAGCUACAUGUUUUUGCUUACGUAUGCCCAUUUAAUUAAGACAUGCAAAUGUGUGUGCAUGUAGAUUUCACUAGAUCUUGUGUAUCAUUAAAGUUGACGCCGGAACAGUUGAAAUACUGGACUCACUACUCAAAGCAAAUAAUGACUAUAACAUCUUGUUUGGGAUAGUCAACAGGUAAUUUCAAUCAUUAUUAACUAUAUAUCUCGGCCUAUUUAGUUCGUCAUUUCAUGAUAUGAACUAUUUAAUAACCCCUUUAUUCAUUUUCUUUGUUGGCGGGUAGGGCUUGGGCAAGGUUCAUCAGCGUCUCUCCAGGCGAAUGGAAACAAAAGCUGAAAUGGUUUCGACCCAAGGUAAGUAAUUAAGUAGUACUAGCUAGCUAGCUAGCUGCCAUCUCUUUAAUUAUCAUGCUUGAUUAAUUAUUAUCUGACCAAAUUCCAUUCUCGUAAAGGCCCUGAAGCAGGCGUAGGGGACUGAUAUGUGUGCAUACUGCGUUUGCGAGAACAUUUGCAUGAUGGCGUCCGAAAGGAGCAGAUCUCAAAGACAGGAAUGGCACUAGUAGAAAAAGGGUCAAACGUGAAGCACAUUAGUGCCGGUUUGAAUUUGAGCCGGCACUAAUGUGUGCAUUAGUGCCGGUUCCAACGGCUAGCCGGCCGCUCUCAUUAGUACCGGUUCGUGGAGAACCUUUAGCACCGGUUCGUGCCACGAACCGGUACUAAAGUGAGUGGUGGCAGGAUGUUGUCAGUCCGGGGCCCCUCCAGCACCUUUAGUACCGGGUCGUAUCACGAACCGGUCCUAAAGGUCGUCCUACAUAGACCCUUCGUCCACCCGAGCUCGCUCUGUUCUUCCCCUUUCCCCUCUCCUCUUUGUACUUUUCCCUCUUCCUCUCAAUCUCAUCACACAUUUUGCCCAAAAUUUGUUAAGAUUUGAAGGCCCCCAUCCAUUCAAAUGAUCACAAAGGUUAGCAACUUUUUCCUUUCAUCUCUCAUUGCUAGAUUAGCUCGUGCAAUGCUUUAUAUAGUGAUUGAUUUUUGAGUUUAGUAAUUUGGGAGGAAUUAUAUAUAUGUGCUACUAUUUGAUUUAUAUGCAAUUUGAGGUCAAAAAUAACACUUAGAACCAUUCACGUCCACCUGUUUGAGUCCGGUUUCAUGCCCCACUAUAAUGUUUGGACCAAGCAUGGAGAAAGAGGGGUUAUUGUGGAAGACAAUGAAGAAGAAGAGGACGACGACAGCUAUCCUGGCCAGGGGUUCCCUGAAUACGAUGAUACAACAAUGAGGGAAGAAGCUGAGCCGGUAAUGCGGAAAGAAGCUGAGCCGGCAAUGCAGGAAGAAGCUGAAGAAGAGGCAUCGGAUGAGCCGUUGAUGAUCUAGGUCGGGCCAUUGCCGAUGCAAAGAGAAACUGCGCUAGUGAUUUGGAGAAGAAGAAGUUGCAGCGCAUGUUAGAGGAUCACAAAAAAAUGUUGUACCCGAAUUGCGUAGGUGACAAGAAAAAGCUGGGCACCACACUGGAAUUGCUGCAAUGGAAGGCAGAGAAUGGUGUAUCUGACAAGGGAUUUGGAAAGUUGCUGGUAAUGAUAAAGGAUAUGCUUCCAAAGGACAACGAAUUGCCCGAGAGUACGUACGAAGCAAAGAAGGCUGUCUGCCCUCUAGGGUUAGAGGUGCAGAAGAUACAUGCAUGCCCUAAUGAUUGCAUCCUCUACCGCGGUGAGUACGAGGAUUUGAACGCUUGCCCGGUAUGCGGUGCAUUGCGCUAUAAGAUCAGCCGCGAUGACCCUGGUGAUGUCGAGGGCGAGCGCCCCAGGAAAAAGAUUCCUGCCAAGGUGAUGUGGUAUGCUCCUAUAAUACCACGGUUGAAACGUUUGUUCCAAAACAAAGAGCAUGCCAAGGCGAUGCGAUGGCACAGAGAAGACCGUAAGAAAGACGGAAAGUUGAGAGUACCCGCUGACGGGUCGUAGUGGAGAAAAAUCGAAAGAAAGUACGGGAAGGAGUUUGCAGAUGACGCAAGGAACGUAUGGUUUGGUCUAAGCGCAGAUGGCAUUAAUCCUUUUGGGGAGCACAGCAGCAACCAUAGCACCUGUCCUAUGACUCUAUGUUUGUAUAACCUUCCUCUUUGGUUGUGCAUGAAGCAGAAGUUCAUUAUGAUGCCAGUGCUCAUCCAAGGCGCUAUGAAAAAAAUUCUUAUUUUUAACAGAAGCGCGAUAAAAUACUGAUUAUUUUUGCAGAAGAUUAAUAAAUAAAUUGUUUAGGUCGUCCUAAAUAUUCAGAAUUUUUGAAGUUAAAGAAGUAUUCAUAAUAUCCAGAUUGCUACAGACUGUUCUGUUUUUGACAAAUUCUGUUUUCUAUGUGUUGUUUGCUUAUUUUGAUGAAUCUAUGGCUCGUAUCGGGGCGGGGGGUAUGAACCAUGGAAGAGUUAAAAUACAGUAGAUAUUACACCAAUAUAAAUAAAAAAUGAGUUCACAACAGUAUCAAAAGUGGUGAUUUAUUUUCUUAUAACGGGGCUUAUGAUAUUUUCUGUCGAGUUUUGUGUUGUGAAGUUUUCAAGUUUUGGGUAAGGAAUUGAUGGACUAUGGAAUAAAGAGUGGCAAGAGCCUAAGCUUGGGGAUGCCCAAGGCACCCCAAGGUAAUAUUCAGGGAUAACCAAGAGCCUAAGCUUCCGGGGCAUCCCCUCUUUCGUCUUCAUUUAUCGGUAACUUUACUUGAGGCUAUAUUUUUAUUCACCACAUGAUAUGUGUUUUGCUUGGAGCAUCGUGUAUGAUUUGAGUCUUUGCUUUUCAGUUUGCCACAAUCAUCCUUGUUGUACACACCUUUUGAGAGAGACACACAUGAAUCAUGAUUUAUUAGAAUACUCUAUAUGCUUCACUUAUAUCUUUUGAGGUAGGCAAUUUUGCUCUAGUGCUUCACUUAUAUCUUUUUAGAGCACAGCGGUGGUUUUAUUUUAUAUAAAUUGAUGAACUCUCAUACUUCACUUAUAUUAUUUUGAGUGUCUCUAAACAGCAUGGUAAUUAGCUUUGGUUAUAAAUUUAGUUCUAAUAUGAUAGGCAUCCAAGAGAGAUAUAAUAAAAACUUUCAUAUAAAGUGCAUUGAAUACUAUGAGAAGUUUGAUUCCUUAUGAUUGUUUUGAGAUAUGAAGAUGGCGAUAUUAGAGUCAUGCUAGUGAAGUAGUUGUGAAUUUGAGAAAUACUUGUGUUAAGGUUUGAGAGUCCCGUAGCAUGCACGUAUGGUGAAUCGUUAUGUAACGAAGUUGGAGCAUGAGAUAUUUUUGAUUGUCUUCCUUAUGAGUGGCAUCUGGGGACGAGCGAUGGUUUUUUCCUACCAAUCUACCCCCUAAGAGCAUGCGCGUAGUACUUUUGAUGACUAGUAGGUUUUUGCAAUAAGUAUGUGAGUUCUUUAUGACUAAUGUUGAGUCCAUGGAUUAUAUGCAGUCUCACCCUUCCGCCAUUGCUAGCCUCUCUUGUACAGCACAACUUUCACCGCUAUCAUAAACCCACCAUAUACCUUCCUCAAAACAGCCACCAUACCUACCUAUUAUGGCAUUUCCAUAGCCAUUCCGAGAUAUAUUGCCAUGCAACUUUCCACCGUUCUGCUUAUUAUGAAAUGCAUCAUCAUUGUCAUAUUGCUUUGCAUGAUCAUGUAGUUGACAUUGUAUUUGUCGCAAAGCCACCGUUCAUUAGUUUUUUAUACAUGUCGCUCUUAAUUCAUUGCACAUCCCGGUACACCGUCGGGGGCAUUCAUAUAGAGUCAUAUCUUGUUCUAGUAUCGAAUUGUAAUUUUUGAGUUGUAAGUAAAUAGAAGUAUGAUGAUCUUCCUUUUUAGAACAUUGUCCCAUGUGAGGAAAUAAAAUAAAAAAGAGGAAAAGAAAAAAAGAGCAAAAAAAGAAAAAAAGAGAAGAAGAAAAAAAAAGGAGGGAAAGAAAGAAAAAACGAGAGAAAAAGAGAGAAGGGGCAAUGUUAUUGUCCUUUUCCAUACUUGUGCUUCAAAGUAGGACCUUGAUCUUCAUGAUAGAGAGUCUCCUAUGUUCUUACUUUCAUAUACUAGUGGGAAUUUUUCAUUAUAGAACUUGGCUUGUAUAUUCCAACGAUGGGAUUCCUCAAAAUGCCCUAGGUCUUCAUGAGCAAGCAAGUUGGAUGCACACUCACUUAGUUUUCUUUUCGAACUUUCAUAAACUUAUAGCUCUAGUGCAUCUGUUGCAUGGCAAUUCCUACUCACUCACAUUGAUAUCUAUUAAUGGGCCUCUCCAUAGCCCGUUAAUACCCCUAGUUGAUGUGAGACUAUCUCCCUCUUUUUGUCUUCUCCACAACCACCGUCUAUUCCACCUAUAGUGCUAUGUCCAUGGCUCAUGCUCAUGUAUUGCGUGAAAGUUGAAAAGGUUUGAGAACAUCAAAAGUAUGAAACAAUUGCUUGGCUUGUCAUCUGGGUUGUGCAUGAUUUGAAUAUUUGUGUGAUAAAGAUGGAGCAUAGCCAGACUAUAUGAUUUUGUUAGGAUGAGAUUUCUUUGGCCAUGUUAUUUUGAGAAGACAUAAUUAUCUUGUUAGUAUGCUUGAAGUAUUAUUGGUUUAUGUCAAUAUUAAACUUUUGUUUUGAAUCAUACGGAUCUGAACAUUCAUGCCACAAUAGAGAAAAUUACAUGGAUAAAUAUGUUAGGUAGCAUUCCACAUCAAAAAUUAUGUUUCUAUCAUUUACCUACUCGAGGACGAGCAGGAAUUUUCCGGAGUACCGGGGGCUACCGGAACCCCCCGGGAGUUAAUGAGCCUUCAUGGGCCCUAGUGGAGAGAGGAGGCGGCAGCCAGGUGGUGGCGCACGCCCCCCCAAGCCUGAACCGAAUUGGACUAGGGUUGGGGGGCCGGCCCCCCUUUCCUUCUCUCCUUCUCCUCCUUCCCUCCUUCUCCUAGUGGGAAUAGGAAGGGGGGCGAAUCCUACUUGGACUGGGAGUCCAAGUAGGACUCCUCCCAUGGCGCAUCCCCCCUUGGGCCGGCCACCUCUCCCUUCCCCUUUGUAUACGUGGGAGGGGGGCACCCCAAAGGCACACCAAGCCUUCUCUUAGCCGUGUGCGGUGCCCCCCUCCACAGUUUCACACCUCGGUCAUAUCGUCGUAGUGCUUAGGCGAAGCUCUGGGCCGGUAGCUUCAUCAUCACCGUCGACACGCCGUCGUGCUGACGAAACUCUCCCUCAUCCUCAAUUGGAUAAAGAGAUCGAGGGACGUCAUCGAGCUGAACCGCUAGGGGUACGAAGGAGGAGGAGACCGGAUGCGUUAAGCUAGUUGGUAAGAGUUCUUGUCAUUAUUGAUAGUGGCCCUAGAGAAAGAGAUUACGCUGAUUGUUCUAACUUCAUUCAUAUUUGAUUCCGCAACUGAGACCUUUUCCCACAUCUGUGCCAGGAGGGCAAGUGGUCAAAGCAGAAAGGGUUCUCGCUUCUCCUUCUGGAAGGGUGUGCUGAACACGGAGGUCCCGUAUGUUCGGUGCUUGGAUCGGUUGGAUCGCGAAAACGUUCGACUACAUCAACCACGUUACUAAACGCUUCCGCUUUCGGUCUACGAGGGUACGUAGACAAACUCUCCGCUCUCGUUGCUAUGCAUCUCCUAGAUAGAUCUUGCGUGAUCAUAGGUAAAAAUUUUGAAAUACUGCGUUCCCCAACAUGCUUGCGUUUAUUUCACUACAUCAUGUCAUCUUACUUAAUGCGUUACUCUGUUCUUAUGAACUUAAUACUCUAGAUGCAGGCAAGAGUCGGUCGAUGUGUGGAGUAAUAGUAGUAGAUGCAGGCAGGAGUCGGUCUACUUGAUACGGACGUGAUGCCUAUGUUCAUGAUCAGUGCCUUAGAUAUCGUCAUAACUUUGCGCUUUUCUAUCAAUUGUUAGGCAGUAAUUUGUUCACCCACCGUAAUAUUUUCUAUCUUGAGAGAAGCCUCUAGUGAAACCUAUGACCUCUAGGUCUACUUUCCAUCAUAUAAGUUUCCAAUCUACAAUUUUAGUUUCCUAUUUACUUCCUUUGCAACCUUUUACUUUCCGUUUCAUAAACCAAAAAUAUCAAAAAUAUUACUUUACCGAUUAUCCAUCUCUAUCAUAUCUCACUUUGCAAAUAAUCCCAAAGGGAUUGACAACCCGUUUAGCGCCUUGGGUGCAAGUAGGUGUUUGUUUGUGCAGGUACUCAAUGACUUGUGUGUCGUCUCCUACUGAAUUGAUACCUUAGUUCUCAAAACUGAGGGAAAUACUUACUCUACUUUGCUUCAUCACCAUUUCCUCUUCAAGGGAAAAACCAACGCAAGCUCAAAAGGUAGCAGACCUCCAGUCGUAGCCGCCAUGAUUUUCUUCACGUCUAUCAAUGCCUUGAGAAUUUUGACUUGGACAUGUCCUAUGGCAUGAAUAAGAAAUCGAAGCUUCGCGCCGCGUCCUCUUGAGGCCGUGUUGGCUGAUAAUAUUAGUGCGCAUGACCAGAGCCUUUCUGAUCAAGAUAUCCAAGGACGACAUACACCAAUUCAUAUAGAUCUCCGCUCGGAAAGACCGAAACUCAUCAACGGCCAGAUCCAAGUUGUCGACAUCUGACAGAAAGACGACUUGGCGGAAGAAAAGCAUCAGGGCCAAACCACCAUUAUUAGUCCAAAGCUAAUAGCCUCCACGCCGCCCUCCUCUCGAUCCAGACAGGAAGAAAAAGAUCAACGACGUCGCAUCAUGCCACUCGCAUUCGUGGAGGCUUGAACAUGGCAAGACGCCAACCAUGGCUAGAGACGGGGACCAGCCACUCUGGCCAGAUCCGGCGACUCCUAGUCCCACCGCUCCCGCUACGGCGGCACCGCAUGUAGCCUACAAGCCCAUCCACGAUGAUGUCUGAUUAGAAGGAUAUAUGGAUAUACAGAUGAAAAGGCCCUUGUUAUCCCUCCAACAAUAUAUAUAAAGCUUAUUGGGACAUGAGAAAGCUUGCACAAGGCUAUGGAAAUGUAUUGCCAGACAGAGAUAUACGAUUUUCGUUCGGCAUCCAAACCGCUUGUGUCACGCUUAAUCGAUGGUCACUCUAAUUUUUCCGGCGGGCCUUCCCUGUGGUACUGCAGCCUUACAUGUGUAUUAGUGGUUAGGGCGUCAUCCGUGGCGCCGCUUAAGAGGAAGUUGUUUGCACGCUUUUAUUUUUUUUAAAUCAUGUACUCCUCAUCUCUAUCUAAAAAAAUAUUUAUAGAAAAUCCUCAUCUCCAUCUAGAAAAAGAAGUAAAAAAGAAAAAAAAAAUCACCAACGCAACCUUACAGCGAGCGCCACUUAGCGUAGUCCUCCAUUUAAAAAAAUAUGAAGUCAUCACCUUCAUAUAAAAAGAAAAAAACAUUUUAAAAACGUUUUCAUCUCCAUCUAAAAAUAAUAUCCCAAAAGCUUUUUCACUACGGCCAACCAGCUUGUACCAUGUGCCAUAACUGAUUGGCCGCUCUUCAUGCAUAGCUUAAUGGGUUUAAUGAGUUUCAUAUAGCUAUUCAUUAAGAAGAAAACCAAAAUUACUUGGAGUUAAUAACUAAUACGUUUCCUUUAACUAACACGUGCACGGCGAGGAUUUACGUGCAUGAUGUUUUUUCCUCUCCCCACGUCGUAUUGGGCCGGCCCAUUCGUGCACAUCUCUAUUUCUAAUGCAGCAGUUGGUAGUCUCAUUUUCAGGGUUUUUUUGUCCCACCUUUCAUGGUUUUUUUAUACCUCCUUCCACCUUCGCUGGUUUUUUUCAUAAAUUUUUUGUCCCCUCCCCCUAUUUCAUCGGUUUAUUUUCGCGUCACCCUCUCACACAAUGAAAGAAAUCUGAACAGAUUAGAACUUUCCAUGCUGGCGCAAGUUAUUUAGUAAUGUAGAAUCAAUCACGAACAAUCGCUAAAGAUCAAAUCCAAGUUAAUUAACCUUACCUUAAAUCACUCAAUCACAUUAAUUAGAAAACAAAUAAUUGAUUUUCAGAAAAAUUGCUCAAUCACAUUAACCUUACCUUAACUCACGGAUGGUAAUCAAUCUUCAAACAAAGGAAACAAUACAUCAAGGGAGCAGUAAAUAAACUCCCUUUCUUAUGACAUGUAUAUGAUCUUUCCUUCCCUCUCCGUUGUCGAGCGUUCUUGAUUCUCAAGGCCGAUUCUUGGGCUGCGUCACUGGGUCGCGACGGUGCCGAAGGACGAGGAUGGCGAGGCCGGGUGUCGCGGCACCGCGUUGGCCGUGGCUGAUGAAGGGGGUGAAGAAGGGCGGCUUCCCUGGCCGUGGCCCUGGGAGUUGGUGCGGUGGAAACGUCACUUGAAGGACCCGACGUGGGUGGCCGACGCGCAGACGCACUUGGAAGCGGGCCCAUGGCCCGCGCCGGACGGCGCCGACGCCGACCUGGACCACCUCCUCCGUGUAUCCUUGGAGCUAUGGCUGGCCAAUUUAUAUGAAAUUAAUUCCCUCAGUUGUGGUGGCAAAUAUAAUACACAUAAUCCAUAUUGUUAUGCACUAGUGUGUGUGUGUGUGAAAUAGAUGGAUUAUGGUCCCGUACCAAUAAGAUGGAUAUAUGUGUGUGUUAGAGAGAGAGAGAGAGAGAGAGACAGAGAGGGAGAGGGGGAGAGAGAGUGAGGAAAAGGGAGGGAGAGUGUGUGUAUGAGGAUUUGAUGGUAAAAAAAGUCGCCAAUGUCAUUUGAUAUGUAUGAAAAUAUUAAUAUUAAACUUUUAAAGUUAAUGUGGCCCCGUUAAAAUACACAAGCGUUCUUAUAGUAUAGUUAGAGAAAGACAUGAGGAAAAGGAAGAACCGGGAUCGAUUCCUAGUCUUCUCAAGGUGGCCGCGUGGGUUUGUCUCAAAAAAAAAAGGUGACAGCGUGGGUGCUACUACCGGUCCGCCCAAGUCCGGUUCGUGAUAAGUUGUAGGUGCGCGUCGUACUUGAGGCGAUUGAGGCCUGUUUUAUUUGAGUUUUUCCUCUCUUUUUUCUUCUUCAUUUUUUUCAUUCUUUUUUGCACUCCGUUUCUUUGUUUUGUCAUUCUUUUUUUCUUUUGUUUAUUUUCUUUUUUUCCGGUUUUCUUUGUUCUAUUGGUUAUUAUUGUACAUUUUUUGUAUACGUCUACAACAUUUUUUUCUAAUACACAUCUAACAUUUUUCAAAUACAAACCAACCAUUUUUGUAAUACAUUGUCAAGAUUUUUUUGUACACAUUUUUAAAUGCUUGUUUGUCAUUUUUCAAAUACAAGAUUAACAUUUUUUCAAUACAUGGUCAACAAUUGUUUUUGCCAUUUUUACAAAAAAAUUAAAUGCUUGAUUAACAUUUUCUUAAUGCAUGGUCAUUUAUUUUUCUAUACACAUUUAACAUUGUCCAAAUGCUUAAUUAACAUUUUCAAACCCUUGUUCAACAUCUCUUUUAAAAUGCUUGAUUCACAUUUCUGUAUACAUGAUCAAACAUUUUUAUCAUUUUUAAUACAUGGUCGACGGUAUUACCCAUACACAUUUAACAAUUUCCCAAUUCUUGAUUAACAUUGUUUAAGUACUCGUUCAACAUUUUCUCAAAUGCAUAACGUUGACAUUGUUGAAAAGUGGCAUCACAAGUUCCAGGGAGUAGAAAAGAGAUUAAUCAACGAAACCGCGCGAACUUUGUGGUGCUAUUGUGUUAUAUCAACUACUCCUUUCGUUCCGAAUUACUUGUCACAAGUAUGUAUGUAUAUCUAGAUAUAUUUUAAUUUUAGAUACAUCCAUUUAUGCGACGAGUAAUUUGGAACGGAGGGAGUAUGUGUCUGUUAUGUCACCAAAUUCAGUAUAUAUAGAACAUGGAAAUACAGUAAUAGUGAGCUCACUCGGUGGGAGCCCGUCACGGCCAUGGGAAUAGGAUCCUCCUCGUACUGCUCCUCUCCUGCCCUGCCCUGAGGAGCAGUAUCGUCCGUCGUCGCCGAGCGGCGCAGCAGCCGGUGGCCGAGGGGAGACCGAGAUUUAUUCUCCGGAGGCGCCGAAUCCGGCUCGUAAGUCGAAAUCCCUCUCUGUCCCGCCUCUCGGAUCCUCCCACCGAUCUCCUACUUCCCUGCCGCCAAUGCCCGCCUUUUCUUUGGACUCCGAGCGAGGAAUCGGAGGGAAAGCUGUGUACUUCCUGUGGCUUCAUACCCCGGUAAUGGCGGCCCUGCUUGCCGUUGCCGCUUGGUCCACUCUCUGCGUGCCCGUCUGCAAGGUGUUCGAUGGAUUGUGCGCAGGGUGUCGGCCCGGCUGGCCUCGUUUCACUUCUUCCAGGUUUCAGUCCGUUUACCGCCGGUUGCUGAAAAUGUGCACGAGAAGCAUAAGAAUGCUGGGAUAUGCGCUCUUUGUUUACCGUUUACUGUCAUUUGUUUGGUUGCAGGAAGCACCCGGCCUUAAGCAUAGUACUACAUAUAAAGUUGUAUGUUCUGUUCCGUUUGUUUGUUUGCUGUCUGAUGAUUGAGACAAGUGCAUAAUCUAAAGUUUGGCACCUGCACUUGCACCUGCUCCUGCACAUUUAUGUGUUGGAAACUGGAAUCUGUUCAGUGUAGUAUGGCCAUGCCACAUGUUUUGGCUUUAGCCUAAGGACCAAUUGCUUCUUGACUUUCUUGGAUGCUUGCUGGCCCAACCUUGGAUCUGUAUCUUUCUAAUAGUCUUCUAAAUCAGAAACAUAACGAUUUUUUGUGCUGCUUACUAGAUUCGGUGUGUUUACUUAGCGUGUUUAGUCGAAUCAUCUGUCAUUGUUCUCUCAAGUUACUUUUCCUUGCGAUAUUCAACCCAGCGGUUUAAAAUUCCUGCAAUUGCUUCAUUCAGAUUGAUUUUUCGCUUCUUUGUUGCUGAUUUCCUUUCAACGUUUGGGCUGAGGCUCCAAAUGUUGGUACUCUUUUAACCGGAGUAUGUUACUUUGGAGAAUAGAAGAAUUAUGCAUUGGUAUCAUGAUAACAUAUGCCUAAUGGUUUUUCUUACAGGAGGGCGUUUCCAACACAUAAAUAGUUUGCUAGCAUGCAGACAGUGUCCAGUAGCCUUUGCGCCAUUUGAGGCAUAAUGGACAUAGCUUUUAUCAUGUUGUUGGUUCUUUCUCUGCUCCUGUUCCCUAAUGGCAUCUGCAAGAGUUUAGCUACAGGACCUCCUGUUGUGAAUAUUGGGUCUAUUCUUCAGUUUGACUCCACCACCGGGGGUGUUGCGGCAGUUGCCAUCCAUACAGCCGUGGAAGAUAUCAACUCUGAUCCAACAGUUCUAAAUGGAACUACACUAAAGGUUCAAAUCAAGGAUACAAAUUGCUUUGAUGGUUUCCUUGGCAUGGUUCAAGGUAGGCUAGCUUUAAUGCCACUCAUUCAUUUCACAACCUUCAAAUAGUUAUUACUUCUGUUGUGGAGUUGUGGCAAUGAUGCCGUGUUCCUUGUAUCAGCUUUGCAGUUCAUGGAGACUGAUGUUAUUGCACUCAUUGGCCCUCAGUGCUCCACAAUUUCUCAUAUCAUUUCAUAUGUAGCAAAUGAGCUUCGAGUCCCUUUGAUGUCCUUUGCUUCUGAUGCAACUCUUUCAUCAAUACAGUUCCCGUUCUUUGUCAGGACGGGUCCCAGUGAUCUCUAUCAAAUGGCGGCUGUGGCAGAAGUUGUUGACUACAACCACUGGAAGAUAGUGACUGCCAUAUACAUUGAUAAUGUUUAUGGUAGAAAUGGCAUUGCUGCUUUGGAUGAUGCACUCACUUUAAAGCGCUGCAAAAUAUCCUACAAGGUUGGGUUUCCUUCCAACGCUAAAAGGAGUGACCUCAUAAAUUUGUUGGUUAGUGUCAGUUCUAUGGAGUCUCGUGUUAUCAUUCUCCAUACUGGAACUGAACCUGGACUCAAGCUUUUCUCUAUGGCACACCAACUGAACAUGAUGGGCAACGGCUAUGUGUGGAUUGCAACUGACUGGCUGUCUGCAUAUCUUGAUGCUAAUUCAUCAGUUCCUGUUGAGACUAUAUCUGGCCUGCAAGGUGUUCUUACUUUACGGCCACAUAUUCCCAACUCAAAGAUGAAGAGUAAUUUGGUCUCCAAAUGGAGCACGCAAAGUAAAAAGUACAACUACAGUGAUGUUUGUAUAAAUACUUAUGGUUUUUAUGUUUAUGAUAGUGUCUGGGCAGUAGCUCAUGCUCUGGAUGCCUUCUUUGAUGAUGGUGGUAGGAUUUCCUUUUCAAAUGACUUGCAUGAUGGAACUGGAGGAACUCUUCACCUUGAAGCAAUGAGCAUUUUUGACAUGGGAAAUAAAUUACUGGAGAAGAUUAGAAAGGUAAACUUCAGUGGGUUAUCUGGGCAAGUGCAAUUCGAUGCUGUAGGCAACCUCCUUCACCCUGCGUAUGACAUCAUAAAUGUCAUCGGAAAUGGCAUGCGGACCAUUGGUUUUUGGUCAAACUAUUCUGGCUUGUUGUCGACUGUCUCUCCAGAGGCUCUAGAUUCAAAGCCUCCUAAUACUUCUCUAGCCAAUCAGCAUCUCUAUGAUGUUAUUUGGCCUGGGGAGACUGCACAGAGGCCUCGAGGAUGGGUUUUUCCUUCUAAUGCCAAGCAGUUGAAAAUUGGUGUUCCCAACAGAUUUAGCUUCAAAGAGAUCGUCACGGUAGACAAUGCUACUGGGUCAAUGAAGGGUUAUUGCAUCGAUGUCUUUACUCAGGCAUUGGCUUUGCUUCCUUAUCCUGUUAGUUACAAGUUUGUACCUUUUGGGAAUGGUACUGAAAAUCCUAAUUAUGACAAACUCGUACAGAUGAUUGAAUCAAAUGUAAGUACGGAAUGCCUCUUUUUUCUUCCUCGAACCAUUUCAUCAUAUACCAUGCUGACCAGGGGCAUCUUAUCCUGCAGGAGUUUGAUGCAGCUAUAGGGGAUAUUGCAAUUACAAUGAGGCGGACAGUAACUUUUGAUUUCACCCAGCCAUUCAUUGAAACAGGCUUGGUUAUCUUGGCUCCGGUUAAAGAGCAUAUAACAUCGUCCUGGGCAUUCUUGCAGCCAUUUAGUUUGGAGAUGUGGUGUGUUACAGGGCUAUUCUUUCUUAUUGUGGGUGUGGUUAUUUGGAUUCUUGAACAUCGGAUCAAUGACGAUUUCCGUGGUUCAGUAUGUCAACAAAUAAUAACUAUUUUCUGGUAAGGAGCUGACCUGCACCUUUUGUACCGUCUUCUUGUAUAUCAUUCCUGUUUUCGAAGUGUUGAUGUUUUAACAAGUCUUGUGCAAUAUGUUGCAUACAGCGAGUACCUUAGAGCAGUGGCCAGUUAACAUACCUAAAUGAAGCAUCUAGUGAUUACCAAUGAACUACUCCCUCCGCCCCAUAAUAUAAGGGCGUUUUUGACACUACACUAGUGUCAAAACGCUCUUAUAUUAUGGGACGGAGGGAGUAUUAUCUUAAUAAUCUUGUGAGACAUAUAUACAUGCACAGCAUAUAUAUUCGCUUAAUGAUAUUUAUGAUGCAUUGCUCUAUUUUUCCUGUUUUCACAUACUUCUCUUCUCCACAUGUAUUUGCCAAAUGCUCUUAUAAUGGCGUGAUUCCUUGCUGUGAUUAUAAUUUCAAUUUUUAUUGCCUGCAGGUUCAGCUUUUCGACUUUGUUCUUCGCACACAGUAAGUAAACCAACCUUCUCUCUUAUGUGUUUUUUUUUUUGGCUAUAACAUUUUGUUCUGAGGCAUGAGGCAUGACUCGUGAUUUCAUAUGUAUCUGCGCGCAGGAGAAAAUACUAUGAGCACCUUAGGGCGUGGUGUCCUGAUCAUAUGGCUGUUUGUUGUUUUGAUAAUUGUAUCCAGCUAUACCGCGAGUCUUACUUCCAUCCUGACCGUGCAACAACUCGAUACUUCUAUAAAAGGAAUCGAGGACCUGAAAAAUAGCAAUGAUCCUAUUGGUUUCCAAGUUGGUUCUUUUGCACAAGACUACAUGGUCAAGGAGCUCAACAUCUCACGGUCAAGGCUAAGAGCUCUUGGUUCACCACAAGAAUACGCUGAAGCCCUCAAGAUAGGCCCUAAGGAAGGAGGUGUUAUGGCCAUUGUCGACGAGCGCCCCUAUGUUGAACUGUUUUUGUCAUCCUACUGCAAGAUUGCGGUAGCUGGCACAGAUUUCACCAGCAGAGGAUGGGGCUUUGUAAGUACAGUUCAACCAUAUUCUUUUAUAUAAAUUAGAAUAUAAGAACAAAAAUUGCUGUUAAUGUCCUGGAAUAGAGGUUUUAACUUUGAAUAGUUGUGUCUAGUCUUUAGUUUAUGCAACUUUUAUUGCACUUACCUGCGGCUACUUUGUUUCACAAAUCGAAAUGUAGCACCUUACAAAUUCAUUCUGCCAGGCAUUUCCAAGGGACUCCCCUUUGCAAGUAGACCUCUCCACCGCAAUCCUGUCUCUGUCAGAGAAUGGGGAGCUGCAGCGGAUCCAUGCCAAAUGGCUCAAUACAGGGGAGUGCACAACUGACAACAGUGAGCUUGUCGACUCGAACCAGCUCCGCCUUGAGAGCUUCCUUGGUCUGUUCCUAAUCUGUGGUGUGGCAUGUGUUCUCGCGCUGCUACUCUACUUUGGUAUCAUGCUAUGCAAAUAUCUGAGGCAUGAACCGUGGAAGAGCCUCAGAAGAUUCAUCUCGUUCGUCCAUGGGAAGGAGCCGCCGAAGAACAAGGAGAGGCGGUCCAUGAGCCUGCCUGGAAGCUCAACGCCAACAACGCCGAUGAGCAGCCAUAGUUCCCUUGACAUGGAAAGGCCGGCCAGGCCAGUCAGAAACGGUAGCAUUAUUGACAUGGAAAGCUAAUUCAUGUGUAGAAAGCUAGUUAACAAUGCGGUCGACUAACCUAGGUUCUGGUAGUCGGACAGCAGGGCUGUAUAGGAGGAUUCGAAAUACUUCUUAAGUACUCCCUCCGAUUCAACUUAAUUAACUUUGACUUGGUACAACCUUAGUACAAAGUUGUACUAAGUCGGCGCAAUUAAUUUUGAUCUGAGGGAGUACUAAAGUUUAUGAAAUAACAGAAGGAAGGAUUAAUAAGAAAUAGAAAUAUUGAAAUGCUCCUCCUGUCCUACAUAUAUUGUUUUUACCUUUGCAUGUGUUUGAUAGGGCGUAGUAGUAGUGUGUGGGUACUUCAGUUAGAAGGUAUGCAGUGGACCAGUCUAUCGACCGUGUGGCAAUGCCUGUAGUUUGUAGCACUAAACUUUGAUGCCCAUUCAUAAACUAAUUUAGAUGGAGCCGCACAAAAAUUGUGUUUUUUUUUUUGCUCACACACUCUGUUUUGUCUCAGUUUUAGUCCAGCGCAACUUUGAAGCUUAUCCAGGGCAACUUUGAAGCUUAUCCAGGGCAACUUUAACUAUUUACAGGAGAAAUUGUUAAAGACCUUAUUAAGUGAAGAAGAAUAGACGUCUCCAGUUUUUGUUUCUCCAACUCUAUGCCUACACUGUAAAUUAUUUAUGAAUUAGCUCCAGUUGAUGCAACUGUACUCUUUCUGGUAGGUCUGAGAUGGACUGAGCAUCCUAAGCUAGCUACUUGUCUCCCUUAGGUUUUACAGCAAGACAAAUGCACUGGACUACAAAGAGGAAAAUUCUUGCAGGUUCGUAAUGAAUCUGUUUUGGUUCUGGCAUUCACACCAAUCAUAAAGCAGUGUUUGUUAGUAGCGGAGUGGUAGGCAGACGCAAAUCAAACCAUCAUUUUUCUUCUAAAUACACUUGUAAAAGCAUCGAUGCAUCUCCGUCGCUUAAUUUUAUUUGUCAUUCUGUUCAGUACCUGGUUUGGUUUAGGAAGAGCUCUUUUUCCUAUGCAAAAUGUAUAACGUGUAUGUUUCUAAUUCCGAUUGCAGGCAUAUUCAUCGCGCUUGUGUUUUGACGUGUUGCGGGCAACCAAGAGUCGUUCAACAGUGUGUUGCUGGGGUACGCCACCGGUCUGACAGUAAAAGGUAGCGCUGAUGAACUGGUUUCAAGCCGAGCUGAUCAGUUCUGCUGUUACUAAUAUAUCAUGGCAUCUUGCGGCUCUCGGUCGAUGUUCUGUCAUCUAUGAGGAGAGAGUUUCCAUUUAAUCUAGUUGCUAAUGCUUUGUAUACAAAAUUAUAGAUGCCUACACAAUACAAAAUCAAAAGUUAUUUUCUUAGUCAAACUGGAAAAUUCAUAGAUUUGCAGGAACAUCUGUACAUAAAGCCUUUUCCAUCAAAGUAUGUACAUACAUUGUCUAUUUUAACAUAAGAAUGUAGGACUCGUUCAAAACUAUUUGACUAUUCAUACAAAAAAAAUAGAAUUUCUUAAAAUAAGGGAGCACAUCUUCUCUGGUUUGAUCACUGAAGUCAUCAAUUGAGCAGUCCAGGUUCACCUAGUUAUCUAUUUCAAAACUUAGGGAGAACAAUUUGGGUGAUACUUUUUCAAAGUACAAGGCACAUAUUUAUAGUUCAUUGAAAUGCACCUAUAUUUUGACCUCAUUAAUAUCUCAUCCUUCAUAAUAAAGUAUGGCCAAACAAACAGAGAAACCGCUAGUUUCUUUCAUGUUCCCCAGACAAUAACACCAUAGCUAUUACUGUCAUUCCCCUUCUCUCUUAAUACCUUCCAUCCUUUCCAUUAUAAUUAAUGAAACUGAAACAUAUCAUUCUCUUGGUUGUAUUUUUUUCCUAAAAUGUUUAAGGUGUAUGUGUCAUUGAGUGAAUAUAUUAUGUUGCAAAGUUUCACGAAAUUUAGUAUGCAACCAGUAUGCAAGAGAAAUAAAGAUUAAAGUAAAUUUAGUUAUUUUUAUUAGCCAUUAUUGUUUUUAGAGAAAACAAUAGGCAAGUCACUUUUUCAUGAAAGCUGGAGACAAAUAGUGUAUUCUAACAUAAAAAUGGUCAAUUUUCCUCACACACACACACACACACAUACACAUAAACUUAGAAUUUUUGGAAAUAAUGGGAGCAAUGGCCAUGUGAAAAUAUGAGGUUUAUAUCUUGUGGAUUUCCUUUCAGUGUACAAGGCCUGCAUGUAGAAUGGAUAUUUUUUUUUCUAUAUUUGCUUCCCUAAUUUAAAUCUUAUCCUUCAUCAUCAAUUAUGACUAAACAUAAAUAGUAACUGCUAGUUUCUCUUAUGCUUAUGAGGAGAUAAGACCAUGGAUAUUUUAGUCAUUCCACUUUGCUAUUGAUUGUUUCUGUUCUUUUGCGCUAAAUAGUAGUCAAACAUGUUAUUCAUGUAUUUCGUAAGGAUAAGGUCAAGCCUCAUGAUAAGGAUAGGGUCGCGCUAUUCGUCACCCUGGGUGAGGCAUUGUUAUUUUUCACCCACUUCUAUUUUAUCAUCAAUGCACCGUAAAUUUACGUUUCAUAAGUUUUGUCUUAUUUCCGACGCAAAAAGGGACCGUAAGAAAAUAUAUAAUCGCCAUAAAAAAUAUUUUAUGUUAUAUAAAAUUACAAACAUAAAAACAUAGUCUAAAAUACACACAAACUGCAAAUUUUCUUGUCUUAUAACCUAUAUUUUUAUUUUUUUAUGUCAAAUUUUACGUAGUGAAUCAAUAGAAAUAUAACUAUUUGAAUUCGAAAUGUAAUUUAAUUAUGAAAUGAUCGUAAGAUUACCUCGGGUGAAGAAUAACUUAUUCUGCACCCUGAUUGAUGAAUAAUAAAUUUAAUUAUAUUAUAUACAUAUAGGAUAACACUAUUCUAAUCCUAGAAUUAGAAUAGCUAUUUGGAUCACAGCCAGCCCGACCACAUCUUAGUGAGAUCGCGCGAGCAAAAGAAAAAACCCAAAACGCCCCGCCCCGUUUAUCCCCUUGUCGCUCCACCACCACCCCCCGACCUCUGGCCGCCGCCCACCCUGCUCCGGCGCGCCUCCCACCCUCGCCUCCUUCCGAGCGCUCCGCCGGCCCCGCCUUCUUCCAGGCGCGCCGCCGGCCCCGCCUCCUCCUGGCGUGCUGCCACCCCCACCUCUUGCAGCGCGAGGUCGCCGCCACCGCCUACUUCCCGGCGUGCCGCCAGCCCCGCCCCCUUCGGCGCGAGGCCGCCGCCCCCACCUCCUCCUGGCGCGCCGUCGUCCCCUGUACCUGACGCGCCCCCCGGUGCCGCCGGCCCGCAACCCGCCGCCCAGCACCUUCCCGUCGCGCGCCUCCCAACACCGAGGCGCCGCCGCCCACAGGUUCUGUAGAUGCUGACCUGCCACUGCACCGCCGCUGCAACCUGCUGCUCACUCUUCCUCGCACAUGUGUCAGCAACACAAAAGUGGGUCGCUGCAGUCCACCUCCUGCUACAGCAGCAGGACGACUCCUUCAGGACGCAUCUCACACUCAUGGAGGCGGUGCUAUCUCUGGCGAGCUCCUCCAUCCCCGAGCGCGAUGCUUCCACUACUGCGUCCUCCUCACGUUCCCUUCCCCAUCCUUGUGUAUGCUUAUUUCGAUGUGGAAAACUCCAUCAACUAGUUCGCAUCACGUAUCAGGGCACGGCCAUAACAUGCUAGCAAUAUUAUGCUUUGGCUGCUAGUAAUGUGUUUGUGCUAAUGUCUAGUAGGAACUCUAGUUGUACUGAUAAAAGAGAACCAAACCAUCAUAUAAGGGAAAAGUCGCAUCUCUCUAUCUUUGAUCUCUCUAUGAUACAGAUAUGGACGUAUAUGGAAUUAGUAAAAUUCCUCUUUUAUAUUGCUUGUUCAUUAAUCAUUCAUGCAUCGUGUCCUAAAAGAAAUAUAGUGUGCUCUGUUUGAAAAAGCAUGUGGUCAGCACAUGUUUGUUAUUAUAUGGAUCUAAAGGUUUAACAAACAAACACAUUCAGAUUUCUCUUUAUUCGUAUAAAGGUUGGAGUGAGGUAGCGCUUAUUUCCUAUAUAGCUGCUCAUUUUGGAUGCAGUUUGAACAAUCAGGCUAGGGAGCGGUGAGCGUGGGUAGGCUGGCCAAACCUUCCCUCCACUGGGUCAACCGGCAGCGUCGCCCACCACCGUACUGUCCUACGGCAACGGCCCCAACCUGGGCAGGCGUGCUUUCUGCGACAUGCUCCUGCUCAUGGAUGUCUUGGUGAGGUAAAAACUUCUGUUAACUUAACUUAGCUACCUCAACUGAUUGAACUGCAGGGGUUGUGUGCAGUCUGAUGUGGUUCUAGUGUUUGAUUAAUGCAAUUUGGAAGAACUUGCGUCUCUAAAAUUCAAACUCUGCAUUUUGGUGUAUUUUUAUUUAGAAGUUCAGGUCAUCAUAAGUUGCUUCGGUUUAGCUAGUUACUGUUGUGAAAAAGUUCAGCUCGUCAUAUUUGAACAUCGGAAGAAGAGCUGCUAUAGUCUCCUGCUAUAUGCUUGUUAUAUUCCUAAAUAGUACAGGCUCAACCAAAGCAAGUAGUUAUAGUCUCCUGCUAUAUGCUUAAAUAGUACAUUUUUUCUGUAUUCUUGUUCGGAAGUUCAGGUCAUUCAAAGAGACCAAAUAGUACAGGCUCAACCAAAUAGUGAAAAGUCUACUAGAGUCGAAAAAAUAUAAUGAUACAAAAAUGCAACUCUGCACUUUCCUCAAAAUGGUCAUCAUAUUCUUAAGAAGAUUGGGAUUGCACUAUUUGUUUGAGCUAGUACUACCAGACUGAACAAAUUGCAGAGUUGGAUUUUAGAGCCUGGACAUUUUCAGACAUUUUCAAAAGUGGUCAAUUGAACCUGAACCAAAAAGAUUGACCUGAAAUUCGUUUGGGCUAGUUACUACCAGACUGAAAAAAUUGUAAUAGGUGGAUAAGUGGUAUUGUACUAUUUUCUAUUGUGUGGUAAUGCUCGUACCCCAUGGCCAUGGAAGGUUCAGAUGUUGUGCUCUUCUUUUCUAGCUGAUUCAUGUUCUAUUUGGUAGCUUUAAUGAUAUUCUAUACACUGAUGGCGAGAGUUCAACCAUGGCUAUACGCCAAGUUCUACUAUGGCUAUAUGUCGGCCAUCGUGAAGUCCUACUAUAGCUAUAUGCCAAGUUUAAUUAUGGCUGUAUGCUUGUGCUUCCAGGCUACUAUUGAACGUGUCUUGGCCUUCAUUUUUACGGGUUAUAGUCUCCUGCUAUAUGCUUGCUUUUGCUAUCAGCAUGUUCAUGCAAGUGCCUCUGAAUAAUCUGAAAUUUAAACUUGUACCUAAAACUGAACUUCUACCUCUUUGCUACAGGUGCGGUCGUCGGAGUCCUUUAAGUGCUUGCACUAGUGCUUCUAACUUGUCCAUGAAGGCACUGCAUGGUGUGCCACCUCCCGUCUGCCGCCGCAGCUGCCAUGUGUCCUUGCGACCUCUGCGGCCAGUCACCAACGCCCUAUGAGUGCGCCCUAAGUGUGGCAUGGGGAACAUGCUAAUGUGUGUGUUUCUGCACUGGUGUGUGCGUGCAUGCUCACGUUUAUGCGUGACUGAGUGUGCUGCUUGUGUGCUGUGAUGUAUGUUGUAUAGAUUUUUAUGAAGUUCAUGUUGUGAACCCAACUUAAUUAGAACACAAAAGUUUAGAUCGCAGCUGCUUUGAAUUAUGUAGUGUUUCUAAAUAGCUUCUUGUCUGAAGUUCAGUCGUACAUGUGGGUGCAAGAAAGUUAGUGUCGGAGCCAGAAAAACUGACUUUGAGCAACUGUUGGGUAUUUAUAUAAAAACAUUGUGUGUAGCAAUUCGUUGUGUUUAUUGAAAAAUGAAAAGACAGAAGUUCACCAUGCAAAACUUUCACAGUCCAAUUGGUAUUAAGAAGGCAGAAAUAUAAAACAACAGUGAAGUUCACUAAAAAUGCAACUUUUCACAUUGCGAAGAAACAAUAAUUAACUUCUCAGUGUACAAUUUAGUUUUUGUUUCUCUUUUCCAAAAAAUAAGAAUAGAAGUAAUAUGUGGAAGCUAUUUGUGUUUAUGUCUCAAAUUAGAAUAAUUAUAAGAAUUGCCUCUAUAUGUGCUAUGUGUUACACACCUUUCCGAAUCAAAAGAGAUUAGAUUCAUCCAUGAGUAAGGUAGGUACAAUUAUUUUUAAACAGUUCAAUUGCUCGAUAGAUGUAUGUCCAGAAAAAUAAAAGAUAGUUCAACACAAUAUAAACCCAUGAGAUUGCAAAAAAUCUUUGGAUUAAGUGGAUGAGAACCAAUAAGUUCAUAUAUGAAACCUUGGGGAGUUCAAAAAAAGUUAAAAAGGUUCGAUGUUUGUUGCGAAGCUAGGAUUUUCUUCAUUACUAAUGAAUAAAUCAAGAAGUUCAAAUUAAAAAAGGAUGAGCGGUUCGAUGUUUAUUACGAACCUAGAAUUUUUUCCGUUACUAAAAGAAAUAAUACCAACAAGUUCAAAUUAAAAAAAUCGAGUAGUUUGAUAUUUCUUUGAAAACUCAAAUUUUUCCGGUUAGUAAAUAAUAAAACCAAUAAGUUCAAUUCAAAAUAACGAAGAAGUUCAACUUUUAAAAGCAAAGCAAUUUGAUAUUCAUUUAAAAACUCAAUUUUUUCGGUUACUAAAGAAUAAGACCAACAAGUUCAAUUCAAAGUAACGAAGAAGUUCGAUGUUUCUAACAAAACUCCAAUUUUCACAUUUCUAAAAACUCCAAUUUUAGGUGAGCCCAAUUUUUGUGUGGAUGUGUUGUGCAUGUGCUUGUGCGUAGUACAUUUAAUAGAACAAAAACACUAUUAUGGGUGCCCUCUAAAUGUUUGUCCUAUUGCUUAUGAGAAUUGACCCGAAUUUUCCUAUUGUUUUUGCACAUGUUGGAUUCAAGGGAAAAUGUGUAUAAAACAGGUGUGAUUUCAGAAGUUCAGGUGUAACGAACAUCGAAGUCCAAACCAAAAGAAUGUAAACAAAAAAAUCAUGGAAUUCAAAAGAAUAAAUACUAUCGAGUUUCAUGAAAGAAAAUAGCAUGCGAAGUUCAUGUUUCAGAAAGUUUGAAGUUCACGUGUACCACAUACAGAAGAAAAAUGAUCAAAUGAAAAAAGGGACCGCCUAGGCCAUUUCACCGAAAAGCAAAAAAUGCAUAAAAUGUCACGACAAAAUUCUAUAAGAAGUUCCAAUUUAAAAGCCGAAGUAGGUCAACGUUAAAGAAAAUGAAGUUUUUAAUAUCUAAAAGAAAAUUUUGGAAGCUCAACAAAUUUGUGCAAGGAGUUAAAAAAAUUAGUUGAAAAAUAUUUAUAACGGAUUUUCCCCGUGUAUAAAAAAAUCAGAGAAGUUCAAAUUAAAAAGAGGAGCAUUUCAAAAGAUUGUAUAAAAACUGAUUUACUCAAAAUAGAUAAAGGUGAAGUUCAAAUUGAAAUAACGGAGAUGUUCGGAGUUUAUUAAAACCUAGAAUUUACCUGUUCGAAAAAUAAAAAACACAACACCAUUUUUUUGCACUUUUAGAGACAACUCAUAAACGAAAAAAUGGUUGCUGGAAGUUCAAGUGCUCGGUGAGGAAAAGUUCAAAAAAUUCUUGUAAGAGAGGUUCACCGUGUAUUUAGAUGUCCAAAAUACAUAAAAAAUAUGUUGUUUUUUGUGUUUUAAAAUAAUUCUCUCAAACCAGAGAGAAGUUCAAAGUGAUAAUAGCCGGAAGUUCACGUACUACAUGGUGUGUAUUUCAUAUAAGAAAAAUAGAAUAAAGUGAAACAGAGUAAAGUUCAAACGGACAUGCCCUAGAAGUUCAACUACUUCACGUAGUGCAAAAAAAUAUCACAUCAAAAAUAGAGUGAGGACAGACAUGCCUGAGAAGUUCAACUACUUCACACAGUGUGUUUCCAUUCGCAAUGAAGGCAGAAAUCAUGAUCUCGUCAUUUCUCUAAUUUACUUCAAAACGAUAGGAAUAUCAUUUGUGUAAGUUCAAGUCCUCGGUCGGAGAAAGUUAAAAAAAUAUUGUGAGAGAGGUUUGUACAAAAAGAAUAUCAUUUGUGUAACACUGACGAAAUGGAUGAGAAAAUUACAAACAAAAAACGUCACAGAAGUUCAACGUGAAAACAACAGGAAGUUCGACUACUAUAGUGAAUGAAUUUGAGAUGAAAAACUUUUAAAAUCAUCGCGAGUAUGAAAAAACGAUCAACACGGGAAAGUUAUGUGCUUACAGCAGCUUUCCACCGGUAUAUCACUUUCUCAAUUCCGGUGAGUGGAUGGAGAGUUACGAGCAGUGGAUGGAGACCUACGAGCAAAAAAAUCACGUGAAAAACAGAGUGAAGUUCAGGUACACGCGCCGAGAAGUUCAGGUUCUUCACGCGGUGCAUUUUCGAAGAAUCUGUUUGACGAUAAAGGCAGAACGCAUGAUCUCGCCAUUUUCGAAAUUACUUGAAAAUGGCUAGGAAUCAGAGAAAACCAUCAACAUGAAAAAGUUUUGCAAUUUCCGUAGCUUUUCAGCGGUAUAUUAUUUGCCCCAUUCCGAUAAAGUUUGUAGAAAUUACGGCGAAAAUACGUUUUUCGCCAUUUUCGAAACUGACUUAAAACUGUAAAGAAUUGGGAGAAACAAUACAUACCAAAAAGUUUCACAUUUGUUCAAGAUUUCCAAAGCCAUAACAUUUGCUGCAUUCGGACAGACGGUUAAAAAAUUAGAUCAAAAAUACGAACUCGGUAGGACUAGGACCAUUUUCUAAAUUACUCUUAAACCAUUCAAAAUUAGAAAAAAACUUUCAAGAUGAAAAAGUAGCGCAUUUUCAUAAGCUUUACAAUGCCGUAUCAUAUGCCUCUAUUGGAUUAGCCGUUUAGAAAUGACAUCGAAAAUACGAACUCAGCUGUUCGAUUUACGAAAUUUUACGUUUUUUCAAAUUACUCUUUAACUAUAGGGAAUUAAAGAAAACUUUCAACAUGUGGAAGGAGCGGUUUUGCAGCAGCUUUCCAACGCCAUAUUAUAUGCCUCAUUAAGAUAAACGGUUUAGAAAUGCGGUCGAAAAUACGAUUCACGUUUUUUGUGCGAAGAAAAAACGGUUUUCAAAACUGCUCUUAAACCGCUUAUAUUUUGCCAAAAAUUUAAGUUGGAUAAUGAUACUGAUGUUCAAAACUUUCCAACGGUAUAUAGCAAGCCUCAUUUGGGCAAUGUUGGCGGAAGUUCAACCUAGUUCAUAGGGAAGUUCAGCGUACUACUAGCGGGGCAGGUCAGGUUGUGAUCAGAAUAUUAUUCUGAUCCCGUGAUUAGAAUAGUGUUUAUAUAUAUAUAUAUAUAUAUAUAUAUAUAUAUAUAUUAUAUUUGCCACAUUAACUUUAAGAGUUCAAUAUUAAUAUUUUCAUACAUAUCAAGUGAUAUUGGCGACCUUUUUUACCAUCAAAUCCUCGCGCACACACGCUAGUGCAUAACAAUAUGAAUUAUAUGUAUUAUAUUUGCCACCACAGCUGUGGGUAUUAAUUUCAUGUAAAUCGGUCAAUCACAGCUCCCAGAAUAUGCGAAGGAGGUGGCCUGAAUCGGCGUCGACGCCGUCCAGUGCGGGCCACGGGCCCGCUUCACUAGUAGAAAAAGGGCCUAUUGUCCCGGUUCGUAAGGGCCUUUUGUCCCGGUUCCUGAACCGGGACUAAAGGAUCGGUACUAAUUCCCUGUCCCUUUAGUCCUAGUUCAAUCCAGAACCGGGACAAAUGGGCCUCCACGUGGCCUGUGCGCGGAGCCCAGGCAGGAGGGCCUUUGGUCCUGGUUGGUGGCACCAACCGGGACCAAUAGGCAUCCACGCAUCAGCAUUUCUGUGGCUGGGGUUUNNNNNNNNNNNNNNNNNNNNNNNNNNNNNNNNNNNNNNNNNNNNNNNNNNNNNNNNNNNNNNNNNNNNNNNNNNNNNNNNNNNNNNNNNNNNNNNNNNNNNNNNNNNNNNNNNNNNNNNNNNNNNNNNNNNNNNNNNNNNNNNNNNNNNNNNNNNNNNNNNNNNNNNNNNNNNNNNNNNNNNNNNNNNNNNNNNNNNNNNNNNNNNNNNNNNNNNNNNNNNNNNNNNNNNNNNNNNNNNNNNNNNNNNNNNNNNNNNNNNNNNNNNNNUAGGUGUUUCAUAUAUUGUGUUAGCUAGCUAUAAUUAAUAGAGAGAAGUGUCCUCUCUUAUGUCCAUGCUUGGUCGGCGCUACGUACUAUACAUACGUAUAGAGAGGACUAGACAGGCUAGCUAGCUAGUUAGAAAACGAAGGAAACAGAAGAUCGUCAUGAACAUAUAUGCAUAGAGAGAGAAGUGAUAUCGACCACCUCUCCUUCUCCGAGAGAUUGGUCGAACAACAAGUUCUCGUAUAUCUAUCCGACACUACCGGCUACAUAUAUACAAUAAUUAUCUCUUACAAAUAUAAUCUCCUAACAUACGGACUCAUGGUCCACAUAGUAUUCUCCGUCUUCAGCGAUCACGUGGUCAAGAAAGAAUGCCGACAAUUCCUUUUGAAUUGCUCGCAUGCGAGCUGGUGCUAGGAGUUCAUCUCGCUUCCGAAACAUCUAAUUUGAAGAAGGGGCCGGGGUCAAUACAUAUAUAUAUGAAUGAAUGAAACUAAACACAAAUGAUGGUAAUAAAAUAAAAUUGUGAAUGUUGUUAUUUGCGCACUUCAUAUUGUUCAUCAGAGUAGCCCCGCUCACAGGCCGUGUGGUAGAUGGACUCGCAAACGUAGUAUCCACAGAAAUCAUUCCCUUGUAACUGCCACAACCCCUUUACAAGAAAUAGAGGUCAAUCAAACUGAUAAGCAAGAAUGCCAAAUGGUAUUGAUGAAACUAGCGCUUGAAUCAAUAGGAGAUGCGCGGAACAUGCUACUAUAGUACUUACUUUGGGGUGUCUAAAUUGCAGCUUCUCCGGGAGUCCCGGAGCUUUUUUGGUGAAUUUUUUCCAAACCCUGCCAGACAAAGAAAACAGUUACUUGAUAUAUCAGGAAAUGAACAAAGUUGCUGAUAUGGUGGAUAAUGAUCGAUUUAACUUACUUCUCGAGCAUUUGAGUCAUGUCCGCAUAGUCCUGGGGAUCUUUUCGUCUUGAGUCUAAGACGGUUACUAGUCCCUGCUCAAGCUUAAUCUCUAGGAGAAUAUAGUGGAAACUGCACACGCAUGCAUAACUCAUCAAUUACAUUACUAUAACCUUGACUAAUAUAUAAGGGAAACCGAAUAUGCACAAGACAGUAACACUCACUUGAAGUUGUAAGGAAAAAGUAUUAUAUCUUUGUUUUCAUUUAUUACCAACGAUCGUAGCAAGUUGGCCUCGGUAUCCGCGACAUGAAAUUUAACCUCAGUUGCAUCUAUGAUAUUUGUGUUAAUGAACCCAAUAUCACCGAUUUGUCUUUUCUUCAAUUCGACGAUCUUCAAUCUGCAUAAUAUAGUGAGGAUAAUUAUAAAUACAUGCAAUGAAAGAGCUGAGCUAUAUAGAGAGACUUAAUGACAGAAGUAGUACUACUUACAGACAGUAGCAGGUGACCGUUGCUUUAUCGAGGGCCAAUUGAUUGAAAAACUGAAAGAACUCCUCAAAUGGAACAGGUAACAAACACUAGUAGAAAAAGGGUCAAACGUGAAGCACAUUAGUGCCGGUUUGUAAAAAGACCGGCACUAAUGUGAUCAAUAGUGCCGGUUCGAAUGGCUAUGCAUUAGUGCCGGUUCGUAAUGAACCUUUAGUACCGGUUCAUGCCACGAACCGGUACUAAAGGGGUGGUGGCAGGCUGGCGUCAGGCCAGGCCCCACGAGCCCCUUUAGUGACGGUUUGUGACACAAACCGGUACUAAAGGUCUAACCUAUAGUACCGGUUUGUGUCACCAACCGGCACUACAAAGUCUUAACCUAUAGUCCCGGUUGAAGACACAAACCGACACUAUAGGGCAAUUUUCAAACUCUACCCCCCCCCCCGUGUAUCGCCAUUUCAGUUUUGAAAAAAUCAAAAGAAAAUGAUAAAAACUUCAAAAAAUAAAAUCCUUCGAGAGGUAGUUAUAUUACUACAUCUACUAGUUAGGAAAAUUUGAAAACUUAAAUUUGGACAUGUUUUGCAAAAAGUGUAGGGAAAAUGUAAAACGGCUAUAACUUUUGCAUAUGAUGUCGGAAAAAACGUAUAAUAUAUCAAAAAAUUCAGCACGAAAAUCCUCAAAUUCCAAAAGGAAAAAAAGAUAUGGUCAAAUUUAAGUUUUUUUUAAAAAAAAUUGGUUAAAUCUGGUCAAACUACUUAUUCAAGAAGUGUUAAUGUUACUACAUAAUUAUUCAAGAAUAUUAGUGUUACUAAAUAAUUAUUUCAAUUUUUUGAAUUUUGGUCAAAUCUGGUCAAACUAUGGUCAAACUGUGGUCAAACUAUGGUCAAACUUAUUCAAGAAAUAUUAGCGUUACUAAAUAAUUACUGUUUUUUUAGAAUAAUAGUUUCAAACUCAAACGGUGAAAUGUGUGACUUCAUGCUCAAGCUAAACUCCUGAGGGUUAAUAGGAUUAACAUCUUACUAUCAUCACGAAAACAACAAGUGCAGACAUGGAAACGAAGGAGAAUAGAACCCGAAAGUUAAGCGUGCUCGGGCUGGAGUAGUGAGAGGGAUGGGUGACCGGUCGAGAAGUUAGAUGAUUUGGAAUGAGUGAUCCACACUUGAGCAGUUAAGAGAGGUGAUUAGAGACUAAAUCAUCAAAUAAUUUAGAAAAAUUAAAAAAAUCAAAUUAAUUUUCAAAAAAAAUAUUCAAAAAAAAAACCAUUAGUACCGGUUGGUAACACCAACCGGUACUAAAGGUCCCCCAUACCAGGGCGUGAACUCACGCCACGUGGUGGCACUUUAGCGCCGGUUCGUGCCGAACCGGUACUAAAGGGGGGGGGGGCUUUAGUGCCGGUUCCAUAACCGGCACUAAAGGCACUUACAAACCGGUUUUAAAGCUCCGUUUUCUACUAGUGAAAUCAAUUCCAACGAGGUCAUGCUCCUUUUUAACUCUCACAUACAAAGUACUCCUCCCCUAGACUCUCUGCAGAUUUUCAAGUACCAAUCAUGCAAUCUUUGCAUCAUCGUUGAUAGAGAUCUUUCAUCUUUGACGAGAGGCUUCCCGUACUCGUAUCUUUGUAUCUGCACCUCCAUGAAAUCAUAAUGUACAUCGUCGGGCAGGUAAUCUCCAAGAUUGCUAUAACCGGGCACCAUCCUCGGAUCAUUAGCGACGAUGUCGCUAGGUACCUUGAGCGGGGGGGGGGGGGCACGAUUGCUUCCCUUGUUCGCCAAGCUGGGAAAUUUGUUUCCCAACUCGUCGUUCUUUCAGCCUUUGAUCACUGACAGUACUUCCCGACCGCUCCGCUUCGGCAAAUUCCUUUCCAAUAAUGCGCUCAUAGUUUCCUUUCGGUGGAGACUUGGGUGGUUUUGUUAGGGCAGCCAGAGUGCGCUUCGCUUUCACCGGAUCUACCUUCUCCUCCAGAGGUGGAUGUUUCUUUGCUUUCACCCCUUCAAAGAAGUUCCUGACUUCUUCUCGCACGAUCUCGGCGUUCUCCUCCGGGGUCCUCUCGUAUGGUAACUUCUCUGGAGUCUUUAGAGAAGGACCGAAUCUGUAUGUCCUCCCGCCUCUGGCUGUACUGCUAGACGCCGGCAGAGCAGACGGAGCGGUUGUCUUCUUUACUUGCUUACGAGGCAGAGGAGAAGGACUACGACGCACCAGAGCAGCCGGAGCGGCCGCAGGUCUCUUCCGCCCUUGCUGACGAGGCGGAGAAGGAGGAGGCUGGCUGCUCGGGCGCGCCGGCGCAGGCGGAGAAGGAGGCGGAGUGCCGCCACGCGCCGGAGAAGGAGCCGGCCGAGUGCCCUGAUAGUCACUCGCCAGAGGAGGAGGCGGUGGAGGGGGCGGAGUGCCCUGACUCGCCGAAGGAGGAGGAGGAGGCGGAGGCAUCCAAUUCGGAAGGUUCAUGACCUCCUUCCGCCAUAGGCAUGGAGUCUUCAGAGCAGAACCCAGCCGAGUCUCCCCUUCACCGGUAGGGUGGUCAAGCUGGAGGUCCUCAAAUCCCUCCGUUAUUUCAUCCACCAUCACCCUAGCAUAUCAUUCUGUAAUCGGCCGGCAGUGAAAAGUUGCGCUGGGUUCAGUAGGAAAAACAGAGCCAAUAGCCGCCUUGACCUUCAUAUUAACCCAUUGCGUCAUAAGGUGGCAAUUAUGAGACUCCGUGAUAGCAUCCACGGGAUAGCUGGCAGGAGCCGUCAAGACAUGCUCCUGCUGAAGCAGCUCGGUGGAAGCCAUGCUGCUUCUCCGCUGAGAUGGCGGGGUAGCUUCGGCAGUUCGUUUUGUGCGAUUUGCUUCUCGUUCCUCUAUUGCUUGUACCCUAGCGUGCAGCGCCUGCAGUUGGGUCUGCUCCACUUUCUUCCUCCUCUCGUGGCAUUUGUAACCGCCUGCGUCCGGAAACCCAGCCUUACACGGAAUGGAGCCUGGCGUGCCUCAUGUCCGUCCAGGGUGUUCAGGAUUCCCGAGGGCCAUUGUGAGCUCGUCGUUCUCUCUGUCUGGAACAAACAUACCUUGCUGCGCUGCUUCGAUAUAGUGCUUAAGCCUCUUGACUGGUAUUUCCAUUUGCUCGUCCGUCCAAAUGCACUUUCCUGAUACAGGGUCCAAGGUUUCACCAGCCCCGAAGAACCAAGUCCGGUAACGGUCUGUCCAGUUAAUUGUCUCUGGUUCGAUCCCUUUAUCAACCAGAUCAUUCUCAAUCUUGGCCCACUUAGGCCGAGCUGCCAGGUAGCCACCUGACCCCGUGCGAUGGUGAUGCUUCUUCUUCACAGCAUUUUGCUUGUUUGUCGACGACAUCUUCUUACUCUUUUCCGAUGUCUUGUGGGCCACAAAUGCGGGUCAGUGAUCUCUGAUCUUCUCAUAUCUGCCCUUGAAUUCCGGUGUCUCUUUAUUUUCGACAAACUUAUUCAGCUCUUUCUUCCACCUCCUGAAUAGUUCUGCCAUCCUCUUAAGAGCAAAAGACUUGAUUAAUUGCUCUUUAACUGGCUUCUCCGGAUCAUCCUCUGGCUGUAGGGUGAAAUUUGACUUCAGCUCAGUCCAAAGAUCAUUUUUCUGCAUAUCAUUGACAUAAGACACCUCAGGGUCUUCUGUAGCCGGCUUUAACCAUUGCUGCAUGCUGAUCGGGAUCUUGUCCCUAACCAAAACCCCGCACUGAGCAACAAAUGCGCUCUUUGUCCGGAUAGGUUCAUUCGGUUGGCCCUCGGGCGCGAUUGCUAUGAUCUCAAACUUUUCAUCCGAGCUCAACUUUUUCUUCGGGCCUCGUCUCUUUACCGAAGUUGUGCUCGAUCCGGAGGGCUAGAAAAAAGAACAAAGACUUAAUUAAUAUGUGUACAUACCAAAACAAUGAAUGCAUCAAUUAGCUAGUCAGCAGAAGCUUAACUAAUACUAGAUCAUUGAUGGUGCGUGUUGUUGCGCCCAUCUAUUUUGGAUCUUGGUUGUUAAGGAUAUAACAUUGCUAGUAUACAUUUCUUGCAUUGUUUUAAAAUAUUAUGCUUUCUAUAGCAUGUACUUCUCUUUAUUUUCAAAAUAAUGGUAUGUAAAUCAUCUUCAUUGGGGCAACAUUACAACUUCCAUAUCAACAUAAGCUUAGAUAUAAAUAGGGCAGUGCCAUAAGCCAACCUAUCCAUAUCCACGUUAUAAUAAUGGAUGGCUAUGUACAUUUUUGUUCAAGCAUAGUACAAGCUUGUUGCAGUUGCAUAGGAACAUAGACUUAAACAUAAUAUAAACUUGAAAUGUAUAAUGAUGGAAGAAGGCGGCAUGACAGUAUAUUAUACUUGGAAAACAAAUUGUACGAUGGAGUAGAGCGAACUGGAGAAGAUGUAGACCUCAAAUAGGCACCAGAAACACUGCACCAAAAUUUCUAUGAUUAUGGAUACAUCCAACAUGGCGGACGGUCAGAGGGCAUGAGAAGUAUAAUCAUAUACUAUCUAAGAAAAUCAAGACUCUUGAUUAUUACAUCAAAAGCAAGGCACAGAACAAGCUUACAUAUCGUAUUGUUCGUGCUAACACAAAUAAUAAUAUCUUCUAACACACGAAUGUAAUUUGGCCAAAAGAUAAUUUCUUCAUACGAAUUCCAACGUCACUACAUUUUUUUUCAUUGGGGCUUAAAAAUUGUUUGACCGUUUUACAUGAGAUAGAAAGAACUGACUGAACCGAGCAACAAAAGGCAACAAAAACACAAAUCAGUUUCCUCUCAUUCUCUGCCUACAUCAUAUUUUUUUUCCUGUAAAUAUAUCUUGUGAUUCAUCAUUGUUUCAGACCGUAAGGGCCGGAAGCUCUACCUAAGGCGGCUGCCAUACAAGGAUACACACAGCUUCGCCUUAAACACCCUCCUUGUGGCGAUGCUUAGAAAGGGAAUAACCUCAUGUAUUACCUUGCUCGGAAUAGCCAUGUUUUCAAAUCCCAACUAAUCCACCUUAAUCCUAACAUCAAAUGAACACAACAUUAACUUGAGAUCAGACGCUAUGGAGUCAGAGUGAUUGCAUGACUCGAGGCACAAGGCAACAGGCUGGGGUGAAGGCGUGGCAGCUGCAUGCCACCACGAAACACCGGCGAGCAGAGAACCGGAAGAUACAUAAUCGUUUAUGUCUUAUGAGUUAAUUUCUCCACUCAUUGCACGCUACAAAACAUUAGCGAGUAUACAUAGGAUGUCCCUUUCUGAACAACUACAUAAUAUAUAAAUUCCAAUUGCAUUAGGGAUUUCAUCUAGAGUAUAUUCCCUGAAUUAUUUGAAAUGAAGUAAUGGUUUUUCUAAUCCUACUUUGACCUGGAGCAUCACUCUGAAACAUCAGGGAACACACACAUCUUCAGAAGUAGCAGCAGUAGCUAAUGUGAAAAGUUCACUGGAAUGCUAGGAUACUAAAAAAGCUAGUACAUCCCAAUAGCCAAAGAACAUAACAAAAUUUGGCAUCAUGUGUCAAGUAGCUCACAGUGGGCAUAAAUUUGUACAUUAUAUGUCCCUUUAUUAACUCACUUGUCUCUGAUUUUUAACUAUUAGGAAAUAAUAGUGGUCAUCAAAAUUAGAAUAUAUUGUAAUGCUCUAGAAUAGGAUCUAAUUGUUGGGAGUUGUUACCUGAGGGAAUCCUUGCGGGGAGCUGAGCAUAGGAACCAAUGCUGUUCCGCACUGUCCACGUGACUGACCACCGUGCUGCCUCCAUGAGCCGAUGUGGAACUUCUACCAACAAGUGAUUUGUACAUGACUGCUCAAGCAAACUAAACCACUAAAUCCAAAGGGGAUUCGUUCCAGAAAGGUGCAACACCUUGAGAAAUCUACGUGUAGAAUUGAAGAGGGGAGAGUAUCAGGAGGUAAACCUAGAGAACCUGCAUAGUUUGUGAGUACAAAGAACAGUAUGAGUAAAAUAAAUUUCAAAAAUUGGAUUAGAUGAAGAAUCAGGUGAAGAGGAGAUAAAGGAAAGAACCAUCACCCAUUGCUGCACGAGAGUGGUUUUCAGAAGUAAGGGGAGUAGGGAAGGAGCAACAGCACUUUGGAUCGUAUAUUCGUAUAUGCGCGCGAGUGAAUUGAAGUAAAAAGCAUGAAUCAUCAGACCUGCAAUAAUCUUCAGUUUAGCCGGUUCAUCAAUUGCCAUUAAUCGAUCCUGAUUAAAACCUCAACGAAUCGAUGGCUAGUGAAUUUCAAUCGACAGCGGCUGUUCGCGGCCCUGACCAUCUCCCUAUUGCGUCACCGACCAGGACGCCGUUCGGUCGCUCGGCGAGGAGCGCCGUGUCAGUCGGACCUGAAGCACAGUGGCCAUGAGACACCAUCGGUCGCGUCGAUCCGACCCCAACACGGCCGCCAUCACUACUGCCCAGAUUCUGCUGCCAGCCGACAGCAGCAACCGUGCGAAACUGCGAACCAAAGGAUCUGGCGACGACGCGCCUGAGAACUCUAGAUAUGGCUUGAAAACCAGAAAUAUGCUUCACGGAUGUAGAGCGUGUUUGGUUGAGUUCCAGGAGCAAAAUUGCCUGGCCUGAGACCUUCCUGGGUUGUGCCUGCUUGUUGUUUGGAUAGUAGCCUCAAAUCACAGGCAUGUUCCUGGCCUGGAGUUGACAUGCACCUGAUUAGCCUGGGUAGAUCACAGGCAGCUUGAUUAGCCUGGAUGAGGCCAACGGAACCAGACGCCUGGCCUCCAGGCAGAUGCGUUUUGCGUCAAUUAGCAAGUUGUAUACUGUACUUUUUGUCAACUCAGCCGUCCCAUCUAAUUAUUUAAUAUUUAAGUACGUGUCCCAGGCCAGGUUUGCAACCAAACAUCACAUGCACACAGCAGCCUGGCCAGGCAAAAAUCCUCCUUCUCCCAGGCUACUAUCAGGCAUCAACUUUUGCUAGGCAUCACACCCAGGACAUGAACCAAACAUGCCCGUAGUGCGUCACUGACCUGGGGAUGAGCUCGUCGCCGGCUCGAGAAAAAGUCGCUCCCUGCUGCGCUUUUGGGGAAGAUAGGAAAUGUAGAAGAAUGAGCCAAUCUAGUGAAUCCCGUGGAACUUAAUGGAACCUGCACUCAUUUGGGAGCACAAAGAACAACAUCAAUUGAAAAAAAUUCAUGCAGAAUUUGGGGGAGAGUAGAGGUACCAACGAGGGAACACUUGUAAAAGGCCAGUAGCGGAGACUAAUUAUCGUCCUGUCAACCAUGGCAGCCUGCAAGUAAAAGGAGGAGAAUGAGGAAGGAGAAGCUCCACGAUGGAGAUUAAAUGGACGCAAUUGAAUGGAUGUUGUAACUGAGCCCAGUUAUUGGCCACCGGUGAGUGCGCCUCAUCGAUUGCAAAUUUGCCAUUAUAAUGGUCCGCUGCAACUAUGAAUUGAGUCCCGAAUCGCGGGCAACUGGAGGCAACCGACAGGGGACGAUCCGUUGCCCCGGAUACCUCCUGCUGGCGUCGCCCAGCGAGGCAACCCGGCCGGUCGCGUAGGUCGAGGCACAUCCGGUCGGUCCAAUCGACCUCGCAUCGGCACUGUUUUUUUUUCUCGCAUCAGGACUGGAUGAACGCUCAUCGGUCGCUCGUGUGUAACCCUAGUCGAUGGAACCGCACAAGUGGACCUUCUUCAGCGAAGCCCGUGGGCUGGAAUGGGCUGGCCGACGGCCCAGUUAACCACAGGGCUACGUUUUGGCCUGCGGAGCAGAAGCCCCAGGACAGCCGGCCCAGUUUUUAUCAGAUGUGGGACAGAUUGCUUUAAACAGGAGAUCCGACGACCAAAAACGUCUAGAUCGUGCAAACGGAUGGUCAGAAACGCGAAGCGCUGAGAGAGCUCGCUUUAGGUGCAGUUGUAUUGUACUUAAUAUAUACCUGGCCGGACUCGGUUCGGUCACCAGAGACGUCAUCACGGUCUCCUUCUUGCACCGGCAUUGUGUCACCGGAGCCGUCCUCACGGUCUCCUUCUUGCACCGGCAUUAGGUCACCGGAGCCAUCAUAAUCAUAGCCAGCUGCUUCCAUACCAUCGGUGUCGUUGAGAAACAACGAGCAGACGGCAUCCCUUCCUCGUGCGAUUAUGUCCCCCAACAACUCUUCUUGUACUUCGUCUCGGGCGGUGUCCAUAGUUUCUACAAAUAUUUAUAACAUGGCAAUUAUUAUUCAAACAUGACAGAUGGAUAUAUUAGUGGCAAACGUAGAACUAAUAUUAAUUAGUGGCCUCGACGCUACUUCUCUAGGGUUUGGGGUGGCCUCGACGCUGCUUCUCCAGGGUUUGAAGUGGCCUCGACAACGCUUCAAGGAUAAAAAAAGAAGAGGAAGAAGAAAAAAAGGGGAGAAGAAAGAAUAGAUCCUCUUUUUUUUUCUUCUUCUUCCUCUUUUUUUUUAUCGGGAACGAGGGUCGUCGACGCCCACGUCACUUGUGGGACGUGGAUGUAGUGUCCGACACCGAUGGCCACAUGUAUCUCACACCCACGAUACUUACUAUUUAGGGUUUCCUCUACCGCUCGGCGACCCUGACCCUCGACGACCCUCGUUUCNNNNNNNNNNNNNNNNNNNNNNNNNNNNNNNNNNNNNNNNNNNNNNNNNNNNNNNNNNNNNNNNNNNNNNNNNNNNNNNNNNNNNNNNNNNNNNNNNNNNNNNNNNNNNNNNNNNNNNNNNNNNNNNNNNNNNNNNNNNNNNNNNNNNNNNNNNNNNNNNNNNNNNNNNNNNNNNNNNNNNNNNNNNNNNNNNNNNNNNNNNNNNNNNNNNNNNNNNNNNNNNNNNNNNNNNNNNNNNNNNNNNNNNNNNNNNNNNNNNNNNNNNNNNNNNNNNNNNNNNNNNNNNNNNNNNNNNNNNNNNNNNNNNNNNNNNNNNNNNNNNNNNNNNNNNNNNNNNNNNNNNNNNNNNNNNNNNNNNNNNNNNNNNNNNNNNNNNNNNNNNNNNNNNNNNNNNNNNNNNNNNNNNNNNNNNNNNNNNNNNNNNNNNNNNNNNNNNNNNNNNNNNNNNNNNNNNNNNNNNNNNNNNNNNNNNNNNNNNNNNNNNNNNNNNNNNNNNNNNNNNNNNNNNNNNNNNNNNNNNNNNNNNNNNNNNNNNNNNNNNNNNNNNNNNNNNNNNNNNNNNNNNNNNNNNNNNNNNNNNNNNNNNNNNNNNNNNNNNNNNNNNNNNNNNNNNNNNNNNNNNNNNNNNNNNNNNNNNNNNNNNNNNNNNNNNNNNNNNNNNNNNNNNNNNNNNNNNNNNNNNNNNNNNNNNNNNNNNNNNNNNNNNNNNNNNNNNNNNNNNNNNNNNNNNNNNNNNNNNNNNNNNNNNNNNNNNNNNNNNNNNNNNNNNNNNNNNNNNNNNNNNNNNNNNNNNNNNNNNNNNNNNNNNNNNNNNNNNNNNNNNNNNNNNNNNNNNNNNNNNNNNNNNNNNNNNNNNNNNNNNNNNNNNNNNNNNNNNNNNNNNNNNNNNNNNNNNNNNNNNNNNNNNNNNNNNNNNNNNNNNNNNNNNNNNNNNNNNNNNNNNNNNNNNNNNNNNNNNNNNNNNNNNNNNNNNNNNNNNNNNNNNNNNNNNNNNNNNNNNNNNNNNNNNNNNNNNNNNNNNNNNNNNNNNNNNNNNNNNNNNNNNNNNNNNNNNNNNNNNNNNNNNNNNNNNNNNNNNNNNNNNNNNNNNNNNNNNNNNNNNNNNNNNNNNNNNNNNNNNNNNNNNNNNNNNNNNNNNNNNNNNNNNNNNNNNNNNNNNNNNNNNNNNNNNNNNNNNNNNNNNNNNNNNNNNNNNNNNNNNNNNNNNNNNNNNNNNNNNNNNNNNNNNNNNNNNNNNNNNNNNNNNNNNNNNNNNNNNNNNNNNNNNNNNNCGGGACUAAAGGGGGGCAUUGGUCACGGUUUGUGCCACGAACCGUGACCAAUGCCCCCUUUAGUCCCGGUUGGUGCCAUCAACCGGGACCAAAGGCCUGCGCCUGCCAAAGCCGUGGUGCGGUAGGAUGUUUAGUCCCACCUCGCUAGCUGAGGAGCGGCCGCACCUGUUUAUAAGCGCUGCACCUGUUUGGGCCUAAUCUCACAACGCUAUGCCUGCUGGGCCUUCUGCGGGCCUGAAUCCUGGCCCAUGGAUGGGCUUCUAGUCGUAUUCAGGCCGUGGUGGCCCAGUAGGUGGCAUUUUUUAUUACUAUUUGAUUUUUCAUUUCUACUUAGAACUAAAUACUUGUAGUUUUUUAGUGAUUUUUUUCUUUUAGGUCACAAAAAUUAUAAACUUUCUAUUAUUGCCAUUAGUUUUAAAAUUUGAAUAGUUUAAUUUUGAAUUUUUUAAAAUUUGUGUGAAUCACUAGUUUAUGAAUAACUUUACCGUAAAAAUUGAUUUUUGAGUCAUUUUUUUCCUGCUAUUUAAUAUUACUGUGUUUUAUCAUUAUACUCAAUUUGGUAAUUUUAGUUAGUCAUAACAAAUAUUAUAGGCAUUUUUUUCUUUUUUGCUAUUUUUUUUCAUUUCUACUUAGAACAAAAUACUUAUAGUUCUUUAGUGAUUUCUUUUUUCUUUUAGGUCACAAAAAUUAUAAACUUUCUGGUAGUUCCAUUAGUUUUCANNNNNNNNNNNNNNNNNNNNNNNNNNNNNNNNNNNNNNNNNNNNNNNNNNNNNNNNNNNNNNNNNNNNNNNNNNNNNNNNNNNNNNNNNNNNNNNNNNNNNNNNNNNNNNNNNNNNNNNNNNNNNNNNNNNNNNNNNNNNNNNNNNNNNNNNNNNNNNNNNNNNNNNNNNNNNNNNNNNNNNNNNNNNNNNNNNNNNNNNNNNNNNNNNNNNNNNNNNNNNNNNNNNNNNNNNNNNNNNNNNNUUAAUUCUUUUUGCUUUUCGUUUUAGAAAAAUUAUAAACUUUCUGUUAGUGCCAUUAGUUUUCAAAUUUGAAAACACUUUUUUAGUUUUUUUGCUUUCUUUGUUGCUUUAUUUAUUUUAUUUUGUUUCUACUUACAAAAAAAUACUUAUUGUUGCUAUUUUUUUUCAGUUUUUGUUUUGUUUUCUUUAUUAUUUAUUUUCUUUUGUUUUUUGCUUUAAUUUUUAAUUCUUUUUGCUUUUAGGUCAGCAAAAUUAUAAACUUUCUGUUAGUGCCACUAGUUUUAGAAAAAUUAUAAACUUUCUGUUAGUGCCAUUAGUUUUCAAAUUUGAAUAGUUAAAAUUUGAAUUCUUUAAAAUUUGUAUGAACCACAAGUUUGUGAUUAACUUUACUAAAAAAAUGAACAUAGAUGCACCUAUAGAGAAAAUUCGACCUAAAUUCAUAGUUUUCAAAUGAACUCUCAAAAAGUUGGCAUAGCAUACUCGUGUGUUACAAAGUUGGCAUGGUAUCAUCAUAAUAGUUGCUUGAGAAAGUCUUCACUUUUUCUUCGCUUGUGUCAUUUGCUUAUUGCGCCGUAACCAUGGAUAAUCUUCAUCGUUUAUCAGGAUGCUUGGGUCAGCCUUGACAUUGAAGGGAGGAAUUUCAUGAAACUUUUCAUAAUCUUCAGACAUGUCUGUCUUGCCCUCCACUCCCAGGAUAUCCCUUUUUCCUGAAAGAACUAUAUGGCGCUUUGGCUCAUCGUAUGAUGUAUUCGCUUCCUUAUCUUUUCUUUUUCUCGGUUUGGUAGACAUGUCCUUCACAUAGAUAACCUGUGCCACAUCAUUGGCUAGGACGAACGGUUCGUCAGUAUACCCAAGAUUUUUCAGAUCCACUGUUGUCAUUCCGUACUGUGGGUCUACCUGUACCCCGCCGCCUGACAGAUUGACCCAUUUGCACUUAAACAAAGGGACCUUAAAAUCAUGUCCGUAGUCAAGUUCCCAUAUGUCCAUUAUGUAACCAUAAUAUGCAUCCUUUCCGCUCUCGGUUGCUGCAUCAAAGCGGACACCGCUGUUUUGGUUGGUGCUCUUUUGAUCUUGGGCGAUCAUGUAAAAUGUAUUCCCAUUUAUCUCGUAUCCUUUGUAAGUCAAUACAGUCAAAGAUGGUCCCCUGGACAACAAGUGCAACUCAUCACAAACAGUGUUGUCACCUCUGAGACGUGUUUCCAACCAACUGUUGAAAGUCCUGAUGUGUUCACAUGUAAUCUAGUCGUCGCACUGCUCCGGAUGUUUGGAGCGCAGACUGUUUUUGUGUUCAUCGAUAUACGGGGCCACCAUGGUAGAGUUCUGUAGAACUGUGUAGUGUGCUUGAGACCAAGAAUAUCCGUCCCUGCAUAUUAUUGAGUCACUUCCAAGAGUGCCUUUUCCAGUCAGUCUCCCCUCAUACCGCGAUUUAGGGAGACCUAUCUUCUUAAGGCCAGGAAUGAAGUCAACACAAAAUUCGAUAACAUCCUCUGUUUGAUGGCCCAUGGAGAUGCUUCCUUCUGACCUAGCGCGGUUACGGACAUAUUUCUUUAGGACUCCCAUGAACCUCUCAAAGGGGAACAUAUUGUGUAGAAAUACGGGCCCCAGGAUGACAAUCUCGUCGACUAGAUGAACUAGGACGUGCGUCAUGAUAUUGAAGAAGGAUGGUGGGAACACCAGCUCGAAACUGACAAGACAUUGCGCCACAUCACUCCUUAGCCUUGGUACAAUUUCUGGAUCGAUCACCUUCUGAGAGAUUGCAUUGAGGAAUGCACAUAGCUUCACAAUGGCUAAUCGGACGUUUUCUGGUAGAAGCCCCCUCAAUGCAGCCGGAAGCAGUUGCGUCAUAAUCACAUGGCAGUCAUGAGACUUUAGGUUCUGAAACUUUUUCUCUGGCAUAUUUAUUAUUCCCUUUAUAUUCGAUGAGAAGCCAGUCGUGACCUUCAUACUGAGCAGGCAUUCAAAGAAGAUUUCUUUCUCUUCUUUCGUAAGAGCAUAGCUGGCAGGACCUUUAUACUGCUUCGGAGGCAUGCCGUCUUUUUCAUGCAAAUGUUGCAGGUCCUCCCAUGCCUCGGAUGUAUCUUUUGUCUUCCCAUACAAGAAGCCUACCAGGUUCACACAAAGGUUCUUCAUCACGUGCAUCACGUCGAUUGAAGAGCAGACCUCUAGGUCUUUCCAGUAGGGUAGGUCCCAAAAUAUAGAUUUCUUCUUCCACAUGGGUGCGUGUCCCUCAGCGUCAUUCGGAACAGCUAGUCCGCCGGGACACUUUCCAAAGAUUACAUGUAAAUCAUUGACCAUAGCAAGUACGUGAUCACCGGUACGCAUGGCGGGCUUCUUCUGGUGAUCUGCCUCGCCUUUGAAAUGCUUGCCUUUCUUUCGACAUUGAUGGUUGGUCGGAAGAAAUCAACGAUGGCCCAGGUACACAUUUUUCCUGCAUUUGUCCAGGUAUAUACUUUCAGUGUCAUCUAAACAGUGCGUGCAUGCGUGGUAUCCUUUGUUUGUCUAUCCUGAAAGGUUACUGAGAGCGGGCCAAUCAUUGACGGUCACGAACAGCAAAGCCUUUAGGUUAAAUUCCUCCUGUCUAUGGUCAUCCCACGUACGUACACUGUUUCCAUUCCACAGCUGUAAAAGUUCUUCAACUAAUGGCCUUAGGUACACAUCAAUGUCCUUGCCGGGUUGCUUAGUGUAGGGGAACAUAGUAAUUUCAAAAUUUUCCUACGCACACGCAAGAUCAUGGUGAUGCAUAGCAACGAGAGGGGAGAGUGUUGUCUAUGUACCCUCGUAGACCGAAGCGGAAGCGCUGACACAACGUAGAGGAAGUAGUCGUACGUCUUCCCGAUCCUACCGAUCCAAGCACCGUUACUCCGGCACCUCCGAGUUCUUAGCACACGUACAGCUCGAUGACGCUCCCCAGGCUUCGAUCCAACAAAGCUUCGGGGAUGAGUUCCAUCAGCACAACGGCGUGGUGACGAUGAUGAUGUUCUACCGACGCAGGGCUUCGCCUAAGCACUACAAUGAUAUGACCGAGGUGGAAUAUGGUGGAAGGGGGCACCGCACACGGCUAAGGAACGAUCACGUUGAUCAAUUGUGUGUUCUAGGGUGUCCCCUUGCCUCCGUAUAUAAAGGAUCCAAGGGGGAGGGGUUCGGCCGGCCCUAUGGAGGCGCAGGAGGAGUCCUACUCCUACCGGGAGUAGGACUCCCCCCUUUCCUAGUCCAAGUAGGAUUGGUGGAGAAGAAAGGGAAAGAGGGGGGUGCAGCCCCUCCCUCCUUGUCCAAUUCGGACUAGGGGGAGAGGGGGCGCGCGGCCUGCCCUGGCAGCCCCUUCCUAUUCUCCACUUUAGGCCCAUGAGGCCCAUUAACACCCCGGGGGGUUCCGGUAACCCCCCGGUGCUCCGGUUUUAUCCGAAACUUCAUCGGAACCCUUCCGGUGUCUGAAUAUAGUCAUCCAAUAUAUCAAUCUUUAUGUCUCGACCAUUUCGAGACUCCUCGUCAUGCCCGUGAUCACAUCCGGGACACCGAACUAACUUCGGUACAUCAAAAUGUAUAAACUCAUAAUAACUAUCAUCGUAACGUUAAGCGUGCGGACCCUAUGGUUCGAGAACAAUGUAGACAUGACCGAGACACGUCUCCGGUCAAUAACCAAUAGCGGGACCUGGAUGCCCAUAUUGGCUCCUACAUAUUCUACGAAGAUCUUUAUCGGUCAGACCGCAUAACAACAUACGUUGUUCCCUUUGUCAUCGGUAUGUUACUUGCCCGAGAUUCGAUCGUCGGUAUCCAAUACCUAGUUCAAUCUCGUUACCGGCAAAUCUCUUUACUCGUUCCGUAAUACAUCAUCUCACAACUAACUCAUUAGUUGUAAUGCUUGCAAGGCUUAUGUGAUGUGCAUUACCGAGAGGGCCCAGAGAUACCUCUCCGACAAUCGGAGUGACAAAUCCUAAUCUCGAAAUACGCCAACCCAACAUCUACCUUUGGAGACACCUGUAGAGCACCUUUAUAAUCACCCAGUUACGUUGUGACGUUUGGUAGCACACAAAGUGUUCCUCCGGCAAACGGGAGUUGCAUAAUCUCAUAGUCAUAGGAACAUGUAUAAGUCAUGAAGAAAGCAAUAGCAACAUACUAAACGAUCGGGUGCUAAGCUAAUGGAAUGGGUCAUGUCAAUCAGAUCAUUCAACUAAUGAUGUGAUCUCGUUAAUCAAAUAACAACUCUUUGUUCAUGGUUAGGAAACAUAACCAUCUUUGAUUAACGAGCUAGUCAAGUAGAGGCAUACUAGUGACACUCUGUUUGUCUAUGUAUUCACACAUGUAUUAUGUUUCCGGUUAAUACAAUUCUAGCAUGAAUAAUAAACAUUUAUCAUGAUGUAAGGAAAUAAAUAAUAACUUUAUUAUUGCCUCUAGGGCAUAUUUCCUUCAGUCUCCCACUUGCACUAGAGUCAAUAAUCUAGAUUACACAGUAAUGAUUCUAACACCCAUGGAGCCUUGGUGCUGAUCAUGUUUUGCUCGUGGAAGAGGCUUAGUCAACGGGUCUGCAACAUUCAGAUCCGUAUGUAUCUUGCAAAUCUCUAUGUCUCCCACCUGGACUAGAUCCCGGAUGGAAUUGAAGCGUCUCUUGAUGUGCUUGGUUCUCUUGUGAAAUAUGGAUUCCUUUGCCAAGGCAAUUGCACCAGUAUUGUCACAAAAGAUUUUCAUUAGACCCGAUGCACUAGGUAUGACACCUAGAUCGGAUAUGAACUCCUUCAUCCAGACUCCUUCGUUUGCUACUUCCGAAGCAGCUAUGUACUCCGCUUCACAUGUAGAUCCCGCCACAAUGCUUUGUUCAGAACUGCACCAACUGACAGCUCAACCGUUUAAUGUAAACAUGUAUCCGGUUUGUGAUUUAGAAUCGUCCGGAUCAGUGUCAAAGCUUGCAUCAACGUAACCGUUUACGAUGAGCUCUUUGUCACCUCCAUAUACGAGAAACAUAUCCUUAGUCCUUUUCAGGUACUUCAGGAUGUUCUUGACCGUUGUCCAGUGAUCCACUCCUGGAUUACUUUGGUACCUCCCUGCUAAACUUAUAGCAGGGCACACAUCAGGUCUGGUACACAGCAUUGCAUACAUGAUAGAGCCUAUGGCUGAAGCAUAGGGAACAUCUUUCAUUUUCUCUCUAUCUUCUGAAGUGGUCGGGCAUUGAGUCUGACUCAACUUCACACCUUGUAACACAGGCAAGAACCCUUUCUUUGCUUGAUCCAUUUUGAACUUCUUCAAAAUCUUGUCAAGGUAUGUGCUUUGUGAAAGUCCAAUUAAGCGUCUUGAUCUAUCUCUAUAGAUCUUUAUGCCUAAUAUGUAAGCAGCUUCACCGAGGUCUUUCAUUGAAAAACUCUUAUUCAAGUAUCCCUUUAUGCUAUCCAGAAAUUCUAUAUCAUUUCCAAUCAGUAAUAUGUCAUCCACAUAUAAUAUCAGAAAUGCUAUAGAGCUCCCACUCACUUUCUUGUCAAUACAGGCUUCUCCAAAAGUCUGUACAAAACCAAAUGCUUUGAUCACACUAUCAAAGCGUUUAUUCCAACUCCGAGAGGCUUGCACCAGUCCAUAAAUGGAUCGCUGGAGCUUGCACACUUUGUUAGAUCCUUUCGGAUCGACAAAACCUUCCGGUUGCAUCAUAUACAACUCUUCUUCCAGAAAUCCAUUCAGGAAUGCAGUUUUGACAUCCAUCUGCCAAAUUUCGUAAUCAUAAAAUGCGGCAAUUGCUAACAUGAUUCGAACGGACUUAAGCAUCGCUACGGGUGAGAAGGUCUCAUCAUAGUCAACCCCUUGAACUUGUCCAAAACCUUUUGCGACAAGUCGAGCUUUGUAGACAGUAACAUUACCGUCAGCGUCAGUCUUUUUCUUGAAGAUCCAUUUAUUCUCAAUUGCUUGCCGACCAUCGGGCAAGUUAACCAAAGUCCAUACUUUGUUCUCAUACAUGGAUCCCAUUUCAGAUUUCAUGGCUUCAAGCCAUUUUGCGGAAUCUGGGCUCACCAUCGCUUCUUCAUAGUUAGUAGGUUCAUCAUGAUCUAGCAGCAUGAUUUCUAGAACAGGAUUACCGUACCACUCUGGCGCGGAUCUCACUCUGGUUGAUCUACGAGGUUCAGUAGUAUCUUGUCCUGAAGUUUCAUGAUCAUUAUCAUUAGCUUCCUCACUUAUGGGUGUAGGUGUCGCAGAAACAGUUUUCUGUGAUGUACUUCUUUCCAAUAAGGGGGCAGGUACAGUUACCUCGUCAAGUUCUACUUUCCUCCCACUCACUUCUUUCGAGAGAAACUCCUUCUCUAGAAAGGAUCCAUUCUUAGCAACGAAUGUCUUGCCUUCGGAUCUGUGAUAGAAGGUGUACCCAACAGUCUCCUUUGGGUAACCUAUGAAGACACAUUUCUCCGAUUUGGGUUCAAGCUUAUCAGGUUGAAGCUUUUUCACAUAAGCAUCGCAGCCCCAGACUUUAAGAAACGACAACUUUGGUUUCUUGCCAAACCAUAGUUCAUAAGGCGUCGUCUCAACGGAUUUUGAUGCUGCCCUAUUUAACGUGAAUGCGGCCGUCUCUAAAGCAUAACCCCAAAACGAUAGCGGUAAAUCAGUAAGAGACAUCAUAGAUCGCACCAUAUCUAGUAAAGUACGAUUACGACGUUCGGACACACCAUUACGCUGUGGUGUUCCGGGUGGCGUGAGUUGCGAAACUAUUCCGCAUUGUUUCAAAUGUACACCAAACUCGUAACUCAAAUAUUCUCCUCCAUGAUCAGAUCGUAGAAACUUUAUUUUCUCGUUACGAUGAUUUUCAACUUCACUCUGAAAUUCUUUGAACUUUUCAAAUGUUUCAGACUUGUGUUUCAUUAAGUAGAUAUACCCAUAUCUGCUUAAAUCAUUUGUGAAGUUGAGAAAAUAACGAUAUCCGCCACGAGCCUCAAUAUUCAUCGGACCACAUACAUCGGUAUGUAUGAUUUCCAACAAAUCUGUUGCUCUCUCCAUAGUACCGGAGAACGGUGUUUUAGUCAUCUUGCCCAUGAGGCACGGUUCGCAAGUACCAAGUGAUUCAUAAUCAAGUAGUUCCAAAAGUCCAUCAGUAUGGAGUUUCUUCAUGCGCUUUACACCGAUAUGACCUAAACGGCAGUGCCACAAAUAAGUUGCACUAUCAUUAUCAACUCUGCAUCUUUUGGUUUCAACAUUAUGAAUAUGUGUAUCACUACUAUCGAGAUUCAUCAGAAAUAGACCACUCUUCAAGGGUUCAUGACCAUAAAAGAUAUUACUCAUAUAAAUAGAACAACCAUUAUUCUCUGAUUUAAAUGAAUAACCGUCUCGCAUCAAACAAGAUCCAGAUAUAAUGUUCAUGCUUAACGCUGGCACCAAAUGACAAUUAUUUAGGUCUAAUACUAAUCCCGAAGGUAGAUGUAGAGGUAGCGUGCCGACCGCGAUCACAUCGACUUUGGAACCGUUUCCCACGCGCAUCGUCACCUCGUCCUUUGCCAGUGUUCGCCUAAUCCGUAGUCCCUGUUUCGAGUUGCAAAUAUUAGCAAUAUAACCAGUAUCAAAUACCCAGGUGCUACUGCGAGCUCUAGUAAGGUACACAUCAAUAACAUGUAUAUCACUUAUACCUUUAUUCACCUUGCCAUCCUUCUUAUCCGCCAAAUACUUGGGGCAGUUCCGCUUCCAGUGACCAGUCUGCUUGUAGUAGAAGCACUCAGUUUCAGGCUUAGGUCCAGACUUGGGUUUCUUCUCCUGAGCAGCAACUUGCUUGCCGUUCUUCUUGAAGUUCCCCUUCUUCUUCCCUUUGCCCCUUUUCUUGAAACUAGUGGUCUUGUUGACCAUCAACACUUCAUGCUCCUUCUUGAUUUCUACCUCCGCAGCUUUCAGCAUUGCGAAGAGCUCGAGAAUAGUCUUAUUCAUCCAUUGCAUAUUAUAGUUCAUCACAAAGCUCUUGUAGCUUGGUGGCAGUGAUUGGAGAAUUCUGUCAAUGACGCAAUCAUCUGGAAAAUUAACUCCCAUCUAAAUCAAGUGAUUAUUAUACCCAGACAUUUUGAGUAUAUGCUCACUGACAGAACUAUUCUCCUCCAUCUUGCAGCUAUAGAACUUAUUGGAGACUUCAUAUCUCUCAAUCCGGGCAUUUGCUUGAAAUAUUAGCUUCAACUCCUGGAACAUCUCAUAUGCUCCAUGACGUUCAAAACGUCGUUGAAGUCCCAAUUCUAAGCCGUAAAGCAUGGCACACUGAACUAUCGAGUGGUCAUCAGCUUUGCUCCGCCAGACGUUCAUAACAUCUGGUGUUGCUCCAGCAGCAGGCCUGGCACCCAGCGGUGCUUCCAGGACGUAAUUCUUCUGUGCAGCAAUGAGGAUAAUCCUCAAGUUACGGACCCAGUCCGUGUAAUUGCUACCAUCAUCUUUCAACUUUGCUUUUGUUGGGGAACGUAGUAAUUUCAAAAAUUUCCUACGCACACGCAAGAUCAUGGUGAUGCAUAGCAACGAGGGGGAGAGUCUGAUCUACGUACCCUUGUAGAUCGCAACGGAAGCGUUGACACAACGUAGAGGAAGUAGUCGUACGUCUUCUUCCCGAUCCGACCGAUCCAAGCACUGUUACUCCGGCACCUCCGAGUUCUUAGCACACGUUCAGCUCGAUGACGAUCCUCGGGCUCCGAUCCAGCAAAGCGUCGAGGAAGAGUUCCGUCAGCACGACGGCGUGGUGACGAUCUUGACGUACUACCGACGUAGGGCUUCGCCUAAGCACUACAACGGUAUGAUCGAGGUGGAAUUUGGUGGCAGGGGGCACCGCACACGGCUAAGGAACGAUUUCAAGGAUCAACUUGUGUGUCUAUGGGGAGCCCCCCGCCCCUGUAUAUAAAGGAUGGAGGAGGAGGAGGCCGGCCAAGGCAAAGGUGCGGCCAGGAUAGGGAGUCCUACUAGGACUCCAAGUCCUAGUAGGAGUCCACCAAAAGGGGAGGAAGGGAGAAGGAAUAGGAGGAGAAGGAGAGGUGGCCGGCCCCCUUUUCCCUAGUCCAAUUCGGACCAAAGGGGAGGGGGGGCGCAGCAGCCUUUUCCUCUUCCCACUAAAGCCCAUCAAGGCCCAUUACUUCUCCCGUAACUACCCGGUACUCCGAAAAAUACCCGAAUCACUCGGAACCUUUCCGAUGUCCGAAUAUAGUCGUCCAAUAUAUCGAUCUUUACGUCUCGACCAUUUCGAGACUCCUCGUCAUGUCCCCGAUUUCAUCCGGGACUCCGAACUCCUUCGGUACAUCAAUACUCAUAAACUCAUAAUAUAACUGUCAUCGAAACCUAAAGCGUGCGGACCCUAUGGUUCGAGAACAAUGUAGACAUGACCGAGACACGUCUUCGGUCAAUAACCAAUAGCGGGACCUGGAUGCCCAUAUUGGCUCCUACAUAUUCUACGAAGAUCUUUAUCGGUCAGACCGCAUAACAACAUACGUUGUUCCCUUUGUCAUCGGUAUGUUACUUGCCCGAGAUUCGAUCGUCGGUAUCCAAUACCUAGUUCAAUCUCGUUACCGGCAAGUCUCUUUACUCAUUCUAUAAUACAUCAUCCCACAACUAACUCAUUAGUUGCAAUGCUUGCAAGGCUUAAGUGAUGUGCAUUACCGAGAGGGCCCAGAGAUACCUCUCCGAUAAUCGGAGUGACAAAUCCUAAUCUCGAAAUACGCCAACCCAACAUCUUCCUUUGGAGACACCUGUAAUGCUCCUUUAUAAUCACCCAGUUACGUUGUGACGUUUUGUAGCACCCAAAGUGAUCCUCCGGCAAACGGGAGUUGCAUAAUCUCAUAGUCAUAGGAACAUGUAUAAGUCAUGAAGAAAGCAAUAGCAACAUACUAAACGAUCGGGUGCUAAGCUAAUGGAAUGGGUCAUGUCAAUCAGAUCAUUCAACUAAUGAUGUGACCUCGUUAAUCAAAUAACAACUCUUUUGUCCAUGGUUAGGAAACAUAACCAUCUUUGAUUAACGAGCUAGUCAAGUAGAGGCAUACUAGUGACACUCUGUUUGUCUAUGUAUUCACACAUGUAUUAUGUUUCCGGUUAAUACAAUUCUAGCAUGAAUAAUAAACAUUUAUCAUGAUAUAAGGAAAUAAAUAAUAACUUCAUUAUUGCCUCUAGGGCAUAUUUCCUUCAGUCUCCCACUUGCACUAGAGUCAAUAAUCUAGUUCACAUCGCCAUGUGAUUUAACAGCAAUAGUUCACAUCACCAUGUGAUUAACACCCAUAGUUCACAUCGUCAUGUGACCAACACUCAAAGGGUUUACUAGAGUCAGUAAUCUAGUUCACAUAUCUAUGUGAUUAACACCCAAAGAGUACUAAGGUGUGAUCAUGUUUUGCUUGUGAGAUAAUUUUAGUCAACGGGUCUGUCACAUUCAGAUCUGUAAGUAUUUUGCAAGUUCUAUGUCUACAAUGCUCUACACGGAGCUACUCUAGCUAAUUGCUCCCACUUUCAAUAUGUAUCCAGAUUGAGACUUUAGAUUCAUCUGGAUCAGUGUCAAAAACUUGCAUCGACGUAACCCUUUACGACGAACCUUUUUGUCACGUCCAUAAUCGAGAAACAUAUCCUUAUUUCACUAAGGAUAAUUCUGACCGCUGUCCAGUGAUCUACUCCUAGAUCACUAUUAUACUCCCUUGCCAAAUCAAUGCAGGGUAUACAAUAGAUCUGGUAUACAGCAUGACAUACUUUAUAGAACCUAUGGCCAAGGCAUAGGGAAUGACUUUCAUUCUCUUUCUAUCUUCUGCCGUGGUCGGGCUUUGAGUCUUACUCAACUUCACACCUUGUAAUACAGGCAAGAACUCUUUCUUUGACUGCUCCAUUUUGAGCUACUUCAAAAUCUUGUCAAGGUAUGUACUUAUUGAAAAAACUUAUCAAGCGUCUUGAUCUAUCUCUAUAGAUCUUGAAGCUCAAUAUGUAAGCAGCUUCACCGAAGUCUUUCUUUGAAAAACUCCUUUCAAACACUCCUUUAUGCUUUACAGAAUAAUUCUACAUUAUUUCCGAUCAACAAUAUGUCAAUCACAUAUACUUAUCAGAAAUGCUGUAGUGUCCCACUCACUUUCUUGUAAAUACAGGCUUCACCGCAAGUCUGUAUAAAACUAUAUGCUUUGAUCAACUCAUCAAAGCGUAUAUUCCAACUCCGAGAUGCUUGCACCAGUCCACAGAUGGAUCGCUGGAGCUUGCACAUUUUGUUAGCACCUUUCGGAUUGACAAAACCUUCUGUUGCAUCAUAUACAACUCUUCUUUAAUAAAUCCAUUAAGGAAUGCAGUUUUGUUUAUCCAUUUGCCAGAUUUCAUAAAAUGCGGCAAUUACUAACAUGAUUCGGACAGACUCAAGCAUAGAUACGAGUGAGAAGCUCUCAUCGUAGUCAACACCUUGAACUUGUCGAAAACCUUUUUGCGACAAUUCUAGCUUUGUAGAUAGUAACACUACUAUCAGCGUCCGUCUUCCUCUUGAAGAUCCAUUUAUUCUCAAUUGCUUGCCGAUCAUUGGGCAAGUCAACCAAAGUCCAAACUUUGUUCUCAUACAUGGAUCAUAUCUCAGAUUUCAUGGCCUCAAACCAUUUCGCGGAAUCUGGGCUCAUCAUUGCUUCCUCAUAGUUCGUAGGUUCAUCAUGAUCUAGUAGCAUGACUUCCAGGAUUGGAUUACCGUACCACACUGGUGCGGAUCUCACUCUGGUUGAUCUACGUGGUUCAGUAGUAUCUUGUCCUGAAGUUUCAUGAUCAUCAUCAUUAGCUUCCUCACUAAUUGGUAUAGGUGUCGCAGAAACAGUUUUCUGUGAUGUACUAUUUUCCAAUAAGGGAGCAGGUACAGUUACCUCGUCAAGUUCUACUUUCCUCCCACUCACUUCUUUUGAGAGAAACUCCUUCUCUAGAAAGGAUCCAUUAUAAGCAACGAAUGUCUUGCCUUAGGAUCUGUGAUAGAAGGUGUACCCAACAGUCUCCUUUGGGUAUCCUAUGAAGACAUAUUUCUCCGAUUUGGGUUUGAGCUUAUCAGGAUGAAACUUUUUCUCAUAAGCAUCGCAACCCCAAACUUCAAGAAACGACAACUUUGGUUUCUUGCCUAACCAUAGUUCAUACGGUGUCGUCUCAACGGAUUUAGAUGGUGCCCUAUUUAACGUGAAUGCAGCUUUCUCUAAUGCAUGAUCCCAAAACGAUAUUGGUAAAUCGGUAAGAAACAUCAUAGAUUGUACUAUAUCCAAUAAAGUACGGUUAUGACGUUCGGACACACCAUUAUGCUGUGGUGUUCCAGGUGGCGUGAGUAGUGAAACUAUUUCACAUUGUUUUAACUGAAGACCAAACUCGUAACUCAAAUACUCUUUUCCACGAUCAGAUCGUAGAAACUUUAUUUUCUUGUUACGAUGAUUUUCCACUUCACUCUGAAAUUAUAUGAACUUUUCAAAUGUAUCAGACUUCUAUUUCAUUAAGUAGAUAUACCCAUAUCUGCUCAAAUCAUCUGUGAAGGUUUAGAAAAUAAUGAUACCCGCUGCAAGCCUUAAAUAUUCAUCGGACCACAUACAUUUGUAUGUAUGAUUUCCAACAAAUCUGUUGCUUGCUCCAUUGUUCCGGAGAACGGCGUUUUAGUCAUCUUGCCCAAAAGGCAUGGUUCGCAAGCAUCAAGUGAUUCCGAAAGCCCAUCAGCAUGGAGUUUCUUCAUGUGCUUUAUACCAAUAUGACCUAAACGGCAGUGCCACAAAUAAGUUGCACUAUCAUUAUUAACUUUGCAUCUUUUGGUUUCAAUAUUAUGAAUAUGUGUAUCACUACGAUCGAGAUCCAACGAACUUGUUUCAUUGGGUGUAUGACCAUCGAAGGUUUUAUUCAUGUAAACAGAACAACAAUUAUUCUCUGACUUUAAUGAAUAACCGUAUUGCAAUAAACAUGAUCAAAUCAUAUUCAUGCUCAACCAAAUAACACUUAUUUAAGUUCAACACUAAUCCCGAAAGUAUAGGGGAGUGUGUGAUGAUGAUCAUAUCAAUCUUGGAACUACUUCCAACACACAUCGUCACUUCACCCUUAACUAGUCUUUGUUUAUUCUGCAACUCCUGUUUCGAGUUACUACUCUUAGCAACUGAACCAAUAUCAAAUACUGAGGGGUUGCUAUAAACACUAGUAAAGCACACAUCAAUAACAUGUAUAUCAAAUAUACUUUUGUUCACUUUGCCAUCCUUCUUAUCCGCCAAAUACUUGGGGCAGUUCCGCUUCCAGUGACCAGUCCCUUUGCAGUAGAAGCACUUAGUCUCAGGCUUAGGACCAAACUUCGGCUUCUUCACUUGAGCAGCAACUUGCUUGCCGUUCUUCUUGAAGUUCCCCUUCUUCCCUUUGCCCUUUUCUUGAAACUAGUGAUCCUGUCAACCAUCAACACUUGAUGUUUUUCUUGAUUUCGACCUUCGUUGAUUUCAGCAUCACGAAGAGCUUGGGAGUUGUUUCCGUUAUCCCUUGCAUAUUAUAGUUCAUCACGAAGUUCUACUAACUUGGUGAUGGUGACUAGAGAAUUUUGUCAAUCACUAUCUUAUCUGGAAGAUUAACUCCCACUUGAUUCAAGCGAUUGUAGUACUCAGAUAAUCUGGGCACAUGCUCACUAGUUGAGCGAUUCUCCCCCAUCUUUCAGCUAUAGAACUUGUUGGAGACUUCAUAUCUCUCAACUCGGGUAUUUACUUGAAAUAUUAACUUCAGCUUCUGGAACAUCUCAUAUGGUCCAUGACGCUCAGAACGUCUUUGAAGUCCCGAUUCUAAGCCAUUAAGCAUGGUGCACUAAACUAUCAAGUAGUCAUCAUAUUGGGCUAGCCAAACGUUCAUAACGUCGGCAUCUGCUCCUGCAAUAGGUCUGUCACCUAGCGGUGCAUCAAGGACAUAAUUCCUCUAUGCAGCAAUGAGGAUAAAACUCAGAUCACGGAUCCAAUCCGCAUCAUUGCUACUAACAUCUUUCAACACAAUUUUCUCUAGGGACAUGUCAAAAUAAACACAGGGAAGCAACAACGCGAGCUAUUGAUCUACAACAUAAUUUGCAAAAUACUACCAGGACUAAGUUCAUGAUAAAUUUAAGUUCAAUUAAUCAUAUUACUUAAGAACUCCCACUUAGAUAGAUAUCCCUCUAAUCCUCUAAGUGAUCACGUGAUCCAAAUCAACUAAACCAUAACCGAUCAUCACGUGAGAUGGAGUAGUUUUCAAUGGUGAACAUCGUCAUGUUGAUCAUAUCUACUAUAUGAUUCACGCUCGACCUUUCGGUCUCUGUGUUCCGAGGCCAUAUCUGCAUAUGCUAGGCUCGUCAAGUUUAACCUGAGUAUUCUGCGUGUGCAAAACUGGCUUGCACCCGUUGUAGAUGGACGUAGAGCUUAUCACACCCGAUCAUCACGUGGUGUCUGGGCACGACGAACUUUGGCAACGGUGCAUACUCAGGGAGAACACUUCUUGAUAAUUCAGUGAGAGAUCAUCUUAUAAUGCUACCGUCAAUCAAAGCAAGAUAAGAUGCAUAAAAAGAUAAACAUCAUAUGUAAUCAAAAUAUGUGACAUGAUAUGGCCAUCAUCAUCUUGCUUCUUUGAUCUCCAUCUCCAAAGUACUGUCAUGAUCUAUAUCGUCACCGGCAUGACACCAUGAUCUCCAUCAUCUUGAUCUAUAUCAAUGUGUCGUCGUGUGGUCGUCUCACCAACAAUUGCUCUUGCAACUAUUGCUAUCGCAUAGCGAUAAAGUAAAGCAAUUACUGGACGCUUGCAUCUCAUGAAAUAGAGAGACAACCAUAAGGAUUUUGUCAGUUGCUGAUAACUUCAACAAAACAUGAUCAUCUUAUACAACAACUUAUAACUCAUCACGUUUUGACCAUAUCACAUCACAACAUGCCCUGCAAAAACAAGUUAGACGUCCUCUACUUUGUUGUUGCAAAUUUUACGUGGCUGCUACGGGCUUAGCAAGAACCAAUCUUACCUACGCAUCAAAACCACAACGAUAGUUUGUCAAAUAGACUCCGUUUUAACCUUCGCAAGGACCGGGCGUAGCCACACUCGGUUCAACUAAAGUUGGAGAAACAGUCACCCGCAAGUCACCUAUGUGCAAAGCACGUCGGGGAAACCGGUCUCGCGUAAGCGUACGCGUAAUGUCGGUCCGGGCCGCUUCAUCCAACAAUACCGCGGAACCAAAGUAUGACAUGCUGGUAGGCAGUAUGACUUAUAUCGCCCACAACUCACUUGUGUUCUACUCGUGCAUAUAACAUCAAACCAUAAAACCUAGGCUCGGAUGCCACUGUUGGGGAACGUAGUAAUUUCAAAAAUUUCCUACGCACACGCAAGAUCAUGGUGAUGCAUAGCAACGAGGGGGAGAGUCUGAUCUACGUACCCUUGUAGAUCGCAACGGAAGCGUUGACACAACGUAGAGGAAGUAGUCGUACGUCUUCUUCCUGAUCCGACCGAUCCAAGCACCGUUACUCCGGCACCUCCGAGUUCUUAGCACACGUUCAGCUCGAUGACGAUCCUCGGGCUCCGAUCCAGCAAAGCGUCGAGGAAGAGUUCCGUCAGCAUGACGGCGUGGUGACGAUCUUGAUGUACUACCGAUGUAGGGCUUCGCCUAAGCACUACAACGGUAUGAUCGAGGUGGAAUUUGGUGGCAGGGGGCACCGCACACGGCUAAGGAACGAUCUCAAGGAUCAACUUGUGUGUCUAUGGGGUGCCCCCUGCCCCUGUAUAUAAAGGAUGGAGGAGGAGGAGGCCGGCCAAGGCAAAGGUGCGGCCAGGAUAGGGAGUCCUACUAGGACUCCAAGUCCUAGUAGGAGUCCACCAAAAGGGGAGGAAGGGAGAAGGAAUAGGAGGAGAAGGAGAGGUGGCCGGCCCCCUUUUCCCUAGUCCAAUUCGGACCAAAGGGGAGGGGGGCGCAGCAGCCUUUUCCUCUUCCCACUAAAGCCCAUCAAGGCCCAUUACUUCUCCCGUAACUACCCGGUACUCCGAAAAAUACCCGAAUCACUCCGAACCUUUCCGAUGUCCAAAUAUAGUCGUUCAAUAUAUCGAUCUUUACGUCUCGACCAUUUCAAGACUCCUCGUCAUGUCCCCGAUCUCAUCCGGGACUCCGAACUCCUUCGGUACAUCAAUACUCAUAAACUCAUAAUUUAACUGUCAUGGAAACCUUAAGCGUGCGGACCCUACGGUUCGAGAACAAUGUAGACAUGACCGAGACACGUCUCCGGUCAAUAACCAAUAGCGGGACCUGGAUGCCCAUAUUGGCUCCUACAUAUUCUACGAAGAUCUUUAUCGGUCAGACCGCAUAACAACAUACGUUGUUCCCUUUGUCAUCGGUAUGUUACUUGCCCGAGAUUCGAUCGUUGGUAUCCAAUACCUAGUUCAAUCUCGUUACCGGCAAGUCUCUUUACUCGUUCUAUAAUACAUCAUCCCACAACUAACUCAUUAGUUGCAAUGCUUGCAAGGCUUAAGUGAUGUGCAUUACCGAGAGGGCCCAGAGAUACCUCUCCGACAAUCGGAGUGACAAAUCCUAAUCUCGAAAUACGCCAACCCAACAUCUUCCUUUGGAGACACCUGUAAUGCUCCUUUAUAAUCACCCAGUUACGUUGUGACGUUUGGUAGCACCCAAAGUGUUCCUCCGGCAAACGGGAGUUGCAUAAUCUCAUAGUCAUAGGAACAUGUAUAAGUCAUGAAGAAAGCAAUAGCAACAUACUAAACGAUCGGGUGCUAAGCUAAUGGAAUGGGUCAUGUCAAUCAGAUCAUUCAACUAAUGAUGUGACCUCGUUAAUCAAAUAACAACUCUUUUGUCCAUGGUUAGGAAACAUAACCAUCUUUGAUUAAUGAGCUAGUCAAGUAGAGGCAUACUAGUGACACUUUGUUUGUCUAUGUAUUCACACAUGUAUUAUGUUUCCCGUUAAUACAAUUCUAGCAUGAAUAAUAAACAUUUAUCUUGUGCUUGUGAUCUCCAUCUCCGAAGCACCUUCAUGAUCACCAUCGUCACCGGCGCGACACCUUGAUCUCCAUCGUAGCAUCGUUGUCGUCUCGCCAAUCUUAUGCUUCCACGACUAUCGCUACCGCUUAGUGAUAAAGUAAAGCAUUACAACGCGAUUGCAUUGCAUACAAUAAAGCGACAACCAUAUGGCUCCUGCCAGUUGCCGAUAACUUGGUUACAAAACAUGAUCAUCUCAUACAAUAAAAUUUAGCAUCAUGUCUUGACCAUAUCACAUCACAACAUGCCCUGCAAAAACAAGUUAGACGUCCUCUACUUUGUUGUUGCAUGUUUUACGUGGCUGCUACAGGCUUAAGCAAGAACCAAUCUUACCUAUGCAUCAAAACCACAACGAUAGUUUGUCAAGUUGAUGCCGUUUUAACCUUCGCAAGGACCGGGCGUAGCCACACUCGGUUCAACUAAAGUUGGAGAAACAGUCACCCGCAAGCCACCUUUGUGCAAAGCACGUCGGGAGAACCGGUCUCGCGUAAGCGUACGCGUAAUGUCGGUCUGGGCCGCUUCAUCCAACAAUACCGCCGAACCAAAGUAUGACAUGCUGGUAGGCAGUAUGACUUAUAUCGCCCACAACUCACUUGUGUUCUACUCAUGCAUAUAACAUCAAACCAUAAAACCUAGGCUCUGAUACCACUGUUGGGGAACGUAGCAAUUUCAAAAAAUUUCUACGCACACGCAAGAUCAUGGUGAUGCAUAGCAACAAGAGGGGAGAGUGUUGUCUAGAAGCGUUGACACAACGUAGAGGAAGUAGUCGUACGUCUUCCCGAUCCGACCGAUCCAAGCACCGUUACUCCGGCACCUCCGAGUUCUUAGCACACGUACAACUCGAUGACGCUCCCCGGGCUCCGAUCUAGCAAAGCUUCGGGGAUGAGUUCCGUCAGCACAACGGCGUGGUGACGAUGAUGAUGUUCUACCGACGCAGGGCUUCGCCUAAGCACUACAACGAUAUGACCGAGGUGGAAUAUGGUGGAAGGGGGCACCGCACACGGCUAAGGAACGAUCACGUUGAUCAAUUGUGUGUUCUAGGGUGCCCCCUUGCCUCCGUAUAUAAAGGAUCCAAGGGAGAGGGGUUCGGCCGGCCCUAUGGAGGCGCAGGAGGAGUCCUACUCCUAUCGGGAGUAGGACUCCCCCCCUUUUCCUUGUCCAAGUAGGAUUGGUGGAGAAGAAUGGGAAAGAGGGGGGCGCCGCCCCUCCCUCCUUGUCCAAUUCGGACUAGGGGGAGAGGGGGCGUGCGGCCUGCCCUGGCAGCCCCUUCCUCUUCUCCACUUUAGGCCCAUGAGGCCCAUUAACCCCCCGGGGGGUUCCGGUAACCCCCCGGUGCUCCGAUUUUAUCCGAAACUUCAUCGGAACCCUUCCGGUGUCCGAAUAUAGUCAUCCAAUAUAUCAAUCUUUAUGUCUUGACAAUUUUGAGACUCCUCGUCAUGUCCGUGAUCACAUCCGGGACUCCGAACUAACUUCGGUACAUCAAAAUGUAUAAACUUAUAAUAACUGCCAUCGUAACGUUAAGCGUGCGGACCCUACGGUUCGAGAACAAUGUAGACAUGGCCGAGACACGUCUCCGGUCAAUAACCAAUAGCGGGACCUGGAUGCCCAUAUUGGCUCCUACAUAUUCUACGAAGAUCUUUAUCGGUCAGACCGCAUAACAACAUACGUUGUUCCCUUUGUCAUCGGUAUGUUACUUGCCCGAGAUUCGAUCGUCCGUAUCCAAUACCUAGUUCAAUCUCGUUACCAGCAAGUCUCUUUACUCGUUCCGUAAUACAUCAUCUCGCAACUAACUCAUUAGUUGUAAUGCUUGCAAGGCUUAUGUGAUGUGCAUUACCGAGAGGGCCCAGAGAUACCUCUCCGACAAUCGGAGUGACAAAUCCUAAUCUCGAAAUACGCCAACCCAACAUCUACCUUUGGAUACAUCUUUAGAGCACCUUUAUAAUCACCCAGUUAUGUUGUGACGUUUGGUAGCACACAAAGUGUUCCUCCGGCAAACGGGAGUUGCAUAAUCUCAUAGUCAUAGGAACAUGUAUAAGUCAUGAAGAAAGCAAUAGCAACAUACUAAACGAUCGGGUGCUAAGCUAAUGGAAUGGGUCAUGUCAAUCAGAUCAUUCAACUAAUGAUGUGAUCUCGUUAAUCAAAUAACAACUCUUUGUUCAUGGUUAGGAAACAUAACCAUCUUUGAUUAACGAGCUAGUCAAGUAGAGGCAUACUAGUGACACUUUGUUUGUCUAUGCAUUCACACAUGUAUUAUGUUUCCGGUUAAUACUAUUAUAGCAUGAAUAAUAAACAUUUAUCAUGACAUAAGGAAAUAAAUAAUAACUUUGUUAUUGCCUCUAGGGCAUAUUUCCUUCACUUAGGGCCUUGGAUGAGAACUGGCAUCAUAAUGAACUUCCGCUUCAUGCACAUCCAAGGAGGAAGGUUAUACAUACAUAGAGUCACGGGCCAGGUGCUGUGAUUGCUGCUCUGCUCCCCUAUAGGAUUAAUGCCAUCCAUGCUUAAAGCAAACCAUACAUUCCAUGGGUCGUUUGCAAACUCAUCCCAGUACUUUCUCUCGAUUUUUCUCCACUGCGACCCGUCAGCGGGUGCUCUCAAUUUUCCGUCUUUCUUCCGGUCCUCACUGUGCCAUCGCAUCAACUUGGCAUGCUCUUCGUUUUUGAAUAGACGUUUCAACCGUGGUAUUAUAGGAGCAUACCACAUCACCUUCGCAGGAACCCUCUUCUUGGGGGGCUCACCGUCAACGUCACCAGGGUCAUCUCGUCUGAUCUUAUACCGCAAUGCACCGCAUACCGGGCAUGCAUUCAGAUCCUUGUAUGCACCGCGGUAGAGGAUGCAGUCAUUAGGGCAUGCAUGUAUCUUCUCCACCUCCAAUCCUAGAGGGCAUACGACUUUCUUUGCUGCGUAUGUACUGUCGGGCAAUUCGUUAUCCUUUGGAAGAUUCUUCUUCAAUAUUUUCAGUAGCUUCUCAAAUCCUUUGUCAGCCACAGCAUUCUCUGCCUUCCACUGCAGCAAUUCCAGUACGGUACCGAGCUUUGUGUUGCCAUCUUCGCAAUUGGGCUACAACCCUUUUUUGUGAUCCUCUAACAUGCGAUCGAACUUCAGCUUCUCCUUUUGACUUUCGCAUUGCGUCCUUGCAUCGACAAUGACCCGGCGGAGAUCAUCAUCAUCGGGCAGAUCGUCUGGUUCCUCUUGAUCUUCAGCAGCUUCACCCGUUGCAGCAUCAUUGGGCACAUCGUCUGUUUCCUCUUGAUCUUCACCAGCUCCCUCCAUUGCAGCAUAACCGUAUUCAGGGGGCACAUAGUUGUCAUCGUACUCUUCUUCUUUGCCAUCUUCCAUCAUAACACCUAUUUCUCCGUGCCUCGUCCAAACAUUAUAGUGUGGCAUGAAACCCUUGUAAAGAAGGAGGGGGUGAAGGAUUUUCCGGUUAGAGUAAUACCUCGUAUUCCCACAUUCAGUGCAUGGACAACACAUAAAACCAUUCUGCUUCUUUGCCUCAGCCGCACCGAGAAACUCAUGCACGCCCUUAAUGUACCCGGAGGUGUGUCUGUCACCGUACAUCCAUUGCCAGUUCAUCUACGUGCAUUAUAUAUAAUUAAGUGUCCAAAUUAAUAGAAGUUCAUCAUCACAUUAAAACCAAAGUACAUACAUAGUUCUCAUCUAACAACAUAUAGCUCUCCAGAGCAUCUAAUUAAUUAAACCAUACAUUGAAACUAUGUAAAACAUUUCAAUGCGAAAACAAAUGCGAUCAUAAUUGCAACCAAGGUAACAAUUGAUCCAACGGCAUAAUGAUACCAAGCCUCGGUAUGAACGACAUAUUUUCUAAUCUUUCUAAUCUUCAAGCGCAUUGCAUCCAUCUUGAUCCUGUGAUCAUAGACGACAUCCGCAACAUGCAACUCCAAUAUCAUCUUCUCCUCCUCAAUUUUUUUAUUUUUUCCUCCAACAAAUAGUUUUCUUCUUCAACUAAAUUUAGCCUCUCGGCAAUAGGGUCGGUUGGCAUUUCCGAUUCACAUACAUCCUACAUAAAUAAAAUCUAUGUCACGUUGAUCGGCAUAAUUUUCAUAAACAAUAAAUGAACCAAUAGUUAUAAAGAUAAUAUAUAUACCACAUUCGAAUCAUAGACAGGACGAGGGCGACGGGGGCGGAUACCAAAACCAUCGCACUAUAUAAGAUGCAAUAAUAAAAGUAAGAAAAUAAUACAAGUAUCUAUGUAAACAUACAAGUAAGAAUAUUUUUCCUUUCAGAAAGAAGAUAAGAACAAGAGGCUCACCAUGGUGGUGCCGGCAAGGCCCACCUUGGUCCAUGCGGGGAUGCACAAAAUAAGCUAUGUGCGGCCCAUGCGGGGAAUUUUGGUUACGCAUGGCCCAUACAUAUGGUGAUCCAGCCGUACGUGACCAAAUAGGAUGGACGGACAAACGAAAACGGACAAAAAUUAGGGACCAACCAAUUAGUACCACCUCGCGUAUAUGUUUUAUAUUUAAACUGAAAGCGUAAAUUUUCAUGAAAAGAAAUGUACUGUGACGGUGAACCCGACAAAGUCAAUCCGUGCUUUAUUAUUAGGGAAAGAUAUACUAAUUGGAGGCACCUUUGGAGCGUCUACGUUAAUCCACGUCAUUAAGAUUAAUAUAGCCGUUUGAUAUUAAAUUUAAUGGUUAAGAUAUGCUAGAAGACUAUGCCUUAUUAUAGAAGAAAACAACAUGUACGUAGGGAUGAAAUCCACGCAUACAAAAAAAAACUCAUGUAAAGAAAAAUCAAUUCUCACCACAUAGAUGAAACUCAUUAAACUUGCACAUGCAAAAAAAGUCCUAAGCUCCCACGUCCAUGAAAGAUUAGACAUGCACAUAAAAAAAGAGUCCUAAAUGCCCACGCCCAGGUUCCAAGAAAAAGUACGUGCCUACUCCUUGCAAAAAGAGGACGCGUGGCAAAACUAAAAAAUAUGAAUAUAAUCAUCUCAAUCUCUUUCUAAUAAUAAAAUAUGAAUUGAUUUUGUCAGGUUCGUCGUCACAAUACACUUUUUCCUGUAAAUUUACGCUUUCACUUUGAAUUUAAAACAUAUAGGUGAGGUGGUACUAAAAAACUGUUCAUUGGUCGCGUACGUCAAUUAGUAUAAGUCGCUUUUUUUAGUCCCUCCGGCUCGCUAGACUGGGCCGUGUUGAUCAUUCCCGUGAUGACUGAACUGGGCCUGGUCAAAAAGAAAAAAAACGAUGCAAAAAAUAAUUCCCCAUGAGCUUCGAACCAAGACGAAGGCCCUCAGUCACAAAGGAGAACGCCAACUAGAUUGCUCUAUUUUGUUCUGCCAAAUUGUGUCCCUGUAGAUAUAAUAGUCCCACAUCGCUUCUUUGCACUGUAUCUUAUCGAUUUUUAUACAUCGGCGGACUUGUCCUAGCAGAAGUUAAUUGGAAGAGGAAGCAAGGAAUAAAGAACGAACGCAGGAGGAAUUUGGCCAGAAGAAACAAGGUCGGGGAGCGUGAGGUUUAUGGUGAAUAUUCAGAGAACGGCAGCUGCAUUGUUCGAAUUUAGUCUAUCUUUGGACAUGUCUUUUCCGGGGAUUCGACACCAUGUUUUGUGCGCGAAUGGUUUUAUUAGGGUUUUUGACUGUUCCAAGUUAGAAGAGGCCAGAGUUUUCUCUGGUUCUUCAGUGGCCUGAAGCAACCAUGCUUACGCUUUUUUUUUUCAACCAUUCAUUGCCCAUUUUCAUUAAUUUCUUAAAGAAAAUACAUCAACCGUCCUUGCAGAAAGAACGAGGCAGCUUCACAGCUGGAAAUCAAGAGUGCGGUGUCCAGUUUUACGGGGAAAAGAAUUCUAUGAGACCAGGUCUCACGCGAGACCCAUCCUAAUGAAUGCCACGUGCUAUCCAUCAGAACGGGUCUCACCUGCUAACCGUGAGACUUGGUCUCAUAUAUUUUUUUUCCGUUUUACGGGGAAGCAUCAUCAGAAAUCUAGCAAAUCAUUCGCAUUAUUCUCUCACAUACAGUACAGAUCCUUCGGAUCGCCACAUCACAGCUGGACUUCAUUGCUUUGGGUGUCUAAUUAAGGGCUUGUUCGGUUAAUCCUCUCGCGAAGAGGAUUGGAGGGGAUUGGCAAGGAUUGGUUCGUAUUUUGACUUCUAAGAGGUUUAAGUCCUCCUCAAACCCCUUCAAUCCAUUCGGAUUCACACGCAACCAAACAAGGCCUAAACGGGAUCCGCAUCUGAACUAUUAAGCAGCAAAUGAUAGUGUGCGUGAAACAGGUAGGCAAUGUCAAUGAGGACAAACUGUGAUGAUAUCGUUUGAAAACUCAGCUGUCGUCCGUAGUGUUUGGCAUGUGACAGAUAGAUCCUGUUGAUUGUCUAACGAAAGCCAACGGUGAUGUCAAACUAGACUAUUUUAACAUAGUCGGUAAGACAAAAAUGGGAAACAUAUGUAUAUAUGACUACCGAGAACACGACAUCCAUUGUAUCUCGAUUAAGCAUCUUCAAAUAUUAUUCCUGUCGUGAUAUUGACAACAUUAUUAGUUUGUACUUGAAUGAAUAGUCAAGGAACUUUUGAGUGUUCCAAGUUAAACAUCCAAAUUUGUGUCGCAUUUCAGUAUGGGAGGCGCGUAUGACUCUCAAGUUUUUCCGAAUUUGAGUAAUACGGGUCAACUAUUUGCAAAAAUAAAAUAAAAACAUGUUAUCUAGCAUAUGUUUUUACCGUGUUAACACAUUCACAAUUAUUCCAUUUUGAAAAAAGGUACCUAGGUGGUAAAUGAACUACAAACCUUGCUCGACAUAUAUCGAGAAAUAUGUAUUGACAUACACAACAGAGAAAAUAAAUCAAAAUACAUUGCGCAGAACAUUGACAAUAAAUUAGUUGGUGAAAUUAGACAAUUUAGUUGGUGAACUUAGAAAAUUGUUACAUAAGGCUCCAACUUAAUUUCUCAGCAGUUGGAUCAGUUUUUUUUUUUGAGGACCAUGGAAAUACUGAAACCAUGGUUGAUACAAACUCCCCUCUCACACCUAAACUUUGAGCUAGAUAUUUCCUUUUAGUGAGUUUAGCUACUAAUUUUAAAGGGGUUCGCUAAAUCUCAGUCAAUUGAGAUUUAAUGUAGUCUCAAUCACCUUUCCAAGCCGUUGAAUACAUGCACACUAAGAUUAUGUGCUAGGAAACUUUUCUUUGUUAUUGUGAGGUGGAACGGAAAGAGAUGUGUGUGUGCCUUUCUGGACUAUUCGAAGUGUGCGUGUUUUUCCGAGGAAAGAGCCUACAAUCUACACGAGAAGCUUGUGUUUGGGCCAAGUCCAAACAUAAUAUAAUUUGUCAAACCAAACAACCAACAUUUUCUAAAACCGAAAUCAACAUAGCAAAAACAUGUUUGCUUUCGAAUAUUAAUAAAUAACUGUAUAUAAAUAAUCCCACUUCAAUGCACCACUCCUCUCACACCCGGUGAUAGUGUGAUGUUCGUUGAGGCAACAUCGAAGGACAUGAAUGUAGUUUCAUUAAUCUUUUUCCGAAUUGUGUACACCAAAAAUUGUAUCAUCAUUAACGACGGUGGCAAAAAUGAAAAGUGGCAACAUGAACGAGUCACUGAAAACAUGCGAAGACUUUCUCCUUCCGGUGCAAUGCACGACACAUUAAAUGAUGCAUACAAAGGUUAAAGGGAACCUUCUUUUGAGAAACAAAGACAAACACAGACUCACAAACACGUACAUACAUGAACACCUAGAGAGACUGAGCUGACAAGUCUUGAGAUUGAUGAACACACCACAAGUGUCUCGCUUCGACGCGAACGUCACCAUGCACUGAAAAAAUAUUUCACCUUUGUGAAACAUGAAAUUAAGCGUCAAAGUUAGGUUUUAAUUCUUGCUCUAUUGGGUAUCACCGCCCUGCAAACCAUCCAAUCAGAGAUUGGUUCUCAGGGUUAAAGCGAAACUAACCAAUACAUUUAUUUGAUAUGAAAAAAUGAACCCUUCCAAACCAAGCAAACAACUAUCUCUAAGAAAUCCAACAUAGCAACAAUGCUUUGUAUUCAAAUGUUUUGGAAAUUCUAAAAAAAAACUUUUGGAUUAGUUUUUAAACUCUCGGUUAGUAUAGAACAUUCCAAUGUUUGUAUGUUGCACUAAAAAUAAAUGCACCACUCUUUCACCCGGUGGUAGUGCUAAGCUAAAGGAGUGCCAUCAAAGGACACCACUAUGACUAUCUUAACUCUACUCCAUGAUGCGGACACCAAUAAUCAUUUUUAUUUACCAACACGAAGGCGUUUUUUUAAGAUAGUGAGUGUUUCUAAAUGUUCUUGGUUUCAAAAAAUAUAUUCAUGUUUUAAAUAUGUUUAAACUUUUGAAGAAAUGCUGAAAAUUCCUAAAAAAUGGUUCCAAUUAAAAACCAGCUAUAAUUGUUCAAAAAAUCAUUAAAAAAAAUCAUGAAAUCGCUUGUUUAUAUAAUGUUCGACUUCAAAAAAUAUUCCAAUUCUAGUAAGAAAUUAAAAAAUAGUCGAUUUCUUAAAAAAUAAAGAAAUAUUUGUGUUGUCUUUCAAAAAGCAAAAUAUAUACCGAUUCACAUACUAUUCCAUGCACAACUAUUCUUCCAACAGAUGUGGGAAGUUAGGUUGGUUCUUCAUGUACACACUUCAAGCUCCGAACAAAAAUUAGAGUUUAACAUUAUUACUCUGGUUUAUCAGCCUUUGAUACAAGAAAUGGCACAUGAAGCGCACUUUUAUUUGCCCGUUGCAACGCACGGGCAUUUGUACUAGUAAAUAUCAAUUGAAGGAAUAUCAUUCUGCAAAGGCAGAUUCUUGAAUAGGAUUGUUUCACAACUGCAUCCAUCAAUUUUAAAGUUUACUAUCUAAUAUGAUGCUAGAUAGAUAAAGCCUCAAUUAAGUAUAACAUUGUGUUUGUUGGUUAAGUUAGGAGCACUUACUAAUGUACUAAAAGAGAAAUAUAUAUUAUAUAUGGUUUGAGUACCAUUGUAGUAGUGGUGCAUAUACAUACGCGCACCACCUACUAUAUAUCGAAAUAAUUCAUACUCGCUUUCUCCCUUAUAUAUAUAGUAGGUGGUGUCAAAUUCUUGCUAAUUUGACAUGAAGGCUUCAUUCAGACCAGUGAUGAUACUUUGCGCAACAUAAAUGGGAAAGUAGAGGCACUCUUCCAUAUAAUGAAGUUUAUAAUAUAUGUGUUUAUAUUGUACUAUAAUUGUUUGAAUAACUUACCAUAUGUUCAGAUGUAUGAUAUCUGUAAUUUAAGCGCUUGAAUUUUACAUAUAAAUAUAAUUUUAUUAAUAAAUAUGUACCCAUAUAAUAGCUAGGCCGUGUAGUUGCACGGGUAGAUGACUAGUGAUUACAAUCUUGUUUGUGAGCAAGUCAAGAUUAUCUAGUUUACACGUAACAACUUGUAGAACAUUACAAAAAUUAUGCUUGCUAAUAACUUCUAGAACACUACAACACUUGACAUGUAAAAGGAAUUUGAUGAGUCAUGGCCUACUAAAGCAAGUUACAUUACUACUCUUAUCUAUCUUAACAGACCACACAAGAUUACAAACUAAGUACCGUGACAGCCAUGCUUAUCUAAUUUAUGCGUAACAAUUUGCGGAAAAUUACAAAUUUAGUUUUAGAAAAAUAGGCAAUCUAGAUUAGUGUUUGAGCUGUAAUGUGAAUAAGAUGAGUCGUGCGUCUUGUCACACCUUUUUGGUGGUGGAAUGAUAGUGCAACAACAAGGAACUUUAAUGACCAGUCCAAGAAUACACUUGUAAGUAGUGCCACCAAACAGAACAUACCAAAUUAUGAUUUUGAGAAGAAUCCAAGCACUUUCCACACAAGCAAAUGCCAAUUGUGAAAGAGAUCAUUCCAUGGCAGCUAUAAAUAGCCCCAUAGCAUGACGCUCAUCCUUCCUCAUCCAUCAUUCUCAUAAGUAGAGUGCAUCAUUUAAGCCAAGCAAGCUGUGGUCAAUACAAAUCCACCAUGAAGACCUUUCUCAUCCUUUCCCUCCUUGCUAUCGUGGCAACCACCGCCACAACUGCAUUUAGAAUUCUAGUGCCACAAUUGCAGCCACAAAAUCCAUCUUAGCAACAACCACAAGAGCAAGUUCCAUUGGUACAACAACAGCAAUUUCUAGGGCAGCAACAACCAUUUCCACCACAACAACCAUAUCCACAGCCGCAACCAUUUCCAUCACAACAACCAUAUCUGCAGCUGCAACCAUUUCCGCAGCCGCAACCACCAUAUUCGCAGCCGCAACCAUUUCGACCACAAUAACCAUAUCUCCACAACCGCAACCACAGUAUUCGCAACCACAAUAACCAAUUUCGCAGCAGCAACAACAACAACAACAACAACAACAACAACAAAUCCUUCAACAAAUUUUGCAACAACAACUGAUUCCAUGCAUGGAUGUUGUAUUGCAGCAACACAACAUAGCGCAUGGAAGAUCACAAGUUUUGCAACAAAGUAGUUACCAGCUGUUGCAAGAAUUGUGUUUUCAGCACCUAUGACAGAUCCCUGAGCAGUCGCAGUGCCAAGCCAUCCACAAUGUUGUCCAUGCUAUUAUUCUGCAUCAACAACAAAAACAACAACAACAACAACAACAAAAACAACAACCAUCGAGCCAGGUCUCCUUCCAACAGCCCCAGCAACAAUAUCCAUCAGGCCAGGGCUCCUUCCGGCCAUCUCUGCAAAAUCCACAGGCCCAGGGCUCGGUCCAGCCUCAACAGCUGCCCAGUUCGAGGAAAUAAGGAACCUAGCGCUACAGACGCUACCUGCAAUGUGCAAUCUCUACAUCCCUCCAUAUUGCACCAUCGCGCCAUUUGGCAUCUUCGGUACUAACUGAGAAGAAAAUAACUCUAGUACUAGAUAUAUGAAACACCGUUUUCUUAGUCCAUGGUUUGGUCAUUGUAGCGGUGAAAAAAUAAAGUGACAUGCACUACCAUGUAAGAACUCGAACUAUACUAGUUCAAACUUGGGAAUAAAAGACAAACACAGGUCUUGUCUACAUAUUUAUGUUGCAUUUAUCUAAAGAUAACAAAAUGAGUCUAAAAUUUGAAUUAAAUUGAAGUAUUUUCUUGGACUUUCAAAUUGAGUAUUAUUAACGUAGUAAGGACUAUCCUCAUCCUUGGCCUGCCCCUAAUCAAUUAUUUCCAGAGAAGCAUUCAAUUCAUCAAUCAAUUACAUUGAUUUUUGUGGCUGGUACUUCUCCUCAACAUCAGUAUAUUCACCGUGGCUACUCCAAAUCGGCAAGAAUGAGGUACCGGUGCUCUGGAGCAGUGCCAACUAAUUGCUUCUCAUGUGAAGGGGUGCGGGCGCGGGAGAGGUAUUUCUGGUGGGCCAAGGGAGUAAGAAGCCACCGUGGGAGUGGUACAGACGCCCGUAAAGCCCCAUAGUUUCUUUUUGGUUUACAGGAAAAUGCACAUCCAUACCGGCCUGGGGAGUAUAGGACCGUAUUGGAUGGAAAACCAUGUCCGGAUGGUUGCGAGCGGUUUGAGGGUUAGCUUUUGUAACGCCCGGUUAGUUAUGCUAUAGCAAUUCCCUGCUAAUGAUGUCACGUCACCAAGAUUACUGUUGUUAUCCUCACAAUGAUUCAAUGCCAUUCUAAUUCAAAUUUAAAAUAAAGGCAAGCAUCAAAAGUUUUCAAACAUUAAAACUAAAAUCUUUGAGAGGUAACAAAUAAUGCAUAAGUAAUUAUGGUGGAGAAACCACACUUUAAUAAAAUGUUUAAAUACUCUAAAAUGAAAAAAACAGUGGCUUAAACUAUUAUUUAAAUGCUUUUAAAAUAGUAAAAAUGUUCUAACUAAAUUAAUUGGGUACCAACCUUUUGGUGGCAGUGGUAUAUUUAGUAGAACUAAUUUAGAUGCUAGUUAUAUGAUUUAGAAAAUUAGGGUCAAUUGAAAAAUAGGAUAAAACAGAGAAGGAAAGACAAAACAAAUAAAAGCAAAAGGGGGCAACCCCUCACUGGCCUUGGCCUAGCUGGCCACUGGGCUAGCUAGGUCGGCCCCGCCGCCUCCCUUAACCCCCUGUCGGUGUCGAAACCGGUGGAUGGUACCAUGAGUAGAUCUACCACGAGAUCGGAGAGGCUAAACCCUAGAGGCUAGCCUAUGAUAUGAUUGUAUGUGUCCUACGGACUAAAACCCUCCGGUUUAUAUAGACACCGGAGAGGGUUAGGGUUACACAAGGUCGGUUACAAAGGAGGAGAUAUCCAUAUCCGUAUUGCCUAGCUUGCCUGCCACGCCAAGUAGAGUCCCAUCCGGACACGGGACGAAGUCUUCAAUCUUGUAUCUUCAUAGUGCAACAGUCCGAAAAAGGAUAUAGUCCGGCUGUCCGGAGACCCCCUAAUCCAGGACUCCCUCAGUAGCCCCUGAACCAGGCUUCAAUGACGAUGAGUCUGGCGCGCAGUAUUGUCUUCGACAUUGCAAGGCGGGUUCCUCCUCCGAAUGCAUCACAGAAGAAUUUGAAUACGAGGAUAGUGUCCGACCCUGCAACAUAAGUUCCACAUAAUUCCAUACAGAGAAUAAUAUUUUCGCAAAUCUAAUUUGCUUACUUGUUUUGACAGUACGACAUUAUGUCAUGGCCCGGUGAUUAUUCGAACCGUUUCCUUUAACUAGCCCCGCACAUAACGCGAGGCAGUUUUUCGACAUGUCUUGUCAAAGCAGAGAUCGUGUCCCCUUAUUACUGGAUUCUCAUCAAUACGGGCGUGGGUAACCCAACCGCGCCAUCGAUUGCGGCACUUGGGGGAUGAGCUAUUUUUACCUGGCAAGUGGGGACGCUUAGUUUCGUCCGCCCAUAUAAAGGGAUAAGGAUUCACCUUUCUAUCCAUGCCUUCUUCCUCCUUUGCUCAUCCGUUUUUGCACACUCGAGCUCUAGCGCCCAAGUUCGCACUUCCCACCUCAACCUUCUCCAACCAUGUCCCGAGCGGGAGGCAGGUGGAUGGUAUCCUCCGUCACGGAUGGAGACAUCAAGAAGCUGAGGAGCGCCGGAUACCUGCCUGACGACAUCGCGCACCGGCUCCCAGAUGAGGGGCAGCUCACCCCCACCCCCAGGCCCCAUGAGAGGGUAGUGUUCCUCACCCAUUUCCUCCGCGGACUGGGAUUCCCUCUCCACCCAUUUGUCCCGGGGCUCAUGUUCUAUUACGACCUGGAUUUCCAUGAUCUGGCCCCGAACUUCAUCCUCAACAUCUCGGCGUUUAUCGUUGUGUGCGUGGCCUUCCUCCGCAUCAAGCCCCACUUCGGCUUAUGGUUGAAGACCUUUAAUGUCAAGCCGAAGGUUGUGGGCGACCGCCAGGCGGAGUGCGGAGGCGCCAUGGUGGGCAAGAUGCCCAACGUAACAUGGCUCGAGGGCUCUUUUGUGGAAACCAUAAAGGGGUGGCAAUCGGGUGGUUCUACAUCACCGAGCCGCGUGACCCUGCAUGGGCAGCGGCCCCCCGAGUUCUGAUCUGGCAUCCCCACGCGGCUCACCUCCUGGAAAGAGAAGGGCCUGUCCUGGGGUAGUUUGGAAGAGCUGACCAGACUCCAAACAUGUAUUCAAAACAUGGUGAACAAGAAGCUCAAACUCGUCAACGUGGUCCAGGUCAUGCUCCACCGCCGGAUCCUCCCGUGCCAAUAACGGGAGUUCAACUUGUGGGAGUACAACCCAGCGCAGCACCGAACUCUGAACAGGCUUUUCGACACAACUCACGAAGAUGCCUCGAGGGUGCUGUUCAAAAUCACCAAGGUCCCCCUCCCAUUACUGAGGAUCACGGAUUCAGCGUGAAGCGCCAAGCCAGUGCGGCAGGCUGCUUUACCUUUCACAGGCUACUUAUUUUUUAUAGAUUGACUCCAUGCGGGAUCUAAACUCCCGUACCUUUGACAGGACUGGCAGGAGAUGGCCGGACAGAUCGACUGUCCGGCUCCUAUGCCCGAAGGCCCAGCAGACGCUCUUCUAGCGAAGAUGCUGACUUCGGCUCCUUAUACGGUGCCGGAGAAGACCAAGAAGGACAAGGGAACCCGAAAGAGUUCCCGACGCCAGGCGUCGUCGGACUCACCGUCCGAUGACUCUGCGGCGCACUCCUCCCCCGAAGACGAGGAAGAGGAAGAAGACGCUCCCUCUCUGGCUGGGGGAGAUAAGAAAAGGAAGGCCGCCCCAACUGGGGGGGCGGAAGGGUCCAAGAAGGGAAGGAAUCUCCUUCCGGAUAGUUGCACCGCUGCCGACGAAGGCGAAGACGAGGGGUUGCCCAGGGCCAAGCCCCUGGGGAGAUCGUAAGUAUUCAGAUACCAGAGUAACUCAUAGCAUUCCUUUGUCGCACUGCUUUCCCUAACGUCAAACAUAAUUAUGCAGGUCGCCAUGAGCCAGUAUCGAUGUGUGACGCCCGGAUAAUCAUGCUACAGUAAUCCCACGCUAAUCAUGCCACGUCACCUCGGUUACUGUUGCUAAUCUAUCGUUAGGUCAAAGCUGGUCCAAAAUUCAAAUUCAAAGUUUGGUAAAUAAUAACAGUUUUCAAAAAUUAAAACAAAAAUGUUCGGUGAUUGCCGAAUAAUGCAUAGGUAAUUAUGGUGGAGAAACCACACUUUUAUAAAAUGUUUAAAUAAUCUAAAAUGAAUAAAACAGUAGAAAAACCAAAUCUAAAUGCUUUUAUAAAUAAAUAAAACACUAAACUAAAUUGUUUUGGGAUAAAGCCUUUUGUGGCAGUGGGUUUCGUGGUAUUACAAUUUUAGAGUUCAUUUUAAUACUAAGUAAGAAGUAUAAUUAAGAGAAACUAAAAUAAAGAACAGAAAAAAAAGAAUAAAUAAAAGGAAAAGAAAACACAAAACAGAAAAGAAAACUACCAAAAAAAUAUGGUAAAAGGAGACCCCCCCCACUGGACCCCUUGGCCCAACUGGGCCAUGGCCCAGCCGGCCACCCCCNNNNNNNNNNNNNNNNNNNNNNNNNNNNNNNNNNNNNNNNNNNNNNNNNNNNNNNNNNNNNNNNNNNNNNNNNNNNNNNNNNNNNNNNNNNNNNNNNNNNNNNNNNNNNNNNNNNNNNNNNNNNNNNNNNNNNNNNNNNNNNNNNNNNNNNNNNNNNNNNNNNNNNNNNNNNNNNNNNNNNNNNNNNNNNNNNNNNNNNNNNNNNNNNNNNNNNNNNNNNNNNNNNNNNNNNNNNNNNNNNNNNNNNNNNNNNNNNNNNNNNNNNNNNNNNNNNNNNNNNNNNNNNNNNNNNNNNNNNNNNNNNNNNNNNNNNNNNNNNNNNNNNNNNNNNNNNNNNNNNNNNNNNNNNNNNNNNNNNNNNNNNNNNNNNNNNNNNNNNNNNNNNNNNNNNNNNNNNNNNNNNNNNNNNNNNNNNNNNNNNNNNNNNNNNNNNNNNNNNNNNNNNNNNNNNNNNNNNNNNNNNNNNNNNNNNNNNNNNNNNNNNNNNNNNNNNNNNNNNNNNNNNNNNNNNNNNNNNNNNNNNNNNNNNNNNNNNNNNNNNNNNNNNNNNNNNNNNNNNNNNNNNNNNNNNNNNNNNNNNNNNNNNNNNNNNNNNNNNNNNNNNNNNNNNNNNNNNNNNNNNNNNNNNNNNNNNNNNNNNNNNNNNNNNNNNNNNNNNNNNNNNNNNNNNNNNNNNNNNNNNNNNNNNNNNNNNNNNNNNNNNNNNNNNNNNNNNNNNNNNNNNNNNNNNNNNNNNNNNNNNNNNNNNNNNNNNNNNNNNNNNNNNNNNNNNNNNNNNNNNNNNNNNNNNNNNNNNNNNNNNNNNNNNNNNNNNNNNNNNNNNNNNNNNNNNNNNNNNNNNNNNNNNNNNNNNNNNNNNNNNNNNNNNNNNNNNNNNNNNNNNNNNNNNNNNNNNNNNNNNNNNNNNNNNNNNNNNNNNNNNNNNNNNNNNNNNNNNNNNNNNNNNNNNNNNNNNNNNNNNNNNNNNNNNNNNGCCCCUCGGCGCCCGCUCGGCCCUCUCCUGGGUCGGGCGCCCGUAACGCCCAGCGCCCGUAACCCGCUAUGGCCCCCUGGGCAGUUGACAGAUGGGGCCCACGCCCCUGUCUUGUUAGAAAAAAAAACGAAAAGAAAAUGUAAUUAAAAAAAUGAAAAUAAGUAAUUAGUUAUUUAAUUAAUUAUGUAACUAAUUAAUUAAUUAAAUAAGUAAUUACUUAACUUAAUUAACUCCGUUUAGUACUUAAUUAACUUGAUUAGUUAAUUAAAAUUGUUAAUUAGUUGUUAGACUAUGACGAAUGGGACCCACACGUCAGUUUGACCCAGUCAACGCCCUGUUGACUGCUGACGUCAUGCUGACGUCAGCGUACACUAUUCUGGAUAAUGUUAAUUUAAUUAAUAAUUAAUAAAUUAGAAAAUGAUUUAAAAAUUUAAAAAUUAAUAUAAAUUAAACCGUAGCUCAGAUGAAAAAACUUUGUACAUGAAAGUUGCUCAGAACGACGAGACAAAUCUGGAUACACGGCCUGUUUGUUCGUCACGCAUCCCUAGCAUAGCAAACUCGCAACUUUCCCCUCCGGCUCCUCUGCCCGAAAACGCAAAACACCGGGGAUACUUUCCCGGAUGUCAUCCCCCUUCACCGGUAUCACCUAUUACCGCGUUAGGGCACCUCUAACGCCGUUACUUGUCAUGUCAUGCAUCACUAUGCAUAUGCUUGCUUAAAUAUUUAUUAUUUCUUCCCCCUCUUCUCUCGAUAGACACCGAGACCGACGCCGCUGCUACCCAGUACGACUACGCUGUUGACGACCCUCUUUCUUGCCAGAGCAACCAGGCAAGCGCCCCCCUUGAUCACCAGAUAUCGCCUACUCUCUUCUAUACUGCUUGCAUUAGAGUAGUGUAGCAUGUUACUGCUUUCCGUUAUUCCUAUCCUGAUGCAUAGCCUGUCCUUGCUACUACUGUUGUUACCAUUACCUGCUAUCCUACUGCUUAGUAUAGGAUGCUAGUGUUCCAUCAGUGGCCCUACACUCUUGUCCGUCUGCCAUGCUAUACUACUGGGCCGUGAUCACUUCGGGAGGUGAUCAUGGGCAUAUGCUAUAUACUUUACACAGUUACUUUACCUGUGGUACUGUUCGGAGAUGGGGGCUGAAGGGGCAGGUGGUUCCACCCAGGUAGUGGUGGGCCUGGGUUCCCGACGGCCCCCGACUGUUACUUUGUGGCGGAGCGACAGGGCAGGUUCAGACCACCUAGGAGAGAGGUGGGCCUGGCCCUGGUCGGCGUCCGCGGAUACUUAACACACUUAACGAGAUCUGGGUAUUUGAUCUGAGUCUGGCCAUUUGGUCUAUACGCACUAACCAUCUACGCGGGAGUAGUUAUGGGUAUCCCGACGUCGUGGUAUCAGCCGAAGCCUUCGUGACAUCAGCGACUAAGUGGCGCGUGCCGGAUUGGACCGUAAGCCUGCUCUUGUAUUAAGGGGGCUAGUUCUGCUUCCGGCCGCGUUCGCAACGUGCAGGUGUGCAAAGGGCGAUGGGCCCAGACCCCUGCGCCAUAGGAUUUAGACCAGCGUGCUGACCUCUCUGUUGGGCCUAGGUAGGGCUGCGACGUGUUGAUCUUCCGAGGCCGGGCAUGACCCAGAAAAGUGUGUCCGGCCAAAUGGGAUCGAGCGUGUUGGGGUAUGUGGUGCACCCCUGCAGGGAAGUUUAUCUAUUCGAAUAGCCGUGUCCCUCGGUAAAAGGACGACCCGGAGUUGUACUUUGACCUUAUGAUAACUAGAACCGGAUACUUAAUAAAACACACCCUUCCAAGUGCCAGAUACAACCGGUGAUCGCUCUCUCACAGGGCGACGAGGGGAGGAUCAUCGGUUAGGAUUAUGCUAUGCGAUGCUACUUGGAGGACUUCAGUCUACUCUCUUCUACAUGCUGCAAGACGGAGGUUACCAGAAGCGUAGUCUUCGAAAGGACUAGCUAUCCCCCUCUUAUUCCGGCAUUCUGCAGUUCAGUCCACAUAUGAUAGCCUUAUUCCAAUUGAUACCAAUGCAUACAUAUGUAGUGUAGCUCCUUGCUUGCGAGUACUUUGGAUGAGUACUCACGGUUGCUUUCUCCCUCUUUCCCCCCUAUCCCUUCUACCUGGUUGUCGCGACCAGAUGUUGGAGCUCAGGAGCCAGACGCCACCGUUGACGACGACUCCUACUACACCGGUGGUGCCUACUACUACGUGCUGUCCGCUGACGACGACCAGGAGUAGUUUAGGAGGAUCCCAGGCAAGAGGCCUGCGCCUCUUUCGAUCUAUAGCUCAGUUUGUGCUAGCCUUCUUAAGGCAAACUUGUUUAACUUAUGUCUGUACUCAGAUAUUGUUGCUUCCGCUGACUCGUCUAUGAUCGAGCUCUUGUAUUCGAGCCCUCGAGGUCCCUGGCUUGUAAUAUGAUGCUUGUAUGACUUAUUUUAUUUGUAGAGUUGUGUUGUGAUAUCUUUCUGUGAGUCCCUGAUCUUGAUCGUACACGUUUGCGUGUAUGAUUAGUGUACGGUCAAAUCGGGGGCGUCACACGAUGUAUCAUCGGACGGUUCCCUAGGCUCGUCGGACAUGGAUAGCGAUCCAGUCCCGACCCCCACCUCCCCUCAUCCUGCUGACGACGCCGAGGUGCUGUCUCAAGAGGCAUCGGGUCGAGGGGAGACAGUCCUGGAGGCACCUCAAGGCGACCUUCCGGACUCCGGGAGCCGAGGGGACGGGGCCCCUAAGAGCUUCGAGUUCGGCCCUCAGCCGAACACCGCGCUGGAACCUCCAGUGGUUCCGGGCUCGGUCAGGCGGCCUCCUUCUAAGAGGGGCAAGACACCUGUGCCGGUGACCUCUGUCUAUCCAGAGGCGCCGGACAAUCUGCUGGAAGCGCUUCGCAGCGCUUCCAUCGACGAGGAGCACCGCACUAUCAUGAGUGCGGCGAUCCAGAAAGUUUAGUCCGCCAAGAGCGGAUUGACUGAAGCCUGUGCCAGCCUUCUAACAGGCUUUGAGGUAAGUGUUUUAAAAUAUAGGAAAAAUACUACUGCAUAUAUAGUAGCCCCUGAUGCUUUGUUCGGUGUUCAGAAAGAAAAGCCGAACAGAGGAUCAAAUAAUAUCGCAGGACUCUAAUAUAAGUAUGUCAAUAUGCGUAUGCAAGCCUCACUGCUGGCAUCCGCCACACUGACUGCGGAGGUCGCCCUACUGAAGCAGGACCUCGAGAGGUCUAGGAGAGAGCUCGGCCUUGUCAAGAGGCAGCUCGAGGAGAACAAGGGUAAGUAAUACCUUGUCUUUAGAUAUGUAUAUAUAAAAGAAGAAGCGAUUGCAAAAUGACAGGAUCAUCGUACAUUCGCCAGGGGCCACGACCAAGGUGGCAACCCUCAAGCAAGCGCUAACCAAGGCCGAAGAUAACGCGGCCAAGGAGCGCACCGAGUGAGAGAAGCACGAGGCUCGGGUGGGCGAGGUGCAGCAAGAGCUCUAGGCUAUCAUGGUGAAGCACGAGGCAUUGGAGCUUGACUAAAAGACGCGAGAGUCUGAGCUUUCCGCGGCCCUCGAGAGCGCAAAAAGUGCCAAGGCCGAAGCCCAAAGGGGUCUCCAGGCGGGUAUGGCUUUCUAUAUGCAAAGCAAGCAUGUAAAAGUAAAUUACCGAUUACUUACUCGAAUCCGGAGCUCUCCAGGAGCAUUCGCAGAUUUUCCACGCAGCGUGUCCGAUGCCGCACAAUUUUACCAGGCCGAGGAUGGAAGCUCAAUGGAGAAGCUGUUCUGGUAUCAGUAUGCUGAGGCCGGACACCCGGUGCCAAUGAGCGACCAGCUGAAGCAGGUGGUCGAGCUACAUAAGGCGGCCGAUCAGGCCAUGAAGGGCUUUAUAGUCCGGCUGUGGCCUGGCGACGCCCUUCCGAACAGCUUCCUCGGCCUGGUGAGGCGGCUUGUGGAUGCCUGCCCGCGGCUGGAGGUCGUCAAGCGAUCUGUCUACAUUGAGGGUGCACGCCGGGCUUUCGCCCGUGUGAAAUUGCAGUGGGUCAAGCUAGACGCCGUGAAGCUGAUCAAGGAGGGGCCGCCGGAGGGCAAGGAGCACCGCCACCCCGAGAUGUACUACGAGGGUGUUCUGCUGGGUGCCCGUCUCAUAGCGGACGAGUGUUCAAAAGAUGUAAUAUUUGAGUGAGACUUGCUCGUUUUAUCCUGUAUUUAUGAAAACUUGUUUCAUAUGCACUAUGCAACGCUUGUUUGAAUUUAGAAUAUUACCUUCUGUUUGGCCGUUUAUCAAUCUGAGAGAUGGCUAGUCCUCAGCUUCUGCCCCCAUGCCACGAGUGCUGGGGUCUUCGGGAUAAACCUGAGCACUCUUGUUCCCAUAUUUGGGUCCUUGGAGGGAGGUGCUCAGCACAACGAACAAGGAAACCCGACUAAUAAUGCUUUAUCACUCUCACUUAGCGAUAGAAUUCUAUAAUUUUAAAUUUCGGCGAAGCCCCUGGUAUUCGGAAGGCCGAAUUCGGGGCGCGAUACACGCCUUUAAGCCGGACAGGGCCGGCCCCUCGCCCUAAGCGGCAUAAGUCUUUGGGGACUCGAUAACCUCGCCGAACAGCGAUCAGUCUCUCCCCUUAUCAUGACAGUCAGUUUUAGCUUUCUCUACUUAGGUGCCGAACCCAGCAAAACCGGGGCACAAUCGCAGUAGUUCUCCUAGCGCUACCUUAGCCGAUAGAGUGGAACGUAAGGUACCAAAACAUAGGAGCCGGGCAAACCCAACAUUUGACCAAAGACAUGAUUCGGAGCUGAUGCAUAUAAUGCUAUAAGUUUGGGGUGCCGCACUUGUGAAAGUGUUCGGACUUUUCACACCGUAUUGUGGGGUACGUAAGCCCCUGGUGUAUUGGCCGUACCAAAGUGUACGGUUGCAAGGCAUCAUUAAUGAACAUAUAUAUAUAUAUAUAUAUAUAUAUAUAACAAGAGUGCAAUAAUAGUCGUAAUGUCAUGCAUUGUUUAUUCAAAAAAUUACGUUAAAGUAGGGUGAUACAGAUAGUGUGAUAAGCAAAGAGUAGGACUAUGUCCCUUCCCAAGGCAAGCUAAGGAAUGAUAUUAAAUUGAAUAUUUCGCUCGUUACAGUAAUCCACCUAGGAAUUCCGUGGUGUGACGUAGCUAUCUGCCUCCUUGGUUGCUGCAUCGUGUGUUCGGCAAUAGUGCUGCCGGACAGUGUUUCCAGAGGUUAAUGUCCUGAAAAAAAGAGAAAAAUAACCAAACGGGAAGCCCCUAGUGCGGUUUAAGCCGCGUCUUGGGGCGUGCUGCAGUUGUGCCACCCUCCCCACCUGUGCCCAUGGUAUUUUUAAUGCGUAAUUAUGUACGCGUGGCAUGAGUUUCGUCGUUGGGCUGGGAUUGGGGUGGCCGCCUUAUUGCUACGCGAGCUCAGAUCGCGCAAGGCGGUCUAUUUGCCGAUUGCUCCGAGCGCGCUUGAAGGUGUCCGGGCUUUGAAGCGCCGGACUGGUUGAUUGCCUUGAGAGGCUGCUUUGCGCUUCUGCUGCGAGGGCCGCGGUGUGCUCCUCUGUUCGGAGAGAGCACUCUGUGUUUCCAUUGACUGUAAUAACUCCGCGAGGUCCUGACAUCUUGAGCUUGAGGUAUGCAUAGUGCGGUACCGCAUUGAAUCUAGCAAAUGCGGUUCGCUCGAGCAGCGCGUGGUAACCACUGCGGAAUGGGACUAUAUCGAAGAUUAGCUCUUCGCUUCGGAAGUUAUCCGGGGAUCCGAAGACCACUUCCAGUGUAAUUGAGCCUGUGCAAUGGGCCUCUACACCUGGAAUGAGGCCUUUAAAGGUCGUUUUUGUGGGUUUGAUCCUUGAGGGGUCUAUACCCAUUUUGCGCACUAUAUCCUGAUAAAGUAGGUUCAGGCUGCUGCCGCCAUCCAUAAGGACUCGAGUGAGGUGAAAUCCGUCAAUGAUUGGGUCUAGGACUAGUGCGGAAAAUCUACCAUGAUGGAUACUAGUGGGGUGGUCCCUUCGAUCGAAGGUGAUCGGAUAGGAGGACCAAGGGUUGAACUUUGGGGUGACUGGCUCGAACGCAUAUACGUCCAUGAGCGCACGCUUCCGCUCCCUCUUAGGGAUGUGGGUUGCGUAUAUCAUGUUCACCGUCUGCAGUUGCGGGGGAAACCUCUUCUGUCCUUCGAUGUGCGGCUGCCGGGGCUCCUCCUCGUCAUCGCUAUGCGGCCCCUUGUCCUUCUUUUCGGCAAUUAACUUGCGGGCCUGCUUGAACACCCAACAAUCCCUGUUGGUGUGAUUGGCUGGCUUGUCUAGGGUGCCGUGUAUUUGACACGAGCGAUCGAGUAUACGUUCCAAGCUGGAUGGACCUGGCGUACUUUGUUUGAAUGGCUUUUUCCGCUGACCGGGUUUAGAGCCUUUGAAUCCGGCAUUGACUGCCGUAUCCUCGGUAUUUUCGCUGUUAAUGCGGCGGUUAUGUUUGUUGUGACAUGACCUGCUAUUGCCAUCCUUGGUAUCGGAGGUACCAUGGUUCUUUGAUAUGUUAUUACUACGGGCCAGCCAGCUGUCUUCUCCCGCACAAAAGCGGGUCAUGAGCGUCGUGAGAGCUGCCAUAGAUUUCGGCUUUUCCUGACCAAGGUGCCAGGCUAGCCACUCGUCUCGGAUGUUGUGUCUGAAAGCCGCUAAGGCCUCUGCAUCCGGACAGUCGACGAUUUGAUUUUUCUUUGUGAGGAACCAAGUCCAGAAUUGCCUAGCCGACUCUUCUGGCUGCUGAAUUAUGUGGCUCAAGUCAUCGGCGUCUAGUGGUCGCACAUAAGUGCCCUGAAAGUUGUUGAGGAAUGCGGCUUCCAGAUCUUCCCAACAGCUAAUGGAGUCCGCUGGCAAGCUGUUAAGCCAAUGCCGCGCUGGUCCUUUGAGCUUUAGUGGAAGAUAUUUGAUGGCGUGUAAGUCAUCACCGUGGGCCAUGUGGAUGUGGAGGAGGAAAUCCUCGAUCGAUACUGCAGGAUCUGUUGUGCCGUCGUAUGAUUCAAUAUUUACAGGUUUGAAACCUUCUGGGAAUUGAUGAUCCAUUACUUCGUCUCUGAAGCAUAAGGGGUGUGCGGCGCCUCUGUAGUGGGCUAUAUCGCGACGCAGCUCGAAUGGGUCUUGCCCGCUGUGUUCGGCCCGGCCGGAUUUGCUUUUACUGUAUCCGGCGUGACAUUUAUCGUCUCGCAGAGUUGUGCGCCCUCGUGAUCCGUAGAUCGAUCUUGCAUGCUUUGCUUUGUCCUCCAAUAUAUCUCGCAGGUCUGGCGUAUCUCCCCAUGCCUUUUUAUUUGAAUGGCGUCGGGGUGGAGGCUGAGUUUUUGGCUGGACUGCCUCUCUAUCGCGGCCACGAGGUGGCCGAUCCGGGCAGUAACCUGCACUUUGGGUAAUUCUUGGAGGGGUGCUUGAGUUUAUAUUCCUCGGCCGCGAGGACUUCAGUCCAUCUGUUAGUUAAGAGAUCUUGAUCAGCUUGAAGCUGCUGCUGCUUUUUCUUUAGGCUAUUUUCCGUGGCCAUAAGCCGGUGCUUGAAGCGCUCUUGUUCGAUGGGAUCCUCUGGUACAUCGAAUUCAUCAUCGCCGAGGCUUGCCUCGUCUUCGGAGGCGGGCGUGUAAUUGUCAUCCUCCUCCUCUCCGUCUGCCGCUCUUUCAGGAGGGUUGGCUCCUCCAUCCUCCUGCUCUAAAUCUUGCUGGAGGGGAUUAUUGUUGUCUUCGGCACUAUCCGGAGUGUUAUUAUCUCCUGUGCCGGUAUCACCACUUUUGCUUUGGCGGGACUUAGAGCGGCGCCGCUGACAUCGGCGCUUGGGUUGCUUCUUGGAGAGGUCAUCCUCCGUUAUCUCGUCGCCAUUGCCUUCUUUGGGUGUAUCCACCAUGUAUAUGUCGUAUGAUGAUGUGGCUUUCGAGUGCCCUAUGGGCGCUGGUUCAUGUUCAUCUCCUACAUCGUCGUCCAUACCAUCGAUGUCUUCGGAGUCGAAGUCGAGCAUGUCGGUUAAAUUAUCGACAGUGGCUACGAAGUGGGUGGUGGGUGGGCAUCGAAUUUCUUCGUCGUCCGCCUCCCAAUCCUGUUGGCCAUAGUCCGGCCAGGGCUCUCCUGACAAAGAGAGAGACUUUAGUGAAUUCAGAAUGUCACCGAAGGACGAGUGCUGCAAGAUAUCAGCGGCGGCGAAUUCCAUGAUCGGCGCCCAGUCGGAUUCAAUUGGCAGGGGCGCGGACGGUUCGGAGUCCGGAAAAGAGUCCGGCACCUUGGAGUCACGGGCUUUGCAGAGGAUUAGGCUGGUGUUCAACUCGAUCACCGUUGAGACUGCAGCCCCUGAGGCGGUGUCUAGCCACCCGUCCUCGACUGGCGCAGUUGGCUCCGAGCUAAGGGUCAGAGCUGAUGCGGGCGCGGCCUCUGGGGUACUGUCCGGUGGUAGAGCUAGGUCAUACCCAUCGUGACAGUGCAGCGCGCCCGGCUGUGGCUUGAAUCCGUCGAAGAUCAAGUCUCCGAGGAUGUCGGCCGUGUAGUUCAAACUUCCAAAUCUGACCUGAUGGCCAGGGGUGUAGCUUUCAAUCUGCUCCAGAUGGCCAAGCGAAUUAGCCCGUAGUGCAAAGCCGCCGAACACUGGACCGCAUCGUUGUUCAUGAUCGGAGGAGCCAUCGGGCCUAAAGGUGACGACACCGAGGAAAUCUCAAUGGAAGCACCAAUGUCGGUGUCAAAUCCGGCGGAUCUCGGGUAGGGGGUCCCGAACUGUGCGUCUAGGCCGGAUGGUAACAGGAGGCAGGGGACACAAUGUUUUACCCAGGUUCGGGCCCUCUUGAUGGACGUAAAACCCUAUGUCCUUCUUGAUUAAUAUUGAUGAUAUGUGUAGUACAAGAGUAGAUCUACCACGAGAUCAGAGAGGCUAAACCCUAGAAGCUAGCCUAUGGUAUGAUUGUAUACGUCCUACGGACUAAAACCCUCCAGUUUAUAUAAACACCGGAGAGGGUUAGAGUUACACAAGGUCGGUUGCAAAGGAGGAGAUAUCCAUAUCCGUAUUGCCUAGCUUGCCUUCCACGCCAAGUAGAGUCCCAUCCGGACACGGGACGGAGUCUUCAAUCUUGUAUCUUUAUAGUCCAACAGUCCGGCUGUCCGGAGACCCCCUAAUCCAGGACUCCCUCACCCCCACUCCCUAUCGAACCCUAGCCCAAUCGCCCCACCUCCCCCACACCCCCUCGCCAGCCUCCCCACCUCUUGAUCCCAUCUGGAUCGGGGAGGGGAUCACCCCCAUCGACCCCGUCGCCGUCGCCGGAUCGCCCGUCAGCGUCGCCAGGCCUCCUCCCCGCCGCCCGUCUCCGGCUCGCCUCCCCUCUCGCUCCUCUUUCCCGACCCGAUCAGGAUCGUGAACGAGCAAUGAGCGCGACGCCCCCCCUUCAUCGGCGCCAUCACCGUGCGCCACCACCACCGCCUGAAGACCUCGCCGUCGCUGACCUUGUGUCGUCUCCUGGUAUCCCUUCCCGACUCGCGUCCUCAAGCCAGGCCGACCCCCUUCUCGGCAAUGCUGUGAGACGCCCCCCGUUUCCCUCCUCUUUCCACCGUGUUCACCGCGCCGCCUGACGAAGCUACGUACCUAGGGUAGGGGCAUGGACCUGUCCUAAGAGCCCUACCCAAGGACAUCCCUGGAAGAAGUCACCUUUCAAUCGACUUGAAGGUACCCACUCGACGGGUUUAAGACACUCGACCAAGAAGCUACCACUCGACAUGAAGCCAAUCACUCGACUGCCAGGAGAUCUAAAGUCAUUCCACGGGCAAACGGUCGGCUAUUAAGUAGUCUUUAUGGUCAUUAUAGCACUUUAUUACCAGCAUUACCAGUAACGCCCCGCCUUAAUGUACAUUGAACCCUUGGUAACGUAGGCUGGCCGGGGUCCUGGCGCGCUCUAUAUAAGUCACCCCCUCCUCCGAGACAAGGGUUCGCACCUCUAUUGUUCACAUGCCUAUAAUCCAAUCGACCGCCUCCGGGCACUGAGACGUAGGGCUGUUACUUCCUCCGCGAAGGGCCUGAACUCGUACACCUUGGUGUGUUUACAACUUCCCAAUAGCUGAGAUCUAGCCUCUCCAUACACACCCCCCUACAUCACUGUCAGAGUUAGAACCACAAUAGUUGGCGCCCACCGCGGGGCCAGAAUCUUAGCGCUUACUUGGAGAAGUUGCGAUUCUUCUGAUCCCUUUGAUCAUGGUUUCAUGCGGAGUUUUGGUGGAGGGGCGCGAGAUCCGUCUCGGCGCGCUCACAUUCAUCGCCGACGACUCCGCUUGGUUUCAGGAGGCUCCACUCGACAUCGACGUGCUCCCCGUCCGUGGUGCGACGCACUUCCGCGCAUGCGUUCGUGGCGUCCUCCUGCGGCAGCCGUCGACCCAGUAUCGGUCGGCCCUCGUGUCGUCUCCCCGCUCUGUCUCCCUCCGACGCAAGCGCUUUGGUAGGUCGAGACUUUAGAGGUGGGUGAGGCAUGCCGUGGCUCGCCAGUCGGCCGCCCCACAAGUCGCGGCAAUCGAGCCCGACAAAUCCCUCUGCAGCCUGUUCGACUGGCUCCGCGGAGACUUCAUCCGAGUGUGACAGCAGAGACCCAGCGGCUGAGGUUCUGGCGGUCGAUGGGACACACUGUCCUCCCGGUUUCCCUCGCGCUAAUGGAGGCGCGGGUGGGGGCGACCCGUCGCAUCCCCACGAUGAGUAUCUCCCCGAAUGUCUCACGGCAUCGCAGCGAGAGGAACUUCACCGCCGGAACAUAGACGCACUCCACACUCCUAUCGUCGGAGAAACCCCCGAGGCCCGGGCCUUGGAGGACGCGCGCUUGGCUAACUUGGCUGAGCGCACUCGACUGGAGAAUCUCCAGCUAAUACUCGAUGAGCAAGCGCGCCAGUGAGCUCCCGAGUCCAGUCGACGUCAGCUCUUUCCGCCGAUGCAGGUAUAUUGAACCCUAGUUCAGAAUUUGGCCGCCGCGGCCCGUAUAGCAGAGUCAAUUCAGCCCUCCCAGUCAGAGGCUGGCAGGGGCUUGUUGCAGAUCAGAGCAUUGCUCCGGGCGGCGGGGAACCAGAAUUCCGCUGUUUCUCAGUCGCAGAAUAGGAUCCACAGUCGAUCCGUUGCAACAGAUACAGUCCAGUCGGCUCACAGCCCGAGAUCGCCCCCGAGGCGUGAGGGACAUGGAGACCGGCACGAUCAGUACAGAAGAAAUGAGCAGUAUGAUCACCGAUUCGAUCGUGAGGAUCGACGUCGAGUGCCAACCCCUCCCCCGAGGAGUGGGUCAUAUGCGCCUCGAUAGCGAGAUGACAGGCGCCCUCAUAGUGUUGGGCAGAGGAUUCCAGUCGACCCCAGGGACCCAGGCUUUGAUGCGAGAUCCAUCCUUGAUCAAGGUCUGGUUGACAGGAACGGGGCUCACCGAGAAUGCCAGGACAGAGAUGCGCCUGCCAGCAGCAGAGUGCGUGUUUCAGGGACAGAGUGUUUCAGUCGAGCCAUCAGAGCCACAGUGAUUCCUCCCAACUUCAGGUUGGCGACUGGAGUCAGCUAGUUCACCGGUGAGUCUAAGCCUGACACUUGGCUCGAAGAUUACCGAGUGGCUGUACAGAUUGGCAGUGGCAAUGAUGAGGUGGACAUGAAGCAUUUGCCUCUCAUGUUAGAGGGCUCAGCCAGAGCAUGGCUAAAUCAGUUAGUGCCCAGCAGCAUUUACACUUGGGAGGACCUCUCCCGAGUGUUUGUCACAACCUUUGAGGGAACAUGCAAGCGACCUGCAGGCCUUACAGAGUUGCGGUCUUGCACGCAGAAACCGAAUGAAACGCUGAGGGAUUACAUCCAGAGGUGGAUCACAUUGCAUCACACAGUUGAGAAUGUUCCAGAUCAUCAAGCAGUUUGUGCCUUCAAAGAAGGCGUUAAGUACAGAGAAUUGAAUCUGAAGUUCGGUCGAACUGGAGAGAUGUCUCUGAAUCGGAUGAUGGAGAUUGCCACCAAAUACGCUAAUGGUGAAGACGAAGAUCGCCUCCGGAGUGGCAAGCGCAAGGCAGUCGCCCAAGAAACCGGAGGAAACUCCAGUCAGAAACAGAAGCGGAAGGCUGAGCCAGCCGCCCCUGGGGAGGCCCUGGCCGUAACCCAGGGAAAUUUCAAGGGAAAACCCAAGGGCCCCUGGAAGCCCAAGAAAGUCAAGGAUCAAGAUGGAAAUGAUGUUUUGGAUCUGCCAUGUCACUCCACACCAAGAAAGAUGAAGAGGGUAAUUUUAUUUACCCAAAGCAUACCACUCGACAGUGCCAGCUCCUGAUCCAGCAGUUUCAGGGCAAGCAACCCAAAGAUAAGGAAAAAGAGCCAGACAGAGUUGAGGACAAGGAUGAUAGUGACGAUGGAUACCCCCAAGUCAAUUCCACCCUGAUGAUUUUUGCUGAUGUCGAAAGCAAAAGUCGACUGAAAGUCAUUAAUCGUGAAGUGAAUAUGGUUGCUCCGGCAACACCUAGUUAUCUGAAGUGGUCUCAGGCUGCCAUAACAUUCGACCAGUCUGAUCACCCUACGCACAUUGCCACCCCUGGGAGGCAAGCUUUGGUGGUCGACCCAGUUGUCGAAGGCACUCGACUGACCAAAGUCCUGAUGGAUGGUGGCAGUGGCCUGAACAUACUGUAUGCUAAAACAUUGAAAGGGAUGGGCAUUCCGAUGUCCGGGCUCAGUACCAGCAACAUGAGCUUCCACGGAGUCAUUCCCGGGAAGUAAGCCGAAUCACUCGGCCAGAUUGCUCUUGAUGUGGUUUUCGGUGAUUCAAAGACUUACCGCAAGGAAAAGUUGACAUUCGAGGUUGUGGACUUCCAAAGUGCUUAUCAUGCCAUUUUGGGCAGACCAGCUUAUGCACGCUUCAUGGCCUGACCAUGUUAUGUGUAUCUCAAAUUGAAGAUGCCUGGUCCUAAAGGUGUGAUCACUGUUACAGGCAAUCGGAAGAAGGCAGAAGAGUGUUUUCAGAAAGGCUCAAAGAUUGCUGACGCUCAGAUGGCAGUGGUUGAGCUGCAAGAGUAUCAGAAGACUGCAGAUCCGAGUGAGUUGCUACGAGCUAAGAAGCCCACUUCGGAGUCAGCUUUUCAGUAGUCUGGUGAAAUGAAGGCAGUUCACAUUCACCCGACCAACCCCGAGGCUGCCCCGACUCACAUCUCAAAGACGCUCGACUCCAAAUAGGAAGAAGUGCUCAUCCAGUUCCUCCGUGAGAACUGGGACAUCUUCGCAUGGAAGCCUUCUGACAUGCCUGGAAUAACCAGGGGGCUGGCUGAGCACCGUCUACGAGUCGACCCAAAGUUCAAGCCUAUGAAAGAACAUCUUCGACGGUCCGCCGUCCAAAAGAGGAAAGCUAUUGGCGAGGAGGUGGCUCGGCUCUUAGCAGCAGAGUUCAUCCGAGAGAUGUACCACUCUGAGUGGCUCGCCAAUGUUGUCAUGGUCCCCAAGAAGGACAAGUCGCUUCGCAUAUGCAUCGACUUUAAACAUAUCAAUCGGGCCUGCCCGAAAGAUCAUUUUCCUCUCCCUCGCAUCGACCAAAUAGUCGACUUGACCGCGGGGUGUGAGCGAUUGUCUUUUCUAGACGGCUAUUCCGGGUACCAUCAGAUCCGUCUGUAUGGACCCGAUGAGAUCAAAACAGCUUUCAUCACUCCAUUCGGGUGCUUCCGUUAUGUCACCAUGCCCUUCGGCCUCAAGAACGCUGGAGCCACGUUCAUGAGGAUGAUUCAGAAGUGUUUGCUCACUCAAAUCAGUCGGAACGUGGAAGCAUACAUGGAUGAUAUUGUGGUCAAGUCGCGGAAAGGUUCCGACCUGCUGACUGACCUUGCUGCAACCUUUGCCAACCUUAGGAGGUAUGAUAUCAAGCUUAAUCCAUCAAACUGCACAUUCGGAGUUCCGGGUGGAAAGUUACUCGGUUUUCUCGUUUCCGAAUGAGGAAUCAACGCCAAUCCCGAGAAAGUUGGCACCAUACUCCGGAUGAAGCGCCCUGUGCGUGUGCACGAUGUCCAGAAGCUUAUGGGUUGCUUGGCCGCUCUAAGUCGAUUCAUUUCUCGUCUCAGUGAAAAGGCAUUGCCUCUUUACCGACUGAUGAAGAAGUCUGACAAGUUCGAGUGGACUCCAGAAGCUGAUGCAGCGUUUGCAGACCUCAAAGCUCUGCUCUCCACCCAGCCGGUGCUUGCUGCCCCAAUCAGUAAAGAGCCUUUGCUGCUUUACAUUGCAGCCACAGGACAAGUUGUCAGUACAGUACUUAUGGUCGAGCGGGAAGAUGAAGGAUAGGCCUUCAGAGUUCAACGCCCAGUAUAUUAUGUGUCUGAAGUUUUGACACCUUCAAAACAAAGAUAUCCUCAUUAUCAGAAGCUUGUAUACGGGAUUUAUAUGACCACGAAGAAGGUUGCACAUUACUUCUCUGACCACUCCAUUACAGUCGUCAGCGACGCCCCACUGUCAGAGAUUCUGCAUAACAGAGAUGCAACUGGUCGAGUGGCGAAGUGGGCGAUUGAACUCCUUCCCCUAGAUAUCAAGUUUGAAGCAAAUAAGGCUAUCAAGUCCCAAGCAAUUGCAGAUUUCAUCACCGAGUGGAUCGAACAGCAGCUUCCGACUCAAGUUCACCCGGAGCACUGGACCAUGUUCUUCGAUGGAUCUAAGAUGCUGAAUGGUUCCGGUGCUGGGGUAGUAUUGGUCUCCCCCCGAGGAGAUAAGCUCAGAUAUGUUCUCCAGAUUCACUUUGAUUCCUCCAAUAAUGAAGCAGAAUAUGAAGCACUUUUGUAUGGGUUGCGCAUGGCCAUUUCACUUGGCGUCCGUCGCCUCAUGGUCUAUGGCGACUCAGAUUUGGUGGUUAAUCAGGCGAUGAAGGAGUGAGACGUCAGAAGUCCGGCAAUGACUGGUUAUUGCAAUGUAGUGAGAAAGCUAGAAAAGAAAUUCGAGGGGUUAGAGCUUCAUCACAUCCCCCGACUGAAAAAUCAGGUAGCUGACGAUUUGGCAAAGAUAGGCCCCAAGAGAGAAGCCAUUCCCAGCAACGUGUUCCUGGAACACAUUCAUUCGCCAUCAGUCCAAGAAGAUCCUUUUACAGAAGAAGCCCCGCAGCCGAAAAGUGCCACAGAUCCGACUGAAGUCGAAGUCCCUGCUGUGGUCGACCUAAUCAUGGAAGUCUUCGCAAUCACUCCCGACUGGACGAUACCGUACAUCGCGUAUAUCCUAAGGAAAGAACUCCCGGAGGACGAGGAAGAGGCUCGACAGAUCGUCCGCCGAUCCAAAGCCUUCACAGUCACAAGGGGACAGUUGUAUAGAGAAAGCGCGACUGGGAUCGGUCAGAAGUGCAUAACACUAGAAGAGGUUCAGAUAAUCCUUGACGACAUCCACUCGCGGACCUGUGGUCACCAUGCGUCUUCUCGGACCAUUGUGGCUAAAGCAUACCGAGCGGGAUUUUACUGGCCAAGAGCAAAUGAGAUGGCAAAAGAGAUAGUCGACCAGUGUGGAGGGUGCUAGUUCUACUCCAACAUGUCACACAAGCCUGCGUCAGCCCUGAAGACCAUUCCACUCGUCUGGCCCUUUGCUGUCUGGGGACUGGACAUGGUUGGUCCACUAAGAACAGGCAGGAGCGGUUUCACUCAUGUGCUUGUGGUAGUCGACAAGUUUACCAAAUGGAUUGAGGCUAAGCGCAUCAAGAAUCUUGAUGCUUGCACUACUAUCAGUUUCGUCAGAGGGCUAACAUUCAGAUAUGGAGUCCCGCAUAGCAUCAUCACUGACAAUGGGUCAAACUUUGAUUCGGACAAGUUCAGAGCUUUUUGCGCCUCUCAAGGCACACGAGUCGACUACGCAUCGGUCGCCCAUCCCCAGUCGAAUGGACAAGCAGAGAGAGCAAAUGGUUUGAUUCUCAAAGGACUAAAGCCUCGACUGAUGCGCGAUCUCAAGCACGCGGCAGGUGCUUAGGUCGACGAGCUUCCGUCAGUUCUGUGGGGAUUGAGGACCACCCCGAACCGGUCGACUGGAGGAACUCCAUUCUUUCUGGUUUAUGGAGCCGAGGCAGUUCUGCCGAGUGAUCUUCUUCACAACGCACCCCGAGUCGAACUUUAUACCGAAGAUGAAGCAGAACAAGCCCGGCAAGACGCAGUCGACCUACUAGAAGAAGAGAGGGAGAUGGCCAUGAUCAGAUCGACCAUUUAUCAGCAAGACUUGCGUCGAUUCCACGCUAGGAAUGUGAAGAGUCGAGCCUUCCAAGAAGGAGAUUUGGUCCUCCUAGUGGAUCAACAGAAACCACACAAGCUUGCUCCUACUUGGGAAGGCCCCUUCAUCGUCACCAGAGUCCUCCACAAUGGAGCGUAUCACCUCUACAAUGUUGAUCGCCAGAUCGAUGAGCCGCGAGCUUGGAAUGCGGAACUGCUCCGCCCCUUUUACACUUGAGUUCUCCCUUGGACGAGAUGUAAUAAGAAAAAAUUUCUGCAGUUCAUUUUUAUCAAAGGCAAGAGUGUUCCAAUAAUUGCUGUCACUUUUGUUUGCAUACGAAAUCCCCCAGUGGGUGACUUAGCUGCGAAUCCGUUUCGCCUAAGUUUGAAAAAUCCUACCGAGUGGAGAGCCAGAUUCCCACUCGGGGGCUUAGCUCCAGCCCAGUGCUUGCCUAAGUGUUCAAAAAUCCUACCAAGUGAGAGCAAUCCUCCCACUUGGGGGCUUAGCUGCAGUCCAGUACUCGCCUAAGUUCUCCCACUUAGAGACUUAGCUGCAGUCAGGCACUCGCCUAAGUUUGAAAAAAUCCUACCGAGUGGAGAGCAAUCCUCCCACUCGAGGGCUUAGCUGCAGUCCAGUACUCGCCUAAGUUCUCCCACUUAGAGACUUAGCUACAGUCAGGCACUCGCCUAAGUUUGAAAAAAUCCUACCGAGUGGAGAGCAACCCUCCGACUCGGGGGCUUAGCUGCAGUCCAGUACUCACCAAAGUUCUCCCACUUAGAGACUUAGCUANNNNNNNNNNNNNNNNNNNNNNNNNNNNNNNNNNNNNNNNNNNNNNNNNNNNNNNNNNNNNNNNNNNNNNNNNNNNNNNNNNNNNNNNNNNNNNNNNNNNNNNNNNNNNNNNNNNNNNNNNNNNNNNNNNNNNNNNNNNNNNNNNNNNNNNNNNNNNNNNNNNNNNNNNNNNNNNNNNNNNNNNNNNNNNNNNNNNNNNNNNNNNNNNNNNNNCUCUCCUUCCGAGCUACGCCACAAGUACAACAUGCGCUCUGCAAGGAGGACGAGGUGCAGGUCGACUGCUACCCUCUCCUUCCGAGCUACGCCACCAAUUCAAAAUCCUACUGAGUGGAGAGCAAACCUCCCACUCGGGGGCUUAGCUGCAGCCCAGUGCUCGCCUAAGUAUUUGAAAUCCUACCGAGUGGAGAGCAAACCUCCCACUCAGGGGCUUAGCUGCAGCNNNNNNNNNNNNNNNNNNNNNNNNNNNNNNNNNNNNNNNNNNNNNNNNNNNNNNNNNNNNNNNNNNNNNNNNNNNNNNNNAAAUCCUACCGAGUGGAGAGCAAACCUCCCACUCGGGGGCUUAGCUACAGCCCAGUGCUCGCCUAAGUAUUUAAAAAUCCUACCGAGUGGAGAGGAAACCUCCCACUCGGGGGCUUAGCUGCAGCCCAGUGCUCGCCUAUGUGUUUAGAAAUCCUACCGAGUGGAGAGCAAACCUCCCACUCGGGGGCUUAGCUGCAGCCCAGUGCUCGCCUAAGUGUUUAGAAAUCCUACCGAGUGGAGAGCAAACCUCCCACUCGGGGGCUUAGCUGCAGCCCAGUGCUCGCCUAAGUGUUUAGAAAUCCUACCGAGUGGAGAGCAAACCUCCCACUCGGGGGCUUAGCUGCAGCCCAGUGGUCGCCUAAGUGUUUAAAAAUCCUACCGAGUGGAGAGCCAGACUCCCACUCGGGGGCUUAGCUGCAGCCUAGCGCUCGCCUAAGUGUUUAAAAAUCCUACCGAGUGAGAGCAAACCCCUCACUCGGAGGGCUUAGCUGCAGCCCGGUGCUCACCUAAGUACAGGACACAACCCAAUCCGCAAGAAGUUACGCCACAAAUACAAGGUUAUUCCGAGUGAAGAUCAAGUUGCACUCGACAGAUCAAACCAUGAAGAUAUCCAACGAGAAAUCAAGUUCGGAUAAAGCCUAAAGGUCCCAGACCUCAGAUCAAAGUACUCGAGCCCUCGGCUCGGCAGAGUUUAACGGUUACAAAUCCACUCAGCAUUCCGAGGCAAAUUUAAAGUGAAGCACGACGAACUCGUCCAAGUCGAUCCCGUCUGCAAUACGAGUGGCAGCAGCGAUGAAAGUCUCCAUGAAGUCUUGAAAGCUGUGCUUCCUGGUAUUGGCAACUUGGAUGGCGGCCGGCUUUUCUUCUCGCGCCUCCUUGCAAUGGACGCGGACCAGAGACAGAGCGACAUCAGCACCACAUCUAGCAGAAGAUUUCUUCCAUUCCGCCACUCAACCCGGGACUUCAUUCUGUCGAGCCAUCAGAGACUCGAGGUCGUUCUGAAGCAUCAUCCCAGGCCAGAGUGAUGUGUCAAUCCGCGACAUCGCAACCUUCAGUCGAGCAAGAUAGUCAACAACACUGGUAACACGAGACUCCAGUCGGAGCACGUUCAUAGCAGCUUCAUCCUUCACGAGAGAAUUGGCGGGGUCCAAGCCUGGCUCCACUCGACUGGUUUCCUCUUCGAAGUUCUGGCAGAAUUCUGCAAACACGAUUCAAGAGUCAGACAUUGGCUCUACACAGGCUUGGCAACUGCAAGACAGUCGGGGCAGAGUAAUUACCUUCGAGCAUGACGAACAGCUUCUUGGUGAGUCCACCGAGAUAAGCCUCCAGAUCAUUUACCUUCCCCGCCAGCUUACCCGCCUGGUCGUGUAGAACCAUCUUUUCAUUCUUCAGUCGGCUGACCUCUUGAUUAGCUGUCUCGAGAGCAGUUUUCAGCCUCGAGUUCUCCUGUUCAAGAGUUCCGACCGAAGCCAUUUUCUCUUCUCCAAGCUUCGUUCUGCUCAAGGCCUCCUUCUGUGAUUCUGCAAGAUCUUGAUCCUUCUUCUUCAGAGCUUCUUCCAGUUUAUCUGCGGCACGUCGAGUGAAAUCAACAUCAAGAAUGGACAAGCAAGAAAAAUCACUCGUCAAGAAUGGAGAACCUCACCAGCCAUACCUUUUGCUUCUUCUUGCGCCUUCCUCAAAUUCUCUUGAGCAAGCUUCAAGUUAAGGUUGAGCUGGAUCUGCUUAUUCUCCAACUCAGUAUAGCGAGCUACAAGUUCACAGGAUUUCUGCAAAAAGAAAAAUCAGUGGACAGACGUCCAAGAUAAGUUGCUUCCCAAUAACUAAAAGACAACGAUGGCGUUUCUAAGACUAUAGCCGAAUCUAAAACAUUCGACAGUAGUCUCGGGGACUACACCCAGUGGGUGCACUCUGCGUGCCCCCAUUGUAAAAAAAGUCGACUGCCCGCAGUCGACCGGAUACAGUUCCAUUCGACAUGGCCUGACCAGACCGAAUGAAGAAAUACAGCUACAACAACACAAUAUAAAGACUACAGUCGACUGCCAGCAGUCCACCAUAGUCUCGGGGACUACACCCAGUGGGUGCACUUAGCGUUCCCCCACUCGUCCAAGAAUUGGCAGACACACCCAGUGGGUGUACAGAUAUAAAGAUCUUCAAAAAAAAAGAUUCUUCAAACAGCAUAUCGUAACAGACCAAGUGUUGAGUCGACUGACCUGGACGUUACUCUGAAGAGCCGAACUCGCGUCAUAAGCCGCUUGGCUGGCCUCCCAAGCCGCUUUCACUUGUUCCAUCAUAAUCCCCGCCUGGCGUAUGGCCUCUUUUGCAGCAGCUGCUUGGUCCUCAGGGACGGGGUACGUGGCAAAAAGCGAAGGCGGAUCCGCAGUCGACGUCAAGGGCCGCACCCUCGUCAGAGGAAUGGCGAAAGUCACAGAAGCCCGAGUGGUUUCACCACCGUCUCGGGCUACGGCCUCAGGCGCCGGAGUGGAUUGUGGGGUCUCGCCAGCCGACGCUCCCCUGUUCCUUCUCACUCUCAGCGGCACGUCAUCGUCGUCAUCCGGAAGGUUGAUAACAUGAUAAGGAGCUACAAGAAAAAAUUCAAUCGACCAGAGUUGCAAUAAGUGUCCAGUCGACUGAAGGCAGAACAUCAGUAAUCAUACCAGGGUGGAGGUAACAGCAUCCUCCAUCUCUUGGUCGUCGUCCUUGGCAGAGACCUCCGAAGUAGGAGCACUGCAAAUCUCGAAAGUCAGUCAGUUGGCUCAAUGAAUCGACCAAGGAUCUGUCCACGGUCGACAAAGGAAAACAAGUUUUGUUAUUACCCAGAAAUGGUGGGGACAGCCAUCUUCAUCUUGGGCAGAGCCUUGGGCGGCUUGGACGGCGUCGCGCGUGGGUGCUUGGGAGCCUUUCCAGUCAGCGUAGGAGAAGAGGUUCGAGGGCGUUUCGACAACUGCCCAACAGGAGCAGUCGCCUACCACGUUCCCGCGCUGGAUCAUGUGUGAGCUUGGAUCGCCUCUCCCGGUGGGGGGGGGGGGGGGGUCAACCUCCUCCUCCUCCUCUUCGCUGGAGUUGACGUCGUCGUCUCCCUCUCCUUCGCCAUCGGACUCCCACUCGCCUUGAUCGUCUCCACUCUCACAUCCGCUCGCCUCCCCUUCCUCAGUUGGCUCCUGUGCCCCGUUGGGUGUCGAGUACAUCUCAGUAGUCGCCUGGAAAACAACAGACAAGACAAAAGUUAGUCGACCAAUUCAAAGAAGACCAAUGAAGAAAACAAGAUUUCAAUCGGGAGCGUAAAGUCAGACCUGGUCCACUUCGUAUUGUUGUCGAGUGGAGAAACCCUCCUGGCGCCUCGGGGGUUGUCUUUGUUUCCUGUGAUGCUCGUCAGCCACCCCUCCAACAUCUCAUCAGUGACCUCCUCCGGGUGGAUCCGAGUGGUGUCUUCGAGGCCCGAGUACAGCCACAUCGGGUGGCCGCGAGCCUGGAGCGGUUGGAUGCGCCUCCGAAGAAAGACCUCCAGCAAGUCCAUGCCAGUCACGCCAUCACGGACGAGCUGAACCACUCGACCAACCAGCACUUUGAAUUGGGUCUUUUCUUCUGGCGUCACUUUCAGAGAAGCAGGUUUUUGAGCUCGGUCGAGAGAGAAAUGGGGAAGCCCGGUCGACUGUCCUGGGGUCACCUGGUCUUUGCAGUAAAACCAGGUCGCCUGCCAACCACGGACCGACUCUGGGAAAAUGAUAGAUGGAAAACAACUCUUUCCCCUCGUCUGGAUCGCGAGGCCCCCGCACAGCUGGAUCACUUGCGUCCUUUCCUCACUCGACUUGGCCUUCUUGACCGAUUGGGAGCGGCAAGUAAAGAUGUGCUUAAAGAGCCCCCAAUGGGGGCGGCAACCCAGGAAACCCUCACACAAGGAAAUGAAGGUAGCAAGGUACACGAUAGAGUUGGGAGUGAAGUGGUGGAGCUGCGCUCCGAAGAAAUUUAGAAAACUCCGGAAAAAAGGAUGAGGAGGCAGAGAAAACCCUCGAUCGAUGUGGGUGGUGAGAAGGACACACUCACCAUCACGGGGUUGAGGCUCGACUUCUCCCCCCUGGAGACGCGCAGCCUCGUAAGGAAUGACUCCCCCCUCAACCAUAUCGUCGAGGUCUUCCUGCCGAAUCACCGACGGCAUCCAAUCGCCCUGGAUCCAGCCUCUGGGCAGAGCAGUCCUUGAGGAAGAUCCGCCCCAAGCGGACUUCUUCCCUUUCCCCUGCACCGACGCCUUCUUCGCGCGCUCCAGAGCAGACGUCUUGCCCUUCACCAUCGUCGCCGGCGAAUCUCAAACGGGUCUGCGGCGCUAGGGUGAGAGCGGAGGUGGCGGAGGACUUCGCGAAGGGAGAAAGAAGAGAAAGAAGAGAAAGGAGAGAGCACUGUUCGGGAACCCGAGCAGGCGGCUUAUAAGAGGCCGCUCCUGAGUGGCUGACUGGUAGGCCCAGGCUAUCCCGUCAAAUCCCGCAGUAGACGCGCGCGCAGCUCGUGGCGGAAAAGGUGGCACGGGAAUCGAGGAGCUUCUGCCUUAUCACAUCCGAUUACUGCGGCCGCGCCCGUCCCGCUCGCUCCCCGAUGUUCAAAUCCCGCGAAAUCCGCGGGCUGCGGAACAACUCAUCAAAUAGAAGAUCCCUCUCGUGCCGGCACUCGGUAUUUCACAAGUAAGGAAAUUCACUCGACGGGAGACCAAGAAUGGAUCAAGGCGACCGAAAGAAGUUGACAACGUCAUCCUUGGCGAUAGAUCUAGUACAAGACGUCCAUAUGACGCUAAAAACCAGUCGGAAGGACCCCCAACUCCUUCCCCACUCGAACCUCGAUCCAUUCGGGGGCUAAUGACGAAGCUACGUACCUAGGGUAGGGGGAUGGACCUGUCCUAAGAGCCCUACCCAAGGACAUCCCUGGAAGAAGUCACCUUUCAAUCGACUUGAAGGUACCCACUCGACGGGUUUAAGACACUCGACCAAGAAGCUACCACUCGACACGAAGCCAAUCACUCGACUGCCAGGAGAUCUAAAGUCAUUCCACGGGCAAACGGUCGGCUAUUAAGUAGUCUUUAUGGUCAUUAUAGCACUUUAUUACCAGCGUUACCAGUAACGCCCCGCCUUAAUGUACAUUGAACCCUUGGUAACGUAGGCUGGCCGGGGUCCUGGCGCGCUCUAUAUAAGCCACCCCCUCCUCCGAGACAAGGGUUCGCACCUCUGUUAUUCACACGCCUAUAAUCCAAUCGACCGCCUCCGGGCACCGAGACGUAGGGCUGUUACUUCCUCCGCGAAGGGCCUGAACUCGUACACCUUGUUGUGUUUACAACUUCCCAAUAGCUGAGAUCUAGCCUCUCCAUACACACCCCCAACAUCACUGUCAGAGUUAGAACCACGACACCGCCUGCCGUGCCCCUCGCCGCACGCCCACCACCGCGCCAGCCCCCACUCUGUGGACGACCCUAGCCGCGCCCGCGCCGUGAUCCCCUUUUCCGCCCUACCUUCCCGCACUCGCCGCGGUCCCGAUGCUCCCCCGCGCCCUCUUUCAGGGGCGCCGACUGCCCCUGUCCCAUUACUCGCCGCCGCGCCUCGCCACCGCUCUACUGCUACGUUACUACUGCGCUGCGGCCGCCGCCUCUUCCCGCUGCUCCGCUAGCGCCGAAGCUCCCGGCUGGCUCUGCCACUGGUCACGUUUAACUACCGGUCUAAAUGGCCUAACCUCCCGGCAAAUGAACCCCCAGUAACCCACUGACACCGGGAGCCACAUCCCCUAAUUAACCAUUAAUAAAUUAAAACUCUUAAAUUAACAUUAGUGUAUGACAUGUGCGUCCCCUGUUAAUUAAUAAUUUACAUUAGUGUAUGACAUGUGCGUACCCUGUUAAAUAAACUGAUUUAAUUAAAAUCUAUUAACUUCGAGUCUAUGACAUAUCACUACUUGGGAAAAUCCUAGCAGUAGCGUGGGUAUUUUUCCUAUCAGUUGCGCCGGAUACCGCUCUACUGAUAAGGCACUACAGCUAACAUGUAGCAGUAAUGCGUGUCAUCCAACGCUACUGCUGUACAUGGCUAGCAGUAGCGAGCUUUAGUGCAAAGCGCUGCUGCUAAUAUCUGCAGCGCUUUUCAGCAUGAAGUGAUACUGGUAAGGGACCUCUACUACUAACUUUAUUCCCCUCGCUACUGCUAGUUUUAUUAGUUUCUGUUUUUUUCUGCAUAUUUCUUUUGUAUUUGAACAGGCUUUAUACAAUAAUAUUUAGCGUAUCAUACACAUACAAAUGUAAUCAUAGCAUAUACAUACAAAUAGUCUCGUCAAAUCAUGUCAUCAUCAUAAUCAUCAUCCAUCACAAAGUGGUCUCUCGUCAUCAUCUCUAAAAUAGCGAUACAAGUCUCGAUUACUUGCAACUACAUUGUCAUCCGUCUAAACAAUGAUAUACGCGAGAAGAGCUAUCACUAUGAGUGAGAGCGGAACUAUGCAGUACAUGAGUUUGUAUCCCUCUCUCGCAUUAGCGUGAACCUAAACUAACUACUAGUUGUCGCUCGGAAACCAGAAACCGGUACACCUGGGCCUGACACUCCGUCCACUCAUCUUAUACUCCUGGCGUAGCACUUCUGUGCCAUCGAUGAUCUAUGCACCUGCAUCGUCACAUGAGUCGAUGAUAUGCAACAUAUAUAGUUGAGCAAUAGAAACAGACAGACUUGGCAAAAAUAGAAGCAACAUAUCAUAAGCAUAAAUAACAAAGUUCAUCAUACCCAAAAUGCCCUAACUAGAGUGAUCUUCGCUAGUCGAGGAGGACGGUUUAAUUACAUCACAAAUAAUGUUUCAUCUUGCAUAACUCAAAGUGCCAUCAUACAGAAAGUAUGAACUAAACGGACACAUUGUCAUAUGUCGACAAUCACUCCAACAUGUCGUGCCAUCGAUCCAAGUCAAGGAGAUAGUCCCCGAGCUUAGUGAAAGGCUUCAGGUUGAGACGCUGAGCGGCAACGCGUGUUCGGACGUCUUCCCUCGACAUUUUUCCUUCUUCAUAGAACAUCCCUGUUUUUUCGAUGACCUCCCUCAUGAUGAUUUGGGCAAGUUCGCACUGGAAGUGAUAGAACUCAUCUUGAAGUCGAUGAUCCUCGAUAUCUCCUAAGUUCUUUGCCCAUUGCAGAAUAUGGGCAUCGCCGAAUCUAGGUGUCAUGCAAAGGUUCUGGUGAUCCCGUAUGUACUCCAUCAUGUGGUGUAGGACAUAGAAUCCAUCAUUAAGAGAAUCACUCAGUUGCUGGAUACAGCAGAAGCCGGUCUUAUGGCCGAAGGCGGGCCUGCCGUCCCUUUUCUUCUUGUCCUUGACCUCUCCACCCCGUGCACCGUAGUAAAACAUAGCACCGUCGAGAACAUACUUGAUGUGGGUGUAAUCCUUUUUUUUAAUGUUCUUCGAUGAGUCCAAGUAAAGAGCGUGGGAGUAUCGGGGGUAGAGGAUGAUGAGGAUGGUGCACCCGCCGCUGCGCAAAAUAAGUACACCUCAAAUUAAUUAGCCUCCACCGUGCAAAUGAAUGAUUGAAAUCGUAGGAAGGAUAUCCGCGUGGAUGACUUACAGGGGAUGAUAAGGCACAAGAAUCACCUCCUUGUCCUUAUUGGCACGCAUGAAAUUGACGAUGUAUUCCUCGCGUAUUCACGGUGCUUUGCGUGGACUCACAAGAAGACCUCGUGCAUGAAGUACCGAUCAGUGACACAGAUAUGAGGUAUUUGCUCAACCCCGAUGAGGUAGUUCAUGUGCAAGGCAUAAAGGUGGACGAAUGUAAAAUCCAGCUUCUUUAAGUGAAACAUGUCGAAGAUGUAAUCCAAUCGAAGGAAGAACUUGUUCGAGGGGAAUGUGUCGAUGUACGACAAUUGCAGCGACACGUUAACCACGGAGAGUGGGUAUGCUGGAUUUUUUGAGGCAAUGAGGCCUUUCUCUAUCAGCAACACAUCAUCAUGAAGUCUCCUUAUAUCGCCAAAUCAGGCCCCUAGCGCUGCUUUAGGUAGGAUUGGUUAACCGGGGAUACGCCAUAUUGCCGCACCGAGGAUAUCUAUACGGUCUUGAACCCGAGCCUGCUGAGGUGGCUGGAUCAUAGAAGCACCUUUGUUUCCUUUCCUCGGUGUCUUCCUUGGCUUCUUUGCUACCGGAAAGUCGUCUAUAAUAUGUUCAGCCUCUGGAGGCGGCAAUUCAGGCACCAACUCAUGCGCUCAAACCCUGAGUAGGCGCCAGUAUUGAGGUAUUGUUGAAUGUCAUCGUCGUCCUCAUCUAUGGCGAUGUCACUAGCGACAAAUCGAGCCUCUUCCUCACCCCGUCCGCUAUCACCCAGCACGACAGCCGACGCUAAUUGGGUAGGUGGGGUGUUGAUGUUCGUACCUAACUGCGUGCUCGUGUGUGUGCUCCCGGCCGCCUCCAGACAAAGCAGACUCUUUGACCACAACAGGACCCACCCAUUGCAACCACCAAGCCGCUGCGGGGUCUCGUCGUCAUCCCCUAGUAUCGGAGGAGCCAAAUUCUCGUGGCCCGGUUUGACACUGGCCACGAAAACUUUGAAGACAUACGGGGGGAUUGGUCGGCCAUGGAACAAUGGUUCCUUCGGCUUCAUUACCGUCACCUUCCCCACGUCCACCUUUUGGUCGCCGAUGUUGUACAAUAUGGUGCACGGGGUUACAUCGGCCUGCAAAGACACCGUGAGAUUAUACAUUUAUGGAAGAGGGCCGGUGUGACAGAUACCGUGAGGGCGUCGAGCUCAGCCAAAGACGAAGGACAGCUGAGCACGGCCGGUGUGGGAGCCGGUGUGGGAGCCGGUGCAGGUGCAGGUGCUGGUGCAUCGCUAGUCGUGCUACUCCCGAAGAAGUCAACAAUGGGAAAGUCCGCUGCAUUUUUUCUGGAUUUUGCAUGCUCCAAUUGAAAACGGCUGGAACCAAGACAAUAGACAUAUCUGCAACCACCUGUUUUGCGGCAGCUACCGUUAUCGUGACAGUCUCAGAUGAUUUCUUCUCUACUGCAAUCUCAACCUUCUUGUCGAUGUUUUCUUCAGUUAACCUCCAUCUUUCCUUUCUCUCCUCCGUGGUCUCACGGUAGCACUUCUUCCACGUGGCCCCGUCUCCGACACCGUGAACGCGUCCAUACGACGACCGAGUCUCCACUGGGAGUCCUUUCAAUAUGUUCAAUGCCCGGUUGAAUGGAGUGUCCCACUUGGGCCUCGCCAACGCCUCAGACGGCGAGUCUCUUUCGGUCGCAAUCUUGUGCUGCUCUCUCUACAAAAGGAACAAGGAUCAUUUACAAAUAUGACUAAACGUGCAGUCGAAUUGAUCAGAAACUAAAAUUACCAGCAGUCUCAUGAACUCCGUCGUGAUCGGGUCCGUCUUGAAAACCUUCUUGACCGAGUGCCAAUGGUGCCGUGCCCUGAGGACGUCAUGCUCCUACAGGACGGUGAAGUCCGCCAAGGGGUCUAGGAUGCCAGACUUUCGCGUUUCGUGUCCUCCUUGGCCCAUAUGGACCUCUUCCUGCUGUAACCACGGCUUCCGAGGUGGCGGUGCCCCAUGUUCCUUUGUUGAAACCCCUUCAUGUACUUUGACUUUGUUUUGGCAGUUUCAGCCUCGCAAGCCGCCUUGAAUAUUUCAAAGUGCUCUCCCGUGAUUGUCGGAUUAUCCUUUACAAUCUCGGAGUAGGGUUGAUACGUCUCCAAUGUAUCUAUUAUUUUUGAUUGCUCCAUGCUAUAUUAUCUACUGUUUUGGACAUUAUUGGGCUUUAUUAUCUACUUUUAUAUUAUAAUUUGGACUAACCUAUUAACCGGAGGCCCGAGCCCAGAAUUGCUGUUUUUUUGCCUGUCUUAGGGUUUCAAAGAAAAGGAAUAUCAAACGGAGUCCAAACGGAAUGAAACCUUCGGGAACGUGAUUUUCUCAACGAACAAGACCCAGGAGACUUUGACCCUACAUCAAGACACAAGGCGAAUCAUGUACGUAGCCACUAGUGAAACAUAUUAUCUUUAUUAUAUCUAUCAGAUCUCACUCUCGUAAGUGGCCGUGUUGGGAUUGACAACCCCUAUUCAUGUUGGUUGAGAGGAUUGAUUUGUUUUGUGCAAGUACAAAGGACUCGCGCGUAGCCUCCUAUUGGAUUAAUAGCUUGGUUCUCAAAAAGUGAGGGAAAUACUUACGCUACUUUGUUGCAUCAUCCCUUCCUCUUCGGGGAAAACCAACGCAGUGCUCAAGAGGUAGCAAGAAGGAUUUGCUGNNNNNNNNNNNNNNNNNNNNNNNNNNNNNNNNNNNNNNNNNNNNNNNNNNNNNNNNNNNNNNNNNNNNNNNNNNNNNNNNNNNNNNNNNNNNNNNNNNNNNNNNNNNNNNNNNNNNNNNNNNNNNNNNNNNNNNNNNNNNNNNNNNNNNNNNNNNNNNNNNNNNNNNNNNNNNNNNNNNNNNNNNNNNNNNNNNNNNNNNNNNNNNNNNNNNNNNNNNNNNNNNNNNNNNNNNNNNNNNNNNNNNNNNNNNNNNNNNNCCUCCACCCUCGUGGGCCCCCUGUUGCUCCACCGACGUACUCCUUCCUCCUAUAUAUACCUACGUACCCCCAAACGAUCAUAUACGGAGCCAAAACCCUAAUUCCACCGCCACAACUUUCUGUAUCCACGAGAUCCCAUCUUGGGGCCUGUUCCGGAGCUCCGCCGGAGGGGGCAUCAAUCACGGAGGGCUUCUACAUCAACACCAUAACCUCUCCGAUGAAGUGUGAGUAGUUCACCUCAAACCUACGGUUCCAUAGUUAUUAGCUAGAUGGCUUCUUCUCUCUUUUUGGAUCUAAAUACAAUGUUCUCCCCCUCUCUUGUGGAGAAUUAUUCGAUGUAAUCUUAUUUUUGCGGUGUGUUUAUUGAGACCGAUGAAUUGUGGGUUUAUGAUCAAGUCUCUCUAUGAAUAAUAUUUCAAUCUUCUCUGAAUUAUUUUAUGUAUGAUUGGUUAUCUUUGCAAGUCUCCUCGAAUUAUCAGUUUGGUUUGGCCCACUAGAUUGAUCUUUCUUGCAAUGGGAGAAGUGCUUAGCUUUGGGUUCAAUCUUGCGGUGUCCUUUCCCAGUGACAGUAGGGGCAGCAAGGCACGUAUUGUAUUGUUGCCAUCAUGGACAACAAAAUGGGGUUUUCAUCAUAUUGCAUCAGUCUAGCCCUCUACAUCAUGUUAUCUUGCUUAAGGCGUUAAUUUGUUUUUAACUUAAUACUCUAGAUGCAUGCUGGAUAGCGGUCGAUGAGUGGAGUAAUAGUAGUAGAUGCAGGCAAGAGCGGUCUACUUGUCUCGGACAUGAUGCCUAUAUACAUGAUGAUACCUAGAUAUUCUCAUAACUAUGCUCAAUUCUGUCAAUUGCUGAACAGUAAUUUGUUCACCCACCGUAGAAUACUUAUGCUCUCGAGGGAAGCCACUAGUGAAACCUAUGGCCCCGGGUCUAUCUUUAUCAUAUUAAUCUUCUACUACUUAGUUAUUUCCUUUGCUUUUUACUUUUCCUUUAUUUUACUUUGCAUCUUUAUCACCAAAAUACCAAUAAAAUUAUCUUUAUCAUAUCUAUCAAAUCUCACUCUGGUAAGUGGCCGUGUAGGGAUUGACAACCCCUAUUCGUGUUGGUUGCGAGGAUUUAUUUGUUUUGUGCAGGUACGAGGGACUCGCGCGUAGCCUCCUACUGGAUUGAUACCUUGGUUCUCAAAACCUGAGGGAAAUACUUACGCUACUUUGCUGCAUCAUCCCUUCCUGUUCGGGGAAAACCAACGCAGUGCUCAAGAGGUAGCAAGGGUUCCUUUUUGUCGACGAUCCGAUGUUUCAACCUUGUUUUCCAGGCGGCCAACGCGUCGCUAAACUUGGGCAUGGCGUGUUUGUUUAUCUUCUUCAUUGCCACGUCCUUAUCUGGAUCAUUAUUAUCCUUUUCAUUGCAGUCAGGGAACAAGAAUAUCUGGUGCAGCUUCUUUAGGAGGGAGGGCCUCAUAUUAUCUAUCUUCUGUAGUUUCCCAUCGUUGAUCGUGGCAGUUGUCCGUACGAUGCAACCUAUUUGAUUGCCGUAGCACGAUCGCGCUUCCUCGGGCGCUAUUGUCUCAAAAAUACCGUUGUCCAUCUCCGUGACCACCAGUCUAGUACUCAUGAGCUGGUUUGGGUGCCGUGGCCUCUUUGCUUUCGGUUCUAGACCAGCUCCGCUAGUCUCGGCGCCGGUCUCAGUCUCAUCACCGGUCUGCAUGUCGGUAUCAGUCCCCGAUGCGACAGCACAGUCGCUGCAACAUGGGUAAGGGAGACCACAUCAGUGCUGGGGUGGUCUGAAAAUUGGGACACACUUUCGCGCAUUGCGGGCCGCCUCUCAGACAGCUACUGGGGAGGCGGCGGAGUACCUGGGUGCGCGACGAAUCCCCGGGAACUCGGUGACCAACUUCCUUCCCAUGUAGCGCAUGGAGACGAUGGCGACCCCGCCGAAGAGCAGCUUAGUUGCGAGCUGCACAGCCUCGUCCACCUCCUAAGUUGGGACCUCCGCGCGAGCGUUGCGGGGCCGCCGCUCGGAUGGCUUCUGGAAGGCGCUUGUACAUGGGCACAGGGUGAAUCCCGGCAAGAGCUGGCCAUUGGUGCGCGCAAGUAGACGACGACGUCGCCGACGAAGAGCAGCCCGGCCAGCUCGCCUCACUCUCCUUUGAUUAGAAUUGAAAGAUUGGGAAGAAGCAGACUUGAGCCUGCAGGGAAAGGAUAAGGUGACGAUGCAGUCUCCACUCGUUCGGGGCGACACGCGUACUGAAUGUAUGAGAAACGCGACGUGGCAGGGACCCCAAGAUACUCCCUCCAUUUAUUUUUAGUCUGCAUAUAAAGUUUGGUCAAAGUCAAGAUUUGUAAAUUUUAACUAACUUUAUAAUAAAAAAAAUCAACAUUCACAAUAUGAAAUAAUUAUUACCAGAUGCGUCAUGAAAUGUAUUUCCAUACUAUAUAGGUUUGGUAAUGUAGAUGUUCAUAUUCUUUUAUAUAAAUGGGAAGUAGAGGCACUCUUCCAUAUAAUGAAGUUUAUAAUAUAUGUGCUUAUAUUAUACUAUAAUUGUUUGAAUAACUUAGCAUAUGUUCAGAUGUAUGAUAUCUGUAAUUUAAGCGCUUGAAUUUUACAUAUAAAUAUUUAUUAAUAAAUAUGUACCCCUAUAAUAGCUAGGCCGUGCAGUUGCACGGGUAGAUGACUAGUGAUUACAAUCUUGUUUGUGUGCAAGUCAAGCUUAUCUAGUUUACACGUAACAACUUGUAGAACAUUACAAAAUUUAUGCUUGCUAAUAACUUCUAGAACACUACAACACUUGACAUGUAAAAGGAAUUUGACGAGUCAUGGCCUACUAAAGAAAGUUACAUUACUAGUCUUAUAUCUAUCUUAAUAGACCACACAAGACUACAAAUUAAGUACCGUGACAGCCAUGAUUAUCUAGUUUAUGCGUAACAAUUUGCAGAAAAUUACAAACUUAGUUUUAGAAAAAUAGGCAAUCCAGAUUAGUGUUUGAGCUGUAAAGUGAAUAAGAUGAGUCAUGCGUGUUAUCACACCUUUUUGGUGGUGGAAUGAUAGUGCAAAACAAGGAACUUUAAUGAACAGUCCAAUAAUACACUUGUAAGUAGUGCCACCAAACAGAACAUACCAAAUGAUGAUUUUGAGAAGCAUCCAAGCACUUUCCACACAAACAAAUGCCAAUUGUGAAAGAGAUCAUUCCAUGGCAGCUAUAAAUAGCCCCGUAGCAUGACGAUCAUCCUUCCUCAUCCAUCAUUCUCAUAAGUAGAGCGCAUCAUUUAAGCCAAGCAAGCUGUGGUCAAUACAAAUCCACCAUGAAGACAUUUCUCAUCCUUGCCCUCCUUGCUAUCGUGGCGACCACCGCCACAACUGCAGUUAGAGUUCCAGUGCCACAAUUGCAGCCACAAAAUCCAUCUCAGCAACAGUCACAAGAGCAAGUUCCAUUGGUACAACAACAACAAUUUCUAGGGCAGCAACAACCAUUUCCACCACAACAACCAUAUCCACAGCCGCAACCAUUUCCAUCACAACAACCAUAUCUGCAGCUGCAACCAUUUCCGCAGCCGCAACUACCAUAUUCGCAGCCACAACCAUUUCGACCACAACAACCAUAUCCACAACCGCAACCACAAUAUUCGCAACCACAACAUCCAAUUUCACAGCAGCAGCAGCAGCAACAACAACAACAACAACAAGAACAACAAAUACUUCAACAAAUUUUGCAACAACAACUGAUUCCAUGCAUGGAUGUUGUAUUGCAGCAACACAACAUAGCGCAUGGAAGAUCACAAGUUUUGCAACAAAGUACUUACCAGCUGUUGCAAGAAUUGUGUUGUCAGCACCUAUGGCAGAUCCCUGAGCAGUCGCAGUGCCAGGCCAUCCACAAUGUUGUUCAUGCUAUUAUUCUGCGUCAACAACAAAAACAACAACAACAACCAUCGAGCCAGGUCUCCUUCCAACAGCCUCAGCAACAAUAUCCAUUAGGCCAGGGCUCCUUCCGGCCAUCUCAGCAAAACCCACAGGCCCAGGGCUCUGUCCAGCCUCAACAACUGCCCCAGUUCGAGGAAAUAAGGAACCUAGCGCUACAGACGCUACCUGCAAUGUGCAAUGUCUACAUCCCUCCAUAUUGCACCAUCGCGCCAUUUGGCAUCUUUGGUACUAACUAAGAAGAAAAUAACUCUAGUACUAGAUAUAUGAAACACCGUUUUCUCAGUCCAUGGUUUGGUCGUUGUAGCGGUGAAAAAAUAAAGUGACAUGCACUAUCAUGUAAGAACCCAAACUAUACUAGUUCAAACUUGGGAAUAAAAGACAAACACAGGUCUUGUCUACAUAUUUAUGCUGCAUCUAUUUAUAUAUUAAAAGUAAUAUAAGGUGAACCAGGAGCAAGGUAAAUAUGGUAGAAAAUUGCAC